rnacentral:lncRNA from 1 species
GACGAUCGGGUUGGGGCUGAGGCGGCGGAUCGUGAAGACGGUGACGAAUCGGGUCGAGGAGAGGUCGGAUUGGGGGUCGAGGUUAGGGUUUUCUGGGGUUAUGGAGAGGGAGUAGGAGGAGAUGAGGAAGGUUUUGCAGGGACGUGCGGAGGUGGUGGAGAUUGAGAGGGAGGAGAUGGUGAUCGCGAGGAGGAGGAGGAGGUGAGAGGACGACGCCAUUGUUGUGUGUUGUCUUUGACUUCUUCUUCUUCUUUGGGAUAAAAGACGAUAUGCCAGAAGAUUCGGUGAAGAUAUUAUUAAUAAGCCCCUCUAUUAUUGUGUUUAGCCAUAAAGGUCACUUAACGUUACACACAUUUUCCGUUGAUGUUCGAAGCAUUUCGCCGUUAAAACUAACAUUGUGAACCUCGUGUUUGUUUUUUUUUUCUUAUAAGAAAAUUCCAAUGUAACCCCAUUAUCACAUGACUUUUUGUGGUAAAUCCAAGCUAAUUGAUGAGCUAAACUUUGAUGGUGGAGACAAGUGAGGUCAAUAACAAGAAAUAGUGAUGUAAGCGUUCAAAAAUUAUGUUUCAAAUUUUAAAUUUAAAUGUUUACUUAAUUAGUUAAUUAGGACAUCUUCGUUUAUAUUCUAUUUUUUUUUUCUAAAAUAAAAUAAAAGUAAAUAUUGAGUAAGAAAUGAUCUAACUCAAUUUCAUAUCUCGUUCUAUAAUGAAAUUUAUUCCAUAAAUGGAGUAAUUUAGUUUUUGUUUGUUCAUCACACCAAUAUGAAGCGAGAAAUAAAAUAGGAUUGAAGCAGUUUUACUCUAUUUUGAAGGAAAAAAUAAAGUUUUACAUUGAAGAUGCUCUUAGCAAUACAAAAAAAAUACUAAUUUACCGGAUAAAAAAUAUUCUUUUUAAAACACCUUCAAUCUCACUCUAUAAUUUACUACAAAAAGUAACAAAUAUUUUAAUCUUUCUUUAUGUUCCACUCCAUAAAAAGGUCAAAAUCUAUAAAUAGAAUAAUUAUUUUAUUUUUUUGGUUUAUUACUCCAAUUUUAGAGUAGGAUUGGAAUAAACUCAAUUUUAUUAAGAAAUUAUUCUAUUUUAUAUUGAAAAUACUAUUAUGAAUGAAUAAGAAUCAACUCGCCAUUCAUGUAGAUUGUAUGUCGACCGGGAUGUGCCAUAUUAUUGGUCCCUAAAUUAAUUUAAAUGUAUACAACACCAUUUCUUUAAACAAUGACUUAUAAUUAGAUUAAGCUUUAACAUUGGAUGUUGCAUGGAUCACUUCUGAUUACUUAUUUAAUUAGACUCUUCAAAAUUAAGGUGAUAACAACAUAUAGAAUAUGCUUUUCAAAUAAUAAUACCAAAACUUUGACAUAAAUUUUUAUUUUAAAGAUAUCUACUAUUUAGGUUAUUUUAAAGGAAAAUUGAAACAAAUUAUUAAUUAAUAAAAUAAAAUAAAGUAAAAAUAGUAAUAAUGAUAUUUAUUUCUAAUAAUUAAAUUCACUAAAAAUAUUUAAGUAAAUUUGUUUUUUGUGAAAUUAACAUGAAAAUGAUUUAGAAAUUAUUGUAAGUCAUCAUAUUUCUAUGAGUACUACUAAAUAAAAAAAAACAAGCUAAAAUGUAAACCGGGCCAAAUAGUGAAAAUGGUAAACCGGAUCUCUACUCAUUAGUAAAGACGUGGCCCGUGGGUACACAGAAUCCGUGUUAAGAGAAAAUAGAGCAUUGACUACAAAUAUAGAAUGUGAAACUGAUUCGCUCUCUUUCUCACACACACAUGUCAUAGAAGAAUCAGUUUUCGAUUUCCUCCUCAAUAGCCGCUUUCUUCUCCUCAGAUUCUCUUUAUAAAACAAACCUUCUCCUCUCUCCCUCUCUAGGUCAGAUCCGAGUUAGUUAUGGAGGUAGAGCGAGCCAAGAAAGACGACGAUCUCAACUCCGCAGACGGAGGAGGAGGAGGAUCCGCUGAAGAAGUCUCCGUCGAGAGAAUCUUCGAGGAGAGCGCCGACGCUCCUCCAGCGUGGCAGAACCAGCUCACGUUCAGAGCGAUGAUCGUGAGCUUCAUCCUCUCGAUUCUCUUCACCUUCGUGGUGAUGAAGCUGAACCUCACGACGGGGAUCAUCCCCUCGCUCAACAUCUCCGCGGGGCUGCUCAGCUUCUUCUUCGUGAAGACGUGGACGAAGAUACUCAACAAGGCCGGGAUUCUCAAGCAGCCAUUCACGAGGCAGGAGAACACCGUUAUUCAGACCUGCGUCGUUGCUUCCUCCGGCAUCGCCUUUAGCGGUACGUUCAUUUUCUCCGAUCAAACUCUGUUGUUUCUUUAAAAAAAAAAAAAAAUUGAUAGUUUUCUUCGGUGAGUAGAUAAAGUUGAAAUCUAGUGGAUUUUCUUAGGUCAGCUGAAUCGUAACGGAUUCCGACUCGCUCUUGUCACCGUUUAUAUUUUUUGACCUUUUGCGGCUCCGUGAAAAAGACAGAUAACUUUUGUAGUUUUGUGAUUUUUUUUUGAGUUAUUUAUUUAUUCUUAAGUUAAUUAGUUGUUAAAAAUGUUUUCUUCUUUUUCAUUUCUGACGUCAAAUGUAUCUUGUAAAAGAUAUCAUGAAUAUUUAUUAUUAUUUUCAAUUUAAAUAAUAUUUUAUACUAAAUGAAAUAAUUAUACAUUAUAUAACUUUAUCUUUAAUGUAUCUAUUUUAAACAUACAAAUUACUUUAAAAAACUAUUGACACUACUUAGGUAGGUCCGUUGCUGCUAUCAUUAGACUAAUAUAAUUCAUAUAGUUAGCAUAAUUAUCCAGAUUAAAAGUUUAUAUAGUUACAAUUAAAUUUUAAAAUAAAAAAUAAUUAAAUUUUAAUUUAUUUUCUUAAUAUGUGUAAAAAGGAAAUAAAUUUAUUAAUUUAAAACAUAAAGAGUAAUAAAUAUUUUUGUAUAGGCGUAUUUUCUGCUAGUACUUAAAUGUAUUUUAUGGAAAAUGCCAAAUUUAAUGUAAGUGAAGUUACAUUUAAAAUCGGAGAGCAGUGUUAUAUGACUUUGUGAUAACAUUAAAAGAUAUCUACACGGCAAGACUAUUAGGUCAAGUAAAUCUUUUGUUUGCAUAUGAUUUCGGCGCUUUAUAAGGAAGUUCGGUUUGCAUUUACAUUUAUUUUAGAAAUCAAAUUGUCUCAUCAAAUACCAGUGGCUUAGCUGUUUUUAGUGUGCACAACUAUUAGCUCUUUUAUAUUUUAUUUGUUGAAACUUUUCUAUGGAGUCGGUUUAAAAUUAAUUUUAGUAAAACAAAAUAUUAAAAAUAAUUAUAAAUAGUGAUUUUAAGAAAUUAUUUUAAAAUAUAAUAAUUAUAUUAUAUGUUAUAUUAGUUAUAUAUGUGUUUAAUUUAGCAUUUUGGAAUAAAAUGAUGUCAAAAAACAUUUUGUUAUUAAAUAAGUGAAUAUUAUCUAAGGUUGUUUGUAAUAGGGCAUUAAAUUUAGUAUGAUAUUGUGAUUCAAUACUACUAGAUAGUGUGUUUCAUCAAAAAAAAAGAGUACUAUUAGAUAGUGUGAUUUUUAGUGUUUAGUAGAAAGAUUUUUAUGAAAGUAGCACUUUAUUAAAAUAAAGUUUUAGUGUUUGGUAGAAAAUUAAGUGAAGCCAUGACUUUCCAAGAAAAUAAUUUUUUAUUGUCUCACGUGAUUCGUUCUCUUAUAGAGAUCUUGACGUCAAAUUAUUUAAUAUGAGUUGACUUGCUAUGCCCACCACCACCAUGUGUGGGCAAAUGGGAACAUGGAGUAACGUAGAGUGGACUAGAUGCACACACGUGAUCCAUAAUUUCAAUUAAGCAACAUGAUUAGAUCACUAAUUAAGUAGAUGGGAUUCUAUUUAUUAGAUUUUAGUUUAUUUUGACUAAAGUCACUAAUCCACAUCUAAAACAUUAACUAUUCAACACUAGAUCUUAAUAAAUAAUCUAACUUACCAUACAAAUAUUUUUGAAGUGUUUAAUCAUAUAUUUAAUAUGUGCAUUCAAGUUAAAUAGUAAAACUUUAUUUAGUUGUUGAAAAUUGCUAAAUGAUAAAUACAGUAAAUUUGAUCAAAAAAAAAAGAUAAAUACAGUAAAUAUGCUCUUGAUCCAAAAUUGUGUAAUUGUAUUAAAUUUAUAAUCCAUAUAUAUCAUGUCAACGUUGCUUUCCUGUUUGGUGUGUGUCCACUGUCCACCACGUGUGCCAAAUGGGAACAUGUAGUAACGUAGAGCUGGCUAGAUGUGUACACACACAUGAUCCUUAAUUUAAACUAUCGAAAGGAUCAGAUCACUGAUUAAGUAGAGGGAAUUCGAGUUAUGAUUGGAUUUUGCUUUGGUUUUUAAUUAAAGGAAUUAGUUUACAUGUAAACAUAUUCACAUGAAACGACGUUAAUUUUUCAAUUAAAAACUGGUUAUUUCGUAUAUGAAUAAAAUUUUGUUUAAAGGGGUUUAUAUAUUAGUAUGAAUAAAAUUACAAGUGAUAUAAUGCUCAAUAGUUGAAAGAUUUAUAGUUCUGUCAUGAUGUGAGAUAUUAGGAUCCUCUGCUUUGUGUAAUUGUUAUCAUAACCUGUAUGUGAAGAUCAUCAACUCAACGCUGCCUGUUCGGUUUGACUUAAUAUUUUGUGAUACAGGAGGGUUUGGUAGUUAUCUCUUUGGGAUGAGUGAAGUUGUUGCUAAACAAUCAGCCGAAGCCAAUACUCCUCUCAACAUAAAGAAUCCUCAUUUGGGUUGGAUGAUUGGAUUUCUCUUUACCGUUAGCUUUCUCGGUCUCUUCUCUGUUGUUCCCCUUCGAAAGGUACGUCCUUAAUUUACAUCUCUGGUCACAUUUGAAUACAUUUCUGUAGCAAAAAAAAGUCUUAUCUACUGAAAUUCUGUUUUCAGAUCAUGAUAGUGGACUUCAAAUUGACAUAUCCUAGUGGUACUGCAACUGCUCAUCUCAUCAACAGCUUCCACACACCUCAGGGUGCCAAGCUCGCAAAGUAAAUAAUCUUUCAUACUCCUCAAUGUUACUACGAGGUUUCUCUUCUCUGAAUACUGAUGAUCACAUUCUUUUUCGAAUAACACAGGAAGCAAGUGAGAGCAUUGGGAAAGUUCUUCUCGUUCAGUUUCUUAUGGGGUUUCUUCCAAUGGUUCUUCACUUCUGGUGACGGCUGUGGAUUUGCUAACUUCCCUACAUUUGGUCUCGAAGCCUAUGAAAACAAGUACGUUAACUUUUUCACAAUUGUCUACUCAUGGAGAAACUAAGACUUCAACUAAAUUCUUAUUAUCUGUGAAUAUCAUAUCAAAACAGGUUCUACUUUGAUUUCUCGGCUACAUAUGUUGGUGUUGGAAUGAUAUGUCCAUAUCUAAUCAAUGUGUCGCUUCUCGUUGGAUCAAUACUAUCAUGGGGUAUUAUGUGGCCUCUCAUAGGUGCCCAAAAAGGCAAAUGGUACUCUGCUGAUCUUAGUUCAACUAGUCUCCACGGCCUUCAAGGCUACAAGGUAGCAUCACUCUCCCUCUCUCUCUCUUCUCUCACAAAGCUCCUUGAUAUUUACUAAAUUUUCUUUCAAUGCAUCAGGUGUUUAUAGCCAUAGCUAUGAUCCUCGGUGAUGGUCUCUACAACUUCAUCAAAGUCCUAGGCCGCACCAUCGUCGGUCUAUACAAGCAGUUCAAGAACAGAGACGCUCUUCCCGUAAACGACCGGUCACCAUCAAACACCGCAACCAUCUCUUACGACGACAAACGAAGAACUGAGCUUUUCCUCAAAGACAGAAUCCCCUCGUGGAUCGCUGUAACCGGCUACGUAGUCAUGGCCAUAGUCUCGAUCGUCACAGUCCCCCACAUCUUCCCUCAGCUCAGAUGGUACCACAUCUUGACCAUGUACAUAAUCGCACCCGUCCUUGCCUUCUGUAACGCCUACGGCUGCGGGCUCACCGACUGGUCCUUAGCUUCCACCUACGGCAAACUCGCCAUUUUCACCAUCGGAGCUUGGGCUGGCUCGGCCAACGGAGGCGUCUUGGCAGGACUCGCGGCGUGUGGUGUUAUGAUGAACAUCGUCUCCACAGCUUCUGAUCUCAUGCAAGACUUCAAAACCGGUUACAUGACGCUAGCUUCCCCGAGGUCAAUGUUCUUGAGCCAAGCGAUCGGAACGGCGAUGGGCUGUGUCAUUUCCCCUUGCGUCUUCUGGCUAUUCUACAAAGCCUUUCCCGACUUCGGCCAAACCGGGACCGCGUACCCCGCGCCUUACGCCUUAGUCUACCGAAACAUGUCGAUACUCGGAGUAGAAGGAUUCUCUGCUUUGCCCCAGCAUUGUCUCAUGAUCUGUUACAUAUUCUUCGCAGCAGCGGUGUUUGUGAACGGCGUGAGGGAUGCGGUGGGGCCUAAAUGGUCUCGGUUCAUUCCUCUCCCGAUGGCUAUGGCUAUACCGUUUUACAUCGGAGGUUACUUCACGAUCGAUAUGUGCGUGGGGAGUCUCAUACUGUUCGUGUGGAGGAAGCUGAAUAGACCAAAAGCUGAUGCUUACUCUUCAGCUGUUGCUUCUGGUUUGAUAUGUGGCGAAGGGAUAUGGACGUUACCAAGCUCUGUGCUUGCUUUAGCUGGUGUUAAGCCUCCUAUCUGCAUGAAGUUCUUGUCUGGCGCUACCAAUGUUAAGGUUGAUUCUUUCUUAAACCCUUCUUAACUGUGUUUUCUUUUCAUUUGUUAUUCUAGAUUUUUUUUUUUUUCUAUGGUUCUUUGUCUAUCUUUCUUAGUUUUAAUUGUUUUAAGUUUGUGGUUAAUUUCAUUUCUACUCAAUGAAUGGAUUUAUUGGUUUUAAAACAGUCUUAUUUUGAGUCAAAAACUGAUACAGAAGUUGCAUUCUAUAUGCCACCAAAAAGAAUUUGUACAGAUGAGUUCUUUAAAACUCAUUCAGACAAAAAAAAAACACUAAAGGCAGAUAUGGUCCUCAUAGGAGGAAACCAUGUCACAGAGUAAUGGAGGAAAGAAGAUGGCUUAACCGGUCUACUUCGAUAUCCUCUUCUUCUUUUUCAUCUUCCAGAGAGUCACUACACGCCACAAAGGAACCAGUGAGACUUUUCUCAAAUGUACUUUAAUUAUGUGUGCUUGUAUAUAACUUACUUUGGUUGUUCAGAAGUCAUCAUUUCUCCCGCAAGGUUGAGUGAUCCAAGUGUCUCCUCCAUAACGUCGCUAUUUCCAUUUCCAUUUCCAUUUGUAGCCUCUAAAGACCAUCUCAAGGGUACAACUAUGUCCCUGUAUCAAUCAAUGUUAAAGAAUCAGUGCUUUGACUUGUUACUACAAGUAGGAACUUAACUGUCACUCACCCACUGAUACAUCUGGCUCUGCACUUUUCCACCUCGUCUACUGUAUAUUUCAUAUGGUUUAAGUUCAGACUUUUUACAGCUUCAGGAACAUCUGAUGAUGGCACAACAUCCCAUAUCUUCAGAACUUGGAUAUAUUGAAAUUCUUCCUUCAAAAUUUCUACAGCCCAAAUGAGACUUAGAACAUCGUCAAUCUUGCUUUGUUUUAUCAACUGGGAGGAAGAAACCAGACUAUCUCUCUCUGACUCUUCUUCUUCAUGGAGCCAACCAUGUGAUAUCCUUUCUAAGAAACUCUUGAUCUUCCUGUACAUCUCCGGGUUCUUAAUCUCUCCCACAGAUUUCUUGAACUCGUCGCUGAAGCAAAUCUGUUUGAACAUGCAAAAACAGAGUCAGUCUCAAAGAACACAAAGCUAAAAAGAACACAAAAGCAAUGUUCAUCCAUCACCUUCCAUCUUGAUUUGUUCAGUGGCUGGAUAAACUCGAUUUUCGCGGUAUCGAUAAUAGCACGAGCCAAUGACUCGUCUUCUUCAGCAUUAUAGAAACAUUCUCGCUUCCUUGCGUCUUGUAUCAGAUACCUCCACACCGACUUGCUAUUCACCAUAGUUGCCUCGUUUCCAAGUAUCCAUAAACAGAACCUCGCUCGAGUGAGUAACACAUUUGUUCUUUGUCUGUUUGCAAGAAACCCAACUCUUCCAAUACCAUUGGACCUAACAGUUGAAACUAUGAUUAUAUCCUCUUCACCACCUUGAAACCCAUCCACUGACCGAAUCUUCAACGAAAACAGCCCUCCUGCAUCACAUCCACUACAUGUCUCCUGAAUCUUUUCUUGGAUUGCCAUUACUUGAGACUUAUAAGGUGAAAUCACACCAACGCUUAUGCGUGUCUUUGUUCUCACUGAAACUGCAUUCAAACAUAAAAUCUAACUUCAUUGUUCCAAAACCAUAGAGAGAGAAAAACAUUAUCAUUCAAAAGAUAGUUCACCUUGGAGAAGGUUAGCUAUUAUAUCCGACACAACAGCAACCUCAACGUUGUUUUUCAGACUACGUCCUUCCCCAUAUUGUUCUUCACCAUGUGCUAUGUUGAUAAAAGAGUAGGGACCAUACAUUUUGCCAGGAAGAUAUUGCUUUGUGUAGUUUCUUUGUUUAACCGUUGGAGCGUCUUGAAUCUGCAUUCCGUAGAACUCUCUGUUUGGGAAGAUACUUAUCAAUCGAUGCAUCCUGUAUUGGAUGUUUAGCAGGUACUUCUUAUGUUUAAGUAUGGCUAAUCUUUCAAAGAGACUUCUCCCAAAUCCUGCCUCCAAAGCAAUCUGGCUUUCCACCAUUGCAGGAAGCUGUUUCUCAUCUCCAAUCAAAAUCGAAUGCUGGAUACCUGGAAGCAGGAGAGGAAUGGCUGUCUCACAUUCUUUUAACUGAGCAGCUUCGUCGACCACAAGAAGCUGUAUUGGUUGUCCAGUGUAUAGCCUUGCAGAGCAUGACGCUGUAGAGAAAAGCAGACAAGCGUGGCCCAAGCAAAGCUCUCUAAUAAGAUGCCUAUCACAACCACCUGGAAGUGUGAAAAUUUCAGGGAUCAAUCUCAACAGCUUUAAAUAAUAAUCUUCUACUCUGUCACUUCCUUCUCCAUUAACAACGAGUACUGAUUUUAGUUCUUCACCACUCAGAACAGAUGAGAUUGUAGCGUCUUUGACAAGGUCAAUAGAUUCAUACAUACGCGUUGCGGCUUGUGUUGAGAGCAAAGCAGUAGGCAAAUGCGUGCAUAAGCUUGAGAAAGCAAGCUCCAGGUCUUUCCUAAGUUCGCUGAAUCUCUCUGGUAGAUAUUCCUGAAACGAUUUAGAAACAUUGUCUUUGCUUUUCUCCAAGAACUGAUUAUACUGUCCUUGCGGAUCCUCGAGUAAACGUAUCAUGGAACUGAUAGAAGCUUUCCAUCCGUAAAACGGCAUGAAACACGGGUAAAGCUUAUCAACGCGUUCGUCAAUGAAGAAGUCAACAAGAUCUUUCCUCUCUUUGAUCUUCAUCCUCUCCCCGUUCCCAAACAAGACCACAUCUCCGAGACCGUAGCUACCGAUCUUUAAAGACUUGGAAACUAGUUUCACAACUCUCGACGCCACUUCGAUAACAGAAACAUUCGUUGGAGUACAUGUCAAGGUUCUGCAUCUCGCGUUCAGAAGCGUGAACAGAAGUAUACUCGUUGUCUUUGUCUUCCCUGUCCCUGGUGGACCCCAAAUCAGUUUGAUGGUGUUGGCAUGGCGGCAUCUUCUAACGUCUAAACAGCUCAGUAUUGCAUCUUCCUGUGAAGGAUUCAGGUUCAGGAAACGACUAGGGACAAGACCGUCGCUUUCUCCAAAUCUACACGGAACACAAACUCCACCAUCAUCAUCAUCAGUGUUUCUCUGAAGGACUGUUGAGAGAAGACUCAAGUUCCCACCUUGUAAACCAAGAUGCAGUGAGUUCCAGAUACGAACGUUGGUGGUUAUAUUGGUCAUAUAAACACCAAAAAGGCUUUCUUUCUUCUCCUUCUUGUUCCUUUGAUGUACAUCCUCGAGCAAAAGUGGUUUUGAAGCUAAGAUGGUGAUAACAUUAGGCCUGUCCGGAUCUGCUUUACAGACAAUAGCAACUACAUAAGGUUCGUUGGUGAUGUUGAAGCCGUCAACACGGUUAGGCCUUUUAUCUGUAAGCGCGAUGAGAUCUUUUGGGAUCAGUGACGACUCGUCGGUGCUCAAAUGCACUUUAUAGAACAAGUUGUUAGGAAGCUCGAACUCAGCUGUUGGGGCAAUGUAGGUGAUUUCAACCACAGGGGACCGCCACAGUGUCUUUAUGCUGGACGAUAAAGCAGCAUGUGUUUCUUCGAUAAGUGAAGGGAUAAAGGACUUGAAGUAGUCUGUGGUUGAGUCGAACUCAGUAGGAAUCGUUCCCACCUGUUUGAAAACAAAUCAAAUACAGAACAACAAGCAAAUCAGAUUGUGUUUUGUGUCUUAAAAUCGACAAGAACCAAAUAAGGGGCAUAAAACAGAACCUGUCCUUUAUAAAGAUCCACAUUGAGUACUUCUUCAAGAGACCAAGAUAGCACGAGAUCGAUCAAAUCUCUUCCUUCAAUACGCAUUUUUGCUAACUCUGAAAGAGUGAAAGGAAAUAAAGAAUCGAUUUUUUUUAAACCCCUAAUCACUAAACCCUCAAAGGCUCAAACUUUACACAUAGCGAAGCAAAAGAACGAGACCCAUCAAUCAUCGCAAGUUUUGAAACAAAAGUCUAUAGCUUUUUGCGAUUUGAAACCCUAAAACUCUACGUUGCCUAGAACCAUCAAAACCCUGAAGCUUACUUUGAUUUUUUAGGGCUGUGAGGAGAAAGGUUAGCUUUUCUGAGGCAUCAAACUGAGGUUUUGGUUUUGGGUCUGUGUGAGGAAGGAGAUGGGAAUUGGAGGGAAAGCUAAAGGAGUAAUUUACUAUUGCUUCCAAUGUACUGAACUUCUAGGGCUUUCUUGAAGUUUUGGUUUUGUUGAGGGUCUAGUUUGUAAAUUAUUUACUUAUUCCUUUUUCUUCUUUUGAACACCCAUUUUUCUUGGUCUUCUUAUUUGUAUUUUAACCUGCCUAUUUUAGUUCUCUACAGUACUUUUCUUGGUAUUUUUCUUAGUCUUCUUGUUUGUAUUUGAAAUAUCAAAGAUCUGUUGACUAUAGAGUUGACCUAGCAAAUAUUAUCAUUCUUCUAUAGCUUUCAGUUUAUUCCCAAUAAAUGUAUACCAACCAAACAAAUCAAACUGCAGUUUACAUCUUCUUCAACCUCUAGCUUACUUUUCAAAAAAACAAAAAACAAAAAACAAACUCCCAGGUUAGACGUUUUGAUAAAAGUUUUAUGGACUAAUGGGGCGAAUCUAGAAUGAUUUGUUAAUGGGUGCAAAAUUUAAUAAUUUACUAAAGGGACUUCGACAAACAUGAGACAUCAAAGGGGUGCAUAAGGCCACUAUACCAUUUCAUCCAGCUGAUUCCUUUCUAUGUGUAUAUAUAAAAUUAAUAAUAUUAAGAAUAUUACGGGUGCACGUGCCACCAUACCUGAUGCAGUGGCUUCGAAGCCACUCGGACUAUGUCACUAGCCAAAUAGUACCAGAGAUUGUUAGUUCAGCUAGAAAUGACUUGUGUCAGAGUUACUCAAUUAUAGUGACUGAUAAAAUGAAACUGAGAACUGUAAAAAGAACUAUGAUUCCUUUUAUAGUUCGAGGAUCGGUACCAGUGUUGACUAUUUCAAAAUUUAUAUUUUUGUUCAAUGAACCAUUUUAGAUAAUAAAAAGAAUCAGUUGUUAAAGCAAGUUCAGUGUUUUUUUAUUGGUUCUGAAAGUAUUUUUUUUUGUCAAUAUUUUCGUUCCUAAAAAUUUGUAUUACAGUGGCUAUUAGUUGCACCAGAUUAUUACAUAUUUUUUGAUUGGUCAACCUGGCUCUCAUUGCUAGCUGAUCAAUAUGUUGUAAAAAAUUUCUAGGAACAUGGCUAAAAGAGAAGUUAUUAAGCUUGGAAAAUUUAAGGAUGUCUUGGACCAUCAUGAUUGCCUCUGCUGAUGGUGAUUGCAAUUUGCAAGCUCUUGAAUAGUUGUACGCAAUCACCUAGAAACAUGACGUUCUUGUAUGACAAGCCCGUUUAACUUUUGAACACUAAAAUUGCCUAUAUGCACCCAAAAAAAAAGACCAAGAAAAAUACUGUAGAGAAAAGUCGUGGGAAGUAUCGUUGAACAAACAACAUGUCUGACAUCUCCAACCAUAUGUGUGUAUAUAUUUUCUCAUAACUCAAGACAAUGGCGUAGAGGGCAAAAGAGAGAGAGAGAAAAAAAUGAGAAGUUCACCAAACUACCACCAUCCUUACACCUUCGUCUUCGUCGUCAUUUUGUUUCCAGCUUUAGCUGUCUCUUACAAAACACUGUCGGCGACAGAAUCUCUCACUAUCUCAAGCAACGAAACUAUUGUAUCUCAUAACGAAACCUUCGAGCUCGGUUUCUUCACUCCAGGAUCAAGUUCUCGUUGGUAUCUCGGGAUAUGGUACAAGAAAAUCCCCACCAGAACCUACGUGUGGGUUGCUAACAGAGACAACCCACUGUCUCAUCCCAACGGAUCUCUCAAAAUAUCUUCAGACAAUAACCUCGUCAUUUACGAUCACUCCUCCAACACUCCUGUUUGGUCAACGAAUCUAACCGUUGGCACUUUGAGAUCUCCACUGGUGGCAGAGCUUCUCGAUAACGGCAACUUCGUGCUCAGGCACUCCAACAAUAACGAGUACUUGUGGCAGAGUUUCGAUUUUCCGACGGAUACUUUACUUCCGGAUAUGAAACUCGGCUGGGAUAAAAAAACCGGUUUAGACCGAGUCUUGAGAUCGUGGAGAGGUGUAGAAGAUCCAUCGAGCGGCGAUUUCUCGACUAAACUCGAAACCAGAGGCUUCCCUGAGUAUUACGUGUUCAACAAGGAGAGAAUUAUCUACCGGAGCGGUCCAUGGAUCGGAAACCGGUUUAGCUGCAUACCGGAGAUGAAACCAGUUGAUUACAUGGUUUACACUUUCAUAGCAAGUAACGAAGAAGUGACUUACUCGUACCAAGACGUUUACUCCGUAUUAAGCGUAAGCUACAUGGGAACCUUACAACGACGGAAUUGGAUUGAGUCAGCACAGAUUUGGAAACAGUUGUGGUACCAACCAAAGGACAUAUGCGACAACUACAAACAGUGUGGGAGUUACGGUUAUGGCGAUUCCAACACCAUACCGAGCUGUAAUUGCAUCAAAGGGUUUGAGCGACGAAACGAGCAAGAGUGGGCUUUGAGAGAUGAUUCAGCCGGUUGCGUGAGGAAGACAAAGCUGAGUUGUGAUGGUAGAGAUGGGUUUGUGGUUGUGAAGAAGAUGAAAUUGCCGGAUACUACGGCUACAGUUCUGGACAGAGGAAUUGGUUUGAAGGAGUGUGAAGCCAAGUGCCUAAAUGAUUGUAACUGUACGGCCUACGCUAAUACUGAUAUCCGUGACGGCGGGUCGGGUUGUGUGAUUUGGAAGGGAGAGCUUUUCGAUAUCCGGAGUUAUGCAAAUGGUGGUCAGGAUCUCUACGUUAAACUAGCCGCUGCUGAUCUCGGUUAGUUCUUGUUCUAAGGGUUUUGUUUUAGUCGAAAUUGUUAAAAUAUGAAUUUUCAACUUAAAACUGAUUAGUGAAUAAAUUAGCCUAUCUCUCUUAUAUAUUAUUUAAAUUUAUUUCCGAAGACUUAUUUGUCUCUACUAGAGACGACCUAAGUCAAGGUCAAAGCAUGUGAUAUGACUGCUUAUUACAAAGAAGUAAUUGCAUUGAAUAUUUUGUGCUAUUGAUCUCACGAGUUUCAGCUGAGAGCGCACGUAAUUGUAGUAGGGGUGUGAUACUAGGAAAUUUCAGAAUAUAAAUGUGGUUAAAUAUCCAUUCAAAUAUUAAGGUAUCAGUUGAUGUUUAGAUCAUUAUAUAAAUCCAUAAUUUUUUUCUUCAAAAAUUAAUGUAUUAAAAUAAUGUUAAAACUAAUUAGCUCUAUCAAAUAUUUCUUUCAAAAUUGCAUCCCUAAGCGAAUCUACUGACUACUACAUUAGUCACAAACAAUAUUUCAGCAUUAGUAUGGUUUGAGCUAUAGAUUCAACACCAAAACUAUAUUAUAUUUAGGUUUAGUAUAAUGUUUUAUCAUAAGUACAAUGAAGUUUCUUUGGGUAGGGAUUUUUUUUAAAAAAUUUUUUGUGACAAUUACGUAUAUGAAACUAUGUGCCUCGUUUAUAUUGCAGAUCAUGUCAGGAUAACAAGCCAUGGAACAAUCAUAGGUUCGGGUAUUGGAGUGACCAUUUUUCUUCUAAUAAGUAUCAUCAUCUUAUUCGGCUAUUGGAAAAGAAAACAGAAGAGUGAUAUAACAAUUCAAACACCUCGUGGUAAAUCAAUGACUUUCAUUUUCUUUUGUAUCUGCAAAUUUGGAAAGUUAAAUGUCUUUUGUUUCUGAAUGAAACAGUUGAUCAAGUGAGAAGCCAAGAUUUGCUAAUAGACGAAGUGCUAUUAACAAGUGAGAGAUACAUAUCCAGAGAAAACAAAACAGAUGAUCUAGAGCUUCCAUUGAUGGAGUUUGAAGCUCUUGCCAUGGCAACAAACAGAUUUUCUGACGCUAACAUGCUUGGACAAGGUGGUUUCGGUAUUGUUUACAAGGUAAAAAAUGAUUCAAAAAUGUACUCACAAUUUAUCACUGUACAAGGUUUCAUUUUAUUAAUUAUCAAACAAGUCUGUAAUAGGGAAUGUUACCUGAUGGGAAAGAAAUAGCAGUAAAGAGACUAUCUAAAAUGUCUUUACAAGGGACCGAUGAGUUCAAGAAUGAGGUCAGACUAAUUGCAAGGCUUCAGCACAUAAACCUGGUCCGGCUUCUUGGUUGUUGCGUCGAUAAGGGCGAGAAGAUGUUGAUAUAUGAGUACUUGGAGAAUCUAAGCCUUGAUUCUCAUCUCUUUGGUUAGUGACUCAAAACAACUUAUGUUCUAACAAUUUAACAGUUAACAUGUUUCCAAUUUUGAUCGAUUUGCAGACAAAAUCCGACGCUCUAACUUAAGUUGGCCAAAGAGAUUUGAUAUUACCAAUGGUAUUGCUAGAGGACUUCUUUAUCUUCACCAAGAUUCACGGUUUAGGAUUAUACAUAGAGACUUGAAAGCGAGUAACGUCUUGCUUGAUAAAAAUAUGACUCCGAAGAUAUCAGAUUUCGGGAUGGCAAGGAUCUUUGGACGGGAUGAGUUGGAACUUAGUAAGCUAUUUGUUCUCCAAAAAAAAACAAAAGAGUUUUUUGUCUUAAAUCCAGACUAAGUAGAAAACAUCAAAACUUAUGAAUUUAUUCUACCUUAUGCAGCGGCUACAUGGCUCCAGAGUAUGCAAUGGACGGGAUAUUCUCGAUGAAGUCGGAUGUUUUCAGCUUCGGGGUCUUGCUUCUUGAGAUUAUAACUGGCAAGAGGAGUAAAGGAUUCUACAACUCUAACCGUGACAAUAACCUCCUUGGUUUUGUAAGCUAAGAACAACUUAUAUUCGAUAUUGUUUCAUAGUACAUUAUCGGUCAUAACACUUAAAGAACGAUUCCAUAUUUUUUGCGGACAGGUGUGGAGGUAUUGGAAAGAAGGAAAAGGGAUAGAGAUCGUAGACCCAAUCAUCAUGGAUUCUUCAUCAUCAGCACUCCGUACACAUGAAAUCUUAAGAUGUAUACAAAUUGGUCUCUUGUGUGUUCAAGAACGUGCUGAAGACAGACCAGUGAUGUCGACUGUUAUGGUGAUGCUUGGGAGCGAAACUACGGCUAUUCCUCAGCCUAAACGGCCCGGUUUCUGCGUUGGGAGAAGUCUUCUUGAGACUGAAUCAUCGUCAAGUACCCAGCACGAUGAUGAUUUGACAGUGAACCAAAUCACUCUCUCAGUCAUUGACGCCCGGUAGAUUGAACGUUACCUAGACAAUCUGUUUAUAUGCAUAUCAAUUGCUAUUUUGCUAUGUAAUAAUUAAUAGCGCAAAUUUUACUACUUGAUAUUAAAUAACUUGCUCUAUCUAAUGUAGUUUUGGAACAGAGUUAUUACUGACUCGAAGAAUUUGGAUUAGAGAGAGAACUAUGAAAAAAUAGAUAGAUUUUUAUAUUCGAGUCUCCUAUAUAAUAAAUGAGGCAUUAGCUAGAUAAAUCAUUUAACACUAGUAGAUGAAUAUAUAAAAAUAAUUAAUUAUUUGAAAUACCUCUAAUGAACAAAUUGAAACAAGUUGUGGGACAUGGAUAUUCAGUUACCCCCUCGCCACCAAUAUUGUCUAAUGCUGAUGAGUUGUUAGUUGAACCAGAGGUAGUUGCCACUAGAUAUGAUGCAUAUCAUAAGGACAUUUGGAGGUUUUAGUGACCUGAAAAAAUUUACCGUCACAUGGAACUUCUUGGAUGAGGCAAGACUCAAUUCCCUACAUUUACGCGUGAGGACAAGCUCGUUUUUUGUAAUGGGAAUAUUGAUAUGCCACUAAAAGUAUACAUAUCAAGAAAACUAAGGAAGAUGAGCGCUGAAAGACGAGGAAUAGAAGAUGAGGUUGCAAAUGUUUUAUUCUAAUUCAAUCACACAGGGGUGGUCUAGUCACUAGUGGUAGGUGGAUUACGGAGAGACUUGGGUUCAAAACAACCCAUGAUAUUAAACAUGUGUGGCUACGCGGAUAUGAGACCACACUUUAGAUCUCAUUUGAAUAUCCGGAUUGAGAGUCCAUCAGUGGAUCAACCCACCAUUUUAUAGAUUAUUCUGAACCUCUCUAUGCGUCUGGGAUACUCACAAGACUUGAACAAAAAGGAAAAAAAUUCUAACAGUCAAGAGAAUAAAAAUAGUUAAUAUUGUAACCGAUCCUUGAACUAUAAAAGGAAUCAUAGUUUGUUUUUGCAAUUCUUUAUGCGUUUAGUGCAUGCUGUUUGGGCUUGAUUUCUCUGAGUGUAGAGAUUCAAGGUUUGGAGUCUUCAAGUCGUUACGUUUUGGAUUGUACUUGGUUACUUGAACUUCAGAGCAAUAACGUGGUUGAGUUUUUGUCAAAAAAAAAAUAACGUGGUUGAGUUCUUAUCAGAGAACGUUCUUGUUGACUAGUGGGAUUUGUACUCUGAUUAGGCCUUUCAUGUUAAAAUCUGAUAAUUGGGCUAAAAUUUAUUUCGUUGUGGCCCAAUUUUGUUUUUUGUAACACAAACUAGCAUUAGAAACUUAGAAAACACGGUUCGUGGAUACAAAGACUUCGUUCAACAAGGCUUGCUUUGCAAGAGCAUCAGCAGCCUUGUUUUCCGAUCGUUGAGUCCAGACAAAGGAAACAAAUUCAAAAGCAUAGACUAAGUUUAAGAUAUCAGAGACAAUGCCAUAGAUCUCUGAGUUGGGUACUUCUUCAUUGAUGGCUCUUAUGAGUUGUAGAGAGUCUGAUUUGCAUAGUACACACCGGAUACCCUUGGUGAUGCAGCAGGAGAGGGCUUCCCGUAACGCCAGUCCCUCAGCGAUCAGUGGGGAGUUAACAAAGUGGCAGUGUGCCAUGUAGGACCCAGUCUGGUUUCCUCCGCCAAUUGUCCAUCCCAGUCCCGCUAGUUGUAGAUCUGCACGCCAAGCCCCAUCCGAGUGGAGCAAGGUAGCGUUUGUGGGUUCCGGGGGCCGCUGUGUUGGUGGCCUGGUAGAUGAUGUGGCUUCCGUCUGUUGUUCUCUUAGCCAUUCCUGCGCCGCUGAUAUAGCUUUUGUGAUCACUUCCUCCGGGGUAGCGUCUUUAUUAUUAAAGAUUCGGUUGUUUCUAGCAAGCCAUAGAGACCAUAGGAUCCAAGGUGCUAGAGGUCCAGAAGCAAUUCCCACCGGUGGGAGGCAUGUACGUGAGCAGAGUCCCUCCCAAGCUGAGGUUAAAUCUAGCAAACCUCUAACAUCAACACAAGUAGAGAAAGGUGCAAGUUUCCAUACAUUGUGUGCGAAUUCGCAGUGAAGGAACAGGUGGUUGAUAGAUUCAACUGUAUCACAUCUUGGGCACGUUUGAGCAGGACCUAUGUUUCUUAGCGCUAGGAGAUCUCCAACCGGAAGUGCCCCCUGGAAGAUUUUCCAGAGAAAGAGCUUGAUCUUAGGAGAAGUUUGAAGUUUCCAAAUGUUUUUUAUCCAGUCCACAUCCACUGUCGUAAUCGGUUGGCGAUUCUCUUCGCUUCUCUCAAGUGCCUUUAUGUAGCCCGUCUUUGUUGAGUAGAUACCAGAGCUGGUUCCGAGCCAUAUAAGUUUAUCCGGUGCUCCAAGUUUGCUCGGCUUUAGGCUGAGUAUCCUCUCUUCCUCCUGAGGUAGCACUCGCUGAAUGAUGGCUCUGUCCCACUCUGUUCCAUUUGGCAGCAUAAGGUGUUUGACGGUCCAUUCGGCGUAUUGCUCAGGUGCUGGGCCCAUGGGGCGAGCUUGUGAGGAGAGGCUGAGCCAGGGGUCAUUCCAAAUGCAGAUGCUUUCACCGUUGCCAAUUGCCCAGCCCGCGUUGCUCAUCAUGAGGUCCCUGCCAAUUAAAAUUCCUCUCCAUCCAUGCGAUUCCGCGGCUCUGUGCUCAACUUGUAAGAAAGAAGUGUCCCUGCAGUAUUUCCCGGUUAGGACCCUGGACAGAAGCCCCGAGGGGUUGUGAUGGAGUCGCCAACUCAACUUCGCUAGAUAAGCGUCAUUGAAGCUCUCAAAAUCUCGGAAACCCAAGCCUCCCUGUUGUUUCGGUCUUGUCAUCUUAUCCCAAGAGACCCAAGCCAUUUUCCUGUUACCACUUCUUCCAUCCCACCAGAAGCGGGUCACUGCUGAUUGAAUGCGUUUACAGAGCGAUCGGGGCAGUUUAAAGCAAGUCAUUGCAUGGGAUGGAAUGGGGGAGAGAACACUCUUCAACAUCACCAUCUUCCCAGCUGUGGAUAAAUAUUUGUUCGACCAGCUGCUAGCCUUUGUCUUUAUCCUUUCCACAAUCGACGUAAAGAGGUCUCGUUUUUUCCGGCCAAAGUGUUCCGGUAGCCCCAAAUACUUGCCUAUACCACCUUCUUUCGGGAUUUGUAAGCAGUCUUUCACCAUAUUUUUAAGCGUGAUAGGGGCUUUCCUGGAGAAAGUAACAGAGGACUUGUUGGUGUUGAUUGAUUGGCCCGAGGCCAUCUCGUACUGGCGCAGAAUCUCUUUUAGCGCCAGGGCAUUGUCUUUGUUUGCCUUGGCAAAGAACAUGGUGUCGUCCGCAAAGAGGAGAUGGUUCACUUGGGGACAAUCCCGAGCAACCCGGAUGCCGGUCAAGAGACCUGUUUCCUGAGCUCUGUUACACAGUCCCGAGAGCACUUCGCUACAAAGAAUGAAAAUGUAGGGUGAGAGAGGGUCUCCUUGACGGAUGCCUCGGCUCGGUUUAACCUUUCCUCUAGGCGAGCCGUUGAUGAGGAAGGCAUAGGUAACAGAAGAAACACAUUCCAUUAUCCAAGAAAUCCAUUGAGGGUGGAAACCCAACCUCUCAAGGACCAGCUGAAUAAAAUCCCACUCGAGCCUAUCGUAGGCUUUGCUCAUGUCUGUCUUCACCGCCAUAGAGCAUCUUUUCUUGGCUUGUGAAUGUUGGAGGAAGUAGAGUACUUCAUGUGUGAUAAGUACAUUGUCGGAGAUCGCUCUACCAGGAACAAAGGCGGAUUGGUUUUCAGAAAUGACCAUCGAGAGCAGCGGUUGCAUUCUUUUAGUGAGGAUCUUUGAGAUGAUCUUGUAAUAGACAUUACAAAGGGCGAUCGGCCUAUAGUCUGCGACUACCUUGGGGCUUAAGACCUUCGGGAUGAGGCGAACGAACGUCUCGUUAAUGUUCGGGGGCAGCUUGCUCGUUGUGGCCCAAUAUAUCCACAGUCUUCUUUUUGAUGCUCUGUAUACUUUCAGAAAUAGAUGACAAGAUAUAGGAGGGAAAGGUCACUGUUUAAAAUCAGACACAAACUAGGAAGAUUCCAUUAGAGCAUCGUGGAUAUAAGAAGACCCGUAAGGUUAAGUCGAGUACUAUUUGCUUUACCAUUACUACAAAUUGAAGUUGGACUGGUUUGGUUGGUAUACAUUUAUUGGGCAAUAAAUUGAAAACUAGAGAAGAAUGAUAAUAUUUGCUACGUCAACUCUGUAGUCGAUGCAUAUUUCAAAUACAAACAAGAAGACCAAGAAAAGUCGUGGAAACAUCGUUCACACAUUGAACACACAACAUGUCUUUACAUCACAAGACAAAGAUAUGUUGUGUAUAAAUUUUCUCAUAACUCAACAAGACAAUGUCAUAGAGAGUAAUAAAGAGAGAGAAAAAAAGAUGAGAAGUCAUGUACCAAACUACCACCAUCCUUACACCUUCUUCUUCGUCUUCAUUUUGUUUCCAGCUUCGGGUGUCUAUGCCAACACACUGUCGCCUACAGAAUCUCUCACUAUCUCAAACAACAAAACCAUUGUAUCUCGUAACGAGACCUUCGAGCUCGGUUUCUUCACUCCAGGAUCAAGUUCUCGUUGGUAUCUCGGGAUAUGGUACAAGAAAAUCCCCACCAGAACCUACGUGUGGGUUGCCAACAGAGACAACCCUCUAUCUCGUCCCAGCGGAUCUCUCAAAAUAUCUUCAGACAACAACCUCGUCAUUUACGAUCACUCCGACACACCUGUCUGGUCAACGAAUCUAACCGUUGGAGCUUCGAGAUCUCCAGUGGUGGCAGAGCUUCUCGACAACGGUAAUUUCGUGCUGAACAGUAACGAUCCAGAAGGGUACUUGUGGCAGAGUUUCGAUUUUCCGACAGAUACUUUACUUCCGGAUAUGAAACUCGGCUGGGAUAAGAAAACCGGUUUGGACAGAGUCUUGAGAUCCUGGAAAAGUGUAGAAGAUCCAGCAAGCGGCGAUUACUCCACAAAGCUCGAAACCAGAGGGUUCCCUGAGUAUUAUGUAUUCAACAAAGAGACAAUUAUCUACCGGAGCGGUCCGUGGAUCGGAAACCGGUUUAGCUGCGUACCGGAGAUGAAACCAAUUGAGUACAUGGUUUACACUUUCAUAGCAAGUAACGAAGAAGUGAGUUACGCAUACCACAUGACCAAACCCGACGUUUACUCCACGUUAAGCCUAAGCUACACCGGAACCAUACAGCGACGAAACUGGAUUGAGCAAGCACAGGAUUGGAAACAGUUAUGGUACCAGCCAAAGGACAUAUGCGACAACUACAGACAGUGUGGUAAUUACGGUUAUUGCGAUUCCAACAAUUUGCCUAACUGUAACUGCAUCAAAGGGUUUGGGCUAGAAAAUGGGCAAGAGUGGGCUUUGAGAGAUGAUUCAGCCGGUUGCGUGAGGAAGACGAGGCUGAGUUGUGAUGGUAGAGAUGGGUUUGUGGCUGUGAAGAGGAUGAAAUUGCCAGAUACUGCGGCUACAGUUCUGGACAGAGGAAUUGGGUUGAAGGAGUGUAAAGCCAAGUGCCUACAAGAUUGUAACUGUACGGCCUACGCUAAUACUGAUAUUCGUGACGGCGGGUCAGGUUGUGUGAUUUGGAACGGAGGUCUUUUCGAUAUCCGGAUGUAUCCAAAUGGUGGUCAGGAUAUCUACGUUAAACUAGCCGCUGCUGAUCUUGGUUAGUUCUUGACUUCUUUCUCCUAUGCGUUUUAAGGGUUUUGUUUUAGUUAAACUAUUAAUAUAGAUGAGUUUCUAAUCUAAAAUCAAUUGAUGAUAAAUGAAUUGAUCUAUUUUUUAUAUUAUUUAAAAUCUCUUUCAUUUUCAAUGUGGAAUAUUUAGUCUCUAAUAGAAAUGACUUAAGUUAAAGUCAAAGCAUGUGAUAUGACUGCUUUCUACUAAGUUGAAGUAAUUUCAUUGAAUAUUUUGUGCUAUUGAUCUCAAGAGUUUCAGCUGAGAGCACGUAAUUGUAGCUAGGGCUGUGAUACUAGGAAAUUUUAGAAUAUAAGAUAUGUGGUAAAUAUCCAUUCAAAAUAUUAAGAUAUCAGUUGAUGUUUAGAUCAUUAUAAAUCCAAAAAAAAAAAUUCUUCAAAAAUUAAUGUAAUAAAAUAAUGUUAAAACUAAGCUCUAUCUAAUAUUUCUUUCAAAACUGCAUCACUAAGCGAAUCUACUGACUACUAUAUUAGUCACAAACAAUAUUUCAGCAUUAGUAUGGUUUAAGCUAUAGAUUCAACACCAAAAUUAUAUUAUAUUUAGGUUUAGUAUAAUGUUUUAUCAUAAGUAAAAUGAAGUUUCUUUGUGGAGGGAUUUUUUUCUCUGACAAUUACGUAUAUGAAACUAUAUGCCUCGUUUACAUUGCAGAUCAUUUUAAGAUAACAAGCCAUGGAACAAUCAUAGGUUCGGGUAUUGGAGUGAUCAUUUUGCUUCUAUUAAGUAUCAUCAUCCUCGGCUAUUGGAAAAGAAAACAGAAGAGAUUUAUAACAAUUCAAACACCUAUUGGUAACUUAAUGACUUUCAUUCUCCUUUGUAUUGCUGUAAAUUUGGAAAGUUAAAUGUCUUUUGUUUCUGAAUGAAACAGUUGAUCAAGUGAGAAGCCAAGAUUUGCUAAUAAACCAAGUGGUACUAACGAGCGAGAGAUACAUAUCCAGAGAAAACAAAACAGAUGAUCUAGAGCUUCCAUUGAUGGAGUUUGAAGCUCUUGACAUGGCAACAAACAGAUUUUCUGUCGCUAACAUGCUUGGACAAGGUGGUUUCGGUAUUGUUUACAAGGUAAAAAACGAUUCAAAAUGUACUCAAAAUUUAUCACUGUACAAGGUUUCAUUUUAUUAAAUAUCAAAAAUGUCUGUAAUAGGGAAUGUUACCUGAUGGGAAAGAAAUCGCAGUAAAGAGACUAUCUAAAAUGUCUUUACAAGGGACCGAUGAGUUCAAGAAUGAGGUCAGACUAAUUGCAAGGCUUCAGCACAUAAACCUGGUCAGGCUUCUUGGUUGUUGCGUCGAUAAGGGCGAGAAGAUGUUGAUAUAUGAGUACUUGGAGAAUCUAAGCCUUGAUUCUCAUCUCUUUGGUUGGUGACUCAAAACAACUUAUGUUCUAACAAUUUAACAGUUAACAUGUUUCCAAUUUUGAUCGAUUUGCAGACAAAAUCCGACGCUCUAACUUAAGUUGGCCAAAGAGAUUUGAUAUUACCAAUGGUAUUGCUAGAGGACUUCUUUACCUUCACCAAGAUUCACGGUUUAGGAUUAUCCAUAGAGACUUGAAAGCAAGUAACGUCUUGCUUGAUAAAAAUAUGACUCCUAAGAUAUCAGAUUUCGGGAUGGCAAGGAUCUUUGGACGGGAAGAGACAGAAGCUAACACAAGGAAGGUGGUUGGAACUUAGUAAGCUAUUUGUUCUCCAAAAAAAAACAAAAGAGUUUUUUUGUCUUAAAUCCAGACUAAGUAGAAAACAUCAAAACUUAUGAAUUUAUUCUACCUUAUGCAGCGGCUACAUGGCUCCAGAGUAUGCAAUGGACGGGAUAUUCUCGAUGAAGUCGGAUGUUUUCAGCUUCGGGGUCUUGCUUCUUGAGAUUAUAACUGGCAAGAGGAGUAAAGGGUUCUACAACUCUAACCGUGACAAUAACCUCCUUGGUUUUGUAAGCUAAGAACAACUUAUAUUCGAUAUUAUUUUAGUGUCAUUAUCGAUCAUAUCACUAAAGAUUCUAUAUUUUUUUUUUGUUGACAGGUGUGGAGAUAUUGGAAAGAAGGAAAAGGGAUAGAGAUCGUAGACCCAAUCAUCAUGGAUUCUUCAUUAUCAGCACUCUGUACACAUGAAAUCUUAAGAUGUAUACAAAUUGGUCUCUUGUGUGUUCAAGAACGUGCUGAAGACAGACCAGUGAUGUCGACUGUUAUGGUGAUGCUUGGGAGCGAAACUACGGCUAUUCCUCAGCCUAAACCGCCCGGUUUUUGCGUUGGGAGAAGUCUCUUUGAGACUGAAUCGUCGUCAAGUACACAGCGCGAUGAUGAAUUGUCAGUGAACCAAAUCACCCUUUCAGUCAUUGACGCCCGGUAAUUUGAACGUUACCGAGACAAUCUGUUUAUAUGCAUAUCUAUUGCUAUGUUGCUAUGUAUAAUACUUAAUAGCGCAAUUUGUACUAUUUGAUCUUCGAUAACUUGCUCUAUCUAAUUUAGUUUCGGAACAGAGUUAUUACUGACUCGAAGAAUUUGGAUUAGAGAGAGAACUAUGAAACAACUGAUUAGAUUUUUAUAUUCGAAUCUCUUAUAUAAUAAAUGAGGCAUUAGCUAGAUAAAUCAUUUAAUACUAGUAGAUGAAUAUAUAAAAAUAAGAAAUUAUUUGAAAUACCUCUAAUGAACAAAUAAUUUAAAGUCAGUAUCUCUAUAAGAGAAAAUGUUAGAAAUAGUCUCAUUCUCCCUUAUAUAUUAAUUGAGAGAAAAAUUACAACUUAUUUUUGUAGCCACGUGUCAUCAUUAGAAUGAUUCACAGAAUCUUUAAAAAAAUAUGUUGGUCCAUCUAAUUAUAUAAUAAACUUUUUAUUAAACUAACCAUAAAUUCAUUAUUUUUUUAUUAUUAUUUCCCUAAAUAAAGUUAUGGAAUUGCCUAAUGUGGCUAAAGUAUGUGGCAUUAAUGAUUUUGAAUAAUAAAAAUUUGAUAAAAAUAGUGUAUCUUAUAUCAUAUUUUUUUAAUUUAAAACUAGUAAAAUAAAUUAAACAACUACAUGAAUCAUAUAAUAAAAAUUUAGAUUUUUUUGUAUGUAUUAUAUUUUGAAUUAAAAAAACGACUAUAAAUUACUAAAAUUGUUAAAAAGCUCAUAUUUAAAUUUUGUGAUCCAUGGUUUAAAAAUUUUAUUUUGAGCAAGAUAAAAAUAAUUACACAAUCAUAUAAGUCAAAAAUCUAAUUAAUUAAUUAUUAAGAUUAAAAGAGACAUAUGAGUAGAAAGAAUCAUUUAAUAGACAUUAUAUUAAAAUAUACAUUAAUAUCAUUUAAAUUUAAUUAUAUAUCCUAUCAAAUAAAAAAAUUAUUAUUUGGAUUAAUAAAAUUUAAUUAUAAUCAUACCAAUUUAAUUAUAUAUGUUAUAGUUAUUGAUUUUUUAAUUAUUCAAUAUAUAUUUAUUCUUUUAUGUAAAGACGUAUAAUGCAUUAAAUAUUUUUUAUAUAUAAUGUUAAUCAUGCGCGAGUCCUGAGUCUUAACCUAUAUAAAGAGGCAAACAAACGAAAGAGUGGUAGACCACGAAUAAGGAUAAAGCAUGGUAGAUUAACGGAAAAUCUUCAAGAGCACAUAUAUAUAAAGCGCAAAUCAGAAGUAGCGUAAAGUAUAUCUCCCACACACUAGGGGAUAAACAAGAGAAUUUAAGACAACACUUAAGGUUAAAUCAAUUACCAUCUGUUUAGUGACACAAUGGAUAAACUUCUUAAUCAAAACGUGUAAUAACUUGGGAGUUUGUUUUACUGUUACACCAAAUUAAAGUUGGGUUUGUUUGGUUGAUACACAAUAACGAACUGAAAACUAAAGAAGAGUGGUUUUAUUUGCUAGGUAAAGUCCAUAGUCAAUAGUAUUUCAAAUACAAACAAGAAGACCAAGAAAGUAACGUAGAGAGUAGUCGUGUACGUUCAACAAAAAGACCUUCAAAAAAGAAAAAGAAAAAGAAAGUAGUCGUGUAAAUACCGUUCACACAUCGACCACACGACAUGUUUAACAUCUUGAAAGAUAUGUGUGUAUAAAUUUUCUCAUAACUCAAGACAAAGGCGUAGAGGAUAAUAGAGAGAGAUGAGAAAUGUACCAAACUACCAUUCUCCUUACACCUUCUUCUUAAUCUUUGUCUUCAUUUUGUUUCCAGCCUUCGAUGUCUCUGCCAGCACUAUGUCAGCUACAGAAUCUCUCACUAUCUCAAGCAGCAAAACCAUCAUAUCUCGCAGUGAAAUCUUCGAGCUCGGUUUCUUCACUCCCGCGUCAAGUUCUCGUUGGUAUCUCGGGAUUUGGUACAAGAAAAUUCCUACCAGAACCUACGUAUGGGUUGCAAACAGAGACACCCCUCUCUCUCACUCCAAAGGAUCUCUCAAAAUAUCCGACAAUAACCUCGUCAUUUUGGAUCAUUCCAAUAAACCUGUUUGGUCAACGAACCUAACCGGAGGAACUGUGAGAUCUCCUGUGGUGGCAGAGCUUCUCGAUAACGGUAACUUCGUGCUCAGACACUCCAACAAUUACGAGUACUUGUGGCAGAGUUUCGAUUUUCCGACAGACACUUUACUUCCGGAGAUGAAAUUGGGUUGGGAUCUUAAAACCGGAAUGAACAGAUUCUUGAGAUCCAGGAAAACCCCAGAUGAUCCAUCAAGCGGGGAUUACUCGACUAAAUUCAAGACCAUAGGGUUCCCGGAAGUUUACGUAUGCAACAAAGAGUCUAUAGUGUACCGGAGCGGCCAUGGGAUGGAAUCCGGUUUAACGGCAUACCGGAGGUAAGACCAGUUGAUUACCUAGUUCUAAAUUUCUCAGCGACUGAUAAAGAAAUAACUUACUCAUACCAUAUCACAAAAAGCAACAUUUACUCGAUCUUAACCCUAACCCCGACCGGGUUAUUACAACGAUCAACUUGGGUCGAGAGGUUACAGAGUUGGAGACCAUUAUGGUACUCACCAAGGGAUAUAUGCAAUAACUACAAACAGUGUGGGAGUUACGGUUAUUGUGAUUCCAACGCUUCACCAGUUUGUAACUGUAUCCACGGGUUUAAGCCAAGAAAUAAGUGGGAUCUUAGAGAUGAUUUUGAUGGUUGCGUCAGGAAGACGAGGCUGAGCUGUGACGGUACGGAUGGGUUUGUGAGGUUGAAGAACAUGAAGUUGCCUGAUACUACAAAGACAAUAGUGGACAGAGGAAUUGGGACAGAGGAGUGCGAGGCACGUUGUCUAAAAAAUUGCAAUUGUACGGCUUUCGCUAAUGCGGACAUUCGUAAUGGUGGAUGGGGAUGUGUGAUUUGGACCGGAGAUAUGUUGGAUAUGCGAUAUUUUGCUGAGGGAGGUCAGGAUCUCUACGUUAGACAAGCCGCUGCUGAUCUCGGUUAGUUCUUUGUCAUUUGCAUUUUAAGGGGUUAUGCGCAUAAAUAGUAAUCAUUUAAAAAAAAAUAAAAAAAAAUAGAGAAAUAAUUUUAAAUAGUUUCAAUUUUUUUCCUAAACUACCUUUUAAAGAUCAAAAUGACCAAAUUAGGUUUAAAAUAAAUAAAUAUUAAAAACAUCAAUAAUUUUUUUGAUUUUUCGAUUUAUUAUCAAUUUUUUUUUUCAAUUUGAAAAACGAUUUUGAAAAAAUCUUAGAAAGACUUUCUGAAUUUUAUAUCAAUUUUUUUUUUCAAUUUGAAAAACGAUUUUGAAAAAAUUUUAGAAAAACGAUUUUGAAAAAAUCUUAGAAAGACUUUCUUGACCUUGAUAUCUAAAUUUUCUUAAAAAAUUGAUAUCUAAACUAUAUAACAAUAUUAUACAUAUCUAAAAAAUAUCUUGGUAAAAAUAUAUUUUCUAAAAAUAAAAACAUAUGUAUAGUUAAACGUAAAAUUUGUAAUAUUUUUUUUGUUGUUGUUGUUUUAGUUAAGAUACAUCAAACUGAAUAAAAUUUAUUAUUAUUAUUUAACUAGUACACUCAUCUUCAACUGAUCAACCAAAGUAUUUUACAACAAAUGAACUCUAUCUUUAAAAAAAAUGAUUAGUCAUUUCUUCACGACGAUUAAUAGCACUAGUUACAAUUUCAAAUAUUUAAUUAUCUAUAAAAUUCUAAGGAAUUUGCACUAGAUAACAAAAAAAUGGAUAUAAAUUAGCUAACAGGUAAUGGUACUGUAUAAAUUGUGGUAAUACCAAGCGUGCCCCUAAUAUACGACCUGUUACACUUUACACGUGAGCUGAAGACACUGUUUAUUACCACAAGUGCAAAGAAACUGAGGAGAGAAAGAGAGAGAGAGAGUGUGAUAAUAAUGCAAAGAAUCAAGAAUGCUCAACUACUAUUUUUCUUUUCUGCAAAAACCCAAAGCGCUUAGAUACAUUUUAUAUGUUAAAAGAUCGUCUCGUUUUAAAAAGUUAAACUCAUUCUCUAGUUGUGUCUAAAAUUUAUAGAAUUUAUAACCGGUUAUAGGUCUGAUGUUUCGGUUUUAUAGAAUUUAUAAGAGAAUUUGCACUCUACACACAAGAAAGAUCGCAUAAUUAGCUCUAUACACAUUUUUGUUUUCAUAGGAAUUGUCGAUUAAUUUAUGACCAUUAUAUCCCUAUUGCUUUCUACUCUUCGAUUUUCAUGAUGCCCACAUAUUCUUGUAGAUUCUUUUUCUGAUAAUCCAAUUCUACAUGAAAUGUAUCUGGGUCAGACAAAUUGAUAUAUUAUAUUAUAUUCAUAAAAUUUCCCCAAACCAAGACACCUCUUCUUCUUCUUUAUAAGUUACUGUUCGUCCCUUAAAUGAUAUAUAUCAGACAUAACUCUAUUUACUCUGUCUUCUUUGUGUCAAUUGUCCAAUCCAAAUGGAUCCAAGCGGCAGUGUAACGCCGCCUCCAUUUUUUCCUUGUAGAUGUCAUAUGGUUUUAUUUUGGUGGUGUUUCUUCUCUUCCUCUUCUGAUUUGUUUACGUUGUGCGACAGAAUUAGGAAAGCUUUGGCUGUUCUAUAGUGGCUCGUUGGUUUUAGGUGGAGGCUCUGCUUGAGGACGGUGGAGCAGACAGCCGAAUCCGCAAGUCAAUCAUCGGGAUCCCUAAAGUUUGUCUCGAUUGUUGAGAGGUGCUCGUUUGACGGCGGAUCUAUCCAUAGAGAUGGCGGUUCUCCCGGUGACGACUGUUCGGACUUGUGAGAAGGUGGAGACCCUUCGCAAUCAACGGUGGAAGAGUUUCAGAGUCGGAUGUUCUUUAUGGCUCUGGUGUUAUGUGGCAGCGGGACCCCUUUGAGAUGGCUUAGCUUUGAAGGUACACCGGUGAAGGUUCUAUUAGCUGGCAUGGACACUCUGCUAUAGUGAUGUCCCGGAUACAAUGAUAUGCUGGCAGCGGUGUCUGUCGCAGGUGGCGGCUCCGCCUCCUUCGUCUUCUUCCCCACAUCUCCUCUAGCUCGCUUUAGAUUUGUGUGUUUAGGUGUGUUUCUUCUUUUUUCCAUGUAACCUAGCAAUUUCCGUUUCAUCGGAGCUCCGGUCUAUUUAUGUUCAGAUUUCCCCCUAGGGGCUUGAUAUAUAUUUAAGAGAGAGCAGAGUUUUUUUGUUUUUUUGAACUGAUUCUCUGUUACAAGUGGAAUUAACAAAUCAAAACGACCAGACCCCUUGCUAAACUCCCAUUUUUAACAGUCCCGAUAAAAGAUUAAACAUACUGCUAUCAUCCAAGUUUGACUACUAAAAUGUUUACCCUUAACAAUAACAAACUAUCAGAUUAACACACCGAGUAACCGACCAACGAAAAUGCAAUCCUGCAUCAGACACUUCAUUACACCAACGGUUACAAGUGAAUUUAGCAAACCAAAACGACGAGAGACAUUGCUAAACUCCCGUUUAACCGUCUCGAGAAAAGAUAAAAUAGAUAGUGCUAUUGUUCAAGGUCUGUUAGAUUGUUACUAAAUUGUUUAGCCUUCACAAAAACAAAUUGACUGGCUAACAUAACAAGUAACCGACCAAUGAAGAUGUAACCCUGCAAAUAGACACUUUAUUACUAAAAAGCAAAAAAUAACUUUCACACAGAGAUGCUAUCAGCUUUUCACUUCUCAUCAACACAUUUCAGCAUCUACCCUCUAUGAUGCUCCCUUCAAAGGAUGUCUCUUUUUCCCUCUCACAACCAUUGCUUGUCCCGACUCCUUUCGGUUUACAAGUCAAAGCUAGCUUCAUCAUUUGUAGCUGACUGUUAGCAUCAGAGUUUGGAUCUCGUGCUUUUGUAUUGUUCCUCUCAACUGAUUCCAAGGGGUCUAAAUCCAAUUCUUCACCGGCACUUCUCUUUUAUUAUUGAUAUAGCUAAUAUUAUGUUUAGCUGAAGUCUUGAAGGUUUUCUCCAGAUAAUAAUAUUUUUAAGAAACAUUCUCCAUACUUUCCUAGAGCACUUCUCUCUUAUUCAAUUACACAGCUAAUUUUUAUUUGUUGUAAUCUACAAAAGACUUGGUUACUCAAUAACUACAGCAUUAUACGAAGAAGGGAUUUUAUUUAAAUAUAACGUAUCAAUACGUAUUGUACUCCUUACAUCUCAAACUGGAUUGCGCUAUAAACAGAGAAUACAAACAAAUGCUAAAACAAUCUUUUAUAUAUUUUACAUGCUAAUGAAAAGCUUAACAGGCUACAAUAUUUUAUUGUCGUCUAUUAAUAUAACUAGUGUAUCCAAUAAUAUUUUUAUCCGUCCACUCCUAAAAUUAGAACGUUAACUUCCCAAAAAUUCUCCUAGCAAUUUUUGUAUAGAAGCUAAUUAAUAUAUUGUCCAAGAACAACAUAUUCUAGCUGGAUAAAUCUUUAAAUGUGUGAAAACUCUCGUUCUCAUCCUCUAUCACCCCGAAUCCAAAACCAGUCUCGUUCUUCUUCUAUUCCCCACGCCACAAACAUAUCACUCGUCCCAUAAUCUGGAAAAGUUUUGCAAACAAAACAACAUCUCUUGGGCAUACCAUUGUGAUGUCGUCCAUAUACUUCACCUUAACUACACAUUUUAUUUCGACUCCAAAUACACUUCUUCUCUGUUUUUAUUUCAACAGAAAGGGGUAUUAAAAUGUUAAAAGAAGAGAAUUAUAACCGCAGCUACACGGAACGGAGUUGUCCAAGCUCGUUUCUUCACCCGACGCCGUCAUGACCAAGCCUACUCCAGAGCGCCCCGCGGCCACAGAUGCUGGCUUCUGAAGAAUAUCCGACUCCAAACCCUCGCGCCGCCACUGCUCAAGACACCACUGUCUCAAAGUCUGAACCACACGAACUACCCCUCACUCAUGUCUGAGGGAACCGCCAUCCCUUUUAACACAUCCACGACACCGAGAUCCACUUUCAUCGGUGACAAACCUCUGCUCCGGUGACUAACAUGCGGUCUCUGGUUCCUCCCCGCCGUCCUCGAAACAGAAAUUGCAUGCCCUUUUACCGACGAGCCACCAAAGCUUGAACCUUUUAUAGGAUCUUCCCUUUUAUGCAGCCGCUCCUGUCAAAUACCCCAAGCCUCUGAUUCGCCAAUACUUUUCAACUUAUCCCGUUCACGUACCUAGGGGUGAGAAAUACUUAGGUAAUCAUUACUACUACAACCAAUAAAAACCUUUAUAGCUUCCACCCUAAAAUUGGCCUACCGUAAAAUAUCUUUCUAUGCAACCUAAGGACAGUAUCGUCAAUUCACGUUUACUACUUGCAUUUUCGGCCCCAUACAUUUUGGCUCUUGGGUAUUUACCUAAUUUCUACAUUCUUUUAGGAUUUUGGGCUAAUUGACUCAAUUUAUAACCGGUUACUGAUUCCAAUAUGAACUUCAUGCAACAUAUGUGUCUAAUAUAGGAUCGCAAUAAAUUAUUGCUCCUAAAUCCGGUUUCAAUAUGUAUGUACGCCAACUAUGUCAAAUUAUAACCGGUUGCCCCUAAUAUACGACCUGUUACACGUUACACGUGAGCUGAACACACUGUUAAUUACCACAAAUGCAAAGAACUGAGGAGAGAAAGAGAGAGAGAGACUGUGAUAAUAAUGCAAAGAAUCAAGAAUGUUCAACUACUAUUUUUCUUUCCUGCAAAAAUCCAAAGCGCUUAGAUACAUUUUAUAUGUUAAAAGAUCGUCUCGUUCUAAAAAGUUAAACUCAUUCUCUAGUUGUGUCUAAAAUUUAUAGAAUUUAUAACCAGUUAUAGGUCUGAUGUUUCGGUUUUAUAGAAUUUAUAACCGGUUACUGAUUCCAAUAUGAACUUCAUGCAACAUAUGUGUCUAAUAUAGGAUCGCAAUAAAUUAUUGCUCCUAAAUCCGGUUUCAAUAUUUAUGUACGCCAACUAUGUCAAAUUAUAACUGAUUGCUCCUAAUAUACGACCUGUUACACGUUACACGUGAGCUGAACACACUGUUAAUUACCACAAAUGCAAAGAACUGAGGAGAGAAAGAGAGAGAGAGAGUGUGAUAAUAAUGCAAAGAAUCAAGAAUGUUCAACUAAUAUUUUUCUUUCCUGCAAAAACCCAAAGCACUUAAUUACAUUUUAUAUGUUAAAAGAUCGUCUCGUUCUAAAAAGUUAAACUCAUUCUCUAGUUGUGUCUAAAAUUUAUAGAAUUUAUAACCGGUUAUAGAUCUGAUGUUUUGGUUUUAUAGAAUUUAUAACCGGUUACUGAUUCCAAUAUGAACUUCAUGCAACAUAUGUGUCUAAUAUAGGAUCACAAUAAAUUAUUGCUCCUAAAUCCGGUUUCAAUAUGUAUGUACGUCAACUAUGUCAAAUUAUAACCGGUUUUCUACAUAUAUUGCUCUUCCUCUCCACUUGCAAUCAAAAUACAUUUUGUUCUUCAACCUCGGUAACAGGUUAACAUUUUCGUCUCAGUUCGAGGAGAAUAUUGGCAACACAGCACAAUUGUUACAUGGUUGUGCAAAUAUUUAAAAAUAAUGCAUAGAUCUGCAAUUACCACAAGAAAUUUGUAUAUUCAGUUAAAUAGGCCAAAAUUCUAUAUGAUAAAUAUUGUCUUGGAUUUGUAUUUGUAUUUGUUAAGAUACACUUACAACAAUUUUUGAUAAUAUAUAUACACAAAAUUGUUACAUUGAAAGGUGAUGUUUGUGUGUUAUUAGAAUAUUUUAAUAAUUUGACAAAAUUAUAAGUAUACAUAAAUGCAGGUCCAUGUAACAAUUGACUUAAUGCCAUGAUACAUUUUUCAAAAGUUAUGUUUUCACAUUAACAAAUGGAGAGAUAAUACAUUAGCAAAUUCGAAAGAAAAAAAACUUUAUUAAAUAAUCUGUAAGAAAUGUCUUAUCAAAAGUUUUGGGGGAUGGAUUUUCCUUUUCUGACAAGUAAUAGAAGAAAAAUACAUUUUUUAAACUAAAAGAAAAAAAAAUACAUGCUUCGUUUCUAUUGCAGAUGACAAGAUAACCAACAAUGGAAAAAUCAUAGGUUCGAGUGUUGGAAUGAGCAUUUUGUUUCUGUUAAGUAUCAUUAUUUUCCGGUUUUGGAAAACAAAACAGAAGAGAGCCACAGCAGUUCAAACACCUAUUGGUAAAUAAAUAGCUUUCAUUUUCAUUAUUUCGUCUGUAAGUUUUGAUAGUCAAAAUGUUCUUUUGUUUCUGAAUGAAACAGUCGAUCAAGUGAGAAGCAAGGAUUCGCUAACGGACGAAGUGAUAGUAACAAGAAAGAGUUACAUAUCCAGAGAAAGCAAAACAGAGGAUCUAGAACUUCCAUUGAUGGAGUUUGAAGCAGUUGCUAUUGCAACAAACAACUUUUCUGACGGCAACAAGCUUGGAAAAGGUGGUUUCGGUAUUGUUUACAAGGUAAUGGUCAUGCACAACGUAUUCAAGAUCUAUCAUUAGUUCACUGUACAAGGUUUCAUUUUACCAUAAAUGUGUCGUAAUAGGGAAUGUUACCUGACGGGAAAGAAAUCGCGGUAAAGAGACUAUCGAAAAAGUCAUUACAAGGGACCGGUGAGUUCAAGAACGAGGUUAGACUAAUUGCCAGGCUUCAGCACAUAAACCUGGUUCGGCUUCUCGGUUGUUGUGUCGAUAAGGGAGAGAAGAUGUUGAUAUAUGAGUACUUGGAGAAUCUAAGCCUUGAUUCUCAUCUCUUUGGUUAGUGACUCAAAACAGCUCAUUUUUUCUAAUAAUUGAACAUAUUUGGGGACAAGUUAACAUGUUUUGGCUUGUGAUCGAUUUGCAGACAAAAUUCGGCGCUCUAACUUAAGUUGGCAAAAGAGAUUUGACAUCGCCAAUGGUAUUGCUAGAGGACUUCUUUAUCUUCACCAAGAUUCACGGUUUAGGGUUAUCCACAGAGACUUGAAAGCAAGUAACAUCUUGCUUGAUAAAAAUAUGACUCCUAAGAUCUCCGACUUUGGGAUGGCGAGGAUCUUUGGACGGGAAGAGACGGAAGCUAACACAAGGAAGGUGGUCGGCACUUAGUAAGCAAUUAUUUUCCAAAACCACAAAAGAGUUUUUGUCUUAAAUUCAAAUUUAAAAGAAAACCUAACGUAUGGGUGUUUAUUCUUUGUUAUGCAGCGGUUACAUGUCUCCAGAAUAUGCAAUGGAUGGGAUAUUCUCGAUGAAGUCAGAUGUUUUCAGCUUCGGGAUCUUGCUUCUUGAGAUUAUAAGUGGCAAGAAGACUAACGGAUUCUACAACUCAAAUCGUGACCUUAAUCUCCUCGGUUUUGUAUGCUAAGAACCUCCUGAUUUCGAUAUUUUUUGCAGUUAUAGUCUGACGAUAACACUAAGAAAUUCCAUCUCUUAUGCGAAGGUGUGGAGAUACUGGAAGGAAGGAAAAGGGAUAGAGAUAGUAGACCCAAUCAUCAUAGAUGAUUCAUCAUCAGCAGUACUCCGGACACAUGAAAUUUUAAGAUGUAUACAAAUUGGUCUCUUGUGUGUUCAAGAACGUGCUGAAGACAGACCAGUGAUGUCGACUGUUAUGGUGAUGCUUGGGAGCGAAACUACGGCUAUUCCUCAGCCUAAACGGCCCGGUUUCUGCGUUGGGAGAAGUCUUCUUGAGACUGAAUCGUCGUCAAGUACACAGCGCGGUGAUGAAGUGUCAGUGAACCAAAUCACCCUCUCAGUCAUUGAUGCCCGGUAAUUUGAACGUUACCGACACAAUCUAUUUAUCCAUUGUCAAAAGAAGGAGUUUUUAGGCUAUUCACACAUUAAAAAUACAAUAAAUGUUUAUAAUCAAAUUUAUUAUUUAUUUUAUUAUACAAUUUUUAAUGACUAUCAACCAAUGAUAUUUAGUCAAAUCAAAUAUUCUCAUUAAUAUUUCUUAAAAAUAUACAAAAAUACUUUAUAAGUAUAAGAAAUUUAUUUUAUGGAACAAAAAAAAUAUAAAAAAUUGUAUAUUUUGGAACUGAGAAAGUACUUAAUAGCUCAACUUUUGCUAUUCGAUCUUUGAUGACUGACUCUAUCUAAUUUAGUUUUGGAAUAAAGUAAUGCCUCAUUCAUUCUCAGCUUACUUUAUUUGCAAGCUCAUGAGCUCAAACACUUUUAAACAAGAUUACAACGACCAAGAGAGACAUCUAAAACGCAGAAGACAUAUCUAGCCAUCCAAGAAUGCCAGAGACAUCAUAUUACCAUGCACCAACAAGCAUGAAGAUCUUCAUUUUCAACUUAACUGUAACGCCCAAGCGCCCAAUGGGCCACCCAUGUCCGCUCACUCUACCCAUCUGACGGGCAGUGCAUUGAUUUUCCAAGGUCCAAAAAACUUGUUUACUGAUCUUGUAAUCAUCACAUGACCGUUCUCCGUUCUUUGCCCUCACUCACACUGUAUCGCGAAUCACUUCCAAAUAUGUCACCAAUUCUUCAAGUAUUCCAGCUCAAGCAUGCUUAACUCUGGAGUUCUAAACGGAUGUGUUACGGAAAAAUUACGUCAACUUUGUUGAAAUAAAUAGCCAAAUCAAUCAUCUUAAUUCUUUCCAUAUAUCACAACUCGAGAUGUUACAUUAACAUUUUUGGAUGCAUUCAAACUUGGAGAAUUUUUUAUAACCGCCUAUCAUGGAUCAAUAUGGUUCGUCCAGGUUCAAUGUGAUUUAAUAGAUAUGAGAUUUAACCUAUCUAUUAAGUUCAGUUAAAGAAUAAAAGUACAAUAAAAUCUAAAUGUUUCGGUAAAUUACAAUUAUUUGUACUAAACAUUACAUAUGUUUAUUCAAAAAUGAUUUUAUAAUCGAAACAAUAAAUACCAGAUUUCUAAUCAUCUCACUCUUAAGGAUUUUCCAUGAGAGAUGAUAUUUAGUGCUUAAUGCCAAUAGUAUUGUCAUCAUUAAUAACCAAACUUUUAGCGAUGUUUCUUAGCUUAUGUUUAAGAAUCUUUCCGUUGCCGUUCUUAGGUAGUUCUCCCAUGAACACAACCCUCUUCGGACACAUAAAAUGAGGCAGAUUCUCACGGCAAUACUUAAUCAAAUCACCUUCUCUUGUCAUGAACUGAUCAUCACAGUCUCCUUGACCAGUCUUACGCUUUUCUAGAACAACGAACGCACAAGGGGUUUCACCCCACAUAGGGUGAGGCAUGGCGACAACAGCGGCCUCGAGCACUUUCUUAUAUUUGUAAAGAACAUUCUCAACUUCAAUACUGUUGAUGUUUUCACCUCCCGAUAUGAUAAUAUCUUUGGACCGAUCUUUGAUCUGUAUGUGACCAUCGGGAUGGAUCACACCUAUGUCUCCCGUGUGGAGCCAUCCGUGUUUAAACGCUUCAGAUGUAGCUUUCGGAUUCCUUAGAUACCCUUUCAUUAUGCUGCUUCCUUUCAUGACAAUUUCUCCCAUUGUCGUCCCAUCGCGUGGGACACUCUCCUGGGUUUUUUUGUUCUUUACGUCAACGUCAGCUAGGGCUAAGAUGCCUACCCCUUGUCUUGCUUUCAUCUCCAUCUGUUGCUUCUCUGGAAGUCUGUUUUAAUUGAGUAAUAUAAAUGUUAAACCAAUCUUAAUAACAUUUAUCAUGGUUGUAAGUUCAAAAUAACUUCAUCAUUUCAGUUUUUUUUUUCAAUUUCAAUCCUUUUGAAAAGUGAAAUUUUGCUUCUUUUUUUUUUUUAGUAAUUGUGAACAACAGGAAAAUCUGAUGCUGUAAAUAGAGUUAUAAAUUUGUAUUAUUACCUGUUCCACUCGUCAUGCCACUCACAAAAGAGAACAGCACCAGUGGCCUCCGUGAGCCCAUAAACAUGCAGCACUUCAAACCCGAGCCGCUGAACUUUCUCUACAAGGGCAGUAGGAGGCGAUGAACCUCCGGUCAAAACCUGAACCGGCUUUGACCUUUGUGACAUGUCAAGUGAAUUUCCUUGAAGCAGAAUGUUUAAGACUGUAGGAACACAACACAUAUGCGUCACGCCGUGCGAUUCUAUGUUCUUAUAAAUCUCCGGGGCAGACACAUGCCUUAUACAGACGUUGGUGCCUCCACGUGCUGCCACUGACCAUGUGAGAUUCCAUCCAUUGCAAUGAAACAUAGGCAGAGUCCAAAGGUAGACCGGGAACUUCCCCAUCUCCCAGCCCAUAAUCACGCUUAGAGAGCUCAAAUAAACUCCACGGUGGCUGACCACCACACCUUUUGGUUCGCUCGUGGUACCCGAUGUGUAGUUUAACGAGAUCGGAUCAUGCUCGUUUUGAAUACGGAACAUACGUGCAACCGAGGAGGACGAAGGUUCUCCCCUACGGAUGAGCUCUUCGUAGUCUAACUGAUCAUUGGACGAAAUCCUUUUAGGGCGAUCGGGCUCGUCAAUGAAAAUGACCAGCAGGUUCCGCUGCUCUUCAUCUGGUAGUAGAUGGAGCGUGGCUCUAGCUAAGGUCUCAAGGUUGCGGUCUACGAAUAAUAUCUUGGGCUGUGCGUGGCGGAAGAUUGCGGCGAUGGAUUUUGCGUCAAGGCGGGUGUUGAUAGGGUUUAGGACAGCUCCAGCCAUGGGAACAGCGAAGUGCAUCUCAUAUAUGGCCGGUAUGUUUGGGGCCAGAACGGAUACCUAAACACAUUUUUUAAUGUCAUGUCUCAUAUCCAAGUUAAAAUGAAUAUAAUUAUUUCUUAUAUUCAGAUUUGUUUUCUAACACCUACUGUACACUUUGAACAAAUUUAAACAAAAAGAUUUGUUGGAGAGAGAGAGGAAGUGACAUACGAUAUCAUUCUUGGCGAUGUUAAGAGAUAGGAGAGAAGCAGCUAGACGACAGCAACGGUCAUAGGUCUGAGGCCAAGUGAAACGAGUUUCUCCAUAGAUUAUGGAAGUCCUAUUUGGAUAACAUUCCGAAGCUCUCUUCAAGAACGUUAUGGGCGUUAGAGGAGCGUUGUUUGCUUCACAUAACGCCAGAUUGUCCAUCUUGUUCUUAGUUUGUAUUUAUAUUUGUGUGUUUGUGUGAGGGAAGAGGGAUUAUACAUGUAGAUCUUAUAUAAGCGCGAUGGACAAUCUAUUUGAUCGAGCAUUUAUUAUUUCCUCGAGGCCAUAGAGUUAACAUACAUUAGGAAAUAAUUAAUGCACGAUAAUAAAUGUUUUAACUUUUCUCACUAAAACACUUUUCUAUAACCUAUCAUGAACCAAUAUCUUAUAGAAAAUUUAAAUAUAUGAAAUUAUUUAAUCUUGAAUUGGUACCUUUUAUUAACAUUAACUCAGAACAUAAAAUAAAAACUAGAAAAUCCAUAAGAUUAAGCUAAUAGGAACACAGUGAGUUUCAAAUAGAAGUUAAUAAGGGGUAUCUCCAACCCUAUUACAUACAUUUUUACUCCAAAAUAGAAUAAAACAGAGUAUGAAGUAUUAAAUGUUUCAACCUAACUUUCUAAUGGAAUUUACGCUAUAAAUGGAGUAAUCUAUUUUUUUGUUUAUUAUUCUAUUAUAGAGCGUAAAAUAGAGUUGAGUUAAAACAUUUUUACUUCAUAUUCUCUUUUAUUCUGUUUUAGAGGAAAAAACAAAAUUUUACAUUGGAAAUGCUUUAAAUAUACACUAGACAUCAACAUUUUCUAAUUUUGUAAGACCAAUGAAAACUGAAGAUGAGAAGGAAAGAGGUUCGAAGAGAUUGAGAAAAAACCGACCAUAAGGACUUCUGAUGAAAUGCUAAAUUUAUUGGUUCUCUUCUCAAUUUUUUGUUAUUUUAAAAAAAAAAUAUAUGUAUCAUAUAUUGGACUAGAAAUAUGAUCUGGUCCGCAAACCUAGGACACCAAAAUUUCAAAUUGGACAGUUUCCCUAGCAAUUUGUCCACUCCUACAUACAACCUUGAUAAAGAUAAAAUCAUUUAAAAAAAAACUCAAGAUGUUUUCCCAUACAACCGUGGAGUGUCCAUACAAUUCAUUUAUUGUUUGAAUCGUUCACAUGCCUUUCCAGUAUGAACAUUAAAACCAUAUACCGAUAUGGAACCCCGAAGCUCAACGUGAAUGAAACAGUAGUAUAUGUUUUUCUAAACUAGUACGCACUACAAUGAAACAUAAAUUCAUUACAUUAACUACGGCAUAUCUACCAUUCACUACAAGAAAAUAGACGAUUCCUGAUGGACAAAUCCGUCGGAAACAAGCUAUCGACAAAGUCGUUUCUUCAUAUAUAUCUCGUCGGGAACAAAAAAAUCCGUCAUUUUAGAGCGAUGGACACAUCAUAUAAAUAACUUAUGUUGGCUUUUGAAAAAUAUCAUGGUGUUAGCACUAAAUUAACAAUGAUUAGAUUAAAAUCAUCGUUAUCUGUUGAUAAACUUAUACAAUGUUUACAACUCGUUCUAAAUCCGCAACGUGAAAAUCAGAUAAUCCACAGUACCAAAAUAGUCUUUACAACAUAAAACAAGGACUAUAUCGUCGUUAAAAGUUGUUUGAAAUAGGCGAACCAAUUAUGUCUCCAACAUAAAACCAGACUCUAACAAUGACUUUGCCUUGUUGUCAAAAGUAAUUUAUUCGAAAUAUGCAAACCGUGUUUGUACUUAUAAGUAUCAUACCAAAACUUAAAUGAAGACAUUAUAGUUGUAUGUUGUUUCCGUAAAAUACAACAUAUUUCACGUGUGCUUACACAAGGAAUUAAAACUGGCUAUGAAUAAACGUAGUUUAUCAAAUAUUGUCACAUCAGAAAUCUUAAAAAGUUUGAAAUCGCUAACAAUGCAAUCGAAUAAGAUGUUCUAUGUUUCUUGAGGAGAGUGGGAGAGGGAGGGGAAGACCAGAGAACCGUGAAGGUAUAAAACAUCAUCCGCAAGCUGGAAUGAUAGGAACUAACGGCAAUGAUGCGUCUCUAUCACACAUAUCCGAACUAAUGUCUAUGACUCCUUCGCCCUGCCAUGUUUAUUUUAUGAGGGUAAGAGAUUAUGCAACUUAAAGCCAAAAACAAUUAAAAUAACCUAAAAUAAUAUGUACUUGAAUUCAAAUUCAGGUCAUUCGGUUAUAUAUGGAUUUUGUGAUCGGCCACUGGCCCUCUGUUUGUAAUGCACCAGGCCCUAAUUUAAGCUGAUUCUCAUAAAUGUUAAUAAAAUAUGACAGGUUUGGGGGCAGUUCCUGAUAGAGCCAGGGGUGGACGUACCGAGUCACGUGCCCCCGUCUCAUUCUUCAUUUUAUUAAGGAAUUAAGGUUAAUCAAAUGACAGUGCCUCCUACCUAAUUAUAAAACAUAUUAAAAAAAAAUUAUAUGCCCCCGGUUAAAUACAGAUCUAGAUCUCCCCCUGGAUAGAGUCAACUAUAUACAGGAUAGGUGGACACGCCAUGUCUUUCCUCUAAUACUAGUCCAGCUAUAGUUUUGGUCCAUCAUAAUUUUUCUCGCUUGUAUGGUCGUGUAGUUUUAAAAUCAUUUUUGUUUUUAUUUUGCAAAAAAAAAUCAGUAUAUCAUCCAUUGAAAACUGGUGUUCCAAAGAAAAAAAGUUGGUAGAAAAUUUUGUAACUAAUUCUUUACCUAAGAAGAGAGUUUCUAGGCCGUAAUUCAGACUGACCUUUAGGACAUGUGAAAAAGGCUAUAUUUUCUUACUAUUUUUUUAACUACUCAAGACGUUGAUAGUAGUCUUAACUAUAAUUGAAAUCGUAAUAGAACGACUCAAAUACCUUCCCUCAACUAAAAUGGUGUGAUCCUUCAAAAACUCACCAUAAGUUGGUAUUUUAUAACCAAUUUUUAAAAUACCAGUUUUAGAUUAUUUAUAUUAAAAACUGAAAUUUUAGUUUCCAACCAUUCAAAGACCUUCGUUACCUUGGCAAUGUUUCUAAAAUAGGAGGUUGUGUAGUUUCCAGUUGGAAACAAGGCUUCAAUCAUGUCAGCCAGUACAAGGUUUGGUUGCGAUAUUGCUCCGUCAUGCCAGUCUUCUCAUUAUCAAAACACAAAACAGGGUUUCAGCUAAAAUCAAUAGAAACUAAACAAUGUCUUAACACUUUCUUACCAAGAGUUGUUCCCUUUCUAACUCUUUUGUCAUAUCUCCAGAUGCUCUGAUUAAACGCAAAACAUGAGUUAUCCUCCAGGUUUAUGUUAUCCAAGAAUGUUUUCUUUGUGUAAUUCUGAGGUUCGGACGAUAGCGUUUCAUCGAUCACCGCAUCCACAGUCUGUUAAAUAUAUUUUAUUUUUAGUUUAAGAAAAAGAGUUUCUCUGGUCAUCAGGAAAAUAAUAACAGACACGCUUACGCAUAAAAUAGCAUGGAGUGCUUCCAAAUCAUCAGGAUCAGAGACAUUGUAAGUGAUCUUGUUUAUAGAUUUGUCGAUAUUCUCACCACCCGCAUCUUCUACAAACUGUUUUAAUUGUGUGCAUAAUGUUCAGUUUGAUAGUUGUUUCCAAAUUUUCACAUGAAGAAUUGAAAGUGCCGAGAGCUUAACUGCAUACCUUUAGCUUAUGUGGUUCCUUUGUAAAACCCCAAACACCUCCCUUCAAGAUGAAAUGUAAUUGCUGUUAGUAUAAAACCAUAAAUACACAAUUCUCUUUGAAUUAUACGAAACAGGACCCCUAAUUCUUCAAACAUGACUCCUGAUUACAUUUUCCUUAGAAAUGGUUUUGAAUAUGUACAUAAACCACGAACCAAGGCUAGUCAUGGACAUAGCCAAGUGAAAGUGUGAAACAUUUGCCUAUACUUCCAAAAAAUUUGAAGAAAAUUAAGUAGAGAAAAGUCUCCAAAUUUGAGAAAAGAUUAUUAAAACUUUCACUAAAUCGUCUACAACCUCGAAAACUUCAAGACCGGUCUUGCAUAAACCCCAAAUCAUUCUUCUUCUUUUUUAACACUAGAAGAUUAGAUUAUCAUUCAAAUGAGGAUUACACAAUAUUUAAACUAAAGCCAGUGAGUUAUCAAAACUCCCGGAGUCAUAAGCCAGCGGAAGAAGAACCCCAAAUUCUUCUAAACAAAGGUUUACAGCAUAAAUAUACGUCAGAGAUAAAAAUUGCUUAAACCUCCUCAAGAUAGUUUAAAACUGUCCCCAUAAGAAAGUAUAAAAAAAUAUUUCAUACAUUUUUAUCGUACUCCAUCCAGGCUACAAUGGGUUUGAAGGAUGUGGUCCUUUUAGCUGCCAUUUGAGACAAGCAAGUAUAGCUUGCUUUGACCUGCAAGGCUCCAUAACAAACUUUAUAGACAACAAGUGUUGGUGGUAGGCAUAUUUUGUAAAGAGAAGUGCGGAUUAUCACUAACCGCAUCGUAGACUUGAUUUGCUUUAGUUUCAAGAUUGGCAAAAGCACCAAGGAAUUUAAUCCACUCGGCUCGCUAAUUCAAGAAUACAAAACCAGCAUAAUUUCAAAUCAAAAUGUGAAAAGUUUCACGUUUGGUUAGAUCUAGAUAUAUUCAAAGAUAAUAAUAAUUAUAGGCACCUGAAGAGGUGUGCCUUCGCUGAGUGGAAAAAAGUUUGCAAAAUUGCAUGUCUGAAGUUGAUCAGUAUCACUGAUGAAGUGCGCUGCAAACUGAGACACUUCUUCUGCACCUUUUUCAAACUUAACUACUUCCCCUGCCUCAAGCAGUUUCAGAACACACGGUGAAGCCACCGCGUCUGAUGUUAUUCCCUUCAAGCUCCCUAGUAAUCCAAGUAGCUGCGGAUAUAGCCAUAACAUUUGUUUUUAUAAACAUCCUUACUAAAUUACAUUUUUGGCCCAUCCUGAACCGUGAUCCUAAAGUCGUUGAUUUAACACAAACCAAAUCUUUAAAUUAGGUAGAAAAAAAGUGCUUGCCUCAAAGAAAGAAACCGGAAGGCCUCCUGAAUAAGAAAAAAAGAGAGAUCUUAAAAGGCAGGCCCGUUUAAAACAGAGGAAAGAAAGCAGGGGAAAAUAACGGAGCAUACCUUGAGAAGAUUGAGUGUCUACUGAGUAGUUAAGAAGUGGAAUCACAUAGGAUUUUAUCCUGGAAGUACAAUACUUUGUCCGAACCGCCAUUCUAGAAGUGUUCUACAGAUAUUACUUUUUCAUUUCAGUCACAAAUGAUAUAUUUGACAACAAAAAAAAAAGACGAUAUGAUGAGUAAAUGCAAGAACCUGAAUGAGGAGAUAACUCUUGCCAUCAAUAGCAUUCUUGAUGACUUUGAAGGUUUGUCCAUAAUAUAUAUGGAAAUUAUCAGCAUCUUCUACCUUUGAAAUGCUUCCCACUUUUACAUUGUUGGAAGCUCCGUUUGAUUCUCUGGCCACCAUGCACAACAAUACUAACAAUAGUACCAGAGGCCAAGAACAAAAAGGCGAUGAAGACAUUAUCACUGUUAAUUAGGCCAGGUGAUGAAAAAAGAAGAUAAAAUCAACUAAACCCUUUUGGAAUUUAGAUUGGUUUUCCUUGAUGUUUGUAGUCGGAGAGAAAAAGAGAAAUAUUGUUUUAUUUUUACUUUUUUUUCUUGGUAAUAAUUACUUUGUAUAUGCUGCAAAUUCUGUUGGAAUGUACUUUUUGUUUUUUAGUAUGAUUUUAAAACAAUUCUAGAAUUCAGAUGGAAUAUUUGCGUUACUCCACUUCCCUGAGACUAAAUUUAUAUGCAACCACUAUUAUUUUAUAAACACAAGUACCAUGCUACAUUCUUCAUUUUAUACCUUUUUCUUUAUCUUAAUUUAAUGUCUAUUUAUGUGGCCAAUUUUAUUAUCUCUCCUAUAUAUAGAAGUUCCAAUGAGACUAAACGGGGGUGUCAAGGUUUCCAAGUAGGGUUCAUCUAGAAUGUUAACAGAUCUCAGGGUGAGAUUUGGUUUGAAAUGAGACUGAAGUCAUUUUCAAGACAAUGUGUCAUAGAAUCUCAUAUCGCAGAUGUAAUAGAAGCUUUAGUAAUGUCUACUAUAUACGGGAUAUGAACUAAUCCGUUUAUAUCUAAUUUUAAUGUAAUCUAUUAAAUUUGAUAUCAUGAAGCAGUUAUAAGACAAACAAAAAUAAUUUCUUUUUACAAAAUAAUAAAGAAAAUAUAAAGUUAGGUUUUGAUUGACAGUGAGCAUGCUAGAGGUGACCCGUGAAGACAGCACGUUACUAUUAUGGGCUUGUCAUUUUGUGUUUCAAUAGUUAGCGCUUUUGCUUUCUUGUGAUUUUCUGUCUAACCCAUCAUCCCUCACCACGUGCUCUCCAUCUCCAGUAACAUAAGCUCGAUUCCAAGGUUUUUGACUCAAACGUCCUAAGUGAUAAUGCAGAUUUAUGGUCAUUUUAAGAGUAAUAUAAGGUUUGUAAUAUCAUGGUGAAGGUAUCAUUUAUUAUAUAAGAUUGAAUGCAUUUGAAUUGUGACAUGUAUCACUGUUUUCUGUAUCAGUCUCUUUUUUCUGAACAACUAUAUGUAUCAGUCUAAUAAUCUAAAUUAAUAUAAACUUUCUAAACGUUAAUUUCUAAUUUUAUUAAAAAUUCAAAAUAUCCAAAAAAAUGGUUUUAUAGAAUAGAAAAAUCAAAGUUAUAUAUAUAUAUAUUAUUGGAUGCUCCACGGAUUAUUGUUUUUUUGUUAUGUGGUGUAUAUUUUUACUUAUGUACACACAACGAUCCUGUGUGAUGACAGCGACGGUUGGUCAUGCAAGCAUACAUUGAUUGAGGUUGAUGCGGAGAAUGUGGCAACCUUGGAGAUAAGAUCUCAAAAAUUGUUUGUGGAGAAAUUUGAAGAGGGAAAGAAAUUUUCUUGUUGGCAAGAAAUAAGGUUUUUGUGUUUGGAAAAUGAUUAUCCCCAUCGCUAGUUUCUUAUACUUGUGAGUGUGAGUGUUGCAUCUUUUAGGUUGCCUCUAGCAUUAUCCAAAAUGCAGCCGUUAAUUGUCUUCUUUGGUGUUUAGCAAUGUAAAAUUAGUGGCCUUUAAUAUACAAAUGCCUUCUUUGCCAAGUCAGUUUGAUGUCCAAUGUUAUUUAUGGGUUGGGCCAGUUAUUUUGAUAGAAGGGCGGAGUUUGAUAAUUUGGUUGGUUUACAUUUGCGAUUGGGUCGGGUUUGAGGCUUGAGCUGUAGAUUUGGUGAUGAUAUGAUUACUUUGUAGGCCUUUGUAGUUGGGUAAUGGGUUGUAGGUUAUUAAAUUAAUCUGAAGCGUUAAAAAGACUGCGUAAGUAUGAAAGUAAGUUCUGACUUCUGAGUUUGAAGUACUUUAUGUCAUAUUUUAUGUCACACAUGACAUGGAAGCUCAUUACCAAUCUCCUAUAUCUUUCAGACGCAAAUAUUAUCAACUAUAAGAACAUUCCACAUAUCUUUGGACGAAGCACAUAUACUAGAUAUGAACAAAAGUCGAUUAAUUUGCAUUCAUAGCAAAUAGCAGUGGUCAAAUAUUUUAUUUAAGUUAAACAUAGGUUGCCAUUGUUUCCGCCAUUAAUGAGCAUUAAAUGUGAAAAUAGUAACACUCCCUUCAAAUAAUCUCCCAACUGACUAACUAUAACCACAGAAGCCAUUAAUAGGGUUACAAAGAAUUUCUCAUUACACCAAACAGAAAGAUAACUAUUGUAUAAUGAGUCUAAAUCUGGAUCGAAUUCUCUCUCAGAGCAUCUCCAAAAGACACUAUAACUUCAAAAUAGAGUUCAUUUUUGAAGAUUCUCUUAUAGUAUGAAUUUUUUUCAGUUACAGUAUGUUACUAUGAUAUACCCCGAUACAGCUAUAUAUAUACAUCUAAAACCCCCUAGUAUCCAUUACUUAAGCAUAUACACCGCGUAUAUCCACCAUAUCAAAAUAUUUUGUGUACCUUAUUCGUUUAUUGUUACGCCAAGCAAACGAAAAUGAGUGGAGGAAAACUCUCUAUACAGACCUACGUGCGGACCCGGUCUAGAGAUUCUAUGGGCUGAAAGCACAAAGAAUAUAAUGGGCCUGUUAAUUUUAAUGGUAGGUACAACCUUUCUGUCACUAAAAAUUGUUAAUGCACCACCAAUGUACACGAGAUCUUAGAGCAUGAUUAAUGAAGAUUCUUAUAGUGGAUUCUUAAUUUUUUUAGUUAAAAGUUAAGAAUCGGUUUCUCAUAUUCCGCUAAGAAUUUCAUCCUAAAAACUUUCCCUUAAUUAUACUCUUAUAAGUCGAGAACAGUUUACCAAUUAUAGUAACCAGAUAUAUAUUAUUUGAAUAUCUAUAUUUUUUUUUGAAAGACAAAAGAAAAAGGAAAUGAUAAUGAGUUUGAUGAAACCUGAAACGUCCACAUCGAAAUGGUUUGGAUAAAGUUUUGAGACGUUAAGUUUUGAACGUCUGUUCUUCUCUUGAAGAGUCUUUCUUUGUUAACCAUCAGAAAAUAAUCCAUCUCAUCUGUAAGGCGACAAGGACAUUGCAAGACUCGUACAUCCAUUUUUUUUCUUUAAAGAGAACAUCCAGUUACAUUCUUCUAUAUAUUACCAAAAAUGUAAAGCUAGAGAAAAUUUGUCCUGAUUAUGGAUUUUAUGGUGAUUCAGAGUUCAAACAAAAAGUUAUCCUACAUAUUGCAAUGAGUGUGUUCGGAAAUAUAAAUUUUGUUAGUAAAAUUAUAAAGUAUAAAUGAAAUUUUAGUUUUACUAUAUUUUUUAAGCUUCAUCAACAUUUCGAAAAUUCUCACUUUUUUUCUUUCAAAUAUCUUCACUGUAAAAUACUGGUCAUUCCGAUCAAUUAUGUUACCCUUAAGCAGGUCUGAAAUUUCCAGAAAAGACAAUCUAUUUUAUCCUCUCAUAUGCCAACAUCGUGGCUAUAUUUUUAUCAUUAAAAAACAUGCGACUAUAUUUUAGAAAAAUACAUCUUAAAAUGGUAGCUAAAUAGAAAAUAUACGCCUACCUUAUGCUUGUUGACGAUCGCAUCAAAGAUCCACGUUCACCAUACGACCAAAUUCAACCAUACUGUAGAGAACUUUUCAUAAUAAACAUUUCAUAAAAUUGCUAUAAAUAUUGCUUUAACAAAUCCACUUUAAGGAUUUAAACAGUUUUGGUACUAUUUUAUAUACUUUAGUUUUCGAAAUAUAUAAUUUAUUUAUUAGAAGAUACAGAUAGUUGAUCAAAAAAAAAGAUACAGAUAAUUUGCAAAUCAAGAUAAGAUAUUUAUAUAUAUAUAUAUAUAUAUAUAACAAUGGUUCCAAAAAAGAAAAUGAAAAAAAACAAUGGUUACAAAAAAAAAGGUAAGAUAUAUAUCCUUAAAUCACCUUAGUAUUUUUAUAAACUACUAUUGAUGAAGGCAUAUAUUAUAAUUUCACAUUUUUUAACUUUAUAAAAAUAUUUAUUGAUAAACUUAUGUAGUAGAUUAAAAAUUAAAAUUACAUAUAUAUAUAUAUAUAUAUUUUUUUUUUAAAAAAAAAAAAAUAUUCUUGAAAUUCAAUUCUGCUUAUAAGUGUAUACACUACAUCAUAAAUUGUAAAAUAAUAAAUAAAAUAAAUGUCUAAAUUUUAUGUAUAAUAUAAAUGACUAAAUUAAUAAAAGAAUAAAGAAGUAAAAAGAAUAUGGUUGUUAAACAAAACAAAAUGGAUUUGGUUAGGUGGUCAGCUUUUUUUAAGUAAAGGGGAUAUAUUUUUUUGAUUACCAUAUAUAUAUUCAUUGGUGGAGUAUCUCCACCCAAAGUGCAUGUGAAGUGACCACUUUUCUGUAUUUUGAUCCAACUAAUAAAUAAUGACAAUAAAUACUAAAAUACAAGAUGAUUUGUAUUAUACACUAAUAUAGUUGGUAGAGGUUUCUUAAUAUAUAACUAACUAAAGUGAUACCAAAUUUUAACAUGCAAUUAAUAUUUGAAAAUUGCUUGAAAUAUUAUAAGUUCGCUACUAAUUUUCACAAAUAUUUUCAAUCAUAAAUAUUUUAAAAUUUGGAUUUAAUUUUUAGUGAUUAUUUUUUAGAGUUUAAUAUUAAAGGGAUGAGAUUAAAUUUUUAAACUUUUACAAAACAUUAUUAAUAUUUAUAAAUGAUUUAAAAAAGUUAUUUUAAAUUUUUUCACCACAAAUUUAGAGUAUUUAUAAUAUAUAUCCUUUACGAUUAAAUUUGAAAAAUGAUAUUUGAAAGAGUUCAGAAGGCAAUAAUACUAUGGAUAUAUUGUUGUAUGAUUAGAAGAACACAACUUAGGAACUUAACUCCCACUUAUCCGUAUCCAUUCCCUUUUAUCAAAUAGUCAACAAUUUCACUUCAACUCUUUGAAUUGUAAUACUUCUCGGCGGCUACAACAAGAAAAUGAAAAAAGGACAAAAACGGAAUAAACAAAAAAUAAUGGGGUCCAAAAAUAAUAUCCACACACCAUAAAUAUAACCUGCAGAGCCUUUCUUCACCAACUCACCAGCCUUGCACGAUCUGCAUCUCUCCGCCUGAAAACUUCUCUCGUUUGUUAGAUCGCCGACGAGGUUAACAUCCCUUUCUGAUCUAUCGAAUCAGUAAAAAAAACAAUGGCGUUCGAGAAGAUCAAGGUUGCAAAUCCCAUCGUGGAGAUGGAUGGUGAGAUUUCCCUGCCUCAGCUUUUUGUUUUACUCUCAGAUCUUUUGUUGUGUGUGUUUGGAUGCGAGAAUGAAAAAACGUAUUAUGACUUUCACUUUGCCUAGUUUUUAUCGAAGUUUCGUUUGUGAUCUGAUAACUGGUGAACAGCAAGCUAGCAAGCAUGUUUAAAACUAGUUUUACUUUGUCAACGUUUGUUACGUUAUAGAUCGGUAAAAUAAACGUAGCUCUGUUCGCCGAUCGAUUAGUUAUGUUUUAUGAUCUGAUGACAAAAACUAUAUUCACAAACUAUUAAUUUGAUUUACAGCUUAUAUCUGAAAAUGGGACCAGCAUAGUAAUUGUGUUCUUAGAUUAAAGAAAAACUUUCAUUUUCAGCUUUUAAUGUAGUUAUGAACUAUGAUGUUCCAUUCUCACCUGAUUCCUUAGUUUUUUUUUGGUGGUGUCCUUUUUUACUCACACUUUAUGGUCUUUUUUUGUGUAACUAAUAGGUGAUGAAAUGACCCGAGUUAUCUGGAAGUCUAUCAAGGACAAGGUUACAAGAGCGCUAUAUAUUUUGAUUCAUAUAUUUAAUAUGUAUUUUGUGGUAUUUUUCUAAUUUGUUUUUUUUGCUCAAAUGUUUUUGCAGCUGAUUACCCCAUUUGUGGAGUUGGAUAUCAAGUACUUCGACCUUGGUCUUCCUCACCGUGAUGCUACCGAUGACAAAGUUACUGUUGAAAGUGCUGAAGCCACUAAGAAGUAUGUUUGUUGGACUUUACCACUCAAAACCCCACUUUUUCUUUCUGCUUACUAACAUAUGCUGCGUGUGUAAUGUUGUUUUUAGGUAUAAUGUGGCGAUCAAGUGUGCCACCAUCACUCCAGGUAUGUUUUGAUAGAUAUUUUUCAUUUUAACAUUUUUUUACAGUGUUCUCAUUUUACCAUGUAUUCAUCUUUUUUUCUUUUGCGUGCAGAUGAAGGCCGUGUAACGGAAUUUGGCUUGAAGCAGAUGUGGAGAAGUCCCAAUGGUACCAUCAGGAAUAUUCUGAAUGGUGAGAAAUACACACAAAUUGUAUUUGUUUUAAAGCCCUAUCAAAUGUCAUUCUUUCUUCCUGUCUUACACUCUUUGCUAUCAUUCUCACAGGAACUGUAUUUAGAGAACCAAUUCUCUGCAAAAAUGUUCCCAAGCUUGUCCCAGGUAAUUUAUUGACAAUGGUCUAGUUCCAUUAACAUUUUAUAUUUGCCAAAAGGGUUCUGAGAAUAUGUUUUGCUUUCUCCAGGCUGGACAAAGCCCAUCUGCAUUGGAAGGCAUGCUUUUGGUGAUCAGUACCGUGCCACUGAUGCUGUUAUCAAGGGACCAGGAAAACUGACUAUGACUUUCGGUAAACUUGCUCCCUUUCACUGCUCAUCUCAUCUCAUUUGAGACUGGCAUUGUAUUAUUUUGACGUCUCUUUUGAUAUCUUCUUUUUCAAUUAAAGCUGUAAUUUCUUUGAUUUUCAGAGGGAAAAGAUGGGAAAACUGAAACUGAAGUCUUCACAUUUACUGGUGAAGGCGGUGUUGCUAUGGCCAUGUACAACACUGAUGAGGUAUACUAGUAACGCCUUACACUCUCUUCCAACUACAGUCACAACUACUUGUUCUUUUGGUGAUCAAGUUACAUAUUUCUCCUUGUAAAUAUAGUCCAUCCGUGCUUUUGCUGAGGCAUCGAUGAACACUGCUUAUGAGAAGAAGUGGCCACUUUAUCUUAGCACAAAGAACACCAUUCUUAAGAAAUACGAUGGCAGGUAUGUGUACGGUUUUGUUUUUGUUUAUUUUACAUUAUUAUCCGUUUGCUCUGUCCGUAUUUGAUGUUUUCGUCUUACUAUGAAGAUUCAAAGACAUCUUCCAAGAAGUGUAUGAAGCCAGCUGGAAAUCAAAGUAUGAAGCUGCUGGAAUAUGGUGAGUCGCCUCGACAAUGCUUUAUCAUCCUCGUGUCUUGUGUAAGUUACCCUUUGAUUGAGAAGGAUGUAAAUGACUGAAUUGGUUAGGUAUGAGCACCGUCUCAUUGAUGAUAUGGUGGCUUACGCUCUCAAGAGCGAGGGAGGCUAUGUGUGGGCUUGCAAAAACUAUGAUGGUGAUGUCCAAAGCGAUUUCCUCGCACAAGGUAUGCUCAUGUCUAUCUCACAUAUUCUGCUGUUAUUUUUUUCAUAUUCACAUAGGUUUCGUUGUGUUUCUUGUUAGCUAAUAGUUUCUUAUAAUGUGUAGGGUUCGGGUCACUUGGACUGAUGACAUCUGUUCUGGUAUAUAUCGUUACACAAUCUCCUGUUAAGAUGUUUCCUUUGAGUUGUUGAAUCUAAGUUACAACGGUUGUGUUCUUUUGAUUAGGUCUGCCCGGAUGGGAAGACGAUUGAAGCUGAAGCAGCACAUGGAACGGUUACCCGUCACUACAGGGUUCACCAGAAAGGUGGGGAGACCAGCACAAACAGCAUAGCCUCCAUCUUUGCUUGGACUCGUGGACUUGCACACAGGUAGCUUAAUAUUUGUUUUUCUUUGUAUAAGAAGGAAGAUGAUUAUAUAAAGAGAAUGCAACUAUCUCUUUUACCAGGGCUAAGUUAGAUGACAACUCAAAACUCUUGGAGUUUACUGAGAAGCUUGAAGCUGCUUGUGUCGGUACGGUGGAGUCUGGAAAAAUGACCAAAGAUCUUGCUCUCAUCAUUCACGGCUCAAAGUAAGUUAACGAGACUUCUUUUUCUUCUUCUGCUGCUGUCUUUUAAGUUUCAUGUUCUCAUCAAGAUUGCUUUGACUGAUUUAUGAUUUGUUUUUUUUUAUCUCAAGGCUCUCGAGGGACACUUACCUGAACACGGAGGAGUUCAUCGAUGCAGUUGCGGAUGAGCUCAAAACAAGACUCGGCGUCAAAGCUUAAGACAUUUGGGUAAAACAUUCGGCUACUCAGUCAUAUGUGUUUAUCUGGUGGGUUCGUGAGAGUGGUUGAGAUUGGGAGGAAUAAAAGAAGAUAUUUUGCUUAUUAAGAACGAUUUGUUUCAUCUGCAAUAAUAUUUUCUAAACAUUGUCACAUGUUUCCCCUUUUAUGAAGAUUUCGAAUUUUAUUUUUCAUUAAUUAUCGUAGCGUAUUUACCCAAAUGCAUACACUCCACUAGCUGGACCUAUACGGAAAGAUGGAGAAACAUAUAAGAUCUCGUGUGAGAAUGCUAAUCUGACUUUUCAUCUCAAACAACCUGGAAGCUAUCAGUUUUAACCAAAAUUAAAGUGUGGACUUUGGUCUAAACUCCUAAAGCAGGCCUAAGGCUCAAGACUAGGAGUUCGAGUAGUUGAUUUUUUUCUUUGUUAAUGUUCUUCCUACAAAUUGGACAACUAACAUCAAAGUUCUUUUUAUUGUUUUUAUUUGUUAAAUCAAUUAUUCUGAAGUUUCAAAUAUUUAUUUAAAGGAUUUUCGCACAUCAAAAAAAAUUUACAGCUAGAGCAGAAAAACCUCGAAACUAUAGCUACGGUAUAACUAAUCAUGCACAGUAGUAUUUUGAUCUGAUGUAACCACUGUUUUUUCAAUGUGAAUUUACAUCUUUUCUAAAUUUUACAGUAAUUAAGCUUCAUCCAAUUAUUAAAAGGCACUAGCGGACAAAGAUAAGCAAAACAGUCAUCAGUAGACUAUGGUAAUAGAUUACUAAACAAAAAAUUAUGAAAUGAAACAAGAUUUUAGUUAAAGAUAAGAUUCCAAAGAUCUUUAUAGCAUAAUCGACUGAAAUUGUUUAAUACAAGAAGAUUCCAAUAUCAGCGAUUUUAUAGUUUGGCUAGUCACAUAUGCUGUUAUCUGUAAAAAUUACAGGCUAACCAUUAAUUCAUGCGAGACAAAUGAGGCAUACAUUUAUCACUGGUCCUUUGUUCUGACUAGCUACCAAAUGCCAAAGAAUGGAUGAUCUUAUCUCUAAUUCCAAAUCAAUAAUACUCUUUUUGAACCAAUUUCUCUAGCAUAAAAACCACCUUCAUACAAUGGAUGUAACACUCGAUACCUUUACACUUCUUGUGAUGCCGUCGACGACUCGUCCAUAAAAGGUACAGAUGGUAUGUUUCAGCUUCUUCACUCCUUGAAAAAGUUCCAUCAACUCUGAAACCAUAGGAAUUAGUUAGAAAUUUACACACAGUAUUAGUAUAACUGAUUAUUUAGAUAGUAACUAGUGGUUUCUUUACCCAGAAUAAGACGUAAGCGGAUGUAGCUCACUAACAUCACCGAUUUGGAGAUCAUCGUCUUCUCAACAAAAUCUAUAAAAAGCAAAAAGAAAAAAACUAAAUUUUAGCUUCAUCCAGGUAAAACUGAAUGGACAGGUUCCAAACAGAUCAAGGUUUCUCGGAUCCAGCUACCUGGUUCAGACCUCGGGUUAUAGCCAAGCCCAUAUACCGCAUAUUUGGCAUACGCGAGUAAUCUCACACGUUGUGGAGCACUCAACUUCAAUGUGAUUGACCUUAUGAGUCCACUGUGAUAGACCAAAGCAAGUAUUAUUCGCAUGGAGAAACUUAAACUUUCCAGAUUCAAUUACUUAGUAGAACCGUGGAGGAGUUUACUCUGUUCGCAGUACGGUGAGAAAGUCAGGUGGAAGAGACCCCAUGAAAGUGGUUACGUCUUCCAAUCUCAGAAGCUUCACCUCUUGCUUCAGUUUUUGUCUCUCUUGGAUAGACAUUCCUUUUCCCAGUCCUGAUUUGCUAUCACCAAGAAAAUUCAGAAACAAAGGAUAAGCACAAAAUCUUCUGACAGUUUCGAUUUUGUUGCAGAGGGAAAGAAAGUACCUAUCACUCGUUCUGCCUGUGAAGAUGACAGGGAAGAAUUUGGCAUAUUGUCCAACCCCAAACCGUGUUCCUAAUUCCUGUAUUUUGGUCGAGUCUAGAAGAAUCAAAGCCUCCCACAACCGACAAAAGUCUUGCCUAAAUCCCUCAUCCAAUGUCUUACAGUUUCCGUGAUCCAGCAGGACUUUUCAUCCAACCAUGAUUUUGAUGGUUUUAUGAUUAGUGUCUGGAACUAGUGAAGACACCAAUAUAGAAUUACGAACACAAAACGUACCUAGAGAGAAGCCAUUCUGCCCUCCAGGAGAAACUAGUAUAUUUCCAGGAUGCGGAUCGCCAUGUAUGAAUCCGUGAACAAAUAUCAUUUCAGCAAACACUUCAACCAACAGUUUAGCAACCUAUAAUAUAAUAUUGGAAAAAGCUUCAGUGUUUCAAAAAACGAAAUAACAAGUAUAUAUUUGGCGGGUCUAAUGCUUGCCACAUGCCAAAGUUGUAUCCAAAAUUGAAUUUCUUAAUUGCAUAAGAAGCUGUUACGAACCUUUCCUGGACUCAAAUUAGUUCUUUUGAUGGCUUCCACAUCGUCAACCUGAAACCUAAGGAAAUUCGAGUUAGUACAACAUCCAAGAAGUAGAGUCUACACGAGAAGCUGCAUGACGAUCUAUAAGAGUAAAUAUAACUAAACUAAUCCAUUGCCUUGCCUUCUAAGCGGUUUAAUCAACCUUAAACUUUGUUUUUCCAAUAAUUCUUUUAGGAAACUCAAUAAUUUUUCAUUUUCUUCCCUUUUGCGAAGCUUUCAGUACAUCUCAUAUCUAGCCUUUUCUAACAAUUUAAAUAGUUUGGGAUAGCUUUUCUAACUAUUUAGCAUGUUUGAGAUGGAUAUGGUUAGCCAAGAUUGCCAAAAUGAAAAAGAAAAAAAAAGCUAACUCUGUAUAUAAACCGUAUGAAUGAUUAACUGUGUUGACGCCAUUACCUUGAAACCCUUGCAGAAUUGCAUUGUCAGGACUUGAGCGGUUGUGAACUCCUGAAUAUUAAUAUGGAUAAUAAGAUUAAGAAAACAAAUUCAGCAUGACUAAGACAUAUCAGGAAAAAUAAUAAACAAUGACAUCUAAAUUCUUUAGUCAUACCCAAAACACUGUCGGAACAGUAAUCAUUUUGUUAUGUUUGAAGUUUGUGGCAAUUCUCUCUGAAUUUUUUGCCUCCUGUAUAAAAUCUGUGGAAAUGAAGAUGAAAGCAGAAAUGAAUCACCAGAUACACUAUGGAAAACACCAAAUAAAUUAAAAAGAAAAAAAAAUCCCGAGAAACAAUGUAAUGAAUGGACAAUAUACACUUCUACACACUACACAAUGUGUACAUAUACGGUUCAAUUAUUUUGACACAUUCAGCUUCAGGUUAACUAAGAAAUAAACAUAUGGACACGAUGGAGUGCUUGACUAAAAAAGUUUUAGGUUGCUGACCAAGUUCCUGGGAAAUUGACUUUACGAAUUCAUGAACCAGCCAGUCAAAUCUGUAUUCUGGAAAAAUCUGCGAAGUGAAAGAAAAGGACUCUAAGAAACUAUAAACGGCUGCAUAUGAUAUACAGCCUGUAUAUAACCAAAGAUGCAAACACAGUUCAUGUAAUUGCAUCAUUGUAACACCUUCCACAACAACACAAGCAAAGCUCACAAUCACCGCAAAACUAAUGAAGUUAGGAAGCAGUAGCAGAAUCAAUCCUCAUAAUCUGACUGCACAAUAUUCUCUACUAAGCACUUCCAAAAAAUUUCACAAGGCAGCAUACACUACUGCAGUAAUUGAGUCAUACAUGAAUGCCCUCAAACUCGAAAUAUAAAGCAUGUUCUAUUAGUUAUAUGGUGUCACAUGAAUAUAAGAUAAGACGGAAACAUAUGCACCUUUACAACUGAUUUUGAAAGGAACGACAUGAUCAUUGUAUCCAACUUCAUGUUCUGCUUCAAUCCAGGGUAUUGCACCUAUUUCAAGGGACACAAACGAUAAUGCUGUAUUAAGAAUCUGGUGAAUUAAUGCUGUAUUAAGAAUCUGGUGAAUUAAUGCAGUCAAGAGGAUUGUGGUAUGCCCGAUUUACAUCAUAAAUGAUGAAAGGUGUAUAAGCUAAAGAGGAAAAAAAAAAAAAAGAAAUGAUUCAGAGACCAAUAUUUCAGGUAUCUCAAGUGAACGAUGAAAUCAUUGUCUAGUAUCGUCAAAAAUAGCACAAGUAAAUUAAAGCGGUCAGCAUUGUGAGGAAUUAACCUUUACUGCUACUUCCUGAUGAUCCUUUAACACAGCAUGAUGCACUUGAGCAAUAGAUGCUGCAAUUGGUUCCUCAUCAAAAGAUAAAAAUCUGUCAUUUCAACUGAGGGAUGUUAGAAUGUGCCUUGACACUUGUGGAUUUGCCUUGACCGUCAGAUUAAAUCAUCAUAAACAUAGACAGUUUUAAAUAACACUUACAUCUCUGAGAGAUUUCGACCCAAAUUGCUUGUCAGAACGUGUUUGAUAUCUUGGAAGUUACAAGGAACUGCCUUCAAUAACAGAAUCCGAACAAACAAUUAGAAUCGUUUCUCACACUCAAAAAAAUCAUAAAUUUCUGGUGAAACAAAACAAUUUCAUAGUUUUCAAAAGAGGGAAAACGAUUAAGGGAAACACAUAGAGUUCUUCAAAUCAUUAAUAGUAUUCACACCUGGUCCUGCAACGAGGAAAGGGCCAAAGAGUACUCUUUGGGAACCAGCUUCAACGUGGCCACGAACUGACCAGCUUUCACAUAGAAACCUUUAUUACUUUCACACAGUUUAAGAAGUCGUUUGGCAGACCGUGAAUGAACCUACAACAUAGAACGAAAAUUACCAUAUAGCGCUUGUAGUAUACAAAUAAUUAAGUACAAGAAUAAGCAAUCAUCUCAUCACAGCAAUAUAACUUCACUUAGCCUAUCAUCAAUAAGUAGAAAGAAACUACAAAGUAACAUGUUAUCUUUUAAUUCAACUUAUUGCUGCUAUGUGCUUGUUCAAAUCACAACAAUCAAUCAUCACAUAGCAUCAAUAUAUCAUAAAACAAAUGUGACAUUGACAUGAACAAUGCGAAUCAGUACUAUUACGUUAAAGAUAGAUUACUUCUUGCAAAUCAGGAAACGUAACAAACUACAAACCUCUGUUAAUCUCUGAAGAUACUCAUCAGAAUCAGCCGUCACUCUACGCAAGCUAUACUUGUAAUCAGCGACGGUUACAGUGAUCUGCAAAGUAGAGAGAAUUAAAAAGGAAUCGGAAAAUGAGAAAAAAUUUAAAACAGUAGAGAUAAGAGAAGAAUAAAACGAACGGCGUAGAUAGCGCGAGAAGAACGGACGACGCCUUCCACCGCCGUCGCGAUUUUGUUGGGGUUGUGAAUGGAAGUAGAGUCCCGGAAAACAGAAACGGCGGAGCUGCUGGUGACGGCGGUGAUAGCUACGCCGGCGAUUGUAAAGACGAACAGCGGCGAUUUGGAUCUCGCGGGAAAUUUGAACUUGCGGAGAAACUCCAUUUUUGUUGGGAUAUCUUUUUAGGGGGACUCCAGAGAGACGGAGAAGAAGACGAAGCUAAACUUCCGGGAUCAUCGGACUUCUAUCGUGCAGACAAAUAUGGUGGGCCUAGAUAAGGCUAAGCACACUGUGGAAAAUGGGCCCAGGCCUUCUAUUUUUGUGGGUGCUGCUUGCUAUUUGGGAUGGUGAUCAGUGUUCUAUAAAGUGGUUUAAUUUCAUGGAAUUUUUUUAUUUUUUUGGUUUUUUAUAUAUCCUAUCGACUAAUUUGAUCAGCUCCUCCAAUAAUAUGCAUCUAUACUAUUAAAGCAAAAUACUUCUUAGGAUUAUGCCCCUGAUUUUUCCAAUUAAUUACAAAAAUUUCCAUUAAUUUUUUCAAUUUCAAUUUUUACAACCAGUUUACCAUUUUAAAAUCUUUUAACUAAUUAAUUAGUACACAAAUUUAUUAUUAUAUAAUAAAAAAAUAAAGAAGAUAAGAUUAUAAAAAAAUUACUAUAAACAAAUAUAAAAUUUAUUAAAAUAUAGAUUAGACAAAUAUUUAUUGAUUUAAAUAAAAUUUUAAAAAGAAAUGAUUUCGCGCUUUGAAAGCACGGGUCAAAAUCUAGUUUGGGUGUUAAAGUUGACUACACAGCCAGACCCAAAAUUUGUAAUGUUUUAUGAUUAAUGUGAAAAAGUAGUUGAAUCGCAUGUUAUGUUUAAGGUCAAUUCAAACCUAAACUUUAAGAAUGCUUUGGACUAAUUGAUUCGUGUCUACCAAAUGUUUGUAUUUUUACUUUAGUAAUACGUGUUUUGCAAACUGAAAAUGUUUACAUGAUCUCCAACUAAACUAGUCAAAGUACAAAUUUAUGAAUUAUAUGAUAAACAACAUUUGUUUUUUCUCAAUUUAAGGAUGAAUGAUUAAAAUCUAGUCAAGCAACAAAUUUAUGAAAUAUGAAUAAUUAACAAAUUUGUUUUAAAAAGAUUUAUUUUUUACAUUUUCAAGACAUGUUUUAUUAACUAAUUGCAAAUUUAAAACUUAAUUGCACUUACUGAAUUUUUAUUGGCUUAAAAUUAUGGAACAAAGAUAAACAAAAAAAAUUAUACAAAUUUAAUGUGUUUUAUUAAAAUGUGUGAAAAAUCUAGAAUAUGUAACAUUAAGAAACAUAUGAAGUAUUUAUUUUUCUUAAUUUAAGGAUAAUAUAGUACAGUUUGAGUCAAACAGCAAAUUUAUAAAUUAUGAUUAACAACAUUUGCAUUCUCUUGAAUUUAAGGUUAGUUUGAUUGAAACUUUAGUCAAGUUACAAAUUACGAGUCAUGGUAUAAAUUGCUUGCUAUAACUGUAGUAAAUUGACCAAAAGUAAUUGAUUUAUUGGUCAUGCAUUCAAAUUUGGUACUACAAUUACACUACCAAAAAGCUUCAAAACCAUCCAAUGGUAGUCAUUGUAAGAAAAACAGUUAUAAUGGUAAUGUAAUAAUACUAGCUGACCCAAUUGGUACGCACAUAAUAUGAUUAUAUGUGAUGUAAUUAUUGAAUGGCAUCAUCCCCUAUAUAUUAUUUGAGAAGCAUUGCAACAUUUUUUUGUAACCACAUGUCAUCACUAGAAUGAUUCUUAGAAUCCUUAGAGAAAUAAGUUGGUCCAUCUAAAUAUAUAAUAAGUUUUUUAUUAAACCACAAUAAAUACAUUAUUAAUGUGCUUCAUUAUUUCCUUAAAUAAGAUUACGGAAUUGCCUAAUGUAGCUAAAGUAUAUAUGACAAUUAAUGAUUUUGAAUAAUAAAGAUUUGAUAAAAAUAAGUGUGUAUUAUAAUUAUAUUUGUUUAAUUUUAAGCUAUUAAAAUAAAUUAAACAAUCAUAGUAACCAUAUAAUAAAAAUUAUAAAAAAAUACUUAUAUAUUAUAUUUUGAAUUUUUAAAAACGAGUAUAAAUUACUAAAACCGUUAAAAGUUUCACAUUCAAAUUUUGUGAUCUAUGAUUUAAAACUUUUGUUAUGACAUGAUAUAAAUAAUUAAAAAUAAUAUAAGUUAAAAGUCUCAUUUAAUAAGUAUCAAAAAUAAAAGAUAUAUAAAUAUAUGUAUCAUUUUAAAUUAAACUAUAUGUCAUAUAAAAAUACAUAAAUAUCUUAAUUUUGAAAUUUACUUUGAACAUUUUUUUGAUAAAAAGUUUGAAAAAAUAUUGACAACUUAAUUUUUUUAAAAUAUUAUAAAUUACUUAAACUAUUGAUCUCACAGUGAAAAUUUUGGUAUCACUAAUUUAGACUUUUUGCUAUAACAGAUACAAAUGAUAAAAAAAAAUGAGCAAAAAGCAUCAUCUAAUAAAUAUUAAUAUUAAAAUAUACCAUAUAUAUGUUACUAUCAUUUAAAUUUAAAUAUAUAUCAUAUCAAAUAGAAAAAAUAUUUUUUCUAUUUAUAAAAUUUAUUUAUAUGUUCGCAUCAAUUUAAUUAUAUAAGUAGUAGAUAAUGACUUUUUAAUUAUUUAAUAUAUAUUUAUUAUUUCAUAAUAUCUUAUAAACAUAUAAUAUAUAAAAUAAUUUAUAUAUAUAAUGUUUAUCCCGCGCAAGGCGCGGGUCUUAACCUAGUCUUGUAGAUAUUUUACAUGUGAAUAUCAACGUCGACGUCUUACAAGUUACAACUAAGUACAAGCAUAUAAAUUAAAUAAAAAUAAAUAAUAAAAAAGGAAGAAGACAUCAACUGCAAAGUCAAUAUAAACGUGUCAUCUUCCUUCGUCUCUUUGCAUACUCUUCUUCCUCCUCUCACUACCAAAGAAAAAAAAAGAUGGUUCUAAGUCGAGCGGCCACCGAAAGUGACGAAAAUGUUUGCUCGACGUUCGGAUCUCGCUAUGUCCGCACUGCACUCCCCAAGUAAUUAAGAAAAAAACAUGUUUCUUUUAUUUAUUUUUCUUACUGUUCAUGAGUUUACUCGUUAAAUAAUGAUGAAAUAAAUUGAAGGUAUGAGAUUGGUGAGAGCUCGAUACCGAAGGAGGCUGCAUAUCAGAUCAUAAAAGAUGAGCUCAUGCUUGAUGGUAACCCGAGGCUGAACCUGGCUUCGUUUGUGACGACAUGGAUGGAGCCAGAGUGUGACAAACUCAUUAUGGAAUCUAUCAACAAGAACUACGUCGACAUGGACGAGUACCCUGUCACUACCGAGCUCCAGGUCUCUCUCCAUCUCUCUAUAUUCCAAUUUUAUUUUUAAAUAUAUAUAUUCCAAAUUACUUCAUAAGUGAUAGUGCUAGAUCUUGUUUUAGUUUCUAGUAUUAUAUCAAUUCUAAAUCUAAAUCAACUCAAAAUGUUUAGAAUGGUUACAGUUGCGCAAUGGUUUUAAUAAAAUAUACGAUAUGUUCUCAUAUAAUAAUACAAAUUUACACUGUGUUUGAUUUAUUUUAUUUAUUUAAAAAUGAACAUAAAAACUAAUUUUGGAUUAAAGGGUAUCCACAAAGAUAAUAAAGAAGAAUUAGUUUUGAGGAAGAUGAAAAAUGUUGUUUGCAUUUGAUGAACCCAUAUUCCUCUUGCCCAAGAAAAAAAGAACCCAUAUUCCUUGUUUAAUUUGUAUCAGUGCUACAUUUAUUAUUCCUUAACACUAUAUAAUGAGACAAAAUAUUAACCUAUUCAUGACUUUUCGUUCCUUUCUUAGAAAUAUGACCCAUACGAUUUUAGCCUCUAUUGGCCGACAUAACAAGUUCUAAGACUAGUGGCUUUGUUGAACAAAAAAAAAAGCUAGUGGCUUUAGUAACUUUGUAAGUUGUUCUCUUAAUCAUAAAUAACCGUGUUGAAUCAAUACAAUACUAAAAGGGGAAUAAGGGCUCCCCUCAUGCUUCCACAUCCUCAAAAAUAAUCAGCCAAUAGGAAAUCAGUAAUGAGCCACGUCACACACCCAUCUCUUUCUCGAAUAUUCUACCCUUUCGUGUUUCAAAAAAAAAACUACCCUGUUCAUAUUCUUUCUUUCUCUCCCGAGUCAUCUCCUUCUGAAACUCGAUCUGAUCACUGAGAAUCUACGGCGACGAAGAAGGUGGAGGAGGAAGAGGAAGAAUGAGAAUCUCAGGCUAUGUAAUCGUUGUUCUAUUUGUAACUGUAUUCUAUUCCGUCGAUCGUAGCGUUCACGCGCGUCCCGUCGUCCUCAUCCUCUCCAACGACGAUCUCAACAGCGGCGGCGACGAUCCCGGAGUCGGAGACUCCUUUAACUUCGAGGAAUUCGGCGAAUCCGAACCCAAAUCCGAAGAGGAGCUCGAUCCCGGCUCGUGGCGACAUAAAUUUUGAUGGGUUGAUGGAGGAAGUGGUGGAGGAGAUAGAGGCGGCUUCUUCAUCCGGAGAUCCGCACUCGCAGUCGCUGAUGGGCUUCGUCUACGGGACGGGGAUGAUGAGGGAGAAGAGCAAAAGCAAAUCCUUCCUUCGCCAUAACUUUGCUGCAGAAGGUGAGAACAUGCAGUCAAAGAUGACACUUGCCUUCACGUAUAUGCUCCCAUCUCUUCGUAGAGAUUUACUUUGGACCAAACUCAGAAACCUGCUUUCAAGAAUCUCAAGCUAUGGCGAUUGUUAGCUCUCUACCUUUGUGAGUUUACUUUGAAGGAGCACACCAGGUCUGAAAAUGUUUUUCGUGAGUAAGUUUCAGAAAAAUCUCUGAAUAUAACUCUUUUUUUUACGAAAGAUCAUUCUCAGAGUCUUACUACGUUGAAUGAUUUGUCCCCGCAAUUUUUAUUUUCAGAUUAGCAUAAGGUCUUACUCUUAAGAAAUUUUUUUUGGGUAGCUUUCUCGGAUCUCUGGCCUAUAUGGCUAACUCAAAGCUUGGAUCUGUAUUGCAGGUCUGAUUCCUUAAAACUAAAACUAUCAAAAAGUUCUAAUUUUGUUUCUUAGCCUCUGUCUAAUGAUUGUGGAACAACCAGAAGCUCUUUACCCGUCCUCUCUAGAAUUCAAUAACUAAAGCAUUUUCACUACAAUCUGAUUUGGUCAAUAGUUUGACUUAUAACAUCUUUCUCAAGAGGGUUUUGAUGAUUUCAUGCUUAUUUGAUUUAUUUUUGUUUUUGUCGUUCUUUACAGUUGGUGUAUAGGAUAAUGGGAAUUUUAUCCUUGAGCAUGAGGUUGGAAUGAAAAUUGGAUGCAUUGACCUUGGUUUUGAGGACCAACCAGACACUGUCACAUUCACUGAAGGUUAUCAAGAUAUCAGUAAGAGAGGCAUCACACAGGACAGCUAUGAAUCUGAAGUUUGGCACUAUAAUAUAGGAUGUGAUGAAGUGUGACAGCGCCACCAUGAUCAUGAGUCUCAAGGCCACUAUUUAGUCGCUCGAAGGACAGAUGUGUUAUGUUACCGCAUAGAGCUCCAAGUAUGCCCAGAUUGCUGCCAAGAAAGGGCCAAACAGUCUCUACUGCCUUGGUGUUCCUCUCACCACCUACAUUCAAAGCUCAUGGAAAGAAGCUACGAUGUGGUUUCCAAACUCACAUAUAACAAUCUUUGUCUCUUCUCUAAUAACUUUGUUGCUACUUCAGUUGUGGUCAUUUCCACUGCUCUCAACUCCAAGGCCCCCAGGAGAGUCAUCUUUCAUCUUCUCACUAACGAGAUCCACUAAUGCGGCAAUGAAGUAAUGGUUCGCUAGACAACGUCAGGAGUCACUAUUGAGAUUCAGAUAUUUGAGGAUUUCAAAUGGUUUAAUGCUUCUUAUGUUCAUGUCUUCGAGGAGCUACAAGAAACUGAUUCGCAUAUCUAUUAUUUCUCUUCUCACAACGAUAAUGGACGCAGACAAAGCAAAUUCAGAAAACCCAAAUAUCUCAUGAAGUGUAAUAUUCUUCAGUCCCAGCUUAAAGAUCUCUGACAUAUUUUGAUAUUUGAGCUUCUAGGCAUUUCACAAGUCGCAAUUAUUUAGGCCAAGGGUUGCAUCUUCAGAGACGACUAUGAGGUAUGAUCCAUUUUCUGUACUGCAUUUCUACUGGUUCAUUGUAGAGAAGUUAUUCUUUAACAAAGUUUCCAUCUGUUUUGAUGAUCCCAUAGUCGAAUUGAGAUGCAUUAACAAAUUAGCUAUGAAACAAAAAAGAAAGGAGAGGUCUAAGCUCUCUCUAGAAAAAGGUAACGUUGCAUUUUUAAUCAGCUUUUAGUAGACAAAAGUCUUGAAACUAUACAUUGAUUGUGUUACUCUUUUUUCCUUUUUGUCUCAAUUGUCUCUUAUUCUAUAGCUGGUUUGUAUGGAUUUAUUUGGUUCCAUAUGAAUUUUCCGUUAUCUAUUGUGAUAGAAUGGUUGUGGCAUUACUCAUUGCAUAUAUAAAGUAUGUGACGCAUGUGUGGAAGAGGAGGCCAGAUUAAAAGUUGGUGCAGCUGCGAACCAACAAGAAAAACAAAGAAAGGUACGUAUACAAAUUUCAUUAUAAUCUAUAAUAUAUGACUAUCUAUCUUCUGUCUUCCCUUUGUUGUUGUCACUUGGAGUCAGAGAAUCUAAUGAAUCCAGCUUAGUUUUUCAGUGUAUACAAUGGGAUAUAUAUAUAUAUCAGUGUGAUUAAUUAUAUAAGUUUGGUGUAAUUUAAUAUGUAAGAGGAAGAAGCUGGUUUGGAAGUUUCUGUUACACCAAGUAACAUGAGUCUUAGGUGCAACGUGGGAAAGAAGACACAGAGAAAUGCUUAGGAUCAAGAGAAGUGUCUCCGCAGGUUACAGUCAGGUUUUCUCUCUAAUCUCUUACAAUCAGGUUCAGCUCACAAGCAACUGUUUUCUGGUCAAUUCUGAGUAUCCAUUUGUUGUACUUUUGACAAUUGGAAGCUGACUGACAUGACCACAUUUGAUAUUUUGUCUCAGGCUCAUUUCAUUCUGCUACAGAACACGACGCAAAAAAGACGAGCUGGUAGAUGUGGAGGAGGCAAAACACUAGCUGAAUAAAGCAGGUUAGCCAGAAGAUGAAUUGGCAGCGUUGAAGAGGCAGUUCAUGUCCCCAAUGUCUACCACAGUUACAUCAAAAGAUGGUGCAAGAAAACUGGGGUUUGUGAGUUGGUGACAGGGAAUGUGCAAGGUACUGAGCUUCCUGAAGAGUGUGAUGAUGAAUCUGUUUGAGAAGACAAAGUAGAGUUCACUUAUGAGAUGCUGUGUUUGGAGGACCUGCCAGAAAGUGAGAGCAAGACGGUAAAGAGGCUUUGGGUGCGCUAGAGAGGAUAAAAAGACACAAACUAGCUCAGUGAGUAAAUAAUGUUGACAAAUUACUUGUGAUACAGUUUGGAAUUGUAAUAUGCAGAACAUGAUCGUAUUAUUAUCAUGAGAAAUUAUAUACUUCUGUUUUGUCUCAAUUCCACCAUGUUAGUUUAUUGCAUAGUUAUUUAUACUCUUUCCAUUAUUUGGCAUUUUACUGGAAUUACAUCUUUGAUCUUAAUGUGCAAUCUUUACUUUUGGUAUUUAAACAAUCGCAAAAACUAACAAAAGAAAGACUUAGAAUCUAACAAAGAGAACUAUAAUGAAAGAACCACUGAACCACACAAGAUAAAAAAAAAAAACCAGUUCAUGAGCUUUUGCCUCCUCUCUAAAGACACCUACAAGAUUAACCGUACCACAUUCAGCAAUAAUGGCCAACAAACAUUUUAAAAUUUCUGUUCACAAAAAGUAAAGAAAAAUUUAAAAAAAUAGUGUAUGAAGUUUAACAAAACAAAUAUUAAAGACACGAAAUAAGAAGAAAACUAAAUGACCAUUUUUAAUGGAAAUUAAAAUAAUAAGGCUAUAUCAAAUUAGAAAUAAUUUAAAUUUUCAAUUUGUGAUAUUAGUACAAGAUUGUAGAAUGUUUUUACUGGAAAAAAAAUAAUAAUAAGAAAAUAAUGUUUUUGGAUCAUAGUUUUGGACUAAAAAUAUAUUAUAAUGUUUUUGGAUCAUAGUUUUGGACUAAAAAUAUAUCCAAAACUCCCCUAAUUAGUAUCUAAAAAUUCAUUUUUGAAUAACAGCGUAAUAACAUGAUUGUAUUUUGAAAAAUAGUAAUUUUAAAACCAACUAAUAUAUAAAAAUAAAAUUUAAAUAAAUUUUGAAUAUCUCUUGAGAAUAUUUUGAUUAUCAUUUUAGAUUUAGUUUUAAUCCAGAUUAAUAUUUUAACUAUAGCUAGAUUGUAAGAUAUUUGUUUUGCUUAUAACUAAACAAGCAAUAUAGUAAUAAUAAUUGCUGGCAAAAAAAUAUAGUAAUAAUAAUAUUUUCAUAGAUUUUUCAGUGUAUUUAACACAUACAAAAAAUUUUAAAGUUUUUUUUAAUUUAAAGCAAUGAGUAUUUAAAUUAGCUUUACUUAGUACAAUUGUAAGAAAUAAAUUAUAAUCAUAAGAAAAUAUAUUAUAAAAUAUUAAAUAACAUAUAAAAAACAUAAAUAUGAUAUAAAUAGUAUACAUAACAAAGAAAUAUGUGAUGUGGAGAUUAAUAAUAUAUUUUCUUAAUAACCUAAAUAUGUAAGAAAAUAUAUUUUGGAUAUAACUAAGAUUUAAUAAAUUCUUUAUUCAUUUCGCAUUUGUUCACCAUCCCAUAUAUAUUUUAGAUAGUAAGAAAAUAAAUUGUAAGUCUUACUCAAUUUCUAAUUUAAUUUUUAUUUAUAUUUUUAUAACAUAGAUAUUAAAUACAAUUUUAUUUGAAUAAACCCGGGCGUAGCCCGGAAAAAUCUCUAGUUAUUCUAAAUUGUCAUUAACACUAGUGGCCCACUUGAUUUGAAGCUUUGGAAAAUAUCACCGUCGGUUUAUUGUAAAACCGGUCGGUAUAUUAGUUUCUUUGAAAUGAACCAAGUAUAGAUCCUAUGAAUUAAAGUUUAAAACAUACAAGUACAAAUCUUCGAGAAUCUAAGGUAUGGGAGAAAAGGAUGGUAAAGCAUAAUAAUUCAAUAGUAAAGCAUAAUAAUUCAAGAGACGAAAGAGAAAGUUCUGUCGGCAACCUCUCAUUGUUUCACAGAUCACCACAUAACUUGCUUUUGGUUUUGAUUGGUCCACUCAAUUCCUUUUAUCCAUUUAACAAAAAUAAAAAAAACACUAAAACAUUCUUCUCACUUUGGGUUAGGGGUAUGAUACGAUUUACUUUAGUAUACUAUACAUAGUUUUUUUUUACUAUAUCCAUAGUUAAAAUUGAAAUAGAGUGAGCUGACGCUCUACGAUGGACGUUGCGAAUAUAUAAAUAGAAGAUUAGAAAAAGAGAUACAAAUGAAAUAAUUUUACAAAAUGUGUAUGAUGAAAACCUAGAAGGAGACAAAACCACACGGUAUAAGUCUCGUGAUGGCUAGAUCAAUAGUCACAUUGAUUCUUCCAUGUGAAAAUUAAGAUAUUUCACCAUAAAGUUGUACCUACUGUGUCCUCAAAAUAGAUUGGUGAUGCCAUUUCCGUGUGCCUUAGUGUGAAUACGAUACGUUCAUAGUAAAAUAUCACAGAAUACUUUAUCGCGAAUAAUUAUUUAUUUUUUUGAACUUUCGCGAAUAAUAUAGCCUACUUUACCAAAUUUGUUUAUCGUUUUGUUUGAAAAAGUAGAAAAGAUAGUUUGGUUAGUUUAUUAGUAUAUAACUAGGAUAAGAUCCGCGCCUUGCGCGGGAUUAAGUUAUUAUUUUUAUUAUAUUUUGGAGAAUGAAACAAUAGUUUGGUUUCAUUUGGAUUACGGGUGUUCAAUCCGGAUAUCAGAUUGGUUUCGGUUCGGUUCGGUUUUUUCGGUAUUUGGUUAGUAAAAUAUAACUACUAUUCUAAAUCCAUAUGUACUUUGAUUUUAGUCUUUCACAUACUUUUGAAAGAUUUCAACUAGACGACUAAAUUGAUCAGCCAAUCUUGUUGCUUUAAAUCAUUAGUGUUUAUAUAUAUAUAUAAUAUAUAUAAAUAUAUAUAUAUAUAUAUAUAUAUAUAUAUAUAUAUAUAUAUAUAUUAUUUAGUUUGAAUAUUUAUUAAAUAAAAAUUCAUAUGCGUUAUAUUUUAUGAUCAUUUGUAACUUAUUAUAACAAAAAAAUAAUUUAUUGAUCACAAAAUUUUCAAAGUGGGAAUAUUCAAAUUUCUAAUAAUAUAUAGACGUUUUGAAAAUUUAAAUAUAACAUAUAAGAAAAAAUAUAAAUGUUUUUAUUAUAUAUUUAAUGUGAUUUUUUAAUAUCUUUCAAUAAUAUAAAAUUAAAAAAAAAGAACUAAGAUACCAAAAUUGUUAUCAAAUAUUUAUUAUUCAUAAUAAUUAAUUUUCAUAUAUACGUUAAUCAUAUUAGGUAAUUUCGUAGAUUCUAAUUAAGGAAAGUGCAAAAAAAAUUUUGGUAGAUUAUUUAUCAAUUCGAUAGUUAGUUUAAUAAAAAAUAUAAUGUAAGUCAAGAUGGACCAACCUAUUUUUCUAAGAAUAGUAUAUUUUAUAUAGUCAUUUAUUAAAUGAGAAUUUAUAAUCAUACAGUUCUAUGAUCAUUCAUAUCAUUUUAUAACUGAAUAUUUAAAUCAUCGAUAACAAAAUUUUCAAUGUGAAAUCUUUAAUAAGUUUAUAAUUUAUAAAUGUUUUUGAAAAUUCAUUGAAAGUUUUAAUAUUAAAAUAUUUAUGUAAUCUUAUGGUAUAUAGUAUAAUCUAUAUAUAUAUAAAUAUAUAUGUUUUAUUAUUAAAUGAUAUUUUUUACUCAUAUGGUUUUAAAAUAAUGUGUAUCUUCUUAUAAUAUUAAAUAAAAGUUCAUAUUAAUACAAUUUUAUGAUCAUUUGUAACUUAUUAUGACAAAAAAAAAUCUAUUGAUCACAAAAUUUUCAGAGUGGGGAUCUUCAAAUUUCUAAUAAUUUAUAGACGUUUUGAAAAAUUCAAAAUAUAGCAUAUAAGAAAAAUUAUAAAUGUUUUUAUUAUAUAUUUAAUGUGAUUUUUAAAUAUAUUUUAAUAAUAUAAAAUUAAAAAAAAGAACUAAGAUACAAAAAUUGUUAUCAAAUAUUUAUUAUUCAUUAUAAUUAAUUUUCACAUAUACGUUAAUCAUAUUAGGUAAUUUCGUAGCUUUUAUUUAAGGAAAGUGCAAAACAUUUUUUGGUACGUUAUUUAUCAAUUCGAUAGUUAGUUUAAUAAAAAGUGUAAUAUAAGUUAAGAUAGACCAACCUAUUUUUCUAGGAAUAGUAUAUUUUGUAUAGUUAUUUAUUAAAUAAGAAUUUAUAAUCAUACGGUUCUAUGAUCGUUCAUAUCGUUUAUAACAAAAUAUUUAAAUCAUCGAUAACAAAAUUUUCAAUCUGAAAUCUUUAAUAAGUUUAUAAUUUAUAAAUGUUCUUGAAAAUUCAUUGAAAGUUUUAAUAUUAAAAUAUUUAUGUAAUCUUAUGGUAUAUAGUGUUUAAUAAUAUAUAUAUAUAUAUAUAUAUUUAUUAUUAUUAAAUGAUAUUUUUUACUCAUAUGGUUUUAAAAUCAUGUGUAUCUUCUUAUAAUAAAAAUGUUAAACCAUUGAUCAUUAAUUUUUAACAUAAUAAUUUUAAUAGUUUUAGUCAUUUAUUAUCGUUUUUAAAAAUUCAAAAUAUAACAUAUACGAAAAAAUCUAAAUUUUCUUUUUAUAGCUAAUUUGAUUGUUUAAUUUAUUUUAAUAAUAUAAAAUUAAACAAAAAAUGAUGGAGGAGAUAUACAUUGUUAUCAAAUCUUUAUUAUUAAACUCAUUAAUUGUCAUAUAUAUAUUAGUCAUUUAUGGUAAUUCCGUAGGUUUUAUUUAAGGAAAGAAAAUAUCAUAUCAUAUCAUUAUAUCAUAUAGUUUGACCAACUUAUAUAUCUAACAACAUAUAAAAAUCGAAUGUGGACCUACUUAUUUUUCAAUUGAAUGUAAUUGACUAUCUAAUUGAGUGACACCUAUACAUUGGGGCCUCUUUUAAUUAAUACAAAAUUGAGGUUACAUCUUUUCAAAUGUUCCUCAAUUAAUAUAUAAGGGAUUUGCUAGCGUUUCUAAUUGUAAUUAAUUUCUCAUGGGUUUUGAAUUUGUGUGUUUCUAUUCUGAUAUUGAUACAAUAUCCAGUGAGUUCUUGUUGUUGUUAAGGAUCUAAAUAAGUUCAUCAACAAAAGAAAAAUAAUAGAAAAAGAUUACCAAUAUGCUGAUAUCUCAUGUGCAUGGAGUUUCAUUUGAACUCGAUCCAUUGGACCUAUAUGAAAAAUGUAGUUACUUUCAUUAGUUAACGAACAAGGAAUAUUUAUAUAAAACCUGUGCUCUUUUUAUUUUUGCGCAAAAGCAUAUGUGCUCAUAAAUCAUAAUUUUAAUUUAUUGGAAAACAGAACCGAUGUGUAAACAUGAUAGCUCGGCUGUUCAAUGCACCACUUGGGGAAACUGAGACCGCCAUGGGAGUAGGCACUGUUGGGUCUUCGGAAGCCAUCAUGUUAGCCGGAUUGGCUUUCAAAAGGAACUGGCAGAACAAACGCAAAGCUGAGGGUAAACCCUAUGACAAACCCAACAUUGUCACCGGAGCCAAUGUUCAAGUGAGUACUAUAUCUUUAUCUCACUAUUUUUACAUAAUAGUUAAUUUGUGAAUAGUUAGCAAACUACUUCAAAUAUCUAGAAAACAUUGCAGAAUAAUAUUUUUAUAUUAGGUAUUACCGCAAAUUUCAUUUUCAAACCAGUUUCAAAUUACAUAAAUUGACACACUUUCCGUUUAAUCUGUACUAUUUCAUUUUUUUUAAAAGAAAAUAGUGUGUAAAGCAUCAACUCUCAUAGAAUAUAAGGUUUAAACACGAAAAAAAAAAUACUUUCAGGUGUGCUGGGAGAAAUUUGCUAGGUACUUCGAGGUGGAGCUAAAAGAAGUGAAGCUUAGUGAAGGUUACUACGUGAUGGAUCCAGAUAAAGCAGCUGAAAUGGUUGACGAGAACACAAUAUGUGUUGCUGCCAUACUUGGUUCCACACUCAACGGUGAGUUCGAAGACGUCAAGCGCCUUAAUGACUUGCUGGUCAAGAAAAACGAAGAGACUGGCUGGAACACUCCAAUCCACGUUGACGCAGCAAGCGGAGGCUUCAUAGCCCCAUUUAUUUACCCUGAAUUGGAAUGGGACUUUAGGCUUCCUUUGGUGAAGAGUAUCAAUGUGAGUGGUCAUAAGUAUGGGCUGGUCUAUGCUGGUAUUGGCUGGGUCGUGUGGAGGACACAACAGGAUUUGCCUGAUGAGCUCAUCUUUCAUAUCAACUAUCUUGGUGCUGAUCAACCCACUUUUACUCUCAAUUUCUCCAAGGGUAUGUCUCUUUCGCCUUCUUGAUCCCUAAUUUUUAAACAUAUGAUGUUAUUUAUGGAUGUUUAUGAAAUGUUGUAAACAUUUUUGGUUGUUUGUAGGUUCGAGCCAAAUUAUUGCUCAAUACUAUCAGCUCAUUCGUCUUGGCUUCGAGGUUAGUGUAUUAAAAAUAAAUAUAUAUCCUAGCUUUAGUGUUAUAGACUUAUAGCUAGCAUGUAAUAUACUAUCUUAUGUUAGUUUCAAAAAAAAAAAACUAACUUAGAUUACGUUGCCGUUUUGUGCUAUUUUAUUUCUUUUUAAAAUAUACCGAUUUGCAUUUUCCAUGGAAUAGGGCUACAAGAACGUGAUGGAGAACUGUAGAGAGAACAUGGUGGUUCUGAGAGAAGGGAUAGAGAAAACAGAGCGUUUCAACAUAGUCUCAAAGGAGGUAGGAGUGCCACUCGUAGCCUUCUCUCUCAAGGACCACAGCUUCCACAACGAGUUCGAGAUCUCAGAGAUGCUACGCCGUUUCGGCUGGAUUGUCCCGGCUUACACAAUGCCUGCGGAUGCGCAGCACAUCACGGUUCUGCGUGUUGUCAUUAGGGAAGAUUUCUCAAGAACACUUGCGGAGAGGCUUGUGGCUGAUAUUGUGAAGGUGCUUCACGAGCUUGACACCUUGCCUUCCAAGAUAUCUAGGAAGAUGGGAGCAGAGGAUUUCGGAAAUGUGAAAGGGAAGAAGGUGGAAAGGGAUAUUCUGAUGGAAGUCAUUGUUGGAUGGAGGAAGUUUGUCAAGGAGAGGAAGAAGAUGAAUGGUGUGUGUUAAUCUGAAGUAUCUUGUGUUUGUGUUUGAAUGUAUUGUCGUCUAAUAAAAGAAUAAGUAUGUGUGUGUGAGGACUGGGGGUUUGAUGAAAGAGUUGUGUGUUUGGUAUCUAUUUGAGACAAUAAUUAAUUAUGGAUUCUAUUUUAUGCUUGAAACUUAACUUGAGCCUUUGGUUAUUUAUAAAAUAGUCUUCAAAUGCUCUUUCCUUGAAAUCUAGUGCUCCCUUUUUAUUUGAGGUAAGAUGUUCAAAAUUUUGCACGCAAUUCAGUUCAAUACAACAGAAGGCCAAGUAAUAAGAAAAAAUAACCGCUUUAUUGUCUGAAAUCAGCUAGAGAUGAUCUACGUUCCGGUCAUGGCCAGAGGCUGAGCUAACUAAACCAUAUAAUAAAUGGGUCGAAAAGUUAAAAUUUGUAAUAUGUUGGUCUUUUUUCUCAAAAAUAAAAUUUCUAUUUGAUCCAGACUAGAAUUAAGCAUACUAAUUGGUCGAAUAGAGAAUAGUAUUUGAUUUUCAUACUCAACAACUAAACAUUCAUGCUCUUUGUGUGCUAGUGGAAGCCUAACAAUUUGGUUCGUUUAAUGAAAUAGAAGGUAUAUGUCCAUCUCAAAGUCCAGAAUAAAAUGCAAAUUAUAAUUAAUAAACUCAAACCGCUUUAUUAUGCAUGUUUCUUGUCUGAAAACAGGCUAGAGAUUUAGCGGAUUCACGUACAGAAAUGUAGAAAUAGAACAAGCAAAAUGAUAAGAGAUUCUUAGAGAGCCUUGAGGAUAUCAUCAGCGCUGGAAACCGUGAACUCGCCACCGGAUUCGACAUUGGCCACAGUCACCUUGAGGUUAUCGAGCAACAGAGCAAAUCUCCUUGACCUAACACCAAGACCCUUGUCCUUGAGGUCAAGCUCGAGUCCAAGAAGCUGUGUGUAUUCUCCUGAACCAUCAGCCACAAACUUCACGUGCUUGUUCUCAGGGUAUGUCUUUCCCCAUGCCUUCAUCACAAACGGAUCGUUCACUACAACAAAACAAUUUCAUUAAUAAUAUUAAACCAAACAGCUAAUAUAUAUAUAUAUAUAUAACAAUCUAAUAUUUGUUUAAAAGAAAGAAUCAAAUUGCAUGGAAUCAAAUCACAACGAAGAAUAUUUACCGCUGAAGCAAAUGAUCUCAUCAACACCCUUCGAUUUCAGCUCCUCUGCUUUCUCAAUGAAUCCAGGCACAUGCUGCAUGCUAAAACAAGAGAAAAAACAAAUAAAAAAUAUCAAAUCUAAUGUAUUACGGCAGAAAAGUGAAAUAAAACUAAAUGAAAAAGUUUACCUGCAUGUGGGAGUGAAAGCACCAGGGACACCGAAGAGAAUGACCUUCUUACCAGCGGCGAGAGUGUGAACGGAGGCGCUCUGAAGCUGGUCAUUCUCAUCAAAGAAGGAGAUAGUUCCUUCUGGUACAACAUCGCCGACAGCAAUAGGAGCCAUGGAGGUGAGCAAAGGAUUUGAACAAAAAAAAGUGAUGAGAAAAUGAAACGACUCUGAGUAGUUGGACUUGAGGCGAAAUGUAUUUAUAGGGGUUUCGAACGAACAAUGUAAUCUUUCUUUUUCGAAACAAUGUAAUCUUGCUUUAUGGUAUUAAAUAUAAAUCAUUGACUAAUUUUAGGUAACUAAUCGUUACUGAUUGCCAUUGACUGAUUUCAGUAAUUGUAUUGUUUGCCAUAUGUUGACUCUAAAAAUAUUGGCUAAUUUCUGUAAUUAUUAUUGAUUGCCAUUUUGUUGACUCUACAAAUCUUGGCUAAUUAUUAAACAAUAGUCAAACUACGUAUAUAUUGUUUCCAAAACUACAUUGUAGUUUCCAAAAUAUAACGAUUUGGUUAAAAAAAAAUACCGUGUUCAAAACGUGUUUUUGUCACCAACCUAGCUACCAUCGAAACCAUCCCGCUAAAAGUAUCUGAAAAUAUAUCUAUUUCAUGUGUGUGUUUAAAAAUAAAUAAAAAUAAAGAUGAUUUUGGAUAAUUUCUUUAGUAAUAUGUACAUUUUAAAUUGUUUCUGUUUUGUAUUUUUAUUAUAUUUUUCCAUAUUACAUAUAAUUAUUUAUAGCAAUGAAAGUUUCCAAAGUAAUUAAAAUGUAAGUGAAAGAAAUGUGAAUAUGUGAGAAUACACCGAAAGAAAAUCUAUUAAAUCAUUAUUACGUAAAUUUAUAUUGGGCCAGACCCAAACAAAUUAUAUAUUGGGCCAUUGGUUUCAAAAACCCGUCAAUCGCCUAGCUUGUGUAUCAUCAAAAGCAGGCAUGAUCAGAUCUAGACCGUCCAAAAUAGGGAUUUCAAAAAAAAAAAAGUCAUUAAACCUCUGUGCUUCACUUAAUCUGUGUGUUGCCUCUUGAAAAAACCCAUCAUAAACCCUUCUUUACCUUUGUGCUCAUCUUCCUUCCUCGUUAUCAACAGGUACGAUUCCAAAAGUUGCUACGUAUUUGAGUCUGCUUCAAGAAGGCUAAUCUAUCAUUGUUUUUAAUAUAAGAUUCUAGUAAAUUAUAUAAUUCAUAGGUUUAUUUUUCGGAUAAUAUUGUAACUAAUAGCUUAGAUAUUGAUUCUGCAUUGUUUGUUCACAGUCUCAAUCGAAACCAAUUAAUUGAGAAUGACAGAGAUGGUAACGCCUGGAGACGUGCUCGGUAAUGCGGCCGAGUUAAAACCCGGCAAAGGAGCUUACGUCAACGACAAUACCAUCUACGCUUCCCUCACAGGAUCUCGCCACAUUGUUUCUCCUCUUCCAGAUUCUCUUGACCAGGUAUGUCCUCUUCUUUCACUGAUUAGUGAAGUGAACUAUAUAAAAAUGCUCAUUUAAAUAGCUUCUUAUAAUGCAGAGAGCUACUGUGGAAGUUACGGGUCACAAGGCGCAUGGACUUAUCCCCGAGCCUGGUUCUCUUGUCUUAGCUAGGGUUACUAAAGUUAUGGCUCGUAUGGCUUCUGUUGAUAUCUUGUGUGUUGGUUCAAAGGCCGUUCGUGAAAAAUUUGCUGGCGUAAUCAGGUCAUUUUAUGGAGCUUCUUUUACUUUUAGUUGUAUGCAUCAUCAGUCUAACUUGUGGUUGUGCUUCUUUACACAGGCAACAAGAUGUUAGAGAAACAGAGAUUGACAAAGUUGAGAUUCAUCAGUCUUUCCGUCCUGGUGACAUUGUUAGAGCUAUGGUUGUAUCCUUUUUUUGAGCCGCUAUGAUUUGCACAUUCUCUAUAAAGCUGUCUCUUGGUGACUUAUAUUAGUAGAUAGCAUAUGAAGUUGCCUUAACAUUGACUUUUUUAAAAAAAAAAGCUGUCUCUUGGUGACUCACGGGCUUACUAUCUGUCAACUGCUAAGAAUGAGCUUGGUGUGGUCUCUGCUGAGAGUGCUGCAGGUAAACUGUAUAACUGAUCUGUCACAUUUUUCAGUUUUUUUUGUUAUCCAUCGAAGUGUAAAGACAUAGUUGUUAUGGAAAUAGAAUAUGCUACUGUACAGGUACUUCUUUUGGUUAUCGUAUGAUAUGAUGUUUAAGUAAUGUGGUGAUUGGUACAGGUGAAACAAUGGUUCCGAUUAGUUGGACUGAGAUGCAAUGUCCUUUGUCUGGUCAAACCGAGCAGAGGAAAGUUGCCAAGGUGGCCUAAUUGAAUACACAACAAGAAAAGACAUGUUUUAUUAUUACAGUUUUGAGCUCUUUUGACAUGCUUUAACUUAAAAGACUGUGUUUUGUCAAGUGUAAAAGCAACUUGCCUUUGUUCCCAAACUCAGAAGACAUUUCAAUGAAAGGGUUAAGAGAGAAUGAAUUUGAAUGUGAGCCCUUUUGUUUCUCUUACACUGCAUUGAUAAUAGCGACGAAGAUUGGCUUGGUUAGCACCAUUUAAUUUUGGAUGCUUCUAAGUUUGAAAAUUUAUAUCAAAUGUACUAUCGUUUCUGCAAAAUUUCACAGAUUUUGGAUCUGCUUUCAAUUGAUCUAGUAUUUUUAACAUGUAUUUAAGAAAUCAACAUCGUUGGAGCUAAAUUACCCUAAUAGGUUUAAAAUCUUCAAAAUUAACAAAUGUCAGAAGACUGGACAUUCCCAAAUUGGAAAUGUACUUUGAAAAAUGUUUCACAGAGUUCCCAUGGACUCAUGUAACUACUAACCAUUGCUUAUCCUUUGUUAUCAGGGUACUAGUUUGAUGAGAUGUAACUGAUAUAGAAAGAUCUUCAAUGGUGCCAAGCGACCCUUCUACGUUACCUUAUGCAUUUUGAGCUUUGGCUGAACUAAUACAUUCUGUUCUUGAUUAAACUGUUCAAUUUCACUCUGCAAGUAAUUUUUUUAUCUCUGGCGUUGCUUAGUUAUCAAACAAAGUAAUCACUGAAGUUAGCAACUCUCAGCACGUUCAAAAAUCUAAGAUUCAAACAAAGUAUUAUAGCCAUAACAGUUUCAGACAGAUAAGUAGCUAAAACAAAAACUGUUGAGCUUACAUCAAUCAGCUCACAUUCAGAACAAAAUUUUAACAAAACAAAAGAGCAAGUAAAAUAAAACACAGAACCAUAUCAAACCCAAUCCUCGAGUGUCUGGUAAAGGAAAACUACUCAUCCAUGUCCUCUUCAUCAUCGCCUUCUUCCUCCGCUUCACUAAGCUCAAGCUCAGCAAGCAACUCUUCAAUCGGAACAGUCGGUGCACCUUCACCAUCAGUCAUCGAAGCAGUCUCAGACUCCUGAUAAUCCUUGUUCUUGUACAAAGAUAUGUUAAACCUCAGCUCAGGAUUCUCUUCAAGAUCCCUCAAAAACUCCUCAUACUCAUUCUCCAUCUUCUCCGGAUCAACUCUCCCUCCUCUCGACUCAUCCAUCUCCAUCGGAAGCUUCUUAGUCGUGAACGCACGUGGCUUCCCCCUCUUCCUCUCUCUCUGCUCGUCAUAGCAUUUCUUGAUCAAAAUCGCUUCAGGAAGCCCGUUCUUCACACUCAAACGAUACUUCUCCAUCUCAUCAUCGUUCACAUUCGCACCGUAGAUGUCAUACCCUAAAGCUUGGUCUCCUGACUUCAGGAUAUGUCCUAGAUGAGUCUGGACGUAGAACAUAUUCCCAAGGUCCGACUCACGCGCGAUCUGGACAUAGGACAGAGCGUACUUUUGUCCUCCGACAGUCGCUUCGCCGACAGGUUCCUCCACGUCAAACACAAAGUACUUCACAAGCUGCCUGCUGGUCAACGCAGAUCGAAACCCGGACCUAAAGUACUGCCUCGCGUCCAAGAACGCACACCUCAGGGUCCUAGGAUCAAGGAUAGUGAUGUUAUCAGAAACCUUCGUGCACACAACAAGCGGACCGAGGUUCCCCAACCCGCUAGCGACUUUAGAAGGCAAGCAGAUAAGAUCCUCACGGCAGAUAGGACAUAUCUUAACAGAGUAAGUGUACUUGUAGUUAUACAAACUACUCUUAACAUCGUGAGAGACUAACUGCUGGUCCUGACGAUACUCAAUAGGAACAACUUUCCUCAAAAACUCAAUAAAGCUAUUAGCAUGACUCUUAUUCCCAAAGAAGAAAUCAAUCCCCUGAUCAACCUGCUGGAUCCUAAUAGCUCGAGACGCCGCGUCGUGCCUGAGAAUCAACUGCUCGAGGUAAAAGAACGUCCUCCUGUGAGAGACAUGCUGCCUGAGCUGCACAGAAGCAACCCACUGAUCAGGAUUGGCCUGAAACCUCGAGCAAGACUCGCAGAGGUUGUCCCUAACGGUGUACUCAACGGGGUAAGACUGUUCGAGCACAGCUCCGUUGAGGACCUCGGCUUGAACGGUGAGCUUGAUUUUGAUACGUUUGGAGUGGGGCUCGGUCCAGACGAACUCGGCGUUCUUGAGCUUGACUUUGUUGAGGUUCUUGAGGCGUUUGAUGCAGAAGGUGAGGAGCUCUUUGGACUCCCACUGGGCUUUGAUCCAGGUCUUGGGGGGCUGGAGGUAGCAGCCGCACUCGGGGCAGUAGAAGAUUUGGAUGCUCUUCUGGAGGCCUUCGGUGAUGUCCACUUCCGAGCGGAGGCAGUUGACGCACAUGUUGGCUGCGUUGGGAGGCAUGGGGACGCCGCACUUGCAGCACAGGACGCUUCCUAUGGUUUGCUGGACCUUGAACAUCCCUGUGUCUUGAUCCAUUGCUGACAUCUAACGAAAUUAAACAACAAUCAACAGCAUAACACGAGAACGAAGAAAUCUCGAAAUCGAUUAUACGAGACCAUUUGCAGAUAUAUAGUAGCAAUGAAAUCAAGAUGGUUCUAGGUUAAACGAUGAAAAGGAAACGUGAAGGAAGUCUGGUACGAUGACAAAGAAAGGCGAAGAAGGAUAAAAAUCAUGCUUACCUGAGCUGGUUCGAGAGACAGAGAAGGCGGCGGGAUGAAGAAUGAGAGGAGGAAGAAAAUGAAGACAAAAAAAAAGGAGGUGAAGGCUUUUUAUUGCGCUGGUGAAAGGCGUCUUUAGGGUUGGUGAAAAAGAAAAAAGAGAAGAUGAUGCGUUAAAUCUCGUCAGUUAAAUCGUAAAAGUUUGAUUCGGUUCAAUUUGGUAUUUGGAUAGUUUAAUUUUUUCAAUUUUAUUAAAACUAACCCAAGUUUCUUCUUUAGAUUAUCUUUCGGUUAAAAAUGUGUUUAAAUUCAAGUAAUUUUGAAUAAUUUCGGUUAGUUCAGUUAUUUGGGUUUGAAAUUUUAAGCGAUUCAGUUAACUCGAUUUAAAAUUUAGUUAACAAUUUUUUAAAAGACUAAUCGAUUACCGAAUUGAAGUACCGAACCGAAGACAUAAGUUUUUUUAUAAACUUGUUGAACUAAAACAAAUUUAUUACCAAACUAAUCAAACUAACCGAAAUUUUGGUUAUGUUCGGUGAAUUCAAUUUGGUUAAAAUCCGCGAGCCUAAUCUGUAUAUUCACAGAUUUUUUUAAUAAAAAUAUAAAAUAGAAAGAUAAAUUGCUUAAAAAAUCACAAGUUAAUUAUCAAUUUUCAAAAAUACACUCAACUAAAAAAAUCUUAUCAUUUGAGUUUUUAGAAAUCACUGUUGAGAAAUUACUUAAAAUAACACAAAUUGACUACCACUUUUCAAAAAUACACUCAAUUACAAAAAAAAAAAAAUCUUAACAUUUGGGUCAGUGUUUAGUGAUUAUUAUUAUUGAAAAAUUGCUUAAAAUACCCAAUUUACUACCACUUUUCAAAAAUACACCCAAUCAAAAAUAUUUUAACAUUUAAGUUUAGGGUUCAAUGAUUAUUAUUUAGGUUUUAGUAUUUAGGAAGUGAGGUUUAGUUUUUUUAUCAAAAAUUUAAGAGAUUUCUGAAAAUUAUUAAAUUUUAAAAAUAAAUUUGAAAAGCGGUAUAAAAUUUAUGGUAAAAUUGAAAUUCUCCCAAAUAACAAAGGUCAAAUCUCCUGAAUAGUUUUUAUUUUAGUUAUUGUUCUUUAGCAGCCUUCAAAUGUUAAAGUGACCAAAUUAAGUUCUAAAAUCAUUAUAAAAUAAGAAAUUAAUUGAAAUACCAUAAGUUCACUACCAUUUUUCCAAAGUAUACUCAACCAAAAAUACUUUAACAAUUUGAAUUUAUGGUUUAAUGAUUAUUGUUUAGAGUUUAAUAUUUUGGGAGUAGAGUUGAAUUUGUAAAUAUAUUAUUUAUAAUCGCUUAGAAAUGAUUUAAGAAGGUCAAUUUAGUCUUUUUCAUCUUAAAUUUAAAGUAUUUAUGAAAAUGACUAUCAUCUAAGCUAUUUCAGACCAUUUUUUGAUAACAAAUGUACAAAAAGAUAAAUUAAUAUAUACUAGGGUAGGUCCGCGCUACGCGCGGAAUGUGCUUUAUAUGUGAUAUAUAUAAGUAUGUAAUUGUAUAUAUUUUGUGUAUAUGUUAUGUAAGCUUUUGCAAGAGAAAUGACAAUAAUGUUUAUUGUUUUGAGAAUGUUAAAGGUUGUGAAGAGAUUAUAUAUGUUAAAAUUAAUUAUGUUUGGUUUAUUAAUAGAUUACAUCAUAGAACAUAUAUAUUGGGUAGAUGAUAUGUAUGUGGUGCUCUCAUUGUAUAUUUUUGAUAAUUUUGAAUCCAAAACACUAAAAACAGUAAAGUGUAAAUUUAUUUUUUUAUAUUAUAAACUAACACUUAAAUAUAUAAUUAUAAUUUUUUUCAAAAAUUUCAAUUCGUUUAAGCCCAUUGCAUAGAUGUAAAGCAGAUACCUUAUAUGCAUAAGUAAUCCACGUCUUUUGAAUCUCCAAUUAUAUUUUAAAAAUAUUAUGUAAAUAUAUUAGUUUUAUUUUUUAUUUUCUAUUUGUUUCUUAGUUUUUACAGUUUUUAUUAAAUAUUUUUUUAGUUCUUUGUAAAUGAACAGUAUUAUUUUAAUGUUUUCUUCUUAAAUGUAGAUAAUUUAAUAUUUAAAAUAAGGUUAUAUUUAAUGAAAACAAUAAAUAUUCAUCUAACAAUAAAAACGAUGAAGAUAGAUAUAAAUUAUUUUUUCUUCCAUAUAGUUGAACUCUCCUUAUUUAUAAUUUGGGAUGAUGGAUUUUUAACACUUUUUAUAAUUUUUUUACAACUUUUAAAAAUCUUUAUAAAUUUAGUUGUUUUGUAUGAUUAUAUGAUGUCACGAUAAAAUUUAUAUCGCUUUUACUUGAAAGAUUAACUAUUUUGGAAUCCAUAAAAAAGUUAAAUUUUAUGUGCAUAUUCCAAGACAAAAUUUAUUUUGGUUUAACAUACUUUCAAACGAUCAUUUAUACUCCAUUCGUUUCAAUAUAUAUGAUUUUUAGGUGAUUGUUUUUGUAUUACAAUAUAUUAUGUUUUCUCAUAUCUAGGUAACUUUAAAUUUAUCAAAAUUGUGUAGCCAAUUGUAUUAUUACUAUUUUUUAUAAUUAAAUAAAUUAGUUUAAAAAUGUAUUUUCAAUAAUUUUUGGAGAAAAUAAAUUUCUUGGUUUGUGUGCAAAGAGCUAAAACUUCAUCUACUAUGAAACGGAGGGAGUAUAAUUUAGAUUGAUACUUUAAAAUGUUUCUAAUUUUUUUUUCAUAUUGUUUUUGUAUUUUAUGUUUACUAAAUCCUAUAUUAAGCUAUGUAACUGUUUUUCUUUCUAUAUAUAAAAUGGUUUAAAUUUGAUAGUAAGUGAGAAUUAUUAUUUUUGUUUGGUUAUUUCACGUUUGUUUACAUGAUUUUCUAGCCAAAAGGUCCACAAAAGAGUUGCUAGACCAUUUCACUUUAAGAGGAUAUUUACAUAUAAAUGUGGUGUAGAAAUAUGUCCUCAUGUGGUAGUGACACUAAUUAAUGGCAUACUUUUUAAAUUAAACAACUUAUCUAUAUAGCAGUUUUUUAUUUGUUAGAAAAAUAUGUUAAAAAUCAUUUUAAACAUAAUUUAAAUAGCAAACAAAAUUUUGAAAACAACAUAUGUCAGCUAUUGAAAUUUAAAAUUAAAAUAAUGUGACAUACGCUCUUUAUGAAAAUAAUAUUAUUAAGUUUGUUCUCUUAGAAUAGUUUUAAAAAAUGAAAAUAUAAAUUUUAUUAAUAUUCACAAAUUUAUUUAUUUUUAGUUGUUUAAAAAACAUGUUUAGGUAAUAAUUAUUUUGGAACCAUCUAAGUGCUCUGGAUUCCUAAGACUGCAGUAGAUAGCUACUGCUGUCACUAAAGCUCGAUUGGGUUAAAACUCAGCAGGUGGUGGACAAUAGUUUGAUGAAAAUGCAGUCCCACUGUUAAUAUUCCUCUCCAACAACGCCUGCACAAUGAACCUUAAAUGCAUUUUUAGAUGUUCUCUUUUCUUUUUCCGUUUUCGAUUGAGAGUCAAGGCAUUUUGAGUUCUUUCAAAUUCAUAAAAUGCGAGAUCUCAGCUUUCUUUUAUAUGAAAAACAAAAAGUUAGUAUAAGAAAUCUAAGGAACAAUGGUAAGUGAAGAUAAAACUUUCACUAAUCCAAUCUACAAUUUUGUGUUUUGUUUUAAUCAAGAUAUGUCAAAUUGAUGGAGCUUGUACAUAACUUGAAGCUUCAAUCACCUCCAUCACAACUUCUGCAGCCCUGAUUCCUGUCAGCUUAGUCAUAGCUGAGUCGAAUGCUACAAAGAGAGAUUUAUCAUCACCCGCCUACACCAGCAGCUCAACACGAUACCUUGCGAUUGUGUUUUUUUUUUCCAAAUAGUUGGCACAAAUAACAAAAGGCUGUUUUUAAUGAGCAAGUUUAAUAUAGAUAUGUGAACCGAACCUGACAACUCCAACAACACUGGCAUUAAAACAUGUAGGGCAUGUGAAUGAAGAGUUCCCUCGCUGGAGCUUCUUGGAGCAUUUAGCACAGGAGAUGUAUCACCAUCCGUUUGUAGUUUCCAGUGAUGCGAUCUUGGCUUUGCAUAGAAACUCAAGGGCCUGCAGUUAUUAAAGAAUUUUGGUCUUAGUCCACAGAAGCAUGAGGCUGAGGCAGAAAAUUAUCAGAACCUUACUUGUGGGGGUGACUCCAGAACAUAGUUGUUCAACUCUCCUAGUGAAACCUUUUCGAGCUUCUUUACACCAUGGUACUGCUUCGCACUGGUAGUGUCCUUCUCGGGUUUUGAAUACAACCUGCAUAUUGUAUAUAAUCAGAUAUGAACAAAGACAUGUGUAGAUUAUUUUUAGACAUGUGAGUAAUAAGAUGAGUACUCUUGAAAUAGUCUCUGGCUUGCGGCCACCUCAUGGUCAAAGUAAAAAUGGAUCCCAGAAGUAGCAUCCAGGUAUAGUCGACCUAAAGAAAAAAUUAAAUUUAUUUAUAUUUGUUAAUGUACAUAAGCAUAUGAUUUGGAGUGGAAAUAAAUAAAAAAAUGCUUGCCCCCUAUAAACUUGGGGUUGAUGUUGGUUGCGACGAUCACCUUUGCCACACCGAAUGUUACCUCCAACAAACUUGGGGUUAAUGCUGGUUGCGACGAUCACCUUUGCCACACCGAUGGCCAAGAUAUUUUGUUUUAGCUGGUCCGCUUGUGCAUCAAAAACACUUAGAGAAACAGUUGUAGAACUGCAACUAAGUGUAGUUCCAUAUUAGACUUCGAAUAUAAAUUAUGUAAACACAUACCUAUUAUGAAUCAAUCAUCGCACCUGUUAAUCAUAAUGUGUUGAGCUGUCCAAGUCUGAUCAUUAAAAGUAAUGUUGAUGUCUCGUACAGCCCCUAUGAUGUCUACAAAGGUUAGGUUUAGUUUGAUUAUACAUCGAUACAAUAAGAUCUAAACUUUAUGAGUGAAAAGCUUUAAACUUUAUGGGUGGUUUUGGUAAAAGUCGAAACCUUUCGAUACAAUAAGACGUUAGAAAAAAAAUACAGAUUAACACGUUCCUAACCUGGUAACUGAGUAUUAGUAUUUGCCAAAGACAUCGGCUUAAAUCACUAAACCAUUUAAGAGCUACUAAGAUGAGGAAGAGAAGAGAAAGGCUUCGACUUUUAUUAAAACCACCCAUAAAGUUUAAAGUUUUUCACUCAUCUAACAAAACCCUUAUCAGCAUAGAACAGAUUAAGAGAGAGAUAUCUUCUUACAUAGCCAUUGAAUUGCUGAGCAGCUGCCUUAACUUCAGACACAGAAGAGAUAGCCACGAACCCGAAACCCCUGCUUCGUCAUGUCACUUUGUCAUAGAUCACCUAACAAAGACAAAUGAACUAAUCUCAACUCAACAACAACAAAAAAGAACAUAUCUUUGUCUCCUGCGGAAUCCCAUUGCAACAUAACAUUAACUACAGAGACAACUGAACUAAUCUCAACUUAACAAAAAUAAAAAGAAUCAAUCUUUGUCUCUUGUCGGAAUCCCCAUUAUGACAAUAACACAAACCACUUCAAAAAGCAUAAAGAAUGAUUCUUUCAUACCUCAACCAUCUCAACGUUUCCGGCGCUUUCGAAGAGCUGAGCGAGCUGAGCACUAUUGACUUAAAGGGAAGGUUGCCGACGAAGAGUUUAAGGUCAGCAGAGAAGGAUUGCUCCUGCUGCGGAGGCGGCGGAGCCUCAUCGGAGAAAAUGUUCCCUUCUUCUUCUACGUUGAAGUCGUCUGUAACCGCGACGUUGCGGACGAAGCGAGACGCGGCAGAUGAAGCGAAGAUGGAGAGGGAAAUGGAUUGGGAGUUGAGUUCGAAGGAGAGGGAAGAGGUAGGAUGGAAGUGGAGGCAGGUUUGGAGAUGGAGAAGGUGGAGAGAGCGAGGGAUGAAGCUGAAGCAGCCAUGGAGGAGGAAGAGAAGAGAUAGGGUUGACGGCAUUGCGUCGAAUUCUACUGGGCUGGCCGGCUAGUCUUUUUAUCCACACAAAAGGCUUAAAAGCUAAAACGCAUAUAUAAGCCCGUAUCAAUCCAUCGCCAAGUUAAUGAAACGGUGUGUUUUAAUUUAUGGGACAGGUGUAGCUUCCUCCUUGCACUAUUUGAUGAGGUGGCAAGAGGAAAAGAGAAUAACCUUCUACUUUAUGUUAUAAGAUUAUCAGCAAAGUGGUAUUCGAUAUAAUCUCAGAAAUAUGGUAAAAAAAUUUAUAAUGUGAAAUAAACAUAAACCUAUUAUAUUAUAUAAACUUUUUAUUUGGAUUGGUUAGUUAAUUAUGAUUAUUUCUUUGAUAUACAAUGCAAUUUCCUUUUUCUCUUUUUUUAAUUAGUAAUCGUAAGAAUGCACAGUCGGUUGCUUUCGCAAUGUAUGUGGAAGAAAAAGAUAUAGAAUAUGUGUUCGUUCGUCUGUCUAACCUUUCUUUCGGGCUCUUCUUUCGGAAGAAAGGUUAUUAAAAAUGUUAAAUGGAGGAACGAAUAGAAUCAUGGCAUUAGUACUUUACGUGUGAAAUCUAAACAUGUAUUACAACAAUUUAAGAAUCAUUGCAAUAAAACAUUCCGACACCUAUAAAUAUAUUACUUUAUCCAAUGUACAUUAUAUUCUACUUUCUUAAACAAUUGAUCCAUUGUAACUUCAUAACCACCAUUCCCCGUAUCAAACUGGUUCCAACCAUGGACUUAAUUCAGCAUUCUCCAACUGUUAUCGUUUGUACUCGUCCACGAUACAGAAACAAAGAAGAGUUUCGUUCAGCACGAUUCAAAGAUUCACCAAUUGUAUUGUUCGGUUUUCCCGGUCUAGAAAACGAUAAGGAGUCCCCGCCUUCAGAUAAUACCCAUCCGCUUGUAUGGUGCCGCAACGAAGAAAACAAAGAUAAAGAAUUUCCAUGCAACUUUUGCGAGCGUCAGUUAGAUAGCACCACAGGCUAUUAUUUAUGCGAAGAGUUCGAUAAGAGGAUUUCUAAAAACAACACUGUUGGUUUUCAUAAAGAGUGUAUCAAACCGAUGACCAACAAUCCUUAUCAUCCUAAACAUCCGCUCCAAGUUCUCGUAUUUGCAACAGUGGUACCAAACAAAGUAUGCUAUUGUUGUUACACUUAUAAAACUCACUUUUACUAUUGUUUUAUAUGUAAUUUUAGCAUUUGUCGGGAUUGUGCGAGAAAACCGCUACUCCUUACAAUAGACCACAAGAAAAGGCAUGAACAUACACUCUACUACAUUCCUCGAGAAGCCUCCAUGACUUGCGAUGUUUGUGCUUUGCAUGAUCGAAGGUACUUUAUUUAUGUAUGUCAUCAAUGUGAUUAUGUAGUCCAUAAAAAGUGUAUAUAUUCACCAUACGUCAUAAAAAUUUCUCGUCAUGAACAUCGCCUCUCUUUCACUUCUUCGUUUCUUUCUGGAGAAUGGUUUUGCGGAAUUUGUCGGAAAAAAAUAAACCAAAAUUAUGGAGGAUAUUCUUGCGUGAAAGGUUGUUAUUAUGUUGCUCAUUCCCAGUGUGCUAUACAUAAAGAUGUAUGGGAUGGAAAAGAACUUGAAGGAGAACCAGAAGAAAUAUUUGAAAGCAUUAUGCCGUUUGAAGAGAUAAGUGAUGGAAUUAUAAAACAUUUCAGUCAUAAACAUCAUAUGAGACUCCUCAAAGAAGUUGAGAAAACAAAUAAGAUUAACAAACACUGUCAAGCAUGCGCAUUUCGGAUUUAUGAAGGUGACAUUUAUAAUUGCUUGGAAUGUGAUUUUGUUCUCCACAAAGUAUGUGCGUAUCUUCCAGUUAAAAAACAACAUGUGUUGCAUCCUCACCCUCUCUUCUUACAAGAGGAAAAUCUACAAACUACGUUUGGGUGUUCAGCUUGCUUUCGUGUAUGCAAUAAUUUCAGGUAUGUGUGUCAAAUGGCCAAUUGUCUUUUCACAUUAGACGUGAAUUGUGCAGCUGUAUCUGUACCACUUAAUCAUCAAUGUCAUCCACAUCUUUUGUUCCUACCAUCUCAACCUGGAUCUGAAAGAAUUUGUUCGAUUUGUAAGAAAACUGAAAAGAUCCGUUUAGAAUGUGGAGAAUGUGAUUUUGUGUUUUGUUUUCGCUGUGCAAUUCUACCAAUGAAGUUCAAGUACCAGCAUGAUGAACAUCCUCUCAUAUUUUCAUAUGAAGAAGACUCGAAUGGUCAACACUGGUGUGAUGUCUGUGAAAAAGAAAUACUACCCAAGAAUGGAAUAUAUACGUGCAGUGAUUGUGACAUCCAACUCCAUAUCGAAUGCUUACACGGGAACAACAUGUAUUUGUUACCUUGUAAAUCGGUUAUACUUAAUGAAGGAAAAUACGAUAUUCUUUGCAAUGAUCUGCCCACACGGUACACAUGCAAACGAUGUCAUAAACGUUGCGAAGACAAGACCGUCUACAAGAGAUCCGACGAUGUAAUCUAUUGUUCUAUGUAUUGUAUAGUCUGUGAGAAAUAUGGAAUCAAAAAUUAAAUAAAAUAAACCAUGUAUAAAUAUUAUUUAUAAUAGUUGAAUAUUAAUAUUUAUCACAAAUUUAAAUUCUGAUAUGCCAAACUAAUUUCAAACGUCUGAGUCAGAGAAAAAUUGAUCACAUUAGCUGCAAAAGUUUCUGGUCAUAUUCAUAAAACAAAACCUUGGAGACAUAAGAGCAUCUUUGAAGCUAAACCGUUUCACAGUUUCUUAGUUUUAAUUUUUUAUUUUUUUUUUUGACUAAAUUUUUUUAAAAAAGUAAACUAAUCGUGCGCCACCACGUAUCGGUGGAACCCGCAAACAGUACAAAAACUUAACUAAAAUCAGUCCUUAUUUAGUUACUUUUGUCAUCAGUUGUUAUGGUUUUUGUGGGACCUCCGAUUUAAGAAACUCCCUAAUAACCCGGGAUAAAGAUGGUCUAACAAUUAGUCAUUUUAGCCCCAAAAAACGGAAAUGCAACAAAGUUUUCGGAAACAGGAAAAUAUAAUGUCUACUUUGAGGCCCUUUUCUUCAACGAUUAAAGCGACUAAUCUGUUGAUAGUUUUCAUCAAUAGACUCUUUAACAGCAUCAACCACCAGCUGUGUCUUCCGGCUAAUGCUUGGCCAAAACCCAACAGGCUUUGCACAUUUGUCCUUCAUUUCUCCAACCAGCCUGACAAAUUCUUUCACCAUUCACGCCUCUUGCGGGAGCUCUGUCUUAACCGUUUGUUCACUCGGAGGAUUAACCCACGCGGUCACGGGCUUAUUGAACCAAGCUUUAGUGCACGUGGUGAACGAUGCUUCGGUCUCUUGGAACGGUAUAACAAAGUCGUCAACACGAACUAAGCCUUUUGUUCCAAUGGCUGAUAUCUCAAUUGUUAGGUUUGCCAAGAAAGAGCCGUAUAUGGUUGCAGUUCGUCCGUCUUCCCAGGCUCAGAAACGCUCCACACGAGAGAAUCACUCCUGACUAGUUCAGGACAGUGCCUAGAGAGGCCGUGACUGUUUUGGGAAGCUCAAAGUUGUUGGCUACAAGGGCUGCUCGGAUUGCGUACCAUCCAAGGUCUCCGAGCGCAUCAAGACCAUCAAAGAUAUAGUCUUCGGCGAGAUAUAAGAGAGUGGUGAUAGAGAGAAAACCAGGAGCAAAGACAGCGACAUGCGUAGAGCUUUGAAGAGUCGAAAAAGAAAACACUACCUCUAAUGGAGGGACCCAAUAAAAAAUUAGCAGUUUCUUCGUUUUGUGGGAAGAUUAGCUUAAACAAAAAAUAAACGUUCAUAAAAUAGUAUACCCUAAUGUAAUGCCCACCAACCAAUUGCAAUGUUAAAAACUCUUUAAUCAGAUGAUAUACAUGUAAAAAUCAAACCGAUCUUUUGCAUGCUGCAAAACAAUUUGAAACCUGAAUAUUGUAAAAAGAACACUGCUCUUUUCAGAGAAUCAUAGCAACCAUGGAAUGAAACAUGCUUGGGAAAUAAGAUAACAGAAUCACUCAUCAAGAGAUUAAUCGUAUCAUCUUCAGAACAAUGUCAAAUUUAUACGACUUUCAAUUUGAUUCAAAAUAUUAGUUCAAAAACAAAAUCAAAACACGACAUUUGAGAGAAUAACUCCAGACCAAACUGACCAAUACUCAUAAAUCAAUAUUUUUUCCAAGUAUAUUUCCAGAAAUAAUAAACUUUUAAUGAUGAUAUGGACUCCGGACAAUCCAAAUUGCAAUCCCUCAAAAAAGCUCUUAUAAUCUACAUGAAGUCGAAAUCGUCCAUGGCAUCAUAAGGACCAGCCACUAGAUCGUCAUUGGCCUUAUCUACAAUCAGUUGUUUCUUUUUCCCACCUGAUCAUCACAAAAAAAAAAGGAUUCACACUCAACUUCAGAAUAACGAAAUCUACAAAUAUAUAACCCAAAAAUUAAAAGGCGAGUGUCAAUGGACAUACCAGUCUUCUUUCUGCCAGCAGCAGCUUCUUUCUCUGCCUUGAGUUUUUCAUUUGCUAUAGCUGUAACGGAGGAAGCAACAUCUUUAACAUCUGCUGCCUUCAUGUUGGUCACGGAAAGUCUCAUGACUGCUUUGAGUAGCGCAAUAUAAUGAUAACUUUUCUGCAAACAGAAACCAAAAUAUAAGCUCAACAAGCGUUUCCUAUUAAGCAAAGGAGAAGAAAGGCUAUGCAAACAUACCUCAUAUGGUUUAAGCUUAUGAGAAAUCAUUUCAGCAUAUUCCAAAAAAUCGCUUUCAGACUUGGGGAUGAACACAUCAAGUUUUUUCUCUUCAUCCUUCGUUCCAAAUAGCUCAGCAGUUGCCUUAUAGUCAGCUUCUUCAACAAGCCUGUGAGAGAAAGAACAUAAUGUAUAAGAACACACAGCCUUUGGUCUAUUUAUAAAAUCUCUGUCUCAACAAAGACAAAAAACUGAAAAAGUAGAAGGUUUAUAUACCUCUGCAUGCGAAGUUUCUCAGAGAUGGGAUCUAAAGGCUCUUCCUUUGGUGCUUGUUUUGGAACAUCGGCUGCUUUACCCUUCUUUUCAACAGCUUUGGAUGCUGCUUUCUUAGGAGGAGUCUUCUCCGUAGCAGGCUUAACAGGAGCAGGUUCGUCAACAUCAUCAUCGUCAUCCCAAGAGUCCUUAAUAUCAUUCUCAUCUACAUCCUCGUCGUCCCAGUUGCUUUUAAGCUCAACUUUAGCUGGAAUUGGUGCAAGUUGCUCAUCCUCUGAAAUCAUUAAAAUAAAAACUAUAAGCAAUCAAAACUCCAAUAAGAUGCAAGUGAAUCAAUGUUUGUAAUGUGAUUAGAGAUAGUUAUAAUCAGAAACACACAAUAAAGAAUAAAAGAAAGCAUAAUCUUACCCCAAUCAUCCAUAAUUGCUGCUAGUUAUCGAGUAAAAAAUACAAGCUGAGAUCUGAAUCCAACUGUAAAACCUGUCGGACAUAUACAUAAGCAUCAACAGAGAUCAACAAUUACCUAAUCGUACAAAGCUAAGUCUCAAUUCGAGAAGCAAAAAAAACAUAAGCAUGGGCAACUUAAAGGAAAAACACAACAGAGAUCAACAACAGCUUUGAAAGAAGAGAUUUUUUUUAAAGAUCUAGAAGCGAAAGCAGAAACCUUUGAAUAAGAUAACAUACCGAGACAAGGAAGAGUUACAGCCGAGGAAGAUGAAGAAGCGUAGUUCGUUGUAAUGAGGCGAUAGGCUUUUAAACGGCUUGGGGGUUCCUGGUUUCGGUGGAUUUAGGGUUUUUUUUUUUUUAAAUUCCUCUUCUCUUUUGAUAUAUGUCUUUUUCUAAAAUCUUUCCUUUUUACGCAAAGAAAAAAAAGAAAAGUAUGCUGGCCUAGCCGAAAUCUCACAAUUUUUUUUGUUGUCUUCUCGGUUAGAUUCAUAUGGUCGAACCGGUCACAAGUGUCCCGAAUAUUAAAAUCUUCCUUUUUCCAAAUUAGGUUUUCUUUCAAUUUUCUUUUUGAAAUAUUAAUUUGAUUUUUAAAAUGUGUUACUUGUUAGUACAAAAAGGGAAAGAAUAAGAAUUUAAUGAGUUUGAAAAAUAGAGCAAUAGAAUUUGGAUGUGACAGAAACUCCGGUUUUUAUGCCUGAACAACUUGAAAAACCUUAAAAUAGCCAUGCAUCAGACUUGAAAACGAUGACCAUCUUAUGUUAUUUGCAUACGAUAAGUCUUUGGAUCCAAAGUGCAGAAGUCAAUGAAGCUCAGAAUCAAAAGUACAUUGGGCAUUGAUAAAAAAGGAGGAUAAUGCAUGAAAGCAGAGGGUCAAUGGAUGGUUCAAAUAAAUAAAAAAAAACUCCUUAACUUUGUUCGGGACAGGGCAGAGGGUCAAUGGAUGGUUCCUGAAAGCUUUGUCGCGAAGGGGUAAGGGAGUACUCACUAAUUCCAUUGGAUCGACAAUGGCAAUCUAUGCCAUGACGUGCUACAAGCUACCAACGAACCUUUGCGAUAAACUCACAAGUGUUUUGCCACAAUUCUGGUUCGAAUCAUAAAAAGUCAUGUUGGUUUCAUGGCAAAAACUGUGUCCGAAAAAGAAGAAGAAGGAAUAGGCUUCCAUGACAUCAGCAGCUUCAACCAAGCAUUAUUACACGGAAGCAAGCAAGCAAGCAAACAUUUGUUUUGUUCUUCAACUUUCAUCUACUUUAUCAAACUAAAAGAUAACAUUUUAAUUUGCAUAUUACGUUAUGAAACAUGAUGGUAUCUGAAUCAGCAUCCGCUUACUGAAACUGUGAUUUAUAUGCAAACCAAGAACACUAAUUCCCUCACAGUUUCUCAUUGGCUACAAACUCUUCUAGUCUUCUUCAAUUCACUGUAUAGAACUCAAGAUCAAAUAAGUAAAACCGUCAAGAUAGCGAAGUGGGGAAUCCCAGUAAUGAUUAAAGUAAGACUUUCCAUUGCUCAUGAACAGAACCAGAUCUGAAACAGCAUCAAUUUCAUGGAUCUGUAACUCACAAGCUAGCAAAUAUUUUACUCAUUGGCAAACUGAAUCGAACUACAGUUUCUUAUACAGAACCCAUAAUCAAGUAGCGAAAAAACUAAGCUUUGAGGUUAAGACAAGAUCAAAAGACGCAAAAAACAAAACCAAACCAUUCUACAAAGCAAAGCUUUUGAGAAAACCAGGAUCACGUUUAGCUCUCUCCUGAAACUUCUUAAACCACCGAUCCAAUAUAUCCAUCGGAACAACCAACUUGCUCCCAUCCACGCCGCAAAACGACUGCAUGAAAUUAAACAGAUUCUCCCCAACUCUCAUCGCCAACCGCUCGAUUUUCCUCUCCGCCGCCACAUCCAACGACGGAAGCGACGCCGCGUCCUCCACCGAGAUACCGAUUUUCGCCGACAAAGGACCCGAAUCCCCCGCCGUGAGCUGCAUCUGCGCCGCGCUUCCAGGCUCCGGCCACUGAAGGGACAAAACCGCCGAGGGUCGAGAUACGGUUACGGCGCCGCAGAAGGCGAAGGCGGAUCCUGGGGAUUGGACGUAGACGGCUAGUGCUUUGUCCGGUGGGAGAGUGAAGUUGUUGAGUAGGAAGAUGCACAUCUCUCCGAUUUGGUCGUAUGCUUCGCCUGAGAGGGGAAAUUGAUUUUUUUUGGAUUUGAUUAAUUUAGGUUUUAUUGGGAAGAUGAGGAGACGAGGAGGUGAAGACUUACCAACGAAGUGGUUCAUGUCGAGAACCCAGUGGAAAGUGUCGAUUUGGACGAAGGUUGAGAUGUCCAUUGGGAAACUUCUAUUCGGGAAGACCACGCCGAACAUUGUUUUUAUGUUUUUGUCUGUUGAUUUUUGAGUUUUGGGAGGUCUUGAGUGAUGAAAGAAAAAAGAAGAGAGAAGCAGAGCGGUUGUUGAGAUGAUUCUAGAAGCCUUUGGAAAUAGUUACAACUUACAACAGUUCCGCACUGAGACUGUGUGUCGUGUCCGUGUCAAUUGAAGGAUAUGUUUUUUACGGCCUUUUUAUAUUCGUUAAAUGAAAAUAAAGCCCACAAGGAUGUUACAAAAAUGGUUAUAGCGGUUGUUGAGUGAAGGGAGAAAAAAGAGAGAGACGGAGCGGGUGUCGAGAUGAUUCUUGAAGCAGUUGGAAAUAGCUAUAACAGUUUCGCACGGAGACUGUGUGUGUGUGUGUUAUUUCAAAAGGGUUAACAACCAAAGCAAUAAAAUAAGAGAAAUUACAUGAAAAAAUAGAAGAAAAGUGAAGAAGAAAUGUAGCAGGCGCUUAUUAUAAAACAUAGUUAUGGAUUAUGUUUUAAACAGUCGGGAAAGCAUCUUAAAAUGAACGGUGUUGUCUAAAUAUUACUGGACAUGGUAGCUGUCACUCGACCCUCUUUUGUAUAGAUUUUGUCGUUUCAGGUUUGCUUUGCAGCCUGUGUUUGUUGUUUGAAAUAAAGCUUGGCUGGCUUGUGGGUGUGUUUGGUCUCUGGUCUAGCAGUCUUUGCGUGUUGGAAUCAAAUUAGAAGGUCUUUAGCAAGCUGUUUUUAGGUGUACCUAUCAUAAAAAUCUGUUCAUUGGGUACGCCAAUUUCUACCGGGCUCAGAAUUUCGUAUUUCACUGCGGUUCAUCCUUUUGCGGCAAGCGACUAGUACCGACUGUGAUGGUUCCUUGUGGGUUUUUAGCUGGUUGUAUCUUCCCCUUCUUGUUCAGUUUGAGUUGUUGUUUAGUUAGUGUAGUUGUUUUUUAUUUUCUGUUUUUCGUUUACUCUGUAAUUCUGUCAAAAAUUAAAAUUGGUAAUGAUAUUUUAACAUUUUUACCAAAAAAAAAAAAAACAUAUUACUACAGAGGGCUCAUAAAAGCAAAACACCGAAGUUGAGAGAACUCUGAACAGCUAAGAUGGAAAGCCUAGGAUGGUAUCAGGCUGUGCAACGGUAAGAUGGAAAUCUCUGUGUUCUCCCAAAAGUUGACGAACAGUGGAGAACAUGGCGUCUUUUUCUAAGUUUUCGUCUUUAGAGAUUACCAGGACAUAGACUGGUUCGUUACUACGGGCCUCCACCCAGAAAACCAUGUCUACUAGCAUCAUGCGGAUUCUGGAACCUCUAUCCCCUGGCAUAGCAUAUCAACAGAGACGUACAUAUUAAGUAACAAUAAAAAAAUAAAAGGACAGAAUAGAGGUUAUGAAUUGAAUUCACCUCUAAGUAAAAUGGGCUUCAUUCCAUAGUUGCAAUAUUCUUCAGCCUGUUUAUCAGAGAACUGAUUCUUAUCACUAUAGAAAGCCUUGGUUGACACCAUCCCAUGAUAACCUUCCUGCCUUAAAUGGAUUCUAACUUUCUCUUGGAUCUCAUUCGGUUCAGGGAUUGGGAUAUCAUCAGUGUCCAACAUGACACAUACGGAUGUCACUGCCACGUUACACAAAAAUGAUAAUUUACGAAAAAUCAGACAGCGAAAAUAUACAACGAAUUAGACUCUAUUCAUUUUAAUACCGCAUGACUGAUCAGAUGCGAUCAGUAUCUAAACAACCUUUAUAUACGAAUUCGAAUGUGACAGAUCGAUCAGAUGAAAUCUAAUUAAAACUACAAACAAUUUCGAGUAAGGGAUAUAUCUUACCAGACUUUUUACUGCCGAGAUCUUUGAGCGUGCGUGAGAUUCCGAUAGGGUCCAUCGAGAAAAUUUGAGACGCUUACGAUUGGAAGCUAUUUGUUCAAACGGUCGCCUUUGUGGGGUUUAGGGCUAGAUCUGUUCUACAAUCUCGCCCUCUCCGUCUGAUUCUAAAAGGCCCAUUUGUCGUAAUUUGCUUUUUACUACUUAACUAGAGUGUCCGUAUCUAUUGAAUGAAAUGUUCUUGGGGGCCUUUUUGUAUUCGUCAAGCUCACAAGGAUGUUACAAAAAUGAUCUCUAAAGAUGGAAAUUGGUAAAAAAAAGAAGGAAUACUUGCCACAAGUAUUAAAAUUUCUUGUUAAUAAUCUCUUAUAUAUUAUUUGAGAAGCAUUACAACUUCUUUUUGUAGUCAUGUGUCAUCACUAUGAUGAUUCUUAGAAUUUUUAAAGAAAUAUGAUGGUCCAUCUAAUUAUAUAAUAAAUUUUUAUUAAACUAACAAUAAAUUCAUUAUUAAUAUACUUUAUUAUUUCAUUAAAUAAAAUUUCUGGAAUUGUCUUCUUUUUUUUGGUCAAAACGGAAUUGUCUAAUGUGGCUAACAUAUAUAUGAUGAUUAAUGAUUUUGAAUAAUAAAGAUUUGAUAAAAAAAAUUUGUGUAUCUUAUAUCAUAUUUGUUUAAUUUAAAACUAUUAAAUAAAUUAAACAACCACAAUAACCAUAUAAUAAAAAUUUAGAUUUUUCUGUAUAUGUUAUAUUUUGAAUUUAAAAAAAUGACUAUAAAUUACUAAAACUGUUAAAAGCUUCACAUUCAAAUUUUGUGAUCCAUGGUUUAAAAAUUUUGUUAUGACAAAAUAUAAAUGAUUACAAAAUUAUAUAAGUAAAAAGUCUAAUUUAAUUAAUUAUUAAUAUUAAUAUAUAUAGUUUUAAAUUAAACUAUAAACCAUAUAAAAUACAUAAAUAUUUUAGUUUCAAUAUUUACUUUGAACAAUUUUUUUGAUAAAAGUUUUGAACGAAUAUUAACAACUUAUUUUUUAAGAAUAUAAAUUAGUAAAACUAUUAAUCCCACAAUGAAAAUUUUGUUAUGAGUAAUUUAAAAUUUUUUCAAUAAAAGAUACAAAUGAUCAAAAAAACUAUCUGAAUAGAAAUCAUCAUUUAAUAGACAUUAAUAUUAAAAAUAUACUAUGUAUGUUAGUAUCAUCUAAAUUUAAUUACAUAUCCUAUCAAAUAAAAAAAAUAUUUUUUUGGAUUAAUAAAAUUGAUUUAUAUGUUCACACCAAUUUAAUUAUAUAUUUAAUAGUUAAUGACUUUUAAUUAUUCAAUAUAUAUUUAUUAUUUCAUAAUAUGUAAAGAUAUUUAAUACAUAAAAUAAUUUUUAUAUAUAAUCUUAACCUAGUAUUCAUUGUUUUGCUUCCUCAAGGUUUAAUGAAAAGCAUUGAAAUAUAUCAAAUUUCCUAAAGUUCUAAAUUUCAAUUUUCUGGAAACAAGAUCUUGACAAAACGCUGGUAUACAUUCCCAGCUCUAAUUUCAUUAAUGGACCGACUCAAAACGUAUCCACAAACUCAAAGAAAGAACCCAACUUUAUAGACUUCUCAGUAACCAAUUACAAACCGAAAGUCCCAGAAUCGGUUUAAGCAGAGUGCAUACCAAUUAGGCCCUGGACGAAACCCGAAUCCAAUCCUGUACCUCCCAUAUAAUACCUAUCAAGAACAUCAUGAAUCAUCUUCGCAGCAACCUUCGUAUCAUCUCCAAGUCCAUCGAUCCUCUUAAUCAUCAAAGCCAAACGCGACACGAACUCAUACUCACGCCCACGAAACCUCAUAGCUUCACCACGCACUUUCCUCACUAACCUCAACAGCCCUUUACGCACAACCGUAUCUCGUUUCCGCACGUUAACCAUCUCCCAAACCGAACUCACAAUCGCGUAAACCGAGUCCCAAACCAAAUCUUUCCUCUCCAAGUUUAUCAGCUGCAGCAUCAGAUUAAAACCAGCUUCCAACGCUAAACACCAUUCUUCAUCAUCUUGAUGAAACAAGGCUUUAACGAUCUUGAACGCGAGAUCAUUCUCCAGCAACGGUUUCAAGAAACCUUCGUCGAGAACAGUCGGUAACUCCACGAACAUCAGUAGCAUUUUCUUGUCAUUUAAAGAGAGGAUGAAGGAAGAGAGCUCCUCCCACGGGAUGGAUUCGAUGAAGAAAUCAACGGAGACGAGAGAUACGAUUCUCGAGAGGAGCUUAAACUCACGAUCAGAGGUUUCUUGAAGUACAAGGCAAGCGUUAAGAUGCUCCUUCAUGUCCUUCAGCGCCUCUGUUUUCAACGCGACGUUAGACUCUUCGAGAUCGAUGAGAAGCGAAGUGAGGAGUUCGAGGGGGUAAGAUCGAAGGCCUGAGCGAGAGGAGGAGGGAAACGCCGCCGUCGUCGUCAUGAAUCUGUAUGCGUGGAGGAGUUUGACGGCUAAGAGAUUCGGGAAAUGAUUCUUGAAGGUGUUGUAGAGGAGACUCGAUGAUUCGUCUGAUUCUUUGGCGUAGCAGAGGUUCGUGACGAGUCUGGUGAUUCCUGUGGCGUCGCGUGUCGCGAGGAUCUCUUUGGCUUUGUUGGCGAUGUAGAGACGAGAUGAAGUGAUGGGAGGAGGAGGGUGAGAUGAAGAAGCUCCACUGUUGUUGCUUCGAUUGCCUGAAGAAGACGCCAUACUGAUUUUUCCUGAGAAAGUUUGUGUUUGUUCUCAGAGAAAAGGAUAAAUCAUGAAGAGAAAGAGAUUUGAUGUAAUCUUUUCUAUAUAUAUUCAUUCGCUCUGGUGACUUUGACGAUUGUAGUUUAUCGUUAGAAUGACCAAAUUACCCUUCAACAGGUAGUGCACUCUGUUAAAAUGCUCACGUGUUGAUCACGAGCUCUUUUCCUAUUGGAGUGGGGGCAAUGGGAAUAAAUCUGAAACAAACCAAGCUUAACCAAAUUGAAAUUCAUCGUUGCGAACUGGUACCUGUUCUUAUUAUUAUAACCUGAAUUUUUUUUUUUUUUUUUUAUUAUAACCUGAAUUGCGCUGAGGAUUAUAAUGAGUCAACCAAAUUCAACAAAACUAACAAAUUCAGAAAGUAUGCAGAAUUUUUUUGUCUCUAGACUUAUAAGGUUAACUAAACUUGAUAAUUUAUUUGAACCUUUACCAUAAAUGUUUAUAAACGAUUUGAACCUUAAAAGACCAAUAGCCUACUUAUUAAAAUUAAAAACCCAGAUAACCCGAACCGAACCAAACUGAAGAAACCGAGUAUAAAAUCGUAUGACAGAAAACACUAGGGCUGUUCAAUAUGGUAAAACCGAACCGUACCGAACCGAACCGAACCGAAAUAGACAAUAUGGUUUGGUUUUGGUAUAUACCAUAUAAACCGAAUGGAUAUAAUUUUAUAAAAACCGUAGGAUUUGGAUAUGGUUUGGUAUAUAACCGAUUAAACCGAAUAAACCGAACAAAACCGAUUAAAAGUAGAAACACGUAAAUAUGUAUCUAUUUUAUAACAAUACAUGAAAAUCUAUUUGUUACAUAAGUUAAAUUUGUGUUAAUAACUAUUACCAUAAUUUUAUAGUAAUAAAGAACCUUAAUUUGUAAAAUAUUUGAACUAUAAUUAAAUAACAAUGCAUCGCAAUUCAGACAUCUUAUUUUCUAAGUCUUUUUUUGAUCUUUUUGCUUUAUUUUAGUCUUCACUAAAUUAAUAUGAAGAUUAUAAAUUUGAUGGACAAUAAUUAAUGAAAAAUUUUCACAACUUUUUUCUGUAAACAAACAGAGUUUCGUGUUCAAUUGAAAAAACAUGACUUUAAUGAACACUAAAUAGGGAAGAGUGAAAAAACUUUUUUUUUAUAUUUCUGUUUUGUUUCAUAUUUUUAUUUUUAAAAUUUCAAGCUUUGAUUUUUGUUAUAGAUUUGAUUAUUUUAUUUGAUGGUAGAAGCAUUUUUAUUUUUUUGUUCAUUUAUUUGAACAUAUAAUAUAUUUUUAAUAAAUGACUGUGUUGACAAUAUGACUCUAAAAUUCAUAUAAUAUGAUCUCAAACUAAAUAAUUAUGUUUUUUGGUAUAAAACCGAAUAAACCAAAAACCGACGGUAUAUAAACCGAACCGAACCGAAGUAAAUAUGGAUUUAGAAUGGUAGUUAUAUUUUACUAACCGAAAUACCGAAAACCGAAAAAAACCGAACCUAAACCGAACCGAUAUCCGGAUUGAACACCCCUAGAAAACACGCAUAAAAUGAAGAAGAUAAUUUUAAAUUCUUACCAUGGGCUCAUAAUUUGCCACGUAGAAAUGCCUUCAAAUCUCAUCACUUUCAUUAGAACAUCCAUCAGCUCAGUUCUGAAACACUACACUUCUGCAACAUUAAACGAAAAACAAUGGGUGACAAUACGGUGCGUAUUGGCCUUCUCGGAUGCAUCCGAUUCGCGUCAAAAUUCGUCAGAACGGUAACCCAAUCCUCUAACGCCGUUAUCAUCGCCAUCAGCGAUCCGUCUAUCGAAACCGCGAAUACCUUCGCCGCCGCGAACAAUUUAUCCCCGGAGACCGUCGCGGUGUACGGAAGCUACGAAGAGCUACUCGACGACCCACGCGUCGACGCCGUUUACUUGACGAUGCCUGUGACUCAGCGAGCGAAAUGGGCAGUGACGGCGGCGGAGAAGAAAAAGCAUCUCCUGGUUGAGAAACCGCCGGCGCAGAACGCGGCGGAGAUUGAUAAGAUCGUGGAGGCGUGUGAAUCUAACGGCGUACAGUUCAUGGACGGUACGAUCUGGUUGCAUCAUAAACGGACGGUCAAGAUUAGAGAAACGAUGUUUGAUUCUGGAUUGCUUGGAGACGUUCGCCACGUAAGCUUAGUCUUUUAGUUAAAUAUUGCAAACUGGUCCGUAGAUUAUGUUACUUGUUUAAUUGACCCAUAUAAUUAGAAGAACUCAAAUGCGCUUUAGCAUAUGUUACUUGUUUAAUACUGAAAAAGGCUUUCGUACAAGGUAGAUUAGUGAAUAUUAUUUCAUUAUUGUAUAGGUUAUAAAGCAGUACUAGUUAUGCUUUGAAUAGAUGUUGUUUAGUAAUAUGUGUUUGGCUGCCUGACAUUAAAUAUCAAUAUUCAAGAAAUCAUUAGGCGAAAAUUAUGUGCUCUGUAGAAGAAUAGCGAUUAGAUAGAUUAUUUGGUACAUAAGAAUUAAUAAAUUAUUGGUUUAUUUUAUAUAUAUAUAUAUAUUACAUUUAUAUAAGAUAUUUUAGUUUUUGGAUUUAAUUAUAAUUUUUUGAUGAAUUAUCAAAACUAGAUAUACAAAAAUUUUAUUUUUUGAGAAAGUGUAGAUUUGUAUUAAAAUUAUUAUUUAAUUUAAUAGAUUUAGACUAAUUAAGAUCGAUUUAAAUGAUAUUAUCCGAAUUAGAACAGGUUAACCUAUUUAAGUUGUAUAGAUCGGAUUUUAAGAAUCAUUUCGGCACAUGUUAAAAAAAAAGUGUUUCAGAAACAAACAAGUCAUUUCGGCUAGGACCUAGUAAACAUUGUCCACAAAGUGUUGAACUUUCUUUGAGCUAUAACAUGUGUUAUAUAUAAUGUUCAUAUAUGUUUUGCAGAUGUACAGCACGAUGACGACUCUGGUACCGGAGCAAGUACUGGAGAGACUGACCAAAGAAGCGAUGGGAUUAGCUGGAGCCAUCGGAGAGCUUGGUUGGUACCCUAUAGGAGCAGCUCUAUGGGCUAUGUCUUACCAGAUGCCAGUAUCUGUCAGGGCUCUUCCUUCUUCCGUCGCCACAAACUCUGUUGGGACCAUCUUGUCCUGCUCUGCCUCCCUUCAGUUCGGUUCAACCCCAACCGCAACGGCAAUCGUCCACUGCUCUUUUCUCUCUCAGCUCUCGACUGAUUUAGCUAUCUCAGGUUCUUAUGAUUUGUCUUUAUCUCCUAGGUUGAAGCAAAAUGUAGUAUUUGUAUCAACAUCAGUUGUUUGAAAUGGAUGGUCAGGAUCAAAAGGGUCAACUCAGAUGAAUGACUAUGUGAUCCCUUACAAGGAGGACACGGCUUGGUUCGAGUACACAAGUGGCGCUAAGUUCGCGGACUUGCACAUUGGCUGGAACAUGAUGCCGGAGAGAGUCACGGUGGACUGCAGCGGGAAUGAGGAGUCGCAGGAGGCGACGAUGCUGAGAGAGUUUGUGAGGCUUGUUCAAGGAAUCAAGCGGGGUGAUUCAGAGGCUGAUCCGAGGUGGCCAGAGAUCAGUAGGAAGACGCAGUUGGUGGUUGAUGCUGUGAAGAAAUCUGUUGAUAUUGGUUGUGAAGUGGUUUAUCGGUAAUUCUUUCGUAAUUAGAUUAUGAUAUUUAUAUUAGUAUAACUGAUAAAUUUACUAGUAUGGUACACAACUUUAAUAAGUCGAAGACACAUUACUUUCGGCGCAUGUUUCUACGGAUCUGGUUGUAGUUCUUACUAUCAUCAAAUGCUCUCCAUUUAUGUAUUUUGGUUGUAGUUCCCAAGUACUACAAUCGGCGGCACAUGAUUGUUGGUGUCGGAUCUUCCACAAUAGAUCCAGAUCGACUUAUAUAAUAUUCUCUCUAUUAUUAUAAAUACAAAGUAAUACUAUAUAUCCCAUAUAGUAGUAGCAUUCUUCACCAAUAUAAAUCGUUAAACGUAUCUUAAUUUUGACGUCAAUAAAAAUAUUAACACAUCUCAAACUUUUAAACGUUUACAAAUACAGUUUUCACAAUAAUAAAACUGAAGAUUAGAAAAAAGUUUCGUGUAUUUAGAGGGGGUUAAGCUCGGAAUAUGGUUUCAUGGAAGCUGGAUAUCUCCUUUAUUCUCUUUUAUGAUGUUUGCUAUCUAACCCUUCUAUGAAGUUUAUUGUCUACUUAAUGAGUUUUACGUUUUUUUCUUGUAGGAUUGCUACUACUUUUUGGUGGAUUAAUCAUCUGAUUAGUAUACACCAAGUUAAAGGAGAAAAAGCUCAAAAUGACAAAAUCCACCAAAUAGAUUAGGUGGCAUAAUGUCGCUUAGCUUUGCAUGGAGUGGUAUACAUGGCAGGUUUAUUCACUUUGCGUGGCUGAUUUCUUUCACUUAGCUCAGCCCUCAAAUCUCUCUCCUUUGUAAGAAAAAUCAUCUUCCAUUGAUCCCCUUGGCACGUCCUCACAUUUGGUUCCCUCCGUGCAAAGCCUCAUUGCCUAACGAAUCUUUUCUUGUAUUUCUUCAAGCAUCCACAGUUCUUGACUUCUUGUCCAACGAUUUAGCGAGCCUUCAUAAAAUCCAGUUACACUCAUCAGCUUAUAUAUGGCUAAAGUUGUUCUCCUCGUUCUUCAUGGGUCAACCCACAGUCAACGACUUUUAACUUUUCUAUAAUCCAUUUGAGUUUCAAAUCUAUCUCUGUAUGUCGAAUUUCUAUUUGUAUAUUGUCUGACGUUUUUCAACCUCUUGUAUAUACAGCCGCCAAAAGGUAUCUUAAAGACAUUGAUGCAAUUAGAAAUUUCUAAAGUAUACACCGAAACAAGUUAACGAGAGAAUAUAAUUUGAUGAUAAUGGUUUGUGAAAUUAUCACUGUACAUAAUAGAAUUAUAUGUAGCUCGUGCAAGCAAAUUAAGAAUUAAAAAAAAAAGAAGAGAUAGCUCAAAGCUUCAAGGUUAAAUCUGGAAGACAACUCUCCAUAUCCACUGCUUGUUUGACCUCCAAGAAAUCCACUUUACUUUCACCUAAAUUAUCAUUACAAGCUUCAGCCCUAACGGCACCCGCCGCUUGUCUGAAACUCCCCGGCCAGAGGAGCUCGGUAUCGUCGUCCUCCACGUAGAAAGGUACACAAUUACUGAAAUACCCCUGGUUAAACCUGGCAAUGUUUCUAAUAAUCGUUUCUGGUGCUGGCCUUGGGUCGUGGGACGAGCCAUGCGCCUGUAUUCCCAAAGUCCUUAAUGAUGUCAUGUUACCAUGCAGCGGGAGGCAAGAGAGAGCAGCUGUGGCGUAGGGGGUACUGGAUCCUCUUGGGAAAACCCCAGCCAGACCCAUACGCAUAGCACGUUUUGCGAGCGUUCUUUCACGUUUGUGUGCGUUCUGGUGACCGCCGAGAGCCUGAGAGCUGUAAAACUUCCUUUGACAGUAGUUGCAAGAAAAGACUCUCUUCAAUGCUGACGGUUGCUGUUGUUGCUGCUGCUGUUGCUCUGGGUUGCUACUUUCGCUCGUGCUCGAAAUUGGCAGCGUCAAAGAAGAUGAUUCAAGAUCCAAAUUGUUGUUGUUGUUGUUGAAACGGAGGCUAAGAUUCAGAGAGAUGGGUCUGCAGUAUUCUUCUACCGGAGACAAGUUCGAGGCAGCUUGGCUACUGGUAUCUUCUGGAUGAUUAUGUUCCGAUGAAGCUUCAGCCUCAAGGUCUAAGAUGGAUCUCAUAGUUUGGGCAGCAACUAAAGGUUGUUUUAUCUUUUUCUGCAACAAUUUUAUAUAUUUAGAGAAAGUGAAAAUGUCUAGAUCAGUAGUAAUUGAGAAAUACGUAGAAAGUAAUAAUAACUUUAAGAACUUAGAUGAUCACGAUUGGGUAUGUCCAACAAAGUUGAGAAUGUCUUUAGAUAAACUGUAAUAAAAAUUAUAAUUUAAGAAAUAACAAGUGUUUAGUGGUGGUCUAAGUGGACUUUGAGGAAAUUCAUAUUCCAAGCAACCCUGUGACAUUAUAGUUCUGUGGCCAUAUAAAUAUAAAACAUGUUUUAGGUUUCAUUAGAAAAUUCAGAGAAAUAGUUAAUUCGUGGACUGAAAUUAAUUUGAGUUAUUUAGAGGACCUCCAACCAUUAGAAAAUAUGUGGAAUUCUAAAAAAAUAAAAAAAUAAAUAUUUUAAUUAAAUAACUAAAUUUUUUAUUUUUUUUAAUUCUAAAAUACUAGAUACAUGGUUAAAGUUUAGAAAUGGUUCUAAGAGCAUCCCCGUUAAGGGAUUAUUGCUCAAGUUCACACAAUUCCUAAAAAAAAAAUUAUUAUAAUAAUCCACUUUUUGUGAAUCCAGGUCACGUGAGAUCUCUGCAGUGAUACGGGUUCAUCACUGUUUUGCGGACCUCACGAUACGUGGCGGCCCACAAUUUGUUCGACUAUUAUUAUUAUUAUUAUUAUUUUUAAAUCAAAUAGAAAAAAAAUCAAAAUAAUGAAAUAGGGAAUCACGCUUCUCAGUUCGCUGAUACAGAUGCCCUAAAAACACUUGUUUUAGAUUCUUUUUUCAUUCUCUCUCUUAUUUUAUUUUCUUAUUUUUAAUGGUGGUAUUCUAAUUAAAGAACCUCUAAUGAAGGUGGUUCUAUAGGUUUUAUAGAUCCUGAAUUACAAGAAAAAACAAGUGGGAGGAACAUUUGUGUGACUGACUCUAUAAAUGGUCCUAAUGAGUCAAUGACUAGACAACAUCAGAAGUGCCAAAUUUAGUACUGACACAUCCAUCAAGCAGUCCCAAAUUUAGUACUAAACAAAUUCUUUUAGUUUUAUUUAGCAAUAACACUAAUUGCAAGCCAUUAGAUUACGAGUAUGAUCCAUACAUUUUCUAGUUUCUACUUCAUGUGCUUUCCCCGACAGUAAAAUCGAAAAAUAAAACAGCACGCAAAGCGACAAAAAACCGACAAACAAAAAGAAACACAAAGCAACAAAAAAUAAACAGACAAACGGAUACUACGAGAUAGCACCGACAGCGAAAUCAAAUUACUUAUCAAGCAGAUUCAUACUUUAUUAUAUAAUUAUCUCGAUAAGUUUUUUUUGGAAAUCAUAUUAUCUCCGUAAUUAAGUUCCUUUUUAACAUGGUUCAUUAUGAUCUUCUUUUUUCUUUUUCUUGAAAAGGGUUAUAUCAGUAUCAAGUAACUGAGAUUUGUGGGGCGAAACAACUAUACAUAAACAAUUUAAUUUCUUAUAACUUUAAGGUAUCUUAUUAGCUGUAGCAUCCAAAUUGGAAAUGAAAAAAAAAAAAGGUUUAACCGUAUAAGGUGUAGUUAAAAUUUAGGGUAUCCAAUGUUGUUGAGCAGAACGAAAAGAAGGAGCAAGUUGAAACUAAAUGAGAAUAUUAAAGCCAUUUAAAAAAAAAGAGAGAAAAUUGGACUGACCAAAACUUUUUUUGCAGUUAUAUAUUGAAACCAUGCUGAUAAUUAUAUAUAUUAAUCGUCAAAACUACAACCUUCGACGCACAAUUUUGAGACAUAAGUUAAUCCAAGUACAUAGAGGCUAAAUAUUUGAAGAAAAGAAUAAUACUUAUACCUCUUAAGAUGAUGAGGAGACAGAGGCUUGGAAUUUGAAGAAAGAAUUAAGAGCUAUGAUCAGCUUUGUCUCCACCGAUUUCCAGGGUAAUUUGGGGAUUUAAAAAGAAAGAGGAGAACAGAGUGAGAUGAGAGAGAUGUGAGAGUUUGUGAGUGUUAUUAUGUUUGGUUUUGGAGCACAAAAGAAGAGAAGAGCGAGUGGAUUGUAUAGUGUAAGAUGAUGUUUUAUUAUUAUGGGAAAAGCUAAGGUUGCUGUGAGUGGCAGUGGAGGGGACAAUGGUGGGACGUCUCACACUUAAGUCAGAGUAGAGUUCUUAUAUUCGGAUAGUUUUUUUCUUUUAUUUAGUUUCUUGUGAUUUUAUAAUGAUUCAUCAUGUAUGUGUGUGAUGGUUCAAUUGGUUUUCAGACUCAGAGUCCAUAACUCCAGUUAUUAAUUAACUCUGUCUUUGACCCAAAAAAAAAUCAACUCUGUCAAAGGUGAAAGUUGGCAGUCAAGUGCAUAGAGGAUCAAAAAAAUUCCGUUUAUUCUUUUGGCACAAUUCAAAAUUCUAUCAGCAAGCUUAUGUUUAGUGUGCAGUGAAUCAACAUAUUAGUACAAGUUUAUGCGUUUUUGGUAGAUUUCAAAAGUCGAUUUGACAGAUAUAUCUUUAAUUAUUUAUUUUAUACAUACUUUGCAGACUCAUCGACUCCCUCGUAUAUAUACGAAGGGAAUUCGUAGUUUGGAAGAGGACGUUCAAAUUUAACACUAAAGCAACAAAGAGAUUAUGGUUUCUAAUUUAGAACGUUAAACAUGUCUUUAAAAUAUUUCAUCACUUUUGCCGAUUUCAAUACUUUUUUUGGUAAUCAGUCGAUAAUUUUCUAAUACACGUUUUUAAAUAACCCAUCAUCAUUUAGUGCUAUUUACCUAAGACCGAAUUCUGAUUCAACAAAUAUGACGUAUAAGUUUUGUAAAUUAUUCGGGACCAUUGAUGGGAGAUGGCGAGAAUACUGAUUAGGAGCAGUUCGCACGUCUGAGAUAAGAGUCCAAAUUUGCAGUGAAGAUCAUCCCUACACAGAAAGCAUAUCCAUGUGUAGGACCACGACAACUAGUUCCACUGUUUUCUUCGCAGUCUACCUAUGUUCUUAUCUAGUAGGAGAACCGAAGGUUUUGGAUUAUAGUAGAUGUAGGGUUAGAUGCCUUCUUUAAUAUGUCAACUACGUUUGCUAAAUAAAAAGAAAAACUACGUUUGCUAAGAAGUUUGAAAGGAUUAAGCUAUAUGCUUUGAAUCUCUUUUCCGGGGGUGGAAGUGGGCAGGUUAUUCGUUGCCGCUGCAUCUCCAUGCAUCAUGAUUUGAUAUGUUCAGUUCAGAUGAUAUCUUUUUCCAGUCAAUUAUUUACAUUCACUAUGGAUAGCAAAAAUGAUGGAGAUACAGUUCUUCGUAUCGAGCGUAGACAAGCACUACAUUUAUUUUAAAUGAUAAAUUCCUGUAUUUUAAGCACAUUCUUAAAACACUGUAAUAGUUUUGCUUUCAAGAAGUAAUGAUAAUUUUAGUUUUAAUACAAGUUGCUACUUGGAUCAAUCAAACUCAUGUUGGCAUAAUGUUCUUUUUCUUCUAGAUAUACACAGUGCCGGUCUAAUAUUUUAAGCAAAUUUUAAUAACAUAUUUUUAUGUUUUUAUCUAAUAUCAUAUAUAUACAUAUAUAUUUAUCAGAUAAAUAACACUAAAACUUUAUAAACUAAUUUAAUUCUAAUGAUUGGUAAAUAUAAUUUUAGAAUUUAACUGUAUAUAAAUAUUUGUCAAUGUUAUCAUCAAUACUUUAGGUAAUCACAAUUCUACUAAAAUAAUUUGUUAAUAAAAAUUACAUUUAAAAAUAUUAUUAUUAUUUAACAAUACACUUAAUCAAUAUAUUUAUUGAUAAAAGUUUCAUAACUAAUGCUAAAAUGUUUUAUAAAUAUUACUAUUAUCAAAGAAUUAUAAAUUAUACAAACAUAUAAAUACUAAGUAAAAAAUUUAAUACAAAAAAAAUAACCCUCUAAAAUUUUAAAUCUUUAUCGAUUGUUUGGACGGCUGCUUUCUAGCUGGUACUUUUGAUUUUAAUUAUUGAAACUAAUUUACAAUUUGAUAAAUAUGGGACAUAAAUCAAUCCAUAUGGUCCAAUAGCUAAAAGAUAAACUUUACAAUUCAAGUCUUCACCACGAACGUUCUAAACGAAAAGAAAUGGAUUCUUUUUGUGUAUUUAGGAGUGCGAUUAGAUUGUAUUUUGAGAGUAAACUUUUACUCUCAAUCCUACUAAAAGUUUACCAAUCAAGUGGGAUAUAUUCUUUCCACUUUUACUCUAUUUACUAUUUAAGUGGAGAAAAACAUAGAUCCAUGUUUACUCCAUAUUUUGCUUUAGAUUUUUUCAUUUACUCUAGUUUACUUUACAAUUACCAAUCAAACCCUAGUAAUAGUAAUGUCAGUGAUUCAAGAAUAAAAUAGUAACAUAAUAAAUUACUGUUUAAAUAAUAAAUAGAUUAUACUCAUGGUGGCAGCUUUCCAAGAAAAGGUUAUUUAUGUUAGUGUUUUUUGGUUCAAGCUUCUGUUUUUCUUCUUUUACAGAAAAAAAAAAAACUCAUUUUUUCUCUUUGUUUUUUUCUCCUACAGAAAGAAAGGAAAAGGAAAGAAAAGUGAAGUAGCUCCUCACUGCACGGGGAGGACAUCUGAAAAAUUAUGCCUUUAAAUUUUAUUUUAGAAUUUUGAAGUUUCAGAACACUUUUUGAAUUUUGAUUCUUUAAAACUUAUCAUGACCUUUGCUGUGCCUUUGUAGCCUCUCCUCACCCAUUGGACCCUUUGCUUCUUUUUAUUUGUUUCGUCUGUUCUUUUCCUCUUUAUUUUUUCUUAUCACCCAAACUACUUUUAUUUAUUUAUUUCAUGUCUAAUCACAUAUUUCGAAUCUCCUUCAACAUUGUGCGUAUAAUUGACAUCCGCCGUUUGUUCGCUUCUACGUCCAUACAUUUUUUGGUCAAAAUCUACGUCCAUACAUUACUCCUCAGUCCUGACUAAUUAAUAGUUUUCUUCUACAGAAGUUACUAUACCAAAAUAGUUAAUGCUGUAAAUGGUAAGCACAUGUCCCUUUUUGUCGUCUGUUUUAUACCAUAAUUGGAAUAUAGAGUAAAUUUUAGUGUUUCAUUGGAAUGCCCUUAUAAUUGGAAUAUUUGUUUUAUGAACAAAACUCUUUGCAAAAGAUGAUAAGACGUGAAAUGGAACUUUAGAGAUUCGGAUUUAGAUAGGAAGCUCAGAAUUAGGUUUCAGAUGGUUGUGUACAGCAUGAAAUGAUUUUAGAAUGAGAACGUAUCCAAAACUAAUCAUUUUAUUAAUAAGCAACCCAAAAACUGUUUACAAUACCAAAUAGAAAUCACACGCCAUUAGAACCAAGUCAAAACUCUUUUUCUUUUUUUUUUGUUGAUCUCUAGCUCCCCUUUUGUCUCCCAAUAAUGACCAAUCACAGUAUUAAGGUUCUAUUUAGAGUUAAUCCCAGAUUUUUCCUACCUUAAAGGACUAUAUAUGACAAAGCUUUCCUUUUUGCAUUAGGCUUAGUAUAAACUUUAACCGACUCUUUCUUUGUGGGCAGGAUUUGGUGUUGGGCCAAGACAUGAGAAAUUGUGGCCCACGAGCACAACAACAAUCUCUUCACUUUGCGUAACAUAAAAAUUGAGUUAUUGGACUGAUCAGAAACUCUUUAACUCCCUCCCUAUUCAAGAACUGAUGAGAAACUCCUUAAACUCAUCGUAAAAAGAAAUUAGCUAAAAGUUGCGUGAAAAAAUUUCGACGCAACAUAAAAAUUGAGUUCCAACAAUUCAUGAACAAUUGGUCAUUCCACAAAGGAAGUUUCUCGGUGUUUUUAUAAAUGCCAAUGAUAACUGUCUCCAAAUCUGUUCAAUACUUCCACAUCGUAGUUCUGUUUUUUCUUCAUGAUGAAGUAUCAGUAUGUUACGUAUGUUACUACGAUUUUGUCAAGUCAUCUCAUAUGGAUAGUUUCUAUGUUAAUCGGGAAAGAUAUAGUUUUCGGAUGAAAAUAUUAGCUAGCAGAAGGUAGAUAUUUGCCGGCUAGAAGUCGAAGAUGAGGAAAUGCCUCAUUCGAGAGUACUGUAAGAUAAUCUCCACAUUAUAUUACCUUGUUGUACGUCCGCUCUGCAUGUAAAGACCUUUUCCUGAAGACUUUUUAAUGUUGAAGUUAGACAUCUAUUUUUGGGAGCGACAGUUCAAAGAGAUAUAUGGAUUGUGUUUGGGAAUUUAUUGGUAGAUCCAAAUUCCCUCAUGCACGAAAAGUGGAAGGGGAGAGUUGGAACUCUGUUCCCUUCCUCCGACCGUUUUUCUAUUCUAUAUUUUGUGAACAUGAACAAUAUGUGAUCAAAUCAUCAAAUGAUUAGAUUUUUACGAGUAUGAUGCCUUCUUAUUGCUAUAGCCUUAUAGGAGAGGAAACUUGGUAUUUAUCGUAUACAUCAUUUCCAGAAUUCCAUGUUGUGUCCGGAUUUAGCGACAUAAAUAUUUGAAUAUUUUGUCAUUUUGUUUUUGAAAAUGAUUUGGAAUAGUAAUAGUGUGUCUAUAAGUCUAUUCUUAUAGGUUAGUAAACUCUUAAAAAAAAUCAAUUAUAUGUCAUGUCUGGAUUGGAAUAACAAAAUUGAUUCAUGAUAAAUUCAAUUCUAACGAUUCCAAUUAAUGACCAAUAAGUAUUCAUGUCAUUAAGUCCGAUAAAUAUUUUGACAGGUUUUACUAAGUACCAUAUCAUCAUCAUUCCCUAAUUUAUUACAAAGACAAUAAUGAGAGUAAUAACUUACAAAAGAUAAAGUUUAUUUCUUUUCUUAUAGAUCUGCAGAGAGCCAUGUGCAUGGGGAAUCAGCUUCACCUGUAUUUUUCCUUACGACAAGAGUUUUUUUUUCUCCCAUAGAAAGUGAUAACAUAAUAGUAAAAAUAAAGAAUAAAGGACUUGAGAUCAUGAUUCAUGAGACAACGAAAGAUACAUGUAGCAUUUUGUGAAAUACAGAUAUCUAAUUUUGAGAUUUCCAUAUUAAACGUAACCACAUAUAUUCAUGUUAUAUAUAAUAAUAGUCUCAUUAUCUAUCUGUUUGUAAGAAUCUUUGUUGCCGCUCGUUAGUCGCUCCACUACGCUUCUCUUUUUUUUUUUUGACAUCAACUAGCAUCGCUUCUUAAAGAAAACUUGUUUUACACCUGUAUACUUCUAAUAAUAUCUUUUAAUGCUUUCUAUGUGUUAUAUACGAAUAAUUUUUGCCAAUUUGUUUCACAACUUUUGGACCCUUAUGCCAUUGACAGCCUAGACCCUCGAUGUAGGAUCUUAAAGAGUACCAAACAAAUUGUUUUAUUAUUUUCGUGAACUACCACAUACAGAAUAAAAAUGUGUAAAUAUAUACAGUGCUAGUAUAACAGUUUUAUAUAUCCUUAUACAAUUCUUUAAAAAACAAUUAUAUAUAUAUUUAUCUAGUAUAUAUAUAAUAAAAAUUUACAUCAAGACUCUAUAGACCAAUUUAACUCCACUAACAAUUUCUGAAUAUCAGUAUAUUAAACUAAAUGUAUUAAAAUAUUAAUUUAUUAUAUCAUGAACAUUUAACGAUAGUUAAUAUAAUAUAAUCGUUUACUAGAAAUAAACAACUCUGUUUUAGUUAAAGAUAAUACUUCAACAGUGGAGUACGUAAACCUAAUCAAUAAAAAAAUAGGUUUUUUUUCGGAGUUUUUUUUUUUAAAAUUAAUAUUGUAAAUAAUAAUUACUGAACGAAAAUUUUAGUUAAUAUAUUCAUUAAUAAUAAGUUCCAAAUAAAUUAUUAAUAUAAAAAUUAUAAUAUUUGUUUACAUAUAGAUAUUAAUGAAAUUAUGAUAUAAUAAUUUAACUAAUAUUUGUUUUUAUCAUAUUGCUUGCUUUAAUCGGUGGAUCAAAUAGCUUACACUCUGAUAAGACACGGAUUAAAAAAAAAGAUAUACGAGUAACUGCCUGUAAAGCUUAGAGAAAUUUGUUUAUUGCUAUCCUUUAGAGACAUUGAUUAUCCUCAUUUAUGUGCACAAAAAGAGAUAAAGGGUUCAGAGUGGUUAACUGGCAAAAGUAUUAUACUUCUUGGAGAAAUGAAUAUCUUGAUUAAAGUCCAAAUUAGGACUUACAAGUUGAAACAAGUUAACUAAAAUUAAACUGUACAUUUUUACCAAUGGUUGAUUAGACAGUGUUAUUUUUAAUGACAAAAUAACAAAACUAUACAUUUUUUGCUCUUUAUUUAAAUCAAAUAAAUAUAAAAUUGUGUGAAAUAGUAAAUUACCAAUUUAAGUUACCUGUUAUUUGUUUAAAACAUAUGAAUAAAACAAUUUGCCAUUUACAAAAAAAAACUGGUGCGUAAAAUAAGCUUCUACCUAUUUAUAAUUUUGUAAUUCUGAACUUUUGUUAAUAAGUAGUGCAUAUUAUCUACUUUAUAAUAACUUAUUUAAAGCUAAGAGAAUAAACAUUUUGCCAAUAUGAAGAAGAAAGAUGUAAUGUAUAUAUAUAUUUUUUUUUUUGCUUUUCUAGUUUUCCAUAUCGUUUGUGUGAAGCAUUUGACAUCAACCCACUACGUAGUCAAGAUUUCAACUAUGACCUCUUUAUUUCAAAUAACGUUAUCUCAAUCCUAUGAUAAUUCAAAAAUUAUAAUAAAAUAAAAAAAUAGAAAUAAUAAUUCUGAUGUAUCUAAUCUGUUACCAAACUGUCAUUGGCUUUGUGGGGCAGACAUCCCAUGUGCAACCUCCUUGGCUUCUGCUUCAGAGUUCCAUCUUCUUCUUCCUUCUCUCUCAAUGGCCCAUCUUCCCAUUUCCACUUUCAUUUCUCCACAAUCAUAACCAAAGCUUCACCUCAAUCUCUCUCUCUUUACUAAUCUCUAAGCUAUGAAGAAACACAGAGCCUUUCUCAAGUUUCCCUUUCUUCUCCUCCUCCUCUGUCUUCUUGAGUUCUCCAAAGCUGAUUCAGAUGGAGACGCAUCAGCUAUGCUUUCACUCAAGAAAAGCCUAAACCCACCUUCAUCCUUCGGAUGGUCCGACCCUGACCCGUGCAAAUGGACCCACGUCGUUUGCACAGGCACCAAACGGGUAACCCGGAUCCAAAUCGGGCAUUCAGGUCUUCAAGGUACACUCUCUCCCGAUAUUCGUUCGUUAACAGAGCUCGAGAGGCUCGAGCUGCAGUGGAACAACAUCUCCGGUCCCAUCCCUACUCUAAGCGGCUUGUCUUCCUUACAAGUCUUGAUGCUAAGCAACAACCACUUCGACUCUAUCCCCAGCGACAUCUUCCAAGGCUUGACUUCGUUACAAUCUGUCGACGUGGACAACAACCCUUUCGCGUCUUGGGAGAUUCCCGAGAGCUUGAGAAACGCCUCUGCUCUUCAGAACUUCUCCGCCAACUCGGCUAAUGUCUCCGGUACGUUACCCGGUUUUCUCGGACCGGAUGAGUUUCCCGGUUUGUCUAUUUUGCAUUUGGCUUUUAACAAGUUAGAAGGUGAGUUGCCGUUGGGGUUAUCCGGCUCUCAGAUUCAGUCGUUAUGGCUCAACGGUCAGAAACUAACCGGUUCGAUCGAUGUUAUUCGGAACAUGACCGGUUUAAGAGAGGUCUGGCUUCAUUCCAAUGCCUUCUCUGGUCCUCUGCCUGAUUUCUCCGGUCUGCAAGAGCUUGAGAGCUUGAGCUUGAGGGAUAACUCCUUCACCGGUCCGGUUCCCGCUUCUUUGACGAGUCUUGACUCGUUGAAGGCUGUGAACUUGACUAACAAUCAUCUUCAAGGACCAGUCCCUGAGUUUAAAACCUCGGUCUCGGUCGAUUUGGAGAAAGACACCAAUAGCUUUUGCUUGCCUACUCCGGGCGAGUGUGAUCCUCGAGUAAAGUCUUUGCUCUCGAUCGCUAGCUCAGUGGAGUAUCCACUGAGGCUAGCUGAGAGUUGGAUAGGAAAUGAUCCUUGUACUAACUGGAUUGGGAUUACAUGUAGCAAUGGGAACGUUACGGUUAUUAAUCUUGAGAAAAUGGGGCUAACCGGGACGAUUUCUCCCGAGUUUGGCUCCAUCAAAUCGCUUCAGAGAAUCAUUCUCGGAAUCAACAACCUUACCGGUACCAUUCCUCAUGAGCUCACAACGUUACCUAACCUCAAAUCGCUGGACGUUUCGAGUAACCAUCUUUUUGGGAAGGUUCCUGUUUUCAAAAGCAAUGUGGUUGUGAAUACUAAUGACAAUCCGGACAUCGGAAAAGAUAAAAGCUCUUUAUCUCCUCCUGGUUCUUCUUCACCUUCUUCUGGUGGUGGUUCUGGUUCAGGCUUAAGUGAUGGGAGAGUGAAAACGUCUUCGGGUUUUAUAGGAAUCGUUAUUGUUUCUGUCCUCGGUGGACUAUUACUGAUCUUCUUGAUCGGUUUAUUGGUUUUCUGCUUGUACAAGAAGAGGCAAAAGCGGUUCACAAGAGGCGAGAGUUCAAACGCAGUUGUUGUUCAUCCGAGACACUCUGGCUCUGACAAUGAGAACGUUAAAAUCACAGUGGCGGGUUCAAGCGUAAGCGUCGGAGGCAUAAGCGAUACCUACACGCUGCCCGGUACGAGCGAGGUGGGAGAUAAUAUUCAAAUGGUGGAAGCGGGAAACAUGCUGAUCUCAAUCCAAGUGCUGCGCUCCGUGACUAACAACUUCAGCCAAGAUAACAUUUUGGGACAAGGAGGUUUCGGGGUUGUCUAUAAAGGUGAAUUGCACGAUGGAACGAAGAUUGCAGUUAAGAGGAUGGAGAACGGAGUGAUUGCUGGCAAAGGUUUUGCGGAGUUUAAAUCAGAGAUUGCGGUUUUGACCAAGGUUAGGCAUCGCCAUUUGGUGACGCUUCUUGGUUAUUGUCUGGACGGGAAUGAGAAGUUGCUUGUGUAUGAGUAUAUGCCUCAAGGGACUUUGAGUAGGCAUCUGUUUGAGUGGUCGGAGGAAGGGCUUAAGCCUCUGUUGUGGAAACAGAGAUUGACUUUAGCGUUGGAUGUGGCGAGAGGCGUGGAGUAUCUUCACGGAUUAGCUCAUCAGAGCUUCAUUCAUAGAGAUCUGAAACCGUCAAACAUUCUUCUUGGUGAUGAUAUGAGGGCUAAGGUUGCGGACUUUGGACUCGUUCGUCUUGCUCCUGAAGGGAAAGGGUCUAUUGAAACUAGAAUUGCUGGAACAUUUGGUUACUUGGCACCCGAAUAUGCAGGUUAGUUAGUUAGAUACUUUGCACAUUCGAUUUAAUUCUAUUCAUUUUGUAUGAUUGUGAUAUUGUUUGUUGCAGUUACUGGUCGAGUAACCACAAAGGUCGAUGUGUACAGCUUCGGGGUGAUUCUGAUGGAACUAAUAACAGGAAGGAAAUCUCUAGACGAAUCGCAACCAGAAGAGAGCAUUCACUUGGUCUCCUGGUUUAAACGAAUGUUCAUCAACAAGGAAUCAUCAUUCAAGAAAGCUAUCGACCCGACAAUAGACCUUGACGAAGAAACCUUAGCCAGCGUUCACACCGUUGCUGAGCUGGCAGGUCAUUGCUGUGCCCGUGAGCCUUACCAGAGACCAGACAUGGGACACGCUGUCAACAUUCUGUCCUCACUCGUCGAGCUGUGGAAACCGGCUGAUCAGAAUCCGGAGGACAUAUACGGAAUCGACCUCGACAUGUCUUUGCCUCAAGCUCUUAAGAAAUGGCAAGCUUAUGAAGGAAGAAGUGAUCUUGAAUCAUCUACUUCGUCGCUUUUACCUAGCUUGGGUAACACGCAGAUGAGUAUUCCUUCUAGACCUUACGGAUUCGCAGAGUCUUUCACUUCCGUAGAUGGACGUUGAUGCAAUGAGAAUUCUUCAGAAACCCAAAUUUGUUUGUUUUCUUCUGUAUAUUUGUGUGUUCUUCCUCUUUCUUCACUUCUCACUUAACAAUUCUUUCAUGUUUCUUGUUAUGCAAGUAACCUUAGGGUUUUGGGUUUCGUGAUAUUAUAUUGCUGUUUGUUUUGUUGAGUCAAACAGACGUGACGUGUGUACUCUUUUAGUUUGUGGAAAUGGUAAUGACAGUGAGGCAGAGAGGUUGGCAUUGGAUUCAUCUUCACAUGCCUGUCUCUUUUGUUUGGAUCUGCUAAUAUCUUUUAUAAAUUGACCACGGCACUACUAUAUUUUUUUGUUUAAUAAAAUACUAAUUUAGUUUCUGCAAUAAACAACAGAUUUCAAUAUUGGGUUAAAUUAGUAUCUGGUGACAUAGUUUGCUUCUUGAAAUAAUUACACAUGCAUAUUGACACUUUAUAAUUACACUGUUAAAACAGAUUCAUCGGAAGGAACACUUUGUCAAAGAAUCUCAGUUAUACUUUAUAUCUCUUUUCUCUUUAAUUUUACUCUCUUUUCUUCGACGGCAAAAAGAAUCAAAAUAGAUUCACAACAUCAGUUCAGUUGAUAGAGUUAGCUUCCUCUUUCGAGUCAUCGAAAUCUCUGUUACAGACGUCUGAUUCACUUUCACAAUCUUUGUCUCUGUCUUCCCCAUCACACCAAUACAAUAGGUAUUAUGUUUUAGUAUUUUACCGGGACCAAAAAUCCGAACCUGAAUCAAACUAAAAUAACAAAAGCUACAAACGGACCGAAUUUCUCAAAUACCCAAUCGAUUUCUAUAUUUCUAGAGUUGAAAUAACUAACUGAACCGGAACAAACUGAGAAGCGAAUAUAUAUAUAUAUAUAUAUAAAUAUUAGUUAUAUAUGUGGCACCCUUUUGUAAUGAUUCCACUACCUUAAAUAAAACAAUUUUUCUUCUUAUGCCAAUUAGGCGUGGGCAUUCGGGGUCCCAAUUGGGUUUCGGUUUUAUCCAUUCGGGUUAUGGUUUUUCGGGUUUAUCAAAAUCAACCCCAUUCGGGUUAUAUAAAAGUUCGGUUCGGGACCGGUUCGGGUUAUAUCGGGUUCGGGUCGGGGUUAGUAAAUCUUCAAAGAACCGGUAUAACCCAUUGUACUUUCGGGUUCGGGUCCCAAUCGGUUCUUCGGUUUAAAAAUACAUGAUUUGUACCUAUUUUGUAACUAAAACAUAAAUGAAAUCGGUUCUUCAGAUUUAAAAUACAUGAUUUGUACAUAUUUUAAUAGCCAAAACAUAAGUAAAAUCGAUUCAAAAAUAAGAAAAAACAUCAAACGUGAUCAUUCAAAAUCAAGCGAAAAAUAAACAUAGUUAGUGAAAUAAAGAAAACAGAUAAAUGAAAUCAUAAAACAAAAACUAAGUUCUCAUGAAAUGAGAAACUAUUUAAUGAAAACAAAACCAAAAUAAAAAAAACUUUAGGUUUCAACCGCUACAUUCCACCAUCAACCUUUAUCUAAUAGAUAAUUAUUUUAGAAGUUCAAUAAUAUCUUAAAGUAUUUUAGAUACAUAUUAAGAAUUAAGAUCAUAUUUGGUAGAAGUUCUUUUUGUUAUUAUAAAUGUUUCGGGUUCUAUCGGAUAUCCAUUUAGGUCCGGGUUCGGUUCGGAUAAUACCCAUAACCCAAUAUACCAAAAAACAGGAUCCAUUCGGUAUUUAUGUCGGGUUCGGAUCGGUUCGGAUUCAUUUUCAUCGGAUCGGGUUCGGUUCGGAUUUUCGGGUUCGGUUUAUUUGCCCAGCCCUAAUGCCAAUUAUCAAUUGCCGAAUUCUGACCUUAUCAACAUGAUAUUCUAUUAAACCCACUGCUGGCUUUUUGUUAUUUUUGAAUACGCCAAAUCCAGAUUCAACAAAUAUAUAAAUAUUCAUGUCUUAUAAUAUGUUUCAUAAUUGUAUUAAACAAAAGGACUCAUCUAUCACUCAUAAAAGGAGUGACAUGGAGUUUCACUAGUUUAGACGUGGUUCAAGUCCCUUUUCAUUUUUGAAAGCCUUUUUACCAAAAAAAAAGUCCCUUUUCAUUUUAUCAUGAAUUUGUUUUACUUACAUAAAUUAACGAAUUUAUUUUUAUUCUUGAAUAAUCUUUUCUAAUCGAGUUGAGUUCUUUUAAAAAUGUUUCAUGGCCCAGUUCUGAGGUGCGGCUCCGUAUGUAUUUAAUUAAUUUUUAUUAAUCAUUUUCUUAAAUUGUAUUUUCGAUCCAUUUCUUCAAAAUAUAUGUAAUAACUCCAAAAUUUAAAUAUUAAAACAUAUGUGAUGGGAAAAAGAAAAUGGUAUAUAGAUUGUGCGACCACUCCAAGGUGAUACUAUAAAUGUAAUAAGUCUGUUGUGGUCUUGUGGAAUGGCGAAAUGCUAGAUUUUUAAGAGUACAAAUCAAUGUUCAUUUUGAUAUUUUGCCUUUUUAAUUCUUAAAAACUGUGAGAAUUUAAAGAUUUUAAGUAUUAUUUUUUUUAUCUGGGACUAGAACUUUUUAUGUGGCAUCUAAAACUCAGAAAAGGGAAUAAAGUAAUUCAAAAGAAAAUAAGUAACACAAAACGAUAAAUAUAAAUCUCACAUGAAUAUACUACAAAAUAAUUUUUAAUUUGUAUGCAAAUAAAAAUAGUUUUAUUAAAAUCCCAUAUCAUUAUGUUAAAUAAUAAUUAAGCCGGUGAUAUUGCUUUUGAAACAGACACACAAUAAGCCCAUAUUUCAUCUCUUUUCUGUAAAUAUUUGGAUUCGUUUCCGAUUAAACUAGGUCUAUCUGCGAUAUAUUUGACAAGUGUAUCAUGACACUCUUUUCCUUCUUGAACAAGCUCCUUGCAACAAGGUAUGGAUACAACUCCAUCUCCAAAAACUUGAGAAAUGAUCUUGAGCGCACAGUUUGGACUGAUUUUAACAACACAUUGAUCCCAUAACUUUUUUGGCUCAUUUUCUUCUACAGCUAAUGAAGGUACACAGGAACUCACCACAACUAGGAAAACAAAAGACAACAUAAUAAAGUUAAGCUUCAGCAUGGUUUUUAUGUGUUUGAGAAUUUACUGUUUAACGUUUCUCAAGUUAGAGAAAGAAAGAAGUUUUCAAAUUUCUGAUGUUAUUUGAAUAAACGAGGCUUGCCCUAUUUAUAGAUACGAAUAAUCAAUAUUUAACAUUUAUUUUUGAUUAAUGAAUUUUGCUUUUGACGUUUUUUUUAUCAUUAACAUGUGUUAAGUUACAUUUUUUUUGCUGAAGUUAUUAACAGCUUAGGUUUAUACUUUAUAAAGAAUUAAAUUAGGAUUCUUGUAGUAUACAAAUGAACAUACUCAAAAGUUAUAUAAUUAUUUAAAUUAAAAACUACAGAACAUUUUUAUUGAAUAUUUCUUUUAUGUCAGCAACAUAUAGUUUGGUGGUUGUAUAUCAACUUACUACAAAAACCAAAAGUACACUCUAACAUUUGAUCAAUCUAAAAAUCAUUUAAAGUAUAUAUCAAUAUACAUCUCUCUCUCUAAGAUUAAAGGAGAGAGUUUCAGAUUUUAUAUUUUCUUUAUUUCAUAAUGUAGGAUGCUUAAGAAUAUAAUUUUAUCCUUUUAAUUUCACAAACUUUUAUAUCGAGAUGGUUAUGAGGUAAAACAUGACUCCACUUGGGAAAAUAAUCUACAAAUUUCCAUUCCCUAUACAAGAAAUAAAACAUGAAAUCUAUAAAGAAUGAAAUUUCAUAAAAAUAAAAUAAAAAGGAAAAACGAAUUUUCAAAUUUAAACUUGCCAUAUCAUAUUUUAUCAGUUUGUAACUUACAUAAUAGUUUAAUUACAGUAUAGUUUCUCAACGAAAUUUAAGUGUCUCGUAUUAAACAUAUAAAUAGCAUAUAUGUACCUAUGUAAAUUAAUGAAUGUUUACUUUUUUAUUCGUGAAUGAUUUUUUUUUAAUCAAGUUGAGUCCUUUUAAAAAUGUUUCAUGCAUAGUUUUGAGGUGAGACCUUGUUUGCAUUUGGUUAAUGUUUAUUAAAUCAUUCUUCAAAUUGUAUUUUCGAACAAUUUCUUCAAUGUAUAUUUAAUAACUCCAAAAUUUAAAUAUGAUAAAUUAUGUGAUGGGAAAAAAAAUGGUAUAAAGAUUGUGCAACCCCUCCAAGGUGAUACUAUAAAUGUAAUAAGUAUGUUGCGGUCUUGUGGAAUGGUGAAAUGCUAGAUUUUUAAGAGUACAAAUCAGUGUUCAUUUUGAUAUCUAGCCUUUUUAAUUCUUAAAAACUGUGAUCAUUUAAAUAUUUUCAAGUAUUUUUUUUAUCUGGGACUAGACCUUUUUAUUUGGCAUCUAAAACUGAGAAAAUGGAAUAAAGUAAUGCAAAAAAAAUAAGUAACACAAAACGAUAAAUAUAAAUCUCACAUGAAUAUAUUAAAAAUUAAUUUUUAAUUUGUAUGCAAAUAAAAAUAGUUUUAUUAAAACCACAUAUCAUUAUGUUAAAUAAUAAUUAAGCCGGUGAUACCGCUUUUGAGACAGACACACAAUAAGCCCAUACUUCAUCUCUUUUCUGUAAAUAUUUGGAUUCAUUUCCGAUUAAACUAGGUCUAUCCGCGAUAUAUUUGAUAAGUGUGUCAUGACACUCUUUGCCUUCAUGAACAAGCUCCUUGCAACAAGGAAUGGAUACAACUCCAUCUCCAAAAACUUGAGAAAUGAUCUUGAGCGCACAUUUUGGACUGAUUUUAACAACACAUUGAUCCCAUAACUUUUUUGGCUCAUUUUCUUCUACAGCUAAUGAAGGUACACAUGUAAUCGCCACAACUAAAACUACCAAAGACAACAUAAUAAAGUUAAGCUUCGCCAUGGUUGUUAUGUGUUUGAGGAUUUACAGUUUAACUUUUCUCAAGUUAAAGAAAGAAAUAAGUUUUUAAAUUUCUGAUGUUAUUUGAAUAAACGAGGUUUGCCCUAUUUAUAGAUACGAAUAAUCAAUAUUUAACAUUUAUUUUCGACUAAUGAAUUUUGCUUUUGACGUUUUUUUGUUCAUUAACAUGUGUUAAGUUACGUUUUUUGCUGAAGUUAUUAACUGCUUAGGUUUAUAGUUUAUAAAUAAUUAAAUUAGGAUUCUUGUAGUAUACAAAUGAACAUACUUAGAACUUAUAUAAGUAUUAAAAUUAAAAACUACAGAACAUUUUUUAAUGAAUAUUUUUUAUGUCAGCAACAUAUAAUUUGGUGGUUGGAUAUCAACUUACUAACAAAAACCAAAAGUACACUCUAACAUUUGAUCAAUCUAAAAAUGAUUUAAAGUAUAUAUCAAUAUAUUUCUCUCUGAGAUUAAAGGAGAGAGUUUCAGAUUUUAUACAUUCUUUAUUUCAUGAUGUAGGAUGCUUAAGAAUAUAAUUUUAUCCUUUUAAUUGUAUAAAGUUUUAUAUCGAGAUGGUUAUUAGGUAAAACAUGACUCCACUUGGGAAAAUAUUCUACAAAUUUAAAUUCCCUCUACAAGAAACAAAAUAUGAAAUCUAUAAAGAAUAAAAUUUGAUAAAAAAGAAAUAAAAAAUGAAAACAAAUUUUCGAAUUUAAGCUUGCGAUAUCAGGUUUUAUCAUUAUAACUUACAUAAUAGUUUAAUUACUAUAUAUUUUUCAAGGAAAUUGAUGUCGUUCAUAUUAAAAAUAUAAAUAGUAUAUAUAUACUUACAUAAAAUUAACGAAAUUUUAUUUUUAUUCUUGAAAUAAUUUUUUUAAUCGAGUUGAGUCCUUUUAAAAAUGUUUCUUGGCACAGUUUUGAGGUGCGACUCCGUUUGUAUUUGGUUAAUUUUUCUUAAUCAUUCUAAAGAUUUUAUUUUCUAUCAAUUUCAUCAAAAUAUAUGUAAUAACUCCAAAAUUUAAAUCUGAAAACAUAUGUGAUGGUUCAAAGAAAAUGGUAUAUAGAUUGUGCGACCACGUGGAAUAUAAUAAGUAUGUUGCGGUCUUGUGAAUUCGGGAAAUGCUAGAUUUUUAAGAGUUCAUAUCAGUGUUCAUUUUGAUAUUUAGCCUUUUUAAUUCUUAAAAACUGUGAGCAUUUAAAUAUUUUCAAGUAUUAUUUUUUUUUAUCUGGGACUAGACCUUUUUAUUUGGCAUCUAAAACCGAGAAAAUGGAAUAAAGUAAUGCAAAAGAAAAUAAGUAACACAAAACGAUAAAUAUAAAUCUCACAUGAAUAUAUUAAAAAUUAAUUUUUAAUUUGUAUGCAAAUAAAAAUAGUUUUAUUAAAACCACAUAUCAUUAUGUUAAAUAAUAAUUAAGCCGGUGAUACCGCUUUUGAAACAGACACACAAUAAGCCCAUACUUCAUCUCUUUUCUGUAAAUAUUUGGAUUCGUUUCCGAUUAAACUAGGUCUAUCCGCGAUAUAUUUGAUAAGUGUGUCAUGACACUCUUUGCCUUCUUGAACAAGCUCCUUGCAACAAGGAAUGAAUACAACUCCAUCUCCAAAAACUUGAGAAAUGAUCUUGAGCGCACAAUUUGGACUGAUUUUAACAACACAUUGAUCCCAUAACUUUUUUGGCUCAUUUUCUUCUACAGCUAAUGAAGGUACACAUGUAAUCGCCACAACUAGAACGACCAAAGACAACAUAAUAAAGUUAAGCUUCGCCAUGGUUGUUAUGUGUUUGAGGAUUUACAGUUUAACUUUUCUCAAGUUAGAGAAAGAAAUAAGUUUUUAAAUUGCUGAUGUUUUUUGAAUAAACGAGGUUUGCCUUAUUUAUAGAUACGAAUAAUCAAUAUUUAACAUUUAUUUUCGACUAAUGAAUUUUGCUUUUGACGUUUUUUUGUUCAUUAACAUGUGUUAAGUUACGUUUUUUGCUUAAGUUAUUAACUGCUUAGGUUUAUAGUUUAUAAAUAAUUAAAUUAGGAUUCUUGUAGUAUACAAAUGAACAUACUAAGAACUUAUAUAAGUAUUUAAAUUAAAAACUACAGAACAUUUUUUAAUGAAUAUUUUUUAUGUCAGCAACAUAUAAUUUGGUGGUUGUAUAUCAACUUACUAACAAAAACCAAAAGUACACUCUAACAUUUGAUCAAUCUAAAAAUGAUUUAAAGUAUAUAUCAAUAUAUUUCUCUCUGAGAUUAAAGGAGAGAGUUUCAGAUUUUAUACAUUCUUUAUUUCAUGAUGUAGGAUGCUUAAGAAUAUAAUUUUAUCCUUUUAAUUGUAUACAGUUUUAUAUCGAGAUGGUUAUUAGGUAAAACAUGACUCCACUUGGGAAAAUAAUCUACAAAUUUAAAUUCCCUCUACAAGAAACAAAAUAUGAAAUCUAUAAAGAAUGAAAUUUGAUAAAAAAGAAAUAAAAAAUGUGUGUUCAAAAAAAAAAAAAAAUGAAAACAAAUUUUUGAAUUUAAGCUUGCGAUAUCAGGUUUUAUCAAUUUAUAACUUACAUAAUAGUUUAAUUACUAUAUAUUUUUCAAGGAAAUUGAUGUCGUUCAUAUUAAAAAUAUAAAUAGUAUAUAUAUACUUACAUAAAAUUAAUGAAAUGUUUGUAUUUAGUAAAUUUUUCUUAAUCAUUCUAAAGAUUUUAUUUUCUAUCAAUUUCAUCAAAAUAUAUGUAAUAACUCCAAAAUUUAAAUCUGAAAACAUAUGUGAUGGUUCAAAGAAAAUGGUAUAUAGAUUGUGCGACCACGUAGAAUAUAAUAAGUAUGUUGCGGUCUUGUGGAUUCGGGAAAUGCUAGAUUUUAAGAUUACAAAUCAGUGUUUAUUUUGAUAUUUCGUCUUUUGAAUUCAUAAAAAAGUGAGUAUUUAAAGAUUUUUAAGUAUUAAUUUUGUUAUCUGGGACUAGAACUUUUUAUUUUGCAUCUAAAACUCAGAAAAGGGAAUAAAGUAAUGCAAAAGAAAAUAAGUAACACAAAACAAUAAAUAUAAAUCUCACAUGAAUAUAUCAAAAAUUAAUUUUUAAUUUGUAUGGAAAUACAAAUAGUUUUAUUGAAAUCACAUAUCAUUAUGUUAAAUAAUAAUUAAGCCGGUGAUACCGCUUUUGAAACAGACACACAAUAAGCCCAUACUUCAUCUCUUUUCGUUAAAUAUUUGGAUUCGUUUCCGAUUAAACUAGGUCUAUCCGCGAUAUAUUUAACAAGUGUGUCAUGACACUCUUUGCCUUCUUGAACAAGCUCCUUGCAACAAGGAAUGGAUACAACUCCAUCUCCAAAAACUUGAGAAAUGAUCUUGAGCGCACAGUUUGGACUGAUUUUAACAACACAUUGAUCCCAUAACUUUUUUGGCUCAUUUUCUUCUACAGCUAAUGAAGGCACACAUGUAAUCGCCACAACUAGAACAACAAAAGACAACAUAAUAAAAUUAAGCUUCACCAUGGUUGUUAUGUGUUUGAGGAUUUACAGUUUAACUUUUCUCAAGUUAGAGAAAGAAAUAAGUUUUUAAAUUUCUGAUGUUAUUUGAAUAAACGAGGUUUGCCCUAUUUAUAGAUACGAAUAAUCAAUAUUUAACAUUUAUUUUCAACUAAUGAAUUUUGCUUUUGACGUUUUUUUGUUCAUUAACAUGUGUUAAGUUACGUUUUAUGCUGAAGUUAUUAACUGCUUAGGUUUAUAGUUUAUAAAUAAUUAAAUUAGGAUUCUUGUAGUAUAAAAAUGAACAUACUAAGAAGUUAUAUAAAUAUUUAAAUUAAAAACUACUGAACAUUUUUUAAUGAAUAUUUUUUAUGUCAGCAACAUAUAAUUUGGUGGUUGUAUAUCAACUUACUAACAAAAACCAAAAGUACACUCUAACAUUUUAUCAAUCUAAAAAUGAUUUAAAGUAUAUAUCAAUAUAUUUCUCUCUGAGAUUAAAGGAGAGAGUUCCAGAUUUUAUAUAUUCUUUAUUUCAGGAUGUAGGAUGCUUAAGAAUAUAAUUUUAUCCUUUUAAUUGUAUAAAGUUUUAUAUCGAGAUGGUUAUUAGGUAAAACAUGACUCCACUUGGGAAAGUAAUCUACAAAUUUAAAUUCCCUCUACAAGAAACAAAACAUGAAAUCUAUAAAGAAUGAAAUUUAAUAAAAAAGAAAUAAAAAAUGAAACCAAAUUUUCGAAUUUAAACUUGCGGUAUCAUAAUUUAUCAAUUUCUAACUUACAUAAUAGUUUAAUUACUAUAUAUCUUUCAAGGAAAUUAAUGUGUUUCAUAUUAAAAAUAUAAACAGUAUAUAUAUAUACUUACAUAAAAUUAACGAAAUGUUAUUUUUAUUCUUGAAUGAAUUUUUUUAAUUGAGUUGAGUCCUUUUAAAAAUGUUUCAUGCCACAGUUUUGAGGUGCAACUCCGUUUGUAUUUGGUUAAUUUUUUUUAAUCAUUCUAAAGAUUUUAUUUUCUAUCAAUUUCUUCAAAAUAUAUGUAAUAACUCCAAAAUUUAAAUCUGAAAACAUAUGUGAUGGUUCAAAGAAAAUGGUAUAUAGAUUGUGCGACCACGUGGAAUAUAAUAAGUAUGUUGCGGUCUUGUGAAUUCGGGAAAUGCUAGAUUUUUAAGAGUUCAUAUCAGUGUUCAUUUUGAUAUUUAGCCUUUUUAAUUCUUAAAAACUGUGAGCAUUUAAAUAUUUUCAAGUAUUAUUUUUUUUUAUCUGGGACUAGACCUUUUUAUUUGGCAUCUAAAACCGAGAAAAUGGAAUAAAGUAAUGCAAAAGAAAAUAAGUAACACAAAACGAUAAAUAUAAAUCUCACAUGAAUAUAUUAAAAAUUAAUUUUUAAUUUGUAUGCAAAUAAAAAUAGUUUUAUUAAAACCACAUAUCAUUAUGUUAAAUAAUAAUUAAGCCGGUGAUACCGCUUUUGAAACAGACACACAAUAAGCCCAUACUUCAUCUCUUUUCUGUAAAUAUUUGGAUUCGUUUCCGAUUAAACUAGGUCUAUCCGCGAUAUAUUUGAUAAGUGUGUCAUGACACUCUUUGCCUUCUUGAACAAGCUCCUUGCAACAAGGAAUGGAUACAACUCCAUCUCCAAAAACUUGAGAAAUGAUCUUGAGCGCACAAUUUGGACUGAUUUUAACAACACAUUGAUCCCAUAACUUUUUUGGCUCAUUUUCUUCUACAGCUAAUGAAGGCACACAUGUAAUCGCCACAACUAGAACAACAAAAGACAACAUAAUAAAAUUAAGCUUCACCAUGGUUGUUAUGUGUUUGAGGAUUUACAGUUUAACUUUUCUCAAGUUAGAGAAAGAAAUAAGUUUUUAAAUUUCUGAUGUUAUUUGAAUAAACGAGGUUUGCCCUAUUUAUAGAUACGAAUAAUCAAUAUUUAACAUUUAUUUUCAACUAAUGAAUUUUGCUUUUGACGUUUUUUUGUUCAUUAACAUGUGUUAAGUUACGUUUUAUGCUGAAGUUAUUAACUGCUUAGGUUUAUAGUUUAUAAAUAAUUAAAUUAGGAUUCUUGUAGUAUACAAAUGAACAUACUAAGAACUUAUAUAAGUAUUUAAAUUAAAAACUACAGAACCUUUUUUAAUGAAUAUUUUUUAUGUCAGCAACAUAUAAUUUGGUGGUUGUAUAUCAACUUACUAACAAAAACCAAAAGUACACUCUAACAUUUGAUCAAUCUAAAAAUUAUUUAAAGUAUAUAUCAAUAUAUUUCUCUCUGAGAUUAAAGGAGAGAGUUUCAGAUUUUAUACAUUCUUUAUUUCAUGAUGUAGGAUGCUUAAGAAUAUAAUUUUAUCCUUUUAAUUGUAUAAAGUUUUAUAUCGAGAUGGUUAUUAGGUAAAACAUGACUCCACUUGGGAAAAUAAUCUACAAAUUUAGAUUCCCUCUACAAGAAACAAAAUAUGAAAUCUAUAAAGAAUAAAAUUUGAUAAAAAUAAAAAUAAAAAAUGAAAACAAAUUUUCGUAUUUAAGCUUGCGAUAUCAGGUUUUAUCAUUAUAACUUACAUAAUAGUUUAAUUACUAUAUAUUUUUCAAGGAUAUUGAUGUCGUUCAUAUUUAAAAUAUAAAUAGUAUAUAUAUACUUACAUAAAAUUAACGAAAUUUUAUUUUUAUUCUUGAAAUAAUUUUUAUAAUCGAGUUGAGUCAUUUUAAAAAUGUUUCUUGGCACAGUUUUGAGGUGCGACUCCGUUUGUAUUUGGUUAAUUUUUCUUAAUCAUUCUAAAGAUUUUAUUUUCUAUCAAUUUCAUCAAAAUAUAUGUAAUAACUCCAAAAUUUAAAUCUGAAAAUAUAUGUGAUGGUUCAAAGAAAUGGUAUAUAGAUUGUGCGACCACGUGGAAUAUAAUAAGUAUUUUGCAAUAUUGUGAAUUCGGGAAAUGCUAGAUUUUUAAGAGUUCAAAUCAGUGUUCAUUUUGAUAUUUAGCCUUUUUAAUUCUUAAAAACUGUGAGCAUUUAAAUAUUUUCAAGUAUUAUUUUUUUUAUCUGGGACUAGACCUUUUUAUUUGGCAUCUAAAACCGAGAAAAUGGAAUAAAGUAAUGCAAAAGAAAAUAAGUAACACAAAACCAUAAAUAUAAAUCUCACAUGAAUAUAUUAAAAAUUAAUUUUUAAUUUGUAUGCAAAUAAAAAUAGUUUUAUUAAAACCACAUAUCAUUAUGUUAAAUAAUAAUUAAGCCGGUGAUACCGCUUUUGAAACAGACACACAAUAAGCCCAUACUUCAUCUCUUUUCUGUAAAUAUUUGGAUUCGUUUCCGAUUAAACUAGGUCUAUCCGCGAUAUAUUUGAUAAGUGUGUCAUGACACUCUUUGCCUUCUUGAACAAGCUCCUUGCAACAAGGAAUGGAUACAACUCCAUCUCCAAAAACUUGAGAAAUGAUCUUGAGCGCACAGUUUGGACUGAUUUUAACAACACAUUGAUCCCAUAACUUUUUUGGCUCAUUUUCUUCUACAGCUAAUGAAGGUACACAUGUAAUCGCCACAACUAGAACUACCAAAGACAACAUAAUAAAGUUAAGCUUCGCCAUGGUUGUUAUGUGUUUGAGGAUUUACAGUUUAACUUUUCUCAAGUUAGAGAAAUAAAUAAGUUUUUAAAUUUCUGAUGUUAUUUGAAUAAACGAGGUUUGCCUUAUUUAUAGAUACGAAUAAUCAAUAUUUAACAUUUAUUUUCGACUAAUGAAUUUUGCUUUUGACGUUUUUUUGUUCAUUAACAUGUGUUAAGUUACGUUUUUUGCUGAAGUUAUUAACUGCUUAGGUUUAUAGUUUAUAAAUAAUUAAAUUAGGAUUCUUGUAGUAUACAAAUGAACAUUCUAAGAACUUAUAUAAGUAUUUAAAUUAAAAACUACAGAACAUUUUUUAAUGAAUAUUUUUUAUGUCAGCAACAUAUAAUUUGGUGGUUGUAUAUCAACUUACUAACAAAAACCAAAAGUACACUCUAACAUUUUAUCAAUCUAAAAAUGCUUUAAAGUAUAUAUCAAUAUAUUUCUCUCUGAGAUUAAAGGAGAGAGUUUCAGAUUUUAUAUAUUCUUUAUUUCAUGAUGUAGGAUGCUUAAGAAUAUAAUUUUAUCCUUUUAAUUGUAUAAAGUUUUAUAUCGAGAUGGUUAUUAGGUAAAGCAUGACUCCACUUGGGAAAAUAAUCUACAAAUUUAAAUUCCCUCUACAAGAAACAAAAUAUGAAAUCUAUAAAGAAUGAAAUUUGAUAAAAAAGAAAUAAAAAAUGUGUGUUCAAAAAAAAAAAAAAAUGAAAACAAAUUUUUGAAUUUAAGCUUGCGAUAUCAGGUUUUAUCAAUUUAUAACUUACAUAAUAGUUUAAUUACUAUAUAUUUUUCAAGGAAAUUGAUGUCGUUCAUAUUAAAAAUAUAAAUAGUAUAUAUAUACUUACAUAAAAUUAAUGAAAUGUUUGUAUUUAGUAAAUUUUUCUUAAUCAUUCUAAAGAUUUUAUUUUCUAUCAAUUUCAUCAAAAUAUAUGUAAUAACUCCAAAAUUUAAAUCUGAAAACAUAUGUGAUGGUUCAAAGAAAAUGGUAUAUAGAUUGUGCGACCACGUAGAAUAUAAUAAGUAUGUUGCGGUCUUGUGGAUUCGGGAAAUGCUAGAUUUUAAGAUUACAAAUCAGUGUUUAUUUUGAUAUUUCGUCUUUUGAAUUCAUAAAAAAGUGAGUAUUUAAAGAUUUUUAAGUAUUAAUUUUUUUUAUCUGGGACUAGAACUUUUUAUUUUGCAUCUAAAACUCAGAAAAGGGAAUAAAGUAAUGCAAAAGAAAAUAAGUAACCCAAAACAAUAAAUAUAAAUCUCGCAUGAAUAUAUCAAAAAUUAAUUUUUAAUUUGUAUGCAAAUACAAAUAGUUUUAUUGAAAUCACUAUCAUUAUGUUAUAUAAUAAUUAAGCCGGUGAUACCGCUUUUGAAACAGACACACAAUAAGCCCAUACUUCAUCUCUUUUCGUUAAAUAUUUGGAUUCGUUUCCGAUUAAACUAGGUCUAUCCGCGAUAUAUUUAACAAGUGUGUCAUGACACUCUUUGCCUUCUUGAACAAGCUCCUUGCAACAAGGAAUGGAUACAACUCCAUCUCCAAAAACUUGAGAAAUGAUCUUGAGCGCACAGUUUGGACUGAUUUUAACAACACAUUGAUCCCAUAACGUUUUUGGCUCAUUUUCUUCUACAGCUAAUGAAGGCACACAUGUAAUCGCCACAACUAGAACAACAAAAGACAACAUAAUAAAAUUAAGCUUCACCAUGGUUGUUAUGUGUUUGAGGAUUUACAGUUUAACUUUUCUCAAGUUAGAGAAAGAAAUAAGUUUUUAAAUUUCUGAUGUUAUUUGAAUAAACGAGGUUUGCCCUAUUUAUAGAUACGAAUAAUCAAUAUUUAACAUAUUUUUUCAACUAAUGAAUUUUGCUUUUGACGUUUUUUUGUUCAUUAACAUGUGUUAAGUUACGUUUUUUGCUGAAGUUAUUAACUGCUUAGGUUUAUAGUUUAUAAAUAAUUAAAUUAGGAUUCUUGUAGUAUAAAAAUGAACAUACUAAGAACUUAUAUAAGUAUUUAAAUUAAAAACUACUGAACAUUUUUUAAUGAAUAUUUUUUAUGUCAGCAACAUAUAAUUUGGUGGUUGUAUAUCAACUUACUAACAAAAACCAAAAGUACACUCUAACAUUUUAUCAAUCUAAAAAUGAUUUAAAGUAUAUAUCAAUAUAUUUCUCUGAGAUUAAAGGAGAGAGUUCCAGAUUUUAUAUAUUCUUUAUUUCAUGAUGUAGGAUGCUUAAGAAUAUAAUUUUAUCCUUUUAAUUGUAUAAAGUUUUAUAUUGAGAUGGUUAUUAGGUAAAACAUGACUCCACUUGGGAAAGUAAUCUACAAAUUUAAAUUCCCUCUACAAGAAACAAAACAUGAAAUCUAUAAAGAAUGAAAUUUAAUAAAAAAGAAAUAAAAAAUGAAACCAAAUUUUUGAAUUUAAACUUGCGGUAUCAUAAUUUAUCAAUUUCUAACUUACAUAAUAGUUUAAUUACUAUAUAUCUUUCAAGGAAAUUAAUGUGUUUCAUAAUAAAAAUAUAAACAGUAUAUAUAUAUACUUACAUAAAACUAACGAAAUGUUAUUUUUAUUCUUGAAUGAAUUUUUUUAAUUGAGUUGAGUCCUUUUAAAAAUGUUUCAUGCCACAGUUUUGAGGUGCGACUCCGUUUGUAUUAGAUUAAUUUUUUUUAAUCAUUCUAAAGAUUUUAUUUUCUAUCAAUUUCAUCAAAAUAUAUGUAAUAACUCCAAAAUUUAAACCUGAAAACAUAUGUGAUGGUUCAAAGAAAAUGGUAUAUAGAUUGUGCGACCACGUGCAAUAUAAUAAGUAUGCUGCGGUCUUGUGGAUUCAAGAAAUGCUAUAUUUUUAAGAUUGCAAAUCAGUGUUUAUUUUGAUAUUUCGUCUUUUUAAUUCAUAAAAACUGUGAGUAUUAAUUUUUUUUUAAGUAUUAAUAUCUUUAAUCUGGGACUAGACCUUUUUAUUUUGCAUCUAAAACUCAGAAAAGGGAAUAUAUAAAGUAAUACAAAAGAAAAUAAGUAACACAAAACGAUAAAUAUAAAUCUCACAUAAAUAAAUUAAAAAAUAUUUUUUAUUUUGUAUGCAAAUACAAAUAGUUUUAUUAAAAUCACAUAUCAUUAUGUUAAAUAAUAAUUAAGCCGGUGAUACCGCUUUUGAAACAAACACACAAUAAGCCCAUACUUCAUCUCUUUUCUUUAAAUAUUUGGAUUCGUUUCCGAUUAAACUAGGUCUAUCCGCGAUAUAUUUGACAAGUGUGUCAUGACACUCUUUGCCUUCUUGAACAAGCUCCUUGCAACAAGGAAUGGAUACAACUCCAUCUCCAAAAAUUUGAGAAAUGAUCUUGAGCGCACAGUUUGGACUGAUUUUAACAACACAUUGAUCCCAUAACUUUUUUGGCUCAUUUUCUUCUACAGCUAAUGAAGGCACACAUGUAAGCGCCACAAUUAGAACAACAAAAGACAACAUAAUAAAAUUAAGCUUCACCAUGGUUGUUAUGUGUUUGAGGAUUUCCAGUUUAACUUUUCUCAAGUUAGAGAAAGAAAUAAGUUUUUAAAUUUCUGAUGUUAUUUGAAUAAACGAAGUUUGCCCUAUUUAUAGAUACGAAUAAUCAAUAUUUAACAUUUAUUUUCGAGUAAUGAAUUUUGCUUUUGAUGUUUUUUUGUUCAUUAACAUGUGUUAAGUUACGUUUUAUGCUGAAGUUAUAAACUGCUUAGGUUUAUAGUUUAUAAAUAAUUAAAUUAGGAUUCUUGUAGUAUAAAAAUGAACAUACUAAGAACUUAUAUAAGUAUUUAAUUUAAAAACUACUGAACAUUAUUUAAUGAAUAUUUUUUAUGUCAGCAACAUAUAAUUUGGUGGUUGUAUAUCAACUUACUAACAAAACCCAAAAGUACACUCUAACAUUUAAUCAAUCUAUAAAUGAUUUAAAGUAUAUAUCAAUAUAUUUCUCUCUGAGAUUAAAAGAGAGAGUUUCAGAUUUUAUAUAUUCUUUAUUUCAUGAUGUAGGAUGCUAAAGAAUAUAUUUUUAUCCUUUUAAUUGUAUAAAGUUGUAUAUCGAGAUGGUUAUUAGGUAAAACAUGACUCCACUUGGGAAAAUAAUCUACAAAUUUAAAUUCCCUCUACAAGAAACAAAAUAUGAAAUCUAUAAAGAAUGAAAUUUGAUAAAAAAGAAAUAGAAAAUGUGUGUUAAAAAAAAUAAAAAUGAAAACAAAUUUUCGAAUUUAAGCUUGCGAUAUCAGGUUUUAUCAAUUUAUAACUUACAUAAUAGUUUAAUUACAAUAUAUUUUUCAAGGAAAUUGAUGUCGUUCAUAUUAAAAAUAAUAUAAAUAGUAUAUAUAUACUUACAUAAAAUUAACAAAAUGUUUGUAUUUGGUUAAUUUUUCUUAAUCAUUCUAAAGAUUUUAUUUUCUAUCAAUUUCAUCAAAAUAUAUGUAAUAACUCCAAAAUUUAAAUCUGAAAACAUAUGUGAUGGUUCAAAGAAAAUGGUAUAUAGAUUGUGCGACCACGUAGAAUAUAAUAAGUAUGUUGCGGUCUUGUGGAUUCGGGAAAUGAUAGAUUUUAAGAUUACAAAUCAGUGUUUAUUUUGAUAUUUUGUCUUUUGAAUUCAUAAAAAAAGUGAGUAUUUAAAGAUUUUUAAGUAUUAAUUAUUUUAAUCUGGGACUAGACCUUUUUAUUUUGCAUCUAAAACUCAGAAAAGGGAAUAAAGUAAUGCAAAAGAAAAUAAGUAACACAAAACAAUAAAUAUAAAUCUCACAUGAAUAUAUCAAAAAUUAAUUUUUAAUUUGUAUGCAAAUACAAAUAGUUUUAUUGAAAUCACAUAUCAUUAUGUUAAAUAAUAAUUAAGCCGGUGAUACCGCUUUUGAAACAGACACACAAUAAGCCCAUACUUCAUCUCUUUUCUUUAAAUAUUUGGAUUCGUUUCCGAUUAAACUAGGUCUAUCCGCGAUAUAUUUAACAAGUGUGUCAUGACACUCUUUGCCUUCUUGAACAAGCUCCUUGCAACAAGGAAUUGAUACAACUCCAUCUCCAAAAACUUGAGAAAUGAUCUUGAGCGCACAGUUUGGACUGAUUUUAACAACACAUUGAUCCCAUAACUUUUUUAGCUCAUUUUCUUCUACACCAAAUGAAGGCACACAUAUAAUCGCCACAACUAGAACAACAAAAGACAACAUAAUAAAAUUAAGCUUCGCCAUGGUUGUUAUGUGUUUGAGGAUUUACAGUUUAACUUUUCUCAAGUUAGAGAAAUAAAUAAGUUUUUAAAUUUCUGAUGUUAUUUGAAUAAACGAGGGUUACCCUAUUUAUAGAUACGAAUAAUCAAUAUUUAACAUUUAUUUUCGAUUAAUGAAUUUUGUUUUUGACGUUUUUUGUUCAUUAACAUGUGUUAAGUUACGUUUUUUGCUUAAGUUAUUAACUGCUUAGGUUUAUAGUUUAUAAAUAAUUAAAUUAGGAUUCUUGUAUUAUACAAAUGAACAUACUAAGAACUUAUAUAAGUAUUUAAAUUAUAAACUACAGAACAUUUUUAAUGAAUAUUGUUUUUAUGUCAGCAACCUAUAAUUUGGUGGUUGUAUAUCAACUUACUAACAAAAACCAAAAGUACACUCAACAUUUGAUUAAUCUAAAAAUGAUUUAAAGUAUAUAUCAAUAUAUCUCUCUCUGAGAUUAAAGGAGAUAGUUCCAGAUUUUAUAUAUUCUUUAUUUGGUGAUGUAGGAUGCUUAAGAAUAUAAUUUUAUCCUUUUAAUUCAUUAAUUGUAUAAAGUUUUAUAUCGAGAUGGUUAUUAGGUAAAACAUGACUCCACUUGGGAAAGUAAUCUACAAAUUUAAAUUCCCUCUACAAGAAACAAAACAUGAAAUCUAUAAAGAAUGAAAUUUAAUAAAAAAGAAAUAAAAAAUGAAACCAAAUUUUCGAAUUUAAACUUGCGAUAUCAUAAUUUAUCAAUUUCUAACUUACAUAAUAGUUUAAUUACUAUAUAUCUUUCAAGGAAAUUAAUGUGUUUCAUAUUAAAAAUAUAAAUAGUAUAUAUAUAUACUUACAUAAAAUUAACGAAAUGUUAUUUUUAUUCUUGAAUGAAUUUUUUUAAUUGAGUUGAGUCCUUUUAAAAAUGUUUCAUGCCACAGUUUUGAGGUGUGACUCCGUUUGUAUUUGGUUAUUUUUUUUAAUCAUUCUAAAGAUUUUAUUUUCUAUCAAUUUCAUCAAAAUAUAUGUAAUAACUCCAAAAUUUAAACCUGAAAACAUAUGUGAUGGUUCAAAGAAAAUGGUAUAUAGUUUGUGCGACCACGUGCAAUGUAAUAAGUAUGCUGCGGUUUUGUGGAUUCAAGAAAUGCUAUAUUUUUAAGAUUACAAAUCAGUGUUUAUUUUGAUAUUUCGUCUUUUUAAUUCAUAAAAACUGUGAGUAUUAAUUUUUUUUUUAAGUGUUAAUAUCUUUAAUCUGGGACUAGACCUUUUUAUUUUGCAUCUAAAACUCAGAAAAGGGAAUAUAUAAAGUAAUACAAAAGAAAAUAAGUAACACAAAACGAUAAAUAUAAAUCUCACAUAAAUAUAUUAAAAAUUAUUUUUUAUUUUGUAUGCAAAUACAAAUAGUUUUAUUAAAAUCACAUAUCAUUAUGUUAAAUAAUAAUUAAGCCGGUGAUACCGCUUUUGAAACAGAUACACAAUAAACCCAUACUGCAUCUCUUUUCUUUAAAUAUUUGGAUUCGUUUCCGAUUAAACUAGGUCUAUCCGCGAUAUAUUUGACAAGUGUGUCAUGACACUCUUUGCCUUCUUGAACAAGCUCCUUGCAACAAGGAAUGGAUACAACUCCAUCUCCAAAAACUUGAGAAAUGAUCUUGAGCGCACAGUUUGGACUGAUUUUAACAACACAUUGAUCCCAUAACUUUUUUGGCUCAUUUUCUUCUACAGCUAAUGAAGGUACACAUGUAAUCGCCACAACUAGAACAACAAAAGACAACAUAAUAAAGUUAAUCUUUGCCAUGGUUGUUAUGUGUUUGAAGAUUUACAGUUUAACUUUUUUUCAAGUUAGAGAAAGAAAUAAGUUUUUAAAUUUCUGAUGUUAUUUGAAGAAACGAGGUUUGCCCUAUUUAUAGAUACGAAUAAUCAAUAUUUAACAUUUAAUUUCGACUAAUGAAUUUUGUUUUGACGUUUUUUUGUUCAUUAACAUGUGUUAAGUUACGUUUUUUGCUGAAGUUAUUAACUACUUAGGUUUAUAGUUUAUAAAUAAUUAAAUUAGGAUUUUUGUAGUAUACAAAUUAACAUUCUAAGAACUUAUAUAAGUAUUUAAAUUAAAAACUACAGAACAUUUUUAAUGAAUAUUUUUUUUAUGUCAGCAACAUAUAAUUUGGUGGUUGUAUUUCAACUUACUAACAAAAACCAAAAGUACACUCUAACAUUUGAUCAAUCUAAAAAUGAUUUAAAGUAUAUAUCAAUAUAUUUCUCUCUGAGAUUAAAGGAGAGAGUUUCAGAUUUUAUAUAUUCUUUAUUUUGUGAUGUAGGAUGCUUAAGAAUAUAAUUUUAUCCUUUUAAUUUUAUAAACUUUUAUAUCGAGAUGGUUAUAAGGUAAAACAUGACCCCACUUUGGUAAAUAGUCUACAAAUUUAAAUUCCCUAUAUAAUAAAUAAAAUAUGGAAUCUAUAAAGAAUGGAAUUUAAUUAAAAAAAAGAAAAAAAAGAAAACAAAUUUUUGAUUUUAAACUUGCGAUAUCAGAUUUUAUCAGUUUAUAACUUACACAAUAGUUUAAUUACUAUAUAUUUUGUCAAGGAAAUUUAUGUGUUUCAUAUUAAACAUAUAAAUAGCAUAUAUAUACUUACAUAAAUUAAAAAUGGCUGUUUCUAUUCCUGAAUGAUUUUUUUUCAUGGCACAGUUUUGAGGUGCGAUUCUGUUUCUAUUUGGUCAAUUUUUUUUAACAAUUCUUCAAAUUGUAUUUUUGAUUAAUUUCUUCAGAAUAUAUGUAACAACUCCAAAAAUUAAAUAUGAAAACGUAUGUGAUGGAAAAAUAAAAUGGUAUAUAGAUUGUACGACCACAUGCAAGUUAUUAUAUAAAUGUAAUAAGUCUGUUGCGGUCUUGUAGAUUCGCGAAAUGCUAGAUUUUUAAGAUUACAAAUCAGUGUUUAUUUUGAUAUUUUGCCAUUAUAAUUCAUAAAAACUCUGAGUAUUUAAAGACUUUUAAAUAUUAAUUUUUUUAUUUGGGACUCGACAUUUUUAUUUGGCAUCUAAAACUAAGAAAAAGGAAUAAAGAAUGUGAAAGAAAACAAGUAACACAAAAUGAUAAAUAUAAAUCUCACAUGAAUAUAUUAAAUAUUUAUUUUGAAUUUGUAUGCAAAUACAAAUAAUUUUAUUAAAAUCCCAUAUUAUUAUGUUAAAUAAUAAUUAAGCUGGUGAUACCGCUUUUGAAACAGACACACAAUGAGCCCAUAAUUCAUCUCUUUUCUGUAAAUAUUUGGAUUCGUUUCCGAUUAAACUAGGUCUAUCCGCGAUAUAUUUGACAAGUGUGUCAUGACACUCUUUGCCUUCUUGAACAAGCUCUUUGCAACAAGGAAUGGAUACAACUCCAUCUCCAAAAACUUGGGAAAUGAUCUUGAGCGCACAGUUUGGACUGAUUUUAACAACGCAUUGAUCCCAUAAUUUUUUUGGCUCAUUUUCUUCUACAGCUAAUGAAGGUACACAUGUAAUUGCCACAACUAGAACUACCAAAGACAACAUAAUAAAGUUAAGCUUCACCAUGGUUGUUAUGUGUUUGAGGAUUUACAGUUUAACUUUUCUCAAGUUAGAGAAAGAAAUAAGUUUUUAAAUUUCUGAUGUUAUUUGAAUAAACGAGGUUUGCCCUAUUUAUAGAUACGAAUAAUCAAUAUUUAACAUUUUUUUUCGACUAAUGAAUUUUGCUUUUGACGUUUUUUUGUUCAUUAACAUGUGUUAAGUUACGUUUUUUGCUGAAGUUAUUAACUGCUUAGGUUUAUAGUUUAUAAAUAAUUAAAUUAGGAUUCUUGUAUUAUACAAAUGAACAUACUAAGAACUUAUAUAAGUAUUUAAAUUAAUAAGUUACUGAAUAUUUUUUAUGAAUAUUGUUUUAUGUCAGCAACAUAUAUUUUGGUGGUUGUAUAUGAACUUACUAAGAUAAACCCAGAAGAACACGCUAACAUUUGAUCAAUCUUAAAAUUAUUAUAAGUAUAUAUCAACAUUAAGAUUUUAUAUUUUCUUUAUUAUGUUAUGUAGGAUGCUUAAGAAUAUUUUUUCUUUUUCAUUUUGUAAUUUUUAUGCAGAUAUGGCUAUGAGGUAAAACCUGACUCCACUUGGGAAAAUAAUCUACAAAUUUCAAUUCACUGUAAUAAAUUAAUAUGUAAAAUACAUAUUAGAAUAAAUUUUAAUAAAAAAUCAAAUAAGUAAUUAAAAAAAAAUCCAAUUUAUGCUUGCGAUAUUAUAUUAUCAGUUUAUUACUUUCAGAAUAGUUUAAUUUAUUUUUAUAUUUCUCGAGAAUAUUUAUGUGUUUCAUAUUAAAAUAUAAAUAACAUAUAUAUACUUACAUAAAUUAACAUAUGUGAUGGGACAAAGAAAAUGGUAUAUGGAUUGUGGGAUCAGUUGAAAGUGAUAUUUUAAGUGUACUAAGUGUGUUGCGACUUUGUAGAGUCGUGAAAGACUAGAUUCUUAUGAUUACAAGUAAAGUGUUUAUUUUGAUAUUUCGUCAUUUGAGAUAAUGAAAAUUGUGAGUAAUUAAAGAUUUUUAAACAAUAUAUUUUUAUUUCAGAUUUGACCUCUUUAUUUGGUAUCUAAAUGAGAAAAGAAAAUAAAAUAAUGCAAAAGAAAACAAACAACAAAAAAUGAUAAAUGUUAAUCUCACAUGAAUAUAUUUUAAUUUGAACUUGUAUGCAAAUACAAAUAAUUUUAUUAAAAUACAUAUUAUUGUAUUAAAAUAUAAUUAAGCUGGUGAUAAUGCUUUUGAUACAGACACACAGUGAACCCAUAAUUCAUCUAUUAUAUGUAAGUAUUUGGAUUCGUUGUCAAUUAACAAGUGUGUUAUGCCAUUCCUUUUUUCGGAACAAACUCAUGGCAAUAAGGAAUGGAUAGAGCUCAAUUUUCAAAAACUUGAGAAAUAACAGAAUUAUUUAUAAGAAUUGAAAAAACAAAGAACAAUAAUUGACAAAACAAAAUCCUAAAUCACAAAUAACAAUUUUAACUAUUAAGUAACAUAUAAUAUAUAGUAAAAGAUACGCUGCUUCUUUUUCACAUUUACAGCUUCUGAUAGAUAACAAAUUCAGACACACAUAUUUUAAAAAUAUUUUUGUCAAAGAUAUUUUAAAAUAUUUUCAAUAUUAUUAAUAGUUUUGUUAGAUUUUGAAGUUCAAAACUCGUGUUCUCACAGAAAGAGGGAUUCGGACAUUGUGAGCUCCAUUGUCGGUCCAUGUCAAGCUCCCAAAGUGAUAAUCAGUAUUCACUCUAUGAGUCGUGGAGACUUUCACCGUAAAUGUAAUCUUCUUGGUGUUGGGACCGAACUCAAGAGUUUUAGGACUCACCUGCAGGUUUAUACCUAGAGGCGGUUCGAUCACAGCUUUGUAAACCGAACCGACCGGUCCAACAUUUGUCACGGUUCUAGUUAUUGUGAUCUCUUGACUAAGAUAUGGGAUUGUGAUGGAGGGCAAGUUAACAUCAAGCAUGGAUGGAGUUGGGGAAGGGCAAGUGUAGACUUUUCCAAGUAGUUUUGAGAUGGAUAUAUCUUCAUAGCCUGCAGAACACAAGUAAUGAACAUAUUCAUCAUGGCCCAUGUCGUAGACAAGUCCCGGGUCUGCCACCUUCCCCGGGUUCACGAGGCCACCUCCGUAGUCAAACGGGUCAGCGAUUUUGCGCGGGGAACCCUCUGCUGCAAUAGGCUCUCCCGAUGGGUCCGUUUGAAAUGCUGCAAGGGUUAUCAGUUAUUCACUAAAACUUCUUCGAAAACAAAAAAAUAACAACAACGUUUCUUGGUGAGCAAGAAACAAAUAUUUUUUGAAAAUGUACAAUUUUACCAGUUGUGACGAGAGCGGAUCGAAUCGCAGCAGGGGACCAGUCAGGGCGUUUUUGCUUAAGAAGUGCAACUAUUCCUGUUACGACAGGUGUAGCCAUCGAUGUCCCUGACAUGAACUCGUAUCCUACCCCUGUUGGUACGGCCGCAAGUAUACCUACACCUGGUGCUGCUAUAUCCGGCUGUACUUAAAAACCACAAGCCAACUUCAGGUCGGGCAAAUUGCAUGUAAAAAUUAAUAGUUAGUAGGAAUUUUAUACUUCACCUUGAGAAUGGCGGGAGAUAUUGAAUUGGGACCUCUAGACGAAAACCUUGCAACCUUAGUCGCUGAAGGUCGGCCAACGAAUGUCUUGGUUGGGCUGAUCUUAGCUUUAGGAAAUCUGUGGAAAUCAUUACAAAAGAAAAAAAAAUCUCUGUCGCAUCGAAAGAGUUCAUAAAUGGAUAACAAAUAGAGAAAUGUAAGAACUUACUUGGUUGUUUGGAGGUAGAGUAAAAUGUCCAUCCCAAUUUCAUAGUCUACCCUGGCAGAGGCGAUACCCGCGGUGCCUGGUUCGAUCAAAUCAAUUGGCUUUGUUGCGAUGAUGAUGCCAACGACGCCUUUCGAUUUCGCGAAUUCAGCAAUCUGAUCUGUAGAUCUAUCUGUUAGGAAGGUAAACAAGAUUUUUCCCUUAGCUUUACCGGCUUCAAAAUCAGCUUUCGUCAAGUCAUCGAAGUAAAUAAGAUCAGUGAAUCCCACUUCUUCUCCUAUGUAUAAACCUUCUUGACCCUGAUAAAUGCGUCCCACAAAAAUAUUUAAAUAAACAAUUACAAAUGUUUUUAUACCACAAGUAAAAAUAUAUACGUACCAGUACGGUUACAUUGUUUCCAAGAGUGAUGGGCGUGAAGAACUCUCGGUCCAUGGUCGUAGCCGCGACCGUUAUGAUCCACGGAGCAACGUUAGAGAUGGUUUGAGUUUCAGGACCAUCGUUCCCACCAGCGCAUACCACGGUAAUACCCUUCAUCACGGCGUGGAAAGCAGCGAUAGCGAAGUCACUCCUAUCGACCUCGAAAUCAAGCGGUAUCUCGGAUCCGAGCGAGAGCGAUAGAACAUCGACGCCAUCACGCAUAGCGUGAUCCAUGGCCUUUAAAAUAUCCGGCGUAAAACACUCCUCGUUAUUCCAACACACUUUGUAAGCGGCUACACGGGCCCUAGGGGCACUGCCUCUCGCAGUUCCCUGACCUAAACCGAGGUAGUUUGCGUUUUGGACAAAAGAACCCGCGGCGGUCGACGCACAGUGUGUUCCGUGGCCGACUUUGUCCAAAGGGGACAUGGCCUCGUCUUUCUCCGCUGCUUUGAAAGCCCCUUUGUACUUUCUGGCGAGACCCUUUGCGUAGUACGUAGCUCCGAUCAACUUUCUGUUGCACAUCGACGCGUUGAAACCUUCUCCUGAAACACAUUGUCCCUUCCAACGUGCCGGGAUCGGUCCAAGACCGUUGUCGUUAAAUGACUUUGACCCUGGCCAUAUUCCUGAGUCCACGAUUCCUAUGAUUGCGUCGCUUCCCAUAUCGGUAUCGUGGACGAGACCGGUUGGAGCGGUUGAAGUGAGUCCCAAGUAAUCACUAACCCUUGUUGUUGUUAGUUUCAUAUUCUUGCUUCUUGUUACGUGAACAACAUGCGGAUUUUCUAUUAUAAAUCCAAAUCCGAAGUGGAUAUAUAAUUAGUACUGUUUUUGAGUUUAACCUAAUUCUUGUGCAACACGUUCCCUCAAAGAGAAUAGUUUCAAAUUUACCUGAGAGUUCCCUUGCUUGGGAUGAUGUGAGUUUCGCUGAAAACCCUGAAAAACCAUGUCUAUAACUAUAAAUCAUAGACUCACGAGAAGCUUCUUUGCUGCAUCAUCAGUCAAACCAUUAAAAUUCAUCAUAAAACAAUAAUAUUUUUCUCCGCAACAUUUAUGAUCUUUGGAAAGAAUAGACCAAUAAUUAGAUUACCUUCCAAGAAGCGAUCCAAGGAUAUCAUGAUGUGAAUCAGUAACAAGUUUAGGAUCAUCAUGUUGCCUCUUACCCAAAUGCACCGUGUAAAUCUAAAUAUAGCAUCACCGAGAAAGUUAAAUUAGUGAAAUUCCUUGCAAUUAGCGUCUCUCUCUUUUGGCAGAAAUAAAAUGAUUUUAAAAAUCGGCAAUUGGUUACAUACCUGGCUUUCCUGAUUCGCACAAGAAAUUAAGGCUAUCUUCAAGAUGAAUACUAAACUUAUGAACACAACUACAAUAUGCUUCCUAUUAUUGGAUACAGUCAGAGAAGACAACCCCAUUUUCAGGGUUUUAAGAGUUUGUGUUCAGGCUGAUUCUUUUUCAACAAGAAUCUUCCAAGAAUAUUAGGGUUCUUAUUCUUGGAUCUCCUCAAACAGUGUCCUCUCUGAUUGUAUCCCAGAAGAAGCAUAAAGAUGAUUGUAUUCAACCCAUCUUGUAUUUAAACUGAUCAGGAUUUGGUUAAGAAUGUUGGGAGUUUUUUUUAGCGUACAACGAAGAUAGGAGAUAACACCAAAGCUAAUAGUUAAUUUGGGACUACUCUAGUUUAAAACGGUUUUGUUUCUUUUUAUAUAAUUAUCGGCGUAGAAUUAAAACGAGUUAAAACUUGAAACUGUUAUUGUCUGUCAAAACCAUGAUGGUAAGGUAAAUGUAAAUAUUAUGUUAUUCAGAUAUGAAUUUAAAGUUUUCUUUUUUUUUAAUUAAAGGGUUUUGAGAAUUUAAAAUUUUAUUUUUAAUUUAGUAUUAUUAAAUUAGAAAUUUAAAAUUUUCAUAUUAAAUAUACUCUUGUUAAAUAUGUUUAAGCAGUGGAUGAUAUUUUGUGAUAUUAGGGUGGACAGAUGAAGUUUCAUAAUUAAAUGUAUAAUACAUAAAUUUCAUGGUUUUAGAAUGUUUGCUAAAUAAUUUUAAUGAAAAGCAUAAUACACCCAAAAUUAUCUCCAAUUUAUUAUAACUUAAAUACUUAUAAUUUUUAAAAUCAAAUUGAGUAUAACUCCCUCGGUUGAUGUCUAAUUUCUCGCAAAAAGAGUUUAGUCAUAUUACGUCAUUUAUUAGAAAACUAUUAAAAUUGAUUGAAAGCUUAUUGUUUUGAUUGAAAGCUUGAAUACUAUUUUCACUAGAAAAUUGUAAGAUUUGAUUUUCAAAUGAUGUUAUGCGAUGACAAAAAAAAAAUAAUGUUAUGCAAAUUAUUAGAAAAGUUGAUAAGAAAUCUUCACUGUCAUGCAUAGGGGUAAAAUUUACAAUAUAUAGUAUUUCUAUUAAAUUAUUACGAAAAAUUAAACAAACCCUAUGAAAACAAAUUACGCAAAUAAUUUUCUUAAAAGGUAAAAGUGAAUAAUUUUAUUAUAAAAUAGUAUAUGAUAGUGUUAUGUAAAAAAACUAGAUAUAACUUUUAUAUACAGGUAACUACCAAAUGAAAUGUUAAACAUUCAUUACUAAAAGUGUAUAUUUUUAGAUUAUGUAAAUUUCUGACUAUUUGUUUAGAAAAUGUAGUGAAACUGAAAAAUUAGAAACUUGUAAAAUAAUAAAAACUAACAAAAUAUAUAAGAUAACAAUAUUGAACAGCAUAUAAAAUGAGAACUAAUAAAUAAAUAAUUGGGAAAAACUAAAAGAAACAAGUCACAGGAAAAUUAAUCAAUUUAGGUUUAUAUAAAGUUACUACUAUAGAUAGAAAUCCGUUAUAUAAUUAUUCAGUUGUCACCCCUUCCCCCUUUUUAUUUGUCUUCUUGAUUCUCAUGAAGCUUGUUUUUCUUAUGUAUAUUUAUUCGAAAAAUAGCAAGUAAAAGGUUUUUUUUUUUUAAUCAAAGAUUAUUAAUUUGUGAGAAUUCAGAUGAAAUGAGCAAUUUAGAUGAUGAUGAUGAUGAUGGUUGAUCCGAGGACCUCUGAAGAAUCUAUUUGGGUACGGCCAACGAGAAGGUAAAAGACUUCUCUAUGUUUAGCCAAGUUCAUGAUAUUGUUGAUAGACUUUGUGAAGUUUAUGGGGUAAUGUCGUUAAAUAGUUUUUGCUGUUAUACUUAUUCUGACAAACAAACUAGGUGGAAUGCUGAAAAGUCCCAAAUUUCAUUUAUGUUUAAAAUGGUAAAUUAGUUUAUUUCUUAACUGUUGUCUGGUGGUAUGUUUAUUUUUAGAAUCUAGUUAAUUAGUUUUCUAAUUUUCAUCUUUUCUCAAUACCCUUAUAAUAUGAUAAUCAGAAGACAUGUCCAAGCAGCUUGUGUUGCAAUCAGAGGAUCAUUGUUGAGGGGCAAGAUUGUUACUAACCCUCUGCAUUUCUCUAAACCCAAAAAUUAUAAUGAGGUACUGUUUUCUGAUUAGCAAUACAAGUUCUAAGGCGUGUCCUUUGGUCAUAAGUCUCGUGUUAAUCCUGAACGGAGUGUUUAUCUCUGCGGCACAAGUCAAUUUGUUGAACAAGGUACAUAAACGUUUUCCUUUCCCCUAGAGAUGGAGACCAGAGCAUUGUAAUUAGUCCCCUUUUCUGAAUAUUUUUAAUUUUUAAUUUUUAUUUUCGGUAAUACCAGGUUCACAUUGUCCAUUUGGGAGCAAAGAAACAUGAUACUCCUGAGCUAGUUACUAAAUCACAUUACCAAAUUUUGGAACCAAUUCUUGGAAGGUAUAUACGAGUAUUGUAAUUUAUCCAAUUUCAGUGUUACCAGGAGCAUAAACUGAGUGUAUACUCAGUUUCCUUCUUUUCUAAUUCGUGCCACAGCAAAGAAGCUGCCCAGAAAUCUAUAGUAUACAAUUACAAGCAUGGUUUCUCCGGGUUUGCAGCAAAACUUACAGCGUCCCAAGCAAAGAACCUUUCAGGUACUUAGAACGUUGAUUGACUCAGAAAGUCAUUAAUUAUAUGUCUCCAUUAAACUCUAAAUAAAUUAAUAUUGAUUUGUUAUCUAUCAGCGCAUCCCGAGGUUCUUUGUGUUAUACCAAGUCGAACACUGAGGUUGAAAACAACAAGAGCAUUCGAUUACUUAAGACUUUUGCCUAGUUCUCCAAAAGGUCUUCUACAUGAUACCCGUUUGGGCAGUGAAGCUAUUAUUGGCAUCAUAGACUCAGGGAUAUGGCCAGAGUCAGAGUCAUUCAAGGACACAGGUCUAGGACCGAUCCCGCAACGGUGGAAAGGAAAAUGUGUGUCUGGAGAUGGAUUUGACGCCAGUAAACAUUGCAACAAGAAGCUUAUAGGGGCUGAGUUCUAUGUUGACAGUCUUGCAGCAGAGACGAACGGACAAUAUGAUUUCCAUGCAGAAAAUGAGUAUAGGUCGGCUAGAGAUGGUGCAGGCCACGGCACACACGUGUCUGCGAUAGCUGCUGGCUCUUUUGUGGCUAACGCAAGCUACAAAGGACUUGGUGGAGGAACCGCUAGAGGCGUGGGUCCUCAUGCACGUAUAGCUAUGUACAAGACCUGCUGGGGAAAACUUGGAUGUCUUACACCUGAUGUACUCAAAGCAAUAGAUCAUAGCAUACGUGACGGGGUUGAUGUUAUAUCGAUUUCGAUCGGUGCUGACGCACCUGCCGGUUUCGAAAUUGAUACAAGCGAUGUAUCAUUUGGUUCAUUCCAUGCGGUAAUGAAAGGCAUUCCCGUUGUCUGUUCUGCUGGAAACGAGGGACCGAACGCUCAAACCGUUGAUAACGUUGCUCCAUGGAUCAUAACCGUAGCUGCUACAUCCAUGGACCGCUCCUUCCCUAUCCCCAUCACUCUUGGAAAUAAUAUAACAAUCCUCGUAUGAUCACAUUCUCUUGAUUUCCAUAUUUAUUUUUAUUUUAUGAUUUUUUCUUUUCAUUUUUUUACUAUGAAUUUUUUUAUAAGUAUUUUUUUUACUAUGAUUUGUGACUUUGUUCUCGUGGACUGUUUCAGGGUGAAGGUUUAAACACAUUCCCUGAAGUUGGAUUUACUGAUCUUUUAUUACAAGAGGAAUUGAUGGAAACCUCAAUCGCACAAGGGCAAAUUAAAGGAAAAAUCGUGCUUGCGUUUACUCCAAACAAUGAAGCGAUACAAAAGGCAGACCGUGUAUUGAAUGCUGGAUGUGCUGGCAUCAUCUAUGCACAAUCUGUAGUUGAUCCUACGGUUUGCAGUGGCCUAGAUGUUCCUUGCGCCGUUGUAGAUUACGAAUUUGGAACUGACAUGUUAUACUAUAUCGAGACCACCGAGUAAUAAAUUAAUAUUCACCAACGUUUAAUAUCAUCAUCACUUUUCUGUUUAUGACAUAAAGUAUUUUGAUUUUGCAGUGUGCCUUUAGCAAAGCUAAGCACUUCCAAGACUCUUGUUGGUCGGCCUGUUGCAUCUAGAGUGGCUCGUUUCUCUUGUAGAGGACCUAAUUCAGUUUCCCCAGCAAUUCUAAAGGUUUGUCUAUUCUUAUUAUUUUUUGUUGUUUCUUCAAAUAUAUUGAUGCUCAAGUUAAUAGUGUUUGGUACUCUGCUGGAUAAUAAUGCAGCCAGACAUAGCAGCACCGGGUGUUAAUAUUCUUUCUGCUGUACCUGAUGGGUAUAAGUUCAUGUCGGGAACAUCAAUGUCAACUCCUAUUGUGUCAGGAAUCGUUGGGCUAAUCAGACAAACCCGCCCUGACUGGUCUCCUGCUGCAAUCCGAUCCGCACUUGUCACAACAGGUUCUCACUAUAAAACCAUACCCAACCAUAGGAUUUUCAAUCCGUAUUUUAGUUUAAUUCCUUGAGUCCGGUUCUUGGGUUGAAAAGAAAAUACUUACGUAAAUUAACACAUAAUAAUCUACUAUGGACCAACUUGGUGUUCUCUCUUUUUGUUUAGGCUUUGAUUUUUUGUUAUGUUAAGAUUAUAUUGGUUCGACUUAUACUAAAUAUUUUGAAAAGACACUAAACAUCUUUAGUUGCUCCGUUUUCUCUUAUUGAAAUGAAGCAUGGAGGACCGAUCCAUCUGGAGAGCCUAUAUUUUCAGAGGGAGCAACACGGAAACUUGCUGAUCCGUUUGACUAUGGAGGAGGGCUGAUCAAUCCAGAGAAAGUCACAGACCCUGGACUUGUUUACGACAUGGGUUUGGAUGACUAUAUUCAUUACUUGUGUUCUGCGGAUUACUCUGAUAAUGAAAUUUCCAAACUAAUUGGGAAACCUAAUCAAUGCCCUUCGCCAAGGCCUUCUAUGCUCGACCUCAACAUGCCUUCGAUCACAAUCCCAAGUCUCACUGGAGAAGUCACCGUGACUAGAACAGUAACGAAUGUUGGACCGGCUGAUUCGGUUUACAAACCCGUUAUUGAGCCUCCUUUUGGAAUAGAGCUUGAGGUGAAUCCGAAGACUCUUGUGUUUGGUUCCAACACAACGAAGAAUACAUUUAGCGUGAGAGUGAGAUCGAAUCAUCAAGUGAACGGGGACUUUUAUUUUGGGAGCUUGUGUUGGACCGAUGGAGCUCACAACGUUACUAUUCCUGUUUCCAUCAGGACAAAGAUCUUGAGGAAUUACGUUUAAUCAUUUUUCACUUGUAAUAUAGUUUUUACCAUGGUAUGUUUCUGAAUCUUGAGAUUCUUUUACUAAUAAUUCAGAUUACAGUAUAUUUGGUUUAAACAUAUAUAUAAGAAAUAGUCAAUUUGCCAAAUAGAUAUAUUGGGUACCAAAUCAAGAAGAGCGUAAACCCACAUCCAUAAACUUAACAAAAAAUAUAAGAAAUGGAAAAAUGAAAAGGGAAUAAUGGACCACCGAUGUGUGAACAAAGAUAUGAAAAGGUUGAAUUAUAUAUAUCUUAGUGCUCAAAAUUUAUCCUUACAUUCUUUUUGCUCCCUUUAAUCUUUAUAAAAGCCUAUAGAUACAGACACAUACAUAUAUGUGCGUAUGCAUAUAUAUAGGUGGUUGCCAUGCUUACCCAACCAUCUGUCCUCAACUUUCAAUAACAUUUACUCUCUCAGACGGUAGACAAAGACAGAGAGAUAGAAAAAAGAAACAGAGUAUAUGCUGUGUUUUGUUCAUUGAUAAAAAAUAGUGUUUGAAAGAACAAGAGGUAGAGAAAGAAAUGGGGAGACAACCAUGCUGUGACAAAGUAGGGUUGAAGAAAGGACCAUGGAGUGCAGAUGAAGACAGGAAGCUCAUGAACUUCAUCCUCACCCAUGGACAAUGUUGUUGGAGAGCUGUUCCUAAGCUUGCCGGUCUUCUCAGGUGUGGCAAGAGUUGUAGACUUCGUUGGACAAAUUAUCUUCGACCAGACCUUAAGAGAGGUCUUCUCUCGGAUCACGAGGAGAAGAUGGUCAUUGACCUCCAUUCCCAGCUCGGCAACAGGUUACAAAACAUUUUUUUGUUUGUGUAAACUUUAUUAAACCUGUAUGAGAAUUUAUAUUCUCUGUUUCUGAGAUGUUUUUUUUUUUUUGGGUAUGUGAAGGUGGUCAAAGAUAGCUUCUCAUUUACCAGGAAGAACAGACAAUGAAAUCAAGAACCACUGGAACACUCACAUCAAGAAGAAGUUAAGGAAAAUGGGGAUCGAUCCUCUCACUCAUAAACCACUCUCUAUAGUUGAACAAGAAGAAGACAAACCUUUAAAGAAGCUGCAGAAACCAAUGAAGCAGACUGUGGAGGAACCAACUAAUUAUUGUCUUACCAAAGACAGCAACAGCAAAAACAUGUUUAUGGCAAUGAAUCUCGAGUAUGGCGUCGAAGAAGUCCCUAUGAUUGAUCCGGAGUGUUUAGAGCUUAUCUGUAACAACUCUUCAAUGUCUACUACAUCCACAUCCACGUCUUCCAGUUCAUCUAAUGAAUCAAGCAUCUUGAAGGAUUUUCAGUUCCCGGAUUUCGAUUGGUCGGACUAUGGUAUUGAUAAUAAUAAUCAUCAUAAUAAUAAUGGUGUGGACAACAUAAUGGAGAACAAUGUGAUGAGCCUGUGGGAUGUUGAUGACUUUAGCAGUUGGGAUUUACUGUUAACUGAUGAUAUUCCUCAGAGUUCUUCCACGUUUGGGUUGUUUUGAAUUUAUUUUAAAGUCAAUAUUUUCUUUGUAAAAUGGAAACUACGUGGGGACAGAAAACCCUAUAUACACUUCUUCAGUCUUGUUUAAGGUGAGAUUUUUUAAAAAAAAAUUACUUGAGAAAAAGUUACAAAAAGAAAAAUCAAAUAUAUUUAUUUUGUACAGACAAAAAGAGUUAGAGAGAAUUGUGUGUCUGAGUGUAGACCAAUUUUUGCUCUGUAUUUUGGGUUCCAUAUUUUCACGUGUUCCGGUUUAGUAUCACUUUGGCAAUAAAAAGGAAAAUUGCAAUGAAUGACAAUAAAUACAUGUAUUGUGUUAAGAUUUAACUUAUGGUUUCAUAAUCUCGAUAUCUCCUAACAAAACCUAAUUUUCUUCAUUCUGUAACGAUGUGUUCUUAUUCUAUUUUGCUCCAUACUUUGCUAUGUCUGACGCAAAAAAAAUUACAUGCAUAUAUAUGAGCUACCAAGUCAAAGCUUAUUGUACUAGCAAAGCUAUUUUGUAAAUUUUAUGUUAUAUUUGGUUGCUUCGUUAGUAAUAUAAGAUAUAACAGGUCAGUAUGAAAGUCUGUUUGAAGAUCUGGUACAUAAGUAAAGUACUUGUCUAGGUUUGUAGAUAUAAAGUGGCUAUUUCUUGUUUACUUGAGAAAGGGUUCGUGUCUUCACUAUUUCAUAACUUGUAUUAACUGGAAAUAAAAUAAAGGUUUGAAUCUUGGAAGAUAAAGAACUUUUUCUUUGAGUUAGUGAAACUUGAGAGAAUCUCCCAAUCUAACGUGGUGGAUAGAAGAUGUGAACUGGAUUAUCAAUUCGUUAUCCGUUCUUUAUUUGCCUCUAUCUUGAAUUGCAUGGAAGUUGAAAUUUCACAAUGGUUAUUUAUAUUUCUGCUAGAGUGUAUUUUCCGUUUUCAAAUAAAAUUCAUCAUUUUAACAAAUUCACUCUAUUUUUUUUUUUUUUUUUUUGAAACACUGCAUUCAUAAAUCAGGACAAGACCACGUUAUAUUCCCGCAAACACAUAACAAAUUCACUCUAUUUAUUAUCGUAGAUACAGCAGUUUUAAGAAUCUCAGCGAACUGACAUAAUCGAACUUUCUAAGAGUUGUGACUUAUGAGUCCACCCAUAAGUCAUAUGAAUACGGAAUGAUAGAAUACCAUAAAUCCCUUUAUCGACACCGAAAUAUCGGGAGACAAAUAGUGUCCGAGACAAUGUCACCAGCAUUUGGGUUUAUUACCCGUUCCCAACGUCAUGCUGACCUAAUAAUUUAUUAAAUUUAGAUUUGACGAAUUGGAGAUGGUGUGUUUUAGGCCAAACCUAAUGCGGUUUUAGAAAUACAUUUUCCUUUUUAUAUAUCUUACUGGAACCGCGUCAUCCUUUUCUUUAACAACAGAACCGCGUCAUCCUAAGCAGUCAAAAUAACUAAUGACGUUAUAAUUAUAGCGACAUGUAUUAUUGUGAAUAUGACUUUUUAAGCUUUGAAGGUGAUUUGGUAGAUCCUCCUAUUAGUUUAGUGGAUAUUUGGUACUUGAUUAGUCUGAUAGAAAGUAACUGAAAUGAGCUUUGAGAAUGUUGAAACCUAAUUGGUUGAGAAUAAACAGCAAUAACUUAAGUGAUCCAGUUGUUCACUUAUAACUGGAAAAAGGAAAAAGGUCUUAUUGAAAAUAAAAUAAAAAGCGAGUGGUUGGUAGAAAAUGCUCCUUAGGAAAUGUGUUUAUGUGGAAUGAGAGAGCUCGCGCGGCCCAUAAGUUAAUCAUGAAUCGACCGAGAAAACUCUUGUGCUAUUUAAAACAUUAUACAAUGCUCAAUAAACUUCAAAUAUGAAUUCUACCACCAUAAAUUGGUUCUACAUUUUCUUGCCAACAAAACUCUACUAGACUAGUUCAAAAUAGAAUCCAAUUCAAAAAGCUAAAUUGGAAGAAAGAAAUCAACAUAAAACAUAAUUGUUGGAGAACUCUAAGACCAUCUCCAAUGGUACUCUAUAAUUUUCUCUAUAUUUCACUCUAAAAUAGAGUAACUCUAUUAUAGAGUUGGAUUUGCUCCAAUGGUUCACUCUAUAAUAGAGUUACUCUAUAAUAGAGUGAAAUAUAGAGUAUUCUUAUUUUUUCACUCUAUAUUUGGAGUAAAAAAAUAAGAUUACUCUAUAUUUCACUCUAUUAUAGAGUGAACCAUUGGAGCAAAUUUAACUCUAUAAUAGAGUUACUCUAUUUUAAUGUAAAUUAUAGAGGAAAAAAUAGAGUGCCCUUGGAGAUGCUCUAAACGUCUCGUGUAAGUCUGUCAUUGUAUAUUUUUUCUUUUACAUAUGUUUGAUUAAAAAAAAUUUACAUCGUCGAAACACAUUCACGAGAGAGGUAACAGCUAACCAUUCUAUUGGUGCACAUAUUAUAUUUAUAAGUUAAGAAUAAACUUCUGCAAAAAUCACCUCCAAAUUUUGUAAAAUUGCCAUGCAUUACAUAGCACAAAUCAAAACUUCACGCAUGGAAUAUGUUCUUUACUUCCAAAAUGUUAUCUUCUGUACUACAAAACUAAUCUUGACCUAUAAAAGAAUUGGUUCUACAUUUAAGAUAAAAAGUUAGUAAUUGUAUAAACCAUUGUUUUUUUUGGUCUAAAGUUAAACUAUUGUUCUAUGUUUAGUUAGUGAAAUGGAGUUCAGAAACCAAGUAGUAAAGUUGGUUUGUAAUUUAAAAUAACAAAAAAAUUUAAAAUAUUUAUAAUAGUAAUAAUUUAAAGUACAUCUUAAAAUCACAAGCUUAAUAACACUGAAUUUAAAAGAAAAGUUAAAAAAUGUUGAAUUAGUAAAAAAAAUCAUAAAAAUGCAAAUUACCAUAAAUUCCAAAUUAAAUGCAUUCUUUUACAGCCUGUUAUAAUUCUCAGAAAAUCAUGAAAUUUGUCAAAUAUUCUUCUUAAUCACUUAUUUUCCUUGUGUUUAACGCUAUUUGCUACUACUAUUAAUUUCAUAUUACUUGAUCAUUGUCUCAGAUCACUAUAAUCAUCUUGUCAUUUAGUAAUGCUAGUUACGACUUUCAUAGCGUUUACAAAAAUCAUUGUUUUAUUUUUAUCGAAUCGAAUCAAAUUACUCUCACAUCACAGAGAUUUUUUUUUCACAGCGAAAAAAUUCAUCCAUCUUAAUUUUUCAUUGCCAUUCGUGACAAUUAUAAAAUGUUUUCGGUUAAUAAAUAACCAUUGUACGUUAAACUUUAAUUUAUUAAAAAUGAUAUCUAAAUUUCUCAUCAUGAAUGUUCCAGUCAUCAAUUAGUGUUGGCACGGCUUUACUUUAAUAAUGAAUUUUCUGUGCAUAUUAUUGUGAAUCUAUGAUGUGUCGUUUUAUCUUAAAUUCUGGAUGACUAUGAUUAGUGGUUAUUUUAAACGAAACUAUUUCUCCUUUAUAUAAUAAAAUCAAAAAGCUUGAACUGAGGUUUCAAAAAUGGGACACAUGUCAUGAAAUUUGCUAUAUAUACAGAAAUUCAUAUUAUUUCAUAUGUUUUUUGAACUUCAUAUUAUUUCAUAUGUACCACUAAAGACACUUUCUUUUCUCCACCGAAUUCUAGACAGCAAUGUCGAUGGAAAGUUCUUGUCCAAAUGUUUUUUUCUUUAAUUUUCCAAAUUUAUUUCCGAAAUUUAUUUUGCUUAAUGUUUUGCUGUAAGUCGAUAAAGAACCAUACUCUUAUAUCGUCGUGGUCGGUGCAUGCUUCACUGUUCAGCAAACUGUAGCAAAUAGCACACAUGAUAGGAGUUCAUGUUAUCUUAUAGUGUUUAGGUCGGUUCACGAUUCCCUGCGCAAAGAAAUAGCAACAGGGUAAAAGGGAGAUCUCUACACUGUCCACUUAAAUAUGCAAUGAAGAAUUUCAUGAUGAACUAGAACUCCGUGUUUUCUAUAAUAGAUAUAUGUCAUCGACCUUGUUGAUUUUAAUUUGUCCACCAUAAUGACCAUUAUUCACGGUGGGUUUGUAUUAUCCUUUUUCGUGUCAUAUGCUUCUAAUCAAUUUUUCUUUUUUGGUUGGUUCUUUUCUUUUUAACACUGAAAUACCAUCACAUAGUAUAAAAUGUUUUGAAUUCUAUAUCAUAUUACCUUACAGUAUGGAAACAAUACGAAUUUACCAUGUGUUAAUAUGUCACAUUCAACAUAUGUUUAUUUUUUGCAAAAAAACAUUCAACAUAUGAACUGGUUGUGGUCUCCUGAUACUAAAUGGUUGCUUCGAAUUCGCCCCUGAUUGUGCAUAAACCUUAAUUUGUUUUAGUCUUUUUUUACCUUUUUUGUGACUCUCUCUAGCACUUAUGCUUUAAUUAGCCCUUUAGAUUUCUAGGAUUUGAUUUCUUCACUCUUGUAAUCUCCUUGUCUCAUUACCAGUUAAUGAAAUUCACAUACUUAACACAAAAAAAACUGGUUGUGGUAUAAAUUAUUUUGUUUGUAGACAUGAAGAAAUAACUAUAAUACAUGUAAUUUUGUGACAUAAAGGCUUCAAUUAGUAAAAAACUAGGGUAAAAUGGUGGAAAGAAAAGUAAAGAAAAUUAUGUUUGGAUCUAUCAGCUUAAAUUUUUCCUUCUGUUUUAUGAAGAAGAAAAAUUUUAGCUGAAAGAAACAAAUCAAUUGACAAAAGAUGUAUUUAUUCCAUUUUACUCCAGUUUAUCCUAUUUUGUUUACCAGUGAAAGCCAAAAAAAAUGGAGAAUCAUAAUUCAAUACCAGGAAAAUACAUUUAUAGCAUACCAAAUUGAUCCCCGACAAUCUAUAAACCUUACCAUUUCGACUCCAAAAUUUACAACUAAUUUCGUAAUUUUAUUACAGCAACCAAUACCACAAUGCCGAACAAUUUCAGUUCAUGAAUGUUGGAGCAAAUCGACACAAGAAGAUGGGAACCGUUAGAGUUUGAAUUGGUUUGAAUUAGUCUUUUAUGUUUUCUUAUUUAUCAAGUAGUGACCGAGUCUUUAGGUCCAAAACCGUUUCCACUAUUGUCACGUUUGUUAGUUGCUGUUUCUUAGGAGUACGUUAUGUUUCGUUGUAAGACUACUAAUAGUCAUUUGCUUCUGUUGAAUAGAAUCAGAGUUUUCAUAUACAAACUGAGCAUUUGAGAUUACAAAUUGGUAUCAGAGCUCUGUUGUGAAAAGAGAGAAAAGAUGGGAGAUGACAAGAUGAAACUGCCGCAGUUCGAUGGACAUUGGGACCAUUGGAGUGAAGUUAUGGAGAACUUCUUCCGAGCCAGAGGACUAUGGAGUUUGAUCGAGAUCGGGGUUGAGGAACCAGUGGAUGUGACGGUGCUGACUGCAGAACAAAGCCUGCAAUUGGAGAACAGCAAGAUGAAUGACCACAAGGUGAAACACUAUCUCUAUCAAAGCAUCGAUAGAGUAACGUGUGAGCAGAUCUUGGACAGAAGAACCUCCAAGAUCAUUUGGGAUUCAAUGAAAGCGAAAUUUGGUGGCAAUGCUCGAGUGAAGAGAUCAUUGUUACAGAAGCUGAGAAGAGAUUUCGAAGUAUUGGAAAUGAAAGAAGCUGAGAGUGUUGAAGAAUACUUCACCCGUGUGCUGGCCAUCACGAAUCAGAUGAGAAGCAAUGGAGAGAUCAUGACUGACUCUAAGGUGGUUGAGAAGAUUCUCAGAACUCUCAGUGAGAAGUUCAUGUAUGUUGUGGUGUCCAUUGAGGAAUCCAAAGACACUGAGAACAUGUCAUUGGAUGAGCUGCAGAGUUCCUUGGUGGUGCACGAGCAGAAGUUCAAAAAGGUGGAGAAAGAGGAUGAUCAAGUGUUGAAGAUCACACAUGGACGAGGAACUGGAUCCAGAGGCAGAGGUUUCUCAGGCAGAAGCAGGGGACGAGGUAGAGGAAGAACGUUCUUCAACAAGAGCACGGUGGAAUGUUACAAGUGUCACAAACUUGGACAUUUUCAAAAUGAAUGUCCUAAGUGGGAAGAAGAAGCCAACUAUGCUGAUCUUGAUGAAGAGAUGUUGCUAAUGGCGUUCAUUGAAGAAGAGGAAACUGAUGAGAUUCAAGCAGAGGAAGAUAUGGAUCUCAUUUCAGUUAACUCGCUGAUGGUUAACACUGAGAAGCAAGAAAGCAUGAAAAAAAAAAUGUGGUUCCUUGACUCUGGCUGCUCUAACCAUAUGAGUGGAAACAAGAAUCUGUUCUCAAAGCUAGAUGAGAGUUUCAGACACUCAGUCAAGCUUGGCAACAAUAAGAGGAUGGAAGUAGUUGGGAAAGGGAAUCUAAAGCUGGUUCUGAAUGGAGCAAGCUACAUGAUAAGUGAUGUCUACUACGUGCCAGAACUCAAAAACAAUCUACUGAGUCUCGGACAACUUCAAGAGAAGAGGAUCACAGUCAUCAUUCAAAAGGGAAUCUGCAAGAUCUAUCAUGAGGAGAGGGGUUUGAUCGCUGAGAGUAAGAUGAGCACAAACCGAAUGUUCACACUGAUCGAUCAAGGAAGGGAUGAUCCGGAGUCAAAGGAACAGAGAUGCUUGCAGACAAUCUCAGAAGACAUGCCGAAGCUGUGGCAUGAACGGUAUGGCCACAUCAGUCACCGAGGGAUGAAAACAUUGCAGAGCAAAGGUAUGGUGCGAGGUCUUCCAGAUUUUGGAACUCAAAACUUCACAUGCUCAGAUUGUUUAGUUGGAAAACAACCAAGGAAGGCGAUUCCUAAGAAGAGUACAUGGAGAGCCAAGGAAGUUUUGGAGCUGAUUCACUCUGAUAUAUGCGGCCCCAUAAGUCCCACAUCCAACAGUGGAAUGAGGUACAUAUUGUGCUUCAUUGAUGAUUUCAGUAGGAAAGAUUGGAUGUAUCUUCUGAAGAAGAAGUCAGAGGCAUUUGAGGAGUUCAAGCUGUUCAAAAGGAUGGUGGAAACCGAGACAGGAAAGGUUAUCAAAGGCCUGAGGACAGACAGAGGAGGAGAAUACACAUCACUCGAGUUCUCUACCUACUGCAAGGAGCAAAGCAUCAGGAGACAGUUGACUACAGCCUACACUCCUCAGCAGAAUGGCAUAGCUGAAAGAAAGAACCGCACAGUGAUGAACAUGGUCAGGUCCAUGCUCUCUACCAAACAAGUGCCUAGAGAGUUCUGGACAGAAGCCGUGAAAUGGACUUUCUACGUUCUCAAUAGAUGUCCUACAUUUGCGAUCAAGGACAUCACGCCACAAGAAGCCUGGAGUGGGUUGAAGCCGAGUGUUGAACACUUCAGAGUUUGGGGAUGCAUCGGGCAUGUGCACAUUCCAGAUCAGAAGCGAAGUAAACUUGAUGACAAGAGCAUUCCAUGUGUUCUAUUUGGAUUCUCUGAGGAAUCUAAAGGUUACAGAUUGUACAAUCCAAAGACCAAAAGGAUUGUGACAAGUCGUGAUGUGGUAUUUGAGGAAACAAGAGGAUGGGACUGGAAGGAGAAUAAGGAUCAUCACGCUGAAGGCACAACUGGUGAUCUAACAUGGAAUGGAGACGACUUAGACUGGGAAGAGAGUGAUGACGAAGAUCACAAUGCAAGAGAAGGAGAUCAGAAUGAAGGAAAUAUUGAAGCAGAGCAACCUGAGGAAGAUGAUGAAGAGACUCAGACUGAGCAAAUCAGGGAGGGUAGAACCAGAAGGCCUCCACGCUACCUAAGUGACUAUGUUCAUGAAGUCAUAGACGAUGAAGAAGAUGAAGUCAACAUGGUGGAGUUGAAUGCAACAGAUCCCUCAACUUUUGAAGAAGCCGAGAAAAGUUCAAAGUGGAGGGAAGCAAUGAAUGAAGAAAUAAACUCCAUCGAGAAGAAUCAGACAUGGGAGCUUUGUUUCUUGCCUGAUAAUGCUAAGUGCAUAGGUGUGAAGUGGAUAUACAAGAUAAAACUCAAUGAGCUUGGUGAGACGAUCAAGUACAAGGCGAGGUUAGUAGCAAAAGGCUACUCACAGGAGCAUGGAGUUGACUACACUGAGGUAUAUGCUCCAGUUGCUCGUAUGGAUACUAUCAGAACCAUCAUAGCCAUUGCAGCUCAGAAAUCGUGGAUCAUCUAUCAGCUUGAUGUCAAGUCAGCAUUUCUCCAUGGAGUACUCACCGAGGACGUCUACAUACAACAGCCUAAAGGGUAUGAAGUUGAAGGUCAAGAAGAUAAGGUGUAUAAGCUUCACAAGGCACUUUACGGCUUAAAACAAGCUCCAAGGGCCUGGUUCAGCCGCAUUGAAGAGUACUUCUUGAGGUCUGGUUUCACAAAAUCUCAGAAUGAGGAGACGUUGUUCCUAAAGAUCAACAAUCAAGGUAACAUUUUGAUUGUUAGCGUUUAUGUCGAUGACUUGAUCUACACGGGAAGUAAUUUUGAGAUGAUGAUGGAGUUUAAGAAAUCUAUGCAAGAGGAAUUUGAUAUGACUGAUCUAGGCAAGAUGAGAUACUUCUUGGGGAUUGAGGUGCAUCAGGUGUCUACUGGAAUUCACAUUUCACAAACCAAGUAUGCUGUGGAGAUCUUAAAGCGAUUUGACAUGAAAGAUUGCAACUCAGUCUCAAAUCCAAUGGUGCCAGGAGAGAAGCUCGACAUGGAUGCAGAAGGAGAAAGAGUUGAUGAGACACUCUACAAACAGAUGAUUGGGAGCCUCAUGUACAUCACAACUACACGGCCUGAUCUUCAGUUCUCUGUAAGUCUAUUGAGCCGUUUCAUGUCCAGACCAACGAGGAUGCAUGCUCAAGCUGUAAAGAAAGUAUUGAGGUAUUUGAAGGGCACCACCGACUUUGGAAUCUGGUACAAUGGAGGAGGAGCAGGAGAGCUAGGUGUAUACACAGACAGUGACUUCGCAGGAGAUGUUGACAGUAGGAAGAGUACUUCAGGGUAUGCAUUUCUGAUGGAUGAUGCAGCGGUCGCAUGGUGUUCUAAGAAGCAACCUAUAGUCACAUUGUCCACUACUGAAGCCGAGUAUGUAGCUGCCUCAAUGUGUGCUUGUCAAGCUAUUUGGUUCAAACGAGUAUUGAUGGAGUUGGGAUGUGAGAUGGAAGGAAGCACUGUCAUUCUUUGUGACAACACAUCAACAAUCAAAUUGUCAAAGAAUCCAGUGUUUCAUGGUAGAUGCAAGCACAUUGGAGUGAGGUUUCACUUCUUACGUGAUCUAGUUAACAAUGGUGAGAUAAGUUUGGAGCAUUGUGACACAGGAGAACAAGUCGCAGACGUGUUCACGAAACCAUUAAGGAGGGAAGUGUUCGAGAAGAUGAGGAGCAGACUUGGGAUUUGCUCAGUUAAGGAGAAGCUGAAACUUGAAGAAGGACCAAGUUCAGCUUAGGGAGGGUUUGUUGGAGCAAAUCGACACAAGAAGAUGGGAGCCGUUGGAGUUUGAAUUGGUUUGAAUUAGUCUUUUAUGUUUUCUUAUUUAUCAAGUAGUGACCGAGUCUUUAGGUCCAAAACCGUUUCCACUAUUGUCACGUUUGUUAGUUGCUGUUUCUUAGGAGUACGUUCUGUUUCGUUGUAAGACUACUAAUAGUCAUUUGCUUCUGUUGAAUAGAAUCAGAGUUUUCAUAUACAAACUGAGCAUUUGAGAUUACAAUGAAUUCAGCUCAAGUUCAUAAUAAUCAGCAUUGUUAUAGCUUUAAUCUUCUUACAUAUUCCUAAAGCUAGUUAGCUUUUCCAAGUUUAAUUAGUUUAACGUCUAAUCGUUAUUGUUAUAUAUAAUAUGUAUAUGAUUGAAUGCUAUGUUUGUGUAGUACGUUCGUAAAACCAAAUAAAUAAUGAAGUGGACAUAGGUGGAGAGACAUUACUGGAUGGGGGCGGGCAGAUAAUGAUAAUAUUGUCUUCCAUAUUGGCCCAUCCAUCAUCUUUUUAUCGUGACACACGAUCCCUAUCUAUUCUAUUCCCUGAAUAUGCUUUUAAUUUUAUUCCCUCUUAAGCAAAAGAAUACACAUAUUUAUGUAAAGAUACGUAACACUAAAUCAUUUAUCCAAGCCCUGAUUGUAAUUGGAACGCAAAUGAACCCUCAUAGAACACUUUCGUUUUGAUUUUAGUUGAUAAAUUUUCUCUUAGGAUUAAAUUUUGAUAUAUAUAUAUAUAACUUUAAUUGAUCUUCUGAUACGCUAAAACUGAACUUAUGUGAAUUUUGCCAUCAUUGGUCAUGAUAUUUUUGUCAAAUAUGUGCUGCUAGCCUCAUAAUUGAUAUAUAAUUUAUACAUGGUGUAAUAAUAAACGUCACCAACAAAAAAAGAACUUUCGAAUAGUUAAUGACUUUUAUAUGCAUAUUAACAAAUGGCUACAAUAAUAUUUACGGCGAAUAUGGAAUUGUAAUUAGACGGAAAAAUGUGGGCCAACAAUAAACAUUUGACACAAAUAUGUGGCAAAACGAAUUCGACACAUAAAAUAUAGAAAAUAAUAAAUUAAUCAUGGCGGCAGGAAGACAGGUUCAUAAAGUAGUUUUUGCUUUUCUUUGCCUAAAUCUUUGUGGACUUGGCUUUAGACAAAAUCCGAUUGGGCCUCUGUUGAGCUAAGCUAGUCUACAACGAAGAACUAACUGAAGGAAUGAGUUGGGAAAAUAGAAAGCCCAUCGUCUAUUCGAAUCGUUUUCUUUAGUGGCAAUGGCAUCACAAAUGAAAAUAUGCAUCAAAAUUAACAGAGAUAAUCAGAGAAAAUGGUAGUAAUCACGUGAAGAAGACCAGAGAAUCAUAAAACCAUAUCCUCUAAAAUGCUAGGCCAAACUCCAUUUUUUCACAACAAAAUAUAUUAUUCCUAAACAGAUCUUCAAAGAGAUGUCAGAUGAUUGAAGAUCUCACAUCCGGGAGAACCUAUUGUGAACGUAGGAAGCGCCUCCGAGAUCUCUAAGACGCUGUUGGUGACAGGAGAGAAACACAAAACGAGUUUCUUGAGGACCAGUGAGUUCUCAAGAAUAUACCUCACAACUUCAAUCCAAAUCUUCUUCAUGUGUUUUGAUACUUUGGUUCUCUUGAUGUACCUCGCUCUUUUCUUCCCAGCUUUCUCCACCGUGGCCACUUCUUUAACCUCAACACACUCAAGCGUACAUAGUAAGCACUGUGGCACAACGGUAAGCUCAAGGUUCUCUGGUUCUAAGUCCUUCAAAUAAAGCAAGUUCUGCCAAACAAAAUAAAAUAGAAAACCAAAAUUAGUUUAUGUGUUCUUAGGCCAAAAAAAUCAUAUAGUUUAGUAACAAGAAUGUACCAAUGUGAGGUGUUUCAGCUUCGGGAAACCUUCAAGAAAAUAUGGCAAAGUUUGUAAUAAGACGGUGCAGAACGAAGCCUCUAAACGAGUUAAGUUGCAAAAUUUGGUGAACGGUCCAUGUUUCAUGCAAGAAUAAAGGACCUGCAAUAAUAAGAACACAAUAACAAUUCAUUUGGUGUUACAAAAUAAAAUAAAAAUAACAAUAACAAUUCAUUCAUUGUUUUGUUAUAAAUGCAUACCUCGAGUGUAGGCUGAGAGAUGAUCAUAUGUCUAACACUAGGUAUCCCUUUUAGAAAAUCACUGAUAAUAGAUUUCUUGAUCUGCAAGGUACUAGUACCGAACUGUGUAUCAAUGUCGACCUUGAACAAGGAACUCAGAUUCUUCACCACAACUUUAUCAGAUAGAUCAUCUCUGAAGUUCAUAUACUUGAGCUCCGGAGCAUCAACCUCAACAGCAUACUCUUUACCAUAAAUUUUCCUGGAGCGCCCAAACUUCACACGAAACCUCUUCAGACACUGAGAUCUCACACGCAGGAAAGGCACAUUGUCAUCAAAAACCCUAAACACCGUCAGAUCUUCAAGAACAGGACAGCCUGAGAUGAGCUUCUCUACGAUCAAAGGAUCCUUGGUGGUAAUGUCUUCGAGAUGCAUGGUCUUGAGACAAGGCAGAGAAACACCAAACUCAGGAGGAUUCUGCAUUCCUACGUUUGCAAGCUUGAGAGAAACCAAAGUGUUGCUCUUGUAAAUGUUAACAUGUACGAGAUCGUUGGUGAGAGGACGCUUGAGUGUGCUACUGCCAACGUCUAGUUGUUGAACUCCACGGUUAACCAUUCCGGCAAUGAACUCACUGGUCCCAUGGAGACAAACAUUGCGCCCGUUGUACGUUACCUUGAACCUCUGCAGACGCGAGCCACGGUUGAUCUGGAAAAACGUGACGAUGAAGUUCCGUAUGGCGGGGGGUUCAUGGGAGUGAAACUCUAGCCCUGGGACCUGAAGCCAUAGAUCUUUAAAUCUCUUCGAUAAAAAGCUCGUCUUGAUAGACUCUUUGGUGGGAAGGUAUAAGAGUAUCUGAGUUAUCAAAGUGUCAGGAAGCAAGCUGAGUCUAUCUGAAAAUCUCAUAUCACGGAGACGGUUCCAUAGUUCUUGAACUUCCUUCUCAAGGUAAUGUAUGCGAACUUCAAGAUCACGUGGAUUCGAGUACUCCUCCUGCCAACAAGAAUCAAAUCAUCAAGAACUAGAAGAAGAAUGAGACUUAUCAGAAUUGGUAAAAAAAAGGUUUGAGACGAACCUCUGAGUUCGCCGAGCUCAUCAGUUUAGACUCUAGAUAAACUGUGUAUAUAGAGAGAAACCUUUGGAGUGUUCUACUAGAAGUCCCCGGAGUUACUCUCCGUUGUAAGAUAACGUUACUGGAUAGAUUGAGAUAUUGUCAAUACAGUGAAGAAGGAAUAAAAGCAUUGAAUGAAAGAAAGAAAGAUCGUUACAUUCUUGUUCGCAUAGCUUGACGUAUUGUGUCAUUGAAACGAAUCUGCCGAGGAUGAGCAAGAUCAUAGUCCUGCUGCGUUUUGAGCAGGGAUGAAACAAACGACACCAAAGGUUCAGCCAUUCGCAAUCGGAGACGAAGAGGAGGAUGAUCGGAGAAGACGAACAAUUGGUGGGAAACAAAAAGCAAGGGUUUAUAUGCUUUUUAUACGGCAUAAUUUAAAUAUAUUUCCUGAAAAUUUAACUCUAUAUUGUCUCCUGAUUAAUUGAAUUUCUUUUUGGUAACCUUUUAGUUGACAAAUUUAGAUUAUGCGUUUGAGUUUUAGUUAGGUGUAGUAGAUUUUAUUUAAAUUUUUAAACUUUAACUAAAAUCACUCAAAUAACUUCAAAACUCCCCUACAUCCCACCAUAAUUAAAACAUUCCACAACUCCUUAAAUAUAGUUUUUGGGUUUGUAAAGAGUAGAAUUUCAACAGGAACUGUAAGAUAUUUUAUUUAUUGUUUUUUUUAGGUUCUAAUCCGUGACAAAAUACAAAGUUGUAAUUUAAAACUAAAAUUUGGGCUAAAAUGUGAAAUUUUAUUGAAAAAGAUAAACUACACCUGAUUUUAUAUAUUUAAUAUAUUUUAUUAGAUAAAAUUUUAAUAUGUGCCAAAAUGAAGAAAGUUGUAUUUAGGAAAAAAAAUUUUUUUUUAACUAAUUCUAAUACAAGUAAAUAGCUUCAUUUUAUCCCUUAACCAGCUUGUUAAGAAUAACUUGAGCUGCAAGUUAUUGAAGCUUACCCAACGUUAAAAAACCUCCGUUUUUCGUUUGUUUGUGGAUGAAACGAAAUAAUAUAUUUGAGUUUAGUACCUAAAACCCGAAAGCAUUCACGCUAAAAUCCAAUGAGAAAGGUUUUAUAUGUAUCAUACAAUAUAUGAUGGAAAACUGUGUAAAUUCACCACUUCACACACAAAGAUUUCAGCAAUAUCCGAUGCAGUAAAUGGGUGUUUAAGUGUGCAUUUUCUUAAUCUGUCCACAAUUACCAUUACUGGAGGUAGGAAAAUCUUUAUUAAAAUCCGUGAUGAUGUCUUGUCACACUUCUGAAGAAAUGGUAAGGGGUUGAAGUAGUCAUGUCAGCGAUAGUGUGGAUGUCGUGUGAGUCUGACAAAUCCCACACUGAGAUAGAUAUUAUUGGAUAGAAUGGAGUACAUUAUGCCAAUGAAAAGAACACUGGAUUCGUUUCAAAAGUUUUGAACACUCCGGAAUGUCCUCCUUGAAUACCGUCGUGAAACUCAUGAAGGAUCAAGGGAAGAAAGUGUGAUGCUUGCGGAAUCAACAAGCAACAUUUGAACCAAACGCGUCCAUUAAUCAUAGUAAGACCUUUUUCAUAGGUUCACCAGGUGUGAUCUGAAUUUUAACACUCUGUUGCCUUCAUCCUGCUCAAUUUAUGCAUAAAUAUCUUUCGGAUGAAAGACAACAUGAACACUUAAGGACAUAUACACAAGCUGCUACCGAUCCACCGACUGCAUUUGACACAAAAAACCAUCGGCUGCCUUGUGUUUCUUCUUGGGCAAUUAAACCCCGUUGCAACAUAGCAUAAUGGCAUUGGCAGGAACGUGACCUCAUUGAACAUAACGUCGUCAUUGGCGAAUUCUCUGGUUAAUUAAAGGAGUUAGAAUUGGGCCAAAUUGUGUUGGAUUCUAUUUUGUACACAACGAAAAACAUUUAGUGUCCUUUUUUGAUCUGUCAUUCAAAAAAGUGAAACCUUAGAUAAAAACUUAAGGUAAGUGUAGCAAUACUAUAACUUAGCUUUUCUUUUACACUGGAGAAAAAAAAGCAAAAGGUUCAAAGAGAUUAUUCCUUCCUAAAAAAAUCUUCAAAGAGAUGUCAGAUUAUUGAUGAUUUCACAUCCGGGAGAACGUAUUGUGAACGUAGGAAGCGCCUCCGAGAUCUCUAAGACGCUAUUGGUAACCGAAGAGAAACACAAAACGAGUUUCUUGAGGACUAACGAGUUCUCAAGAAUAUACCUCACUGCUUCAAUCCAAAUCUUCUUCAUGUGUUUCGAUACUUUGGUUCUCUUGAUGUACCUCGCUCUUUUCUUCCCAGCUUUCUCCACCGUGGCCACUUCUUUAACCUCAACACACUCAAGCGUACAUAGUAAGCACUGUGGCACAACGGUAAGCUCAAGGUUCUCUGGUUCUAAGUCCUUCAAAUAAAGCAAGUUCUGCCAAACAAAUUAAAAUAGAAAACCAAAAUUAGUUUAUGUGUUCUUAGGCCAAAAAAACAUAUAGUUUAGUAACAAGAAUGUACCAAUGUGAGGUGUUUCAGCUUCGGGAAACCUUCAAGAAAAUGUGGCAACCUUUGUAAUAAGUCGGUGCAGAACGAAACCUCUAAGCGAGUUAAGUUGCUAAAUUUGGUGAACGCUCCAUUAUUCAUCCAAGAAUAAAGGCUCUGCAAGAACAAACAUAAUAACAAUUUAUUUGGUGUUACAAAAAUAAUAAUAACAAUUUAUUCAUUGUUUGUUAUAAAUGUAUUACCUCGAGUGUAGGCUGAGAGAUGAUCAUAUGUCUUACACCAGAAACACCCUUGAGAAAAUCACUGAUAAUAGCUUGCUUCAUCUGCACGGUAAUAGUAGUGGUAAUACCAAAACUGAAUUGUGCAUCAAUGUCGACCUUGAACAAGGAACUCAGAUUCUUAGCCACAACUCUAUCAGAUAGAUUAUCUCCGAAGUUCAUAUACUUGAGACCCGGAGCAUCAACCUCAACAGCAUACUCUUUACCAUGAAUUAUUCUGGCACGACUUAACUUCACACAAAACCUCUUCAGACUGAGAGAUCUCACACGCAUCACCGGUACAUUGUCAUCAAAAGCCCUAAACACCGUCAGAUCUUCAAGGACAGGACAACCUGAGAUGAGCUUCUCUACGAUCAAAGGAUCCUUGGUGGUAAUGUCUUCGAGAUGCAUGGUCUUGAGACAAGGCAGAGAAACACCAAACUCAGGAGGAUUCUGCAAUCCCACGUUUGCAAGCUUGAGAGAAACCAAAGUGUUGCUCUUGUAAAUGUUAACAUGUACGAGAUCGUUGGUGAGAGGACGCUUGAGUGUGCUACUGCCAACGUCUAGUUGUUGAACUCCACGGUUAAUCACUCCGGCGAUGAACUCACUGUUCCCAUGGCUACAAACAUUGCGUCCGUUGUACGUUAUCUUGAACUUCUGGAGACGCGAGCCACGGUUCCUCUGGAGAAACGUGGCGAUGAAGUUCUGUAUGGCGGCGGGUUCAUGGGAGUGCAUCUCUAGCCCUGGGACCUGAAGCCAUAGAUCUUUAAAUCUCUUCGAUAAAAUUUUUGUCUUGAUGGAAUCUUUGGUGGGAAGGUAUAAGAGUAUCUGAGUUAUCAAAGUGUCCGGAAGCGCGCUGAGUCUAUCUGAGGUAUCACGGAAACGGUUAUAGAGUUCUUUAACUUCCUUCAGAAGAUAAUGCACGCGGACUUCAAGAUCACGUGGAUUCGAGUACUCCUCCUGCCAACAAGAAUCUAAUCAUCAAGAACUAGAAGAAGAAUGAGACUUAUCAGAAUUGGUAAAAAAAGGUUUAAUACGAACCUCUGAGUUGGCCGAGUUCAUCAGUUUAGACUCUAGAUAGUCUGUGUAUAUAGAGAGAAACCUUUGGAGUCUUGGAGUGUCGGUCGUCGGGGUAGGUCGACUCCGUUGUAAGAUGACAGUACUGGAGAGAUUGAGAUAUUGUCAAUACAGUGAAAAAGGUAUAAAAGCAUUGAAUGAAAGAAAGAAAGAAAGAAGAUUGUUACAUUUUUUUCCGCAUAGCUUGACGUGAUGUGUCACUGAAAGGUUUCUGCCGAGGAUGAGAAAGAGCAUAGUCCGGCUGCGUCUUGAGCAGGAAUGAAAGAAACGACACGAAAGGUUCAGCCAUUCGCAAUCGGAGAAGACGAACAAUUGCUGGGACUCAAAAAACAAGGGCUUAGCUUAUAUGCUUUUUAUACGCAUAAGUUAAAUAUAUUUCCAGAAAAUUUGACUCUAUUGUCUCUCAUUAAUUGAAUUUCUUUUGGCAACCAUUUAUAGUUAACAAAUUAAAUAUAGUUUUUAAGAUUGUGUGUUUGAGUUUUAGGUUUAUAUUGCAUAAUAUAUGGAAAAUUAAGUCGUUAGAAUUUAUUUUGUUUCCUUUUUGAUAUUCUUAAAUUAACUCCAUUGUCUUUUCUGAGUUUAUUUUGACUUUUGAUACAGAUUUUUUAUAUAUAGUCAUUUUCUUAUUUGAAAAGAGAAAAUUCACUUUUUUAACUGAAAACUGUUGUCAAAAGUUAUAUAAAUAAUAAUAGAAACAUAAUAAACAUAAUAAAUAAUAACUGCGAACAUAAUAAUCUACAUUAGAAAUUAUUUUGUUUCCUUUUUAUAUUCUUAAAUUAACUACAUUGUCUUUUUUCUGAGUUUAUUUUGACUUUUAAUACCGAUUUUUUAUAUGAAGUCACUUUUUUCAAAAAAAAACUGUUGUCAAAAGUUAUAUAAAUAAUUCCACCACUUGUUGGAUGUAUAAUCCGGAACGGGAAGCAAGUACUAAUUUGAAUGGAUAUUCAAUAAAUGUAAAAAAACUCAUUAAUCAGAAAGCAAAAGAUGACACUAUUAUGCGAGAGAACUUUUAAUUUACAACUAAAUCUCAUUUAAACUUCAACCAAGGUGACUGUUAAAAGAGACGAUAAAAAACAAUCCAAAGCAGAGCAUCCUAAAAGAAAUUAUAGCAAAGAGCGUAUUCGAGAAAGAAAAGACAACAUUAGACAAGGAUAAAGCACAGAGCAAGAUGCAGAGGCAUCGAGUUUGCUCAAGAGAUGUUCAUUGCUUCUGCGUGAUAUGUUUCGAGAUCCUUGUCUAGUUCUUCAGCCGACUUCUCCACCGCCUUCUUUCCUCCUCGGCCGCCUUUAUUCCCUCUGCCACCACCGGCUUGGCCUCGGCCUCUACCACGAAACCCUCCUCGACCACUUCUCACACCACCUCCUUGUUGGUUUCCACUGCCAUUAAUAGAAUGUAUGAUAUGAUUAAAUUAUAAAACCUAUACAUGAUCGCUCACAUAUGAUUAGCCGAAAGCGAGGUCGGAGUCUUAUCACUUACAUUGGAAGGCGUCUCAUAGAAGGAGCUGCACUUCUUCCUCUUCCUCUCCCACCUCUAAUUCCUUGUCUGCAAGAAUGAGACACUUUAAGUCUUCACGCUUGAUCAUCAAAGACGCGCAAUCUCAACUAUGCUAAAAUAAAUGGCUACAUACCCGAUGGAAACAGUUCUCUUCAUCCUUCCGUUCAAUCCGGUUACAUUAACACGAGCUGCAACAGGAGCGACCUCAUUGUUUCCACCAAGAAUCUCCAAUUUCAUUGACCUUCCAUCCAACAAGACAUUGUUGUAUCUCUUCAUAGCUUGAAAUGCAUCACUUCUUCUCAUGUACACAACUUCUGCCGAGCCCUGUAUCACACACAGCACAUCGGUAAAGAACAGAUAAACCAGUGCAGACAAAAAGAAAACAGAAGUAAAAGAUUUGUUGCAACUUACAUUUGGACGCCCGUUCUGGUCAUAGUGGAUUGCGUAUCUUUUCAUCUCUCCAAUCUCACCAAAGAGUUCCUAAAUACCACAGGGUAGUACAACGUUUUCUUAGGAAACUCCACAUCGAACCAUAAUAACAAAGCACUGAACCAUAGAAGUCGAGGCAAUACCCUGAUAUCUUCAUUUGUGACUCCCUGAUCAAGGUUGGUAACAUAAACAGUAGUUCCAACCUCUAUUCCAGUUACUCCAACAGAUCUCAUGCUUUCUUCAAACAAACCAUUCUGCCAUGGCAAGUUCUUCUUCCUGCGGUUAAGCUGUUAAGUGGAACAGAUAAAGUCAGCCAAAAGGGUCUGUAGAAUCUUGGAAGCCAUUUUAAUCAACAAAAUUUCUUGAAAGACGAGAAGCCACCCUUUUAUCUGAAAGACCUAUACCAGUCAAGAACCAUCGAAGGAUAAAAUGUGGUGAAACAAGCAAUUUUUGACCAACUUCAUACGAAUCUCACUGGUGCUAUCACAGUCUCUGAUGCCAAAAACAUAGUCCUUGGAGAAUCAUAAACUGAGACAGCCAUCAGACUCCAAAGAAACCAGAUGUAGCCAGAGGCAAAACAUGAACUUCAUGUAUGGUGCACAUUCCUCAACUUAAACGGAUAAGCUAUCUAUCUAAGUGUGCUGAAAUUCCCCCCAACCACCACAAAAGUCAUCAAUCCAGAUGACCCUAGAUGGACUAAUAGAGCUCCCCCCACUAAAAGUGCAAUCCAAAAACUUCUGCUCAUCUAGGCCUGUUGAAAUCAUCACACUUGGCCAUAUAGACCACUAAGUACACAAGGACUAGGAACUCUCAUAAACUACAAGAUGUUAGACAAGCUUUGUAGUCUGCGAGUCCCAGAGGAAGUUUGGAAAGCUAAAAGUGUGUCAUCAUCUGUACUAACGAUCAAGGCGAAUGCAAAAUCAAAAGUGCUUCUCCAAGAACAUUUAAAGACUCGCUUAUCAAUCAGAGUAUGCUUCGUUAUUUGGUGUCACAGGUAAACUCAGAGUUCCAAUCAUACAGAGAGAAGAUCCCAGAUUCGUGAGCUUGCCUUGUUAGAGAAUGAUGACGGCCUAGCUUUCACAGCAAGAGGACCUCUGCGAACAGGUCCACCAGCUCCUCUUCCAGCACCUUUAGCUCCACCUCGGGAAACUCCUUUACCAGCAGACUUUUUAGCAGCCUUGCUCCUCUUAACCAUUUCAUCUAGAGACAUACUCAAUGAGUCCGCCAUCUUCAGCUCAAUUAAAUCUGGAAAAUACAAUCAAAAUUAACAAAUCGAGCUAUAGAUUCAUCGCAAAGAGAUAUAAAUUCAAUCCUUAUAUAUACAAAUCAAAGAUCCGACGGAAACUCAUAUCUCAAAGCGCUAGAUCUACAGAUUCCUAUGAUCUAAACCUAAAACAGACGUAAAUUCUCAAUCGAAAAGUGAAAACGAAUCGAAUACAAUCAGAUGAAUCAUCAACGGAUAUGAAUCAGCUGAAAAAAUUAGCAAAAGACGAAUCGAAAUUUUACCAGAUGAAAGAUCAAAAGAUGGAUCGAAGAAGAUGUAGAAAUCGGCUCGUGCGAAUCGAUUGGGGGGGGGGGGGGGGGGGGGGGGAAUUAGGGAUUUAUCGUCUUUGAGAAAUUGGGGGAAUGUGGUUUCGGCUCAAGGGAGAUAGAUACUUAAAUAGGUCUAGGUCAAUGGGGCCAAACUUGUUAAUAAUUUUGAUUAUGGGGGUGUUUUUCGUCUUUUUCAUUUAGAUAUUAAUUGGAAAAACCAAAGGGUCGGCGAUAAAAGAGAACUUGCCAGCUCAGAGACGUUUACGCGUUUUCUUAAAAAUCUGUGUUUACAAAACAAGCACUAUAAUUAGCGAAAAUACAUCUUCUAGGUUCUUAGGGCAUCUGCAUCGGGCGUGCCUUGGGCCGUCCCUUCCUCUUUAUUGGGUCGAAAAUAAAUCAAAAUAAAAUUAAAAUGGGUGGGACGGGCCGUAAUUAAGGGACAAUCGGGCUCGUCCCGAAGGAGACGUGACAACACGGUAUUGGACGAUGGAAACGACGAAGGGACGGUCGUUUCGGCUCAUUCCCAUUCCUGAAAUUGAAAUCGCAAAAUCCAAAAAGGAGAGCUCCAUGGCGAUGAACUGAAGCAUCGAAUCAAAGAUCGAUCCUUUCCAAACGAAAUCGAGGACCUGAUCUCCUCACUCCACCUGCGUCUUCUCUCUUCCACUGGAGUCUCCGUUGGUGUGUCUUUGCCAAUCGAAAGGUCGCAGCUUCCAAUCGAGAGGUCGCAGCUUUGAAAUCUCAAUCCACUUCCGUUCGAUUCCGCUCCUGUACGCAAGCUUCUUUCCUCUCCAAAUCCUCGGUGAAUCGUCCCAAUCUCGUCAAGGUACGGUCUUCAACUCGUAGAUGAAAUGGUUAGAAUCUAGGGUUUGGAAUAGAAAAAAGCUUAUUGAUUUACAUGGUUCGAUCGUAUGAUUUGUAUCUUUGUAGGCAGAGAGAUUGUUUUCUUUAGAUUAUAUGCGUGAUUCGUAGCUAAAAAACAGCAUCCGUUAAAAACUUUUGUGGUUAGAUCCUGUAAGAAAAUAGGUUGAGUGAUUUCUAUAUUUACAGUUUGAUAUUAACAAAAUAGUGUGUGUCUCUUUGGUAGUGUGUGUCUCUUUAGAUCCUGCUCGUUUUGUUUUGUGCUGUAGUUUAGUUUUCUUUCUGCUAUCGUCUGAAACUUGGUUCGUAAUUCUUUUUGCCUUGCCAUAGUUAUGUUUCUGCUAUCAUCUAUCUGCCUUGCCUGAGUUUGUAAUUCUUUGAGUCUUAGUUUUGUGAAACUUAAAGACACUUGCGUGUAUUUGAAAGACACAAGUUGUUCGCAAUAGACUAGGAUUAUUAUUGAUGAUGUUGUUAGGAAUUACUGCUUAGUUACAACUAGUCUAGUUUGUUUGAAACCAAAUCUCAUUAUAUUAAUGAUGUAGUUAGGAAUGUUAGAUAGCUUUUCUCUUCUGUAAUAAGUUUGGAUUAGACAGUUCUUGUUCGGAGUCCACUUGAACGUCGGACGAACUUUCGGAAUCGAGAAACCCAUCAACGUUUAAAAAAUGAUUUGAUUGAAAAUAUAUGGAAUAAAUUUGGACAUCUUCCAAAUAACAUAUAGUUUCUAAGUUUCUAUUUGUAUUGGAAUAAAUGUUUGUUUGUUUUUUUAAAUUAUGAUUUUGUAUUUUUUUUUUUUUGUAAUUUUCUUAACAUUUCAAUUUUAAUGUUAAACUUCUAUCUUCUAAGUUUUAAUUAAAACUUCUUUACAUAUAUUAUCACUUAUUCAAAUAAAAAAAUUAAUUAAAUAAUAAACUAAGGGACAAUCAAAGUCCCACUAAUAAUCCACUUAGUCCCUUAGUUUAGAUCCCUUAAAAUAAAAGUUUAAUUAAAAAUGCUAAGGGACUUGAAACACAAUCCCACCAUUGUGGAUGCCCUUACGGCCUUAUAACCGCAGCGGUUACAGAAUGCAAAUAGGAUUGAGAAAUUGAGUUUUCAGCCACGGGUUUUUGCUCCAUUUAACCCACCACGGGACAGAUACGGUCGAACAAUUCGAAAAAAAUCGAUUCGCCAGUGUGAGUGCAAGUGCGGUUAUGAGUAUUUUAUGCGGGAUAGAUGCGGGUCGGGGAAUUUUGAAUCGCCCGCCAACCCGCAAAAAGAAAUGUUUUUUUGUAAAAAAAAUAUAUUUUUAGAAAAAUAUGAGAAAUUUUAAAAUAAUAAUUAAAAACUUAAAAAUUAUAAAAAAAAAUUAAAUUUUAAAAUAUAUAAAAAAAAUAAUUAUAAAUAUACUAUUUGUAGAAUUUUUAGAAAAAUUAAAUUAAAUAAUUAUUUAAUAUAUAUAUAUAUAUAACACGUGGAUCCCGCAGGUUACCCGCAAAAUUAAGCGGGGUGAGUGUAGGUAUAAUAUAUUUGUUCGCGGGUCGGAUUUUUUAACCAAAAAAAAAAUUGAAACAUGCGGGUCAAUCUAUUAUUAAUUCAAGACUUCCAUAUCUCAAGCGAUUUUUUUACCAAAUAAAUAGUGUUUGCUUUCAUUUAAAUUUAGUUUUUUUUUUUCUUUCUAAAAGUUAAAAGAGAAUUUGUCUUAGGUGUUAUUGGUUUAUAUAUUUUUAUUGAUUUAGAAAUCCAUAUAGUAUUUAUAAAUCCAAGUAAAAUAUACAAAUUUUCAAAUUUUCUCGGAUUAGUAUUUACAAAUCCGAAGGUUUUCCUUCGGAUUUGGGUCUUUCUAUUUUUCACAAAAAAAUCCAUGCAAACCCAUUCAAAUACAUUAUGAAAUCAAAUCUAUUAAUAAAUCCAUUAAUAAAUCCGUAUGAUUGAAUAACACUUGAUUUGAAUUAGAAUUUAUGAAUCAUUAAACGAAUAACACUUGAUUUGAAUUAGAAUUUGUAAAUCAUUAAACGAAUAACACAUGAUUUCAAUACAUAUUUUAAAAUCAUAGAACCAAUAACACUAGAUUUAGUUUGGACUUUCAAAUCCAUCAAAAUACACUAACCAAUAACCCCCACUAUUGAUUUCCAAGUCCUUUAUGACUUCCAUACUAUUAGGAAGUUUCAAAUAACGUAUACAUGUGUGUAAUAUUUUGGUUUCAUAAUAUAUUCGUUUUAUAAUACAUAUAGUCUUUUUUUGGUUAGCAUGGCCUAAAUUGAUGAGUAUAUGUUUAAGUUGAUGACAAAAAUAACAAGUUAUAUUAAUAUUAUAUAAUUUAAUAUUUUGACGGUUUCUACAGUUCUUAAUAUAGCAUGGAUCUCAUAUUUCUACCAUUCAUAGUUACAUAUUUCAUAUGGUUUCGUUUUUGUAUCAACUAAAGUUAUUAUGAACUCUAAAUUAUCUACAAACUUAAUAUUCUUUUACAAGAAAAAAAAAACACUUUCUUCAGAUUUCGUCAUGGUCACUGUCUCCAUCUUCUUCUUCUUUUUCUUUAACAUCAUCAUCACUCGGUUUCUCAAAGUUCAUCAUAAACCUAAGUGAGUCACCUUCUUCUACUUCCCACUGCUUCUUCAGCGCAAUGAUCGCUCUCGAAGCAGCUGCUGCAAUUGCCGGGUUACUGUCUUCCGCAAGCCUCUGCUUCCAAUGGGACGAUAACAAUCAAAGAUUUGCAAAACACAGUUAUCAAGUGCAAGAUUUGCAAGAAUGUUUAUUACCUGUAAUGCUCCCAUGCCUGCAUUUCCCAGUGUCCACAUCGACGGUGCAGCUGCCAAGGCGUUAGCCAACGCUUUUCUACACCCAACAACGCGUUUCGUCAUCAACGUUUUGCAUUUGUAAUAGUGAAGAACUAACCAAAGAAAGUUGUUAAGAGAUGUAAUAGAACACAUUUGGUUUUUAGUUUACCUUGUAUUGACGUCUGGAGAGAUUGAGCAUUCAGCCAAGAGAGAUGCACUACUCUUACCAUCCAUUGCAUCAAGGUCUAUCAGAGUUGUCACUAACAACUCAAGCUGUUGAAACCAAACAAAUACACAUUAUUUUUGUGAAUAAGAGAUAGUGUAACAAAGGAAAAAAACAAGACCGGUUUUGGAGAGACCUCUUCAGGGUCAGUGUAGUCAAUAAUUCCAUCGGCUUCUGAGAGCGCUGAUGCCAUACUCCUGUAAGCUUCCUGCUUCAACAUCAACAAGGAACCAUCAGAGAGAGAGAAGAAUACUUAAGAACACAUAGUCUUCUUUUCCCAAUUUAAUCAGACCUCAAUAGCAGAUAUGCGAUCAGAUGAAACUUCCCCGGGGAAAAAGUCUAGAGCUUUGCCAUUCUUCUCCAGAGAUAUGCGGUCCGUGGUACCAGUUUCUGACAUAACCCUAUCAAAAUGAACAAAAUUAACUUAAGAUCUUGCUUUCAAGCAACGACAAGUGUCAAGGAUGAUGUAUGCAUUUUUCUUACAAGCUGUCAACCAUUUUUUGCACCAUCAUAUCAUGAAUGUUCUUGAUGAACUACAACCACAACAAGUGUAACCAUUAGGAAAUAUGAUUUCAAAAACAUCAAUACUGCAAGAUCUUUGCUUUUACCUCUAAAGCCAUUAAUGCAUCCUCCAUUGCCCUUUGUUUAGCACGAUAAUCUGCUCGCCUUAAAUCAGCCUAGAACAUAUACAGACACAUUGAUUAGUUACACAAAACUUCACAGAAAAUGAAAUGGAAGGGCAUACCUCUAAGGCGCCAUCACUCCAAUGCUUAUCCGCGGCAUUUUUCAACUUAGACUGAGCUAUGUUCUUUAAUAUCUAUUGACAUAAACUAAUUAUGAGAAAUAAAACAUAGAUAAAAGUAGUCGAUAUAUGUGAAUGUCUAAAUGAGAGGAUAAGCAUACACUAGCAAUAUGAUGAAGGCGCUCGGCCUUUCUCUUGACAUUACGAUCUAUUUUCUCUGUAUCUUCUCUUGCCCGAGCUACAUAAUAACCCCACAAGAAAGGGAUUAAAAUGCAGUAAAACAAAAGGAAUAAGACAUGACAAGAUGUGUUUGUCUGAAAGAGAACCAAAUCUAGAAUUACUGAACUAACCAUCAAGUUUAAGGAACCCUGAACCAAGAAUCGCAACGUCCUGACGUGCACGAGCGUCAAGUCUCAUCAUGCCACUAAAAAGAUUUGGAAACAUAAGUUUUUUAACACAUAAGAGACCUUCUUACACAGCUAAUGUAUAGUUUUAUUAUAUAGACGCAGGAUAGUGAGAAAAUACCGAGAUAGAAGGACAAAGUCACUACGAGCCCUUUCAUUCACAAACUUAGCAUCAUUAGACACAUACUCCACCAAAACCUGGCUCGAGCUGCUUCUUCUCCUUGGCAUCACUUUCUUCUCACCUUCCUUUUGUACAAUUUGAGAGCUGAAACACCACCAACAAACUCAUCAGCUACAUGAUCUAUGUAAGAUAAGAACCAAAAGAGCUUAACUUACUUAGGUGAAUCCAGACAAUCCUCCUGAGGUUUAGUUUCAGUGUCUUGAGACUUCCCAAAGAAACACAAGGUAGAAGAAGAUCUACGAGAAGUAACAAAAGUGACAGGCUUUGUACAAGAAAGACCACCUUGUAAUUCUUCAGCAGAGGAGGAGCCCUUUCUGGGUGAGAAAGCUAGCAAGACCCUUUGAGAUCUUGAAGCGUUAACCCUCUUCGCUAAAAUGGGACUUCUGGGCACAACUUUGCUCACGUUAAGAGCCAUAGUGAUAAAACACCUAACAACUUCUCUCUGUAGAUAUCGAAAAUACAAACCAAAGUAAGCAGCUUUGAGAUCAAUUCGAGAAAACUUAAAUUCUUGAUUGUAAAGGUAAUCUAGCACAAACCCAUCAAGGAAAAAUCCAUGAUUUACGAUAAGGAAUCGUAAAGAUUGAAUUUUGAUGGAGAGGAAGCCAGAGAGAAAGAGACUAACCUUGUGAGAUAGAUGAAGUGGAAUAAGAUAAAAUCCAAAGGGGAUAUGUUUAGAGAAGAAGAGGAAGAAGACAGAGAAGGAGAAUUAUAGAGGGGAGUGAAGAUUUGUAACCACAAGGGUUACUUGUGGCCCAGUGUGAGCCAACCAUACCCGUAGGUUUCUAUUUUCAAUCUCUUGUCCUUGUUAGAAUGGGAUCCACUCUUUCCUCCUUUUAAUAUCUUUGGUCCCAUUUCUAGAGUGUGGAACCUCUACUCAUAUGCUCGGUCGGCAAUCAUCGAGUUAGGUUGAUUUGAUUUCAUUCAAAUUUUUUUUUUAUAUUUCCAAGUACUUUUUCCAGAGAUUCAUGUGAUUCAACUGUCUUUUGCCGUAUUGAUAUCACACGUAGACGUCAUUUCAGUUUUGAUAUCGUGUGAUUUUGGACGAUUAAAUGUGUUACCAAGAGUGGUUGAUAGGAAAAGUGGCUAGGGAGAAAAGAAAUUAAAAUUGUUGGGAUUAAUUUAUAGUUGUUGAACUGGUUACAAUUCAAAAUUACAAACUGUUUAACUAGUAAUUCCAUCAUAUUUACCGGUUUGUUUUCAUUUUAGGUGGACUUCUUGGUGGGGAUGGCUAAUUUAAUGCAUAUUCAGCUGGUUCUUAUAUGUCAGGCAGUUCGUUUACUUCAAGCCACACAAGAGAUUACUUAGUCGGGGGAAUGUUGAAGAGUCUCGGAGCAGUUGACGAGAACCUGAGACACAUGUUGUCGGAGUCGGAGACAAUGCCGUCUUGAUAACUGAAAGUAAAGUGUUCUGACAUGGAGACAAAUCCGCCCGAAACUGAAGUUAAGUGAAGAAAAGAUAUAAAAUGCAAAUAAAAGUCUAUGUGACUAAUCAUAUAUUUGUUAGAUCAUGGAGGUCUAAAAUGUUAAAGUGAUCAACAAUUAAAGAACAAGAGAUGGCUCAUGAGAUCAAGAGAAAAUACAAUUUGGAAGUGAGUAAGAAGACUAGUGUAAAAAGACGAAGUCAAAAGUUACAAGACAAAGGCAACAAUUAAAGAACAGGAGAUGGCUCAUGAGAUCAAGAGAAAAUACAAUUUGGAAGUGAGUAAGACUAGUGUAAAAAGAGCAAGUCAAAAGUUCUAAGACAAAGGGAAAGUAGCCAGGAAAACUAUUUUUCAAGGAUAUGGAAUUAUCAAGCAAAAAAUGGGUCAAAGUACUAGAAGAAACCAAGGAACGUGACGAGGUUACUGUAGUAAUAACUGAAGAAGGCGUGAUUAAAGAAUAAAUCCUAUGGAAGAGGAUAAACGUCGAUCUAGAGAGAGUGCUGGAUCUUACACAAAAGUGUAUACAUUUCUUUCCUUUUCCCCUCAUAUUUUUUACUCCACUACACCUAACACACAAGUGUAUACAUUGUUCCUAAGUUCUUUCACCAGCAGCACAUGCAUGGAGAUUUCUUUCCGAAUUAUCUCAAUUUUCUUACCAUCUAAUAAUUAAUCCAAGAAAAAUUAAUCAUCAUAACAUAUUAAAAAGACAACAAAUUCAUGUACAUUAGACCAAAAAAAAAAACAAAUUAUGUCACAGUUACAAAAAGAAAAAAGUUAAAGAGAGAAGUGUUAUACCCAACCAUUUUUUUCUUUUGACUUAAUAAAAAGGGCUGCCAACGCCUUCUUCUUCUUGCUCCUCCUCCUCCUCCUCCUCCGUCGUCUCUCUCUCAAAAUCCCAAAUCGAUUCCAUUCGAUUCAUUCUUCCGAUCAAGUAAGCUUCUUCUAUGAUCCCAUAGUAAACUGAUUGAUUAAUCUAAUUCUUCUGUAAUGUUAUCACGAACUAUUCUCUAUAUCGAUUCCGAUUCGAAUUCUUCUGUUUCAGCUACUCACGUUUACGAAACAGAACCUAAUCGAGUUUGAUCCGUUACAUAUUAAACCCUAAUAUCUCGAUUCUGUUACAGUCUCAAACCACAUAUGAUGGAAGUCUGCAACUGCAUCGAGCCUCAAUGGCCAGCGGACGAGCUCCUAAUGAAGUACCAAUACAUCUCAGACUUCUUCAUCGCCGUCGCCUACUUCUCAAUCCCCCUCGAGCUCAUCUACUUCGUCAAAAAAUCAGCCGUCUUCCCUUACAGGUGGGUCCUCGUCCAGUUCGGCGCCUUCAUCGUCCUCUGCGGCGCCACCCACCUCAUCAACCUAUGGACCUUCACCACCCAUUCCCGAACCGUCGCCCUCGUUAUGACCACCGCCAAGGUCUUAACCGCCGUCGUCUCCUGCGCCACGGCGUUGAUGCUCGUCCACAUCAUCCCUGACCUCCUCAGCGUCAAGACGCGCGAGCUCUUCUUGAAAAACAAGGCUGCUGAGCUGGACAGGGAGAUGGGAUUGAUCCGGACUCAGGAGGAGACCGGGAGGCACGUGAGGAUGCUGACUCAUGAGAUUAGAAGCACGUUGGAUAGGCACACGAUCUUGAAAACCACACUAGUUGAACUUGGGAGGACGUUGGCGUUGGAGGAGUGUGCGUUGUGGAUGCCCACUAGGACUGGUUUGGAGUUGCAGCUUUCGUAUACGCUUCGUCAGCAGCAUCCUGUUGAGUACACGGUGCCUAUUCAGUUGCCGGUGAUUAACCAGGUGUUUGGGACUAGCAGAGCUGUGAAGAUAUCUCCUAACUCCCCGGUGGCGAGGCUGAGGCCUGUCUCCGGGAAGUAUCUUCUCGGGGAGGUGGUGGCUGUGAGGGUUCCGCUUCUCCACCUUUCGAAUUUUCAGAUUAAUGAUUGGCCUGAGCUUUCGACGAAGCGAUACGCUCUUAUGGUGUUGAUGCUUCCUUCGGAUAGUGCGAGGCAGUGGCAUGUUCAUGAGCUGGAGCUAGUCGAAGUCGUUGCGGAUCAGGUAAUGUACACACUUUGGAGCUCAGUUUAUGUCUUAUGGUGAGCUUGUCUGAACUCUUUUUUUUUAUUGUAGGUGGCCGUAGCUCUCUCACAUGCUGCGAUUCUGGAAGAGUCGAUGCGAGCUAGGGACCUUCUGAUGGAGCAGAACGUGGCUCUUGAUAUAGCGAGAAGAGAAGCGGAAACAGCGAUCCGUGCUCGGAAUGAUUUCCUGGCGGUUAUGAACCAUGAGAUGCGGACGCCAAUGCAUGCGAUCAUUGCGCUCUCUUCCUUACUUCAAGAGACGGAGUUGACCCCAGAACAAAGGUUGAUGGUGGAGACAGUGCUGAAAAGCAGUAGCCUUUUGGCAACUCUGAUGAAUGAUGUCUUGGAUCUUUCGAGGCUAGAAGAUGGAAGUCUUCAACUUGAGCUCGGGACAUUUAAUCUUCAUACUUUAUUUAGAGAGGUAAUACCAUAUUUUACCUCCUGCAUAGGCCUGCGAGUACAUUAGGAUAAUUCGAUUUUUAAAUUUUUUACGAAAAUUAACCAAAGUGUUUGGUUUUGAUUAUAUUUUGGUUAAAUUCCGGGCUAUUGCGGUUCAAAAUUUUGGUUAAUUCAGAUUGAAAUUUGGUUAACAAUUUUUUUCUUUUUUUUAAAAACCAAACUAACCGAUUACUGGACCCAAAACCGGAGUUUUUUAUAAACCUGCCAAACUGAACCAAACUAAACGAAAAAUUUCCUUUGGUUUGGCUCAGUUCAAACCUGCAGGCCUACUCCUGCAUGUCAUUGUUUGUAUAUUUUAGAACAGCUUCAUGUUUUAGAAGUCAGAGUAUUUGGUUGAAAUUUUUGAAUCUUGUUGCAGGUCCUUAAUCUGAUAAAGCCUAUAGCCGUUGUUAAGAAAUUACCCAUCACACUAAACCUCGCACCAGAUUUGCCAGAGUUUGUGGUUGGGGAUGAGAAACGGCUAAUGCAGAUAAUAUUAAACAUUGUUGGUAACGCUGUGAAGUUCUCAAAACAAGGUAGCAUCUCCGUAACUGCUCUUGUCACAAAGUCAGACAACCGAGCUCCUCCUGACUUCUUUGUGGUGCCAACUGGUAGUCAUUUCUACUUGAGAGUAAAGGUUAGUAUCUUUGGUCCCUUAAACCACAGAUGAGAGUACUCUCAUAGAUCUUACUAUUGACGAUUAUUCAACCAUAGGUAAAAGACUUGGGAGCAGGAAUCAAUCCGCAAGACAUUCCCAAGCUAUUCACUAAAUUUGCUCAAACACAGUCUUUAGCGACCAGAAGCUCGGGAGGUAGUGGGCUUGGUCUCGCCAUCUCCAAGAGGUUGAGCCCUAUUUAAAAUCCUUUUUUUUCUUCUCUUAUGGUACUGAUAAACGUUUGCUCAUAUGUCAAGGUUUGUGAAUCUGAUGGAGGGUAACAUUUGGAUUGAGAGCGAAGGUGUUGGAAAAGGAUGCACUGCUAUCUUUGAUGUUAAACUUGGGAUUUCAAACGAAUCUAAACAGUCUGGCAUUCCAAAAGUUCCAGCCAAUCCACAGCAUGUUAAUUUCGCUGGACUGAAGGUUCUUGUCAUGGAUGAGAAUGGGUUAGUACAAGCCUAUUAGUUCUAUCUUUCUGCUGUUUGUUAUCAGCGAUUGAUGUUUGCUUUGGUUCGCAGGGUAAGUAGAAUGGUGACGAAGGGACUUCUUGUACACCUUGGAUGCGAAGUGGCCACGGUGAGUUCAAGCGAGGAGUGUCUCAGAGUUGUAUCCCAUGAGCACAGAGUGGUCUUCAUGGACGUGUGCACCCCCGGGGUCGAAAACUACCAGAUCGCUCUCCGUAUACACGAGAAAUUCACAAAACGCCACCAAAGGCCACUGCUCGUGGCGCUCACUGGUAACACCGACAAAUCCACAAAGGAGAGAUGUAUGAGCUUUGGUCUAGACGGCGUGUUGCUCAAACCCGUGUCGCUAGACAACAUGAGAAACGUUCUGUCUGAUCUUCUAGAACAUCGGGUUCUGUACGAGGCCAUGUAAGAGGACGUUGCCGGAGAGGGACACUGUCCCGGCUUUCUCUCCCUCGUUAAAACAUCGGAAGCUGAUGUUUCUCUGGUUAAUGUGUACGUACAGAGAUUGUGGGGGAGAGCGCUUUGGAUGAUAUUAUAAAAACAGAGGGAAUAACGAAACAAAAAAAAAAAAACUAGACCGGACAGUGUCGGGUUCCGGUUUACAAAGGAACAAGAUGUUGACGGUAACAUGUCUAUCUGACUUGUGGUGUAUCCUUAUAUAUAUAGUUACAUUGUUAUUAGAAUUUGGAUUAAGUAAUGGACCUCUGUUGCGUACAUGUAUAAUAUCGAUGCGGUGUUUUUUUUUUUUUUUUGACGUCGAAAGUUUAUUAUAUUACUCGAACUAUGGAUGCAGUGUUAUGAGGUAUAAUCAACGACAUAUUAUUUGUGGGGGCAUAUAAGAACACCCGCAGCUGUAUCGUUUCGUUAAAUUCGUUUCAUCUAAGUUUCUAGCUAGACAAAGUUUUUUCUUUUUACCAAGCCGGACAAUCAACGAAAGUUUUCGUUUGGUAAAAGGUCACCAUCAAUAACCUAACUUUUUUUCUAUAACUUUUUUUGUAUAAUCUGUGACAAUUGCUAGUCGAUAGCGGAAUUUUCUUUAAUUAGUUCUGCAACCUAUUCUUUUUCUACUGAGGCUACCAUUGUCCUAUAGCUUUUUUUUUUUGUCUUUUCAUUGUCCUAUAGUUAGUUUACAGUCAUUUAGUCAGCAGAAAAUCAUAUUUAGAGAAAAGUUAAUUUUUAUUUCUUUUUUAAACUGACUUUAUAAAAAUGAUUUUUAUGUUGUCAAAAAUGAUUUUUAUGUUGUCAAAAAUGACAUUUAUUAAUAAUAAUUUUCAACUAUGUUUGAAUAAGAAAAAAAUCCUCCAAUUAAUUUUUAAGUUAUUAUUUUUUUUACGUCAUUAAUUUUUAAGUUAUUAAUUGUUAAGGUCUAUCACAUUUUGUCAUAAAAUUGUAAAAGGAGAAUGACAUACAUUAACAGUUUAUAAGUAAAAGCUAACUAAGGGAUUUCUUUCCAAUUCAAAAUUAGAUUGAAGAGUAUUUUAUCACUAAAAACCAUUUUUGAUUGUUGUUAUUGCUUACAAAUUACAGUAACGUAUUUUAUAAUAAUUGAUAUUUUAAUUUAUGAUUUGUUUAUAAAUUUUCAUUUUUCUACUAAUGCGAAUAUGUAUCUUCUAUACUCGUAUUUAACAGCUCUUUUUUCUCGGGUUUAAGCACUUAUUUAAUGAACCAUUAUCAGAAUUAAACACCAUCUGAACUGAUUGACGCGUGCAAACCGCGUCAUAGUAAAAACUUUAAGAACCAAAAGGUAUAUGGAGGUAAUAUGGAAUGUUAUCGUUUUAGGCAUAUCUAUAUAUAUAAAGCUAAAUAUGAAAAGUAAUUUUUUUUAUCACACAUUCUAGCGUUUUAAGGAAAUAAAUCAGUUUAUAAAAGAAAUAUGAUUAAAUAAUUCGUAAAUAUAUGAAAUUUCGAAAAAAGAAAAAAUAGAACAGGAGACCUAUUCUUUGGUUUUGACUGAAUAUGAGGUGCUUAUAAGAGAAGCAAGUCACUUCAGAGGUUACGAUGUCAGUCAAUUACAAAAUUUUCGGUCAAGUCAAUUUCUUUAUAAUCUAAAUUUCUGCAUCUGAGGAAAUACCAAAGCUUUUUUACUCUGAAAAAAGAGAGAGGAAAAAAACGCAAAAUGGAGAAUAUGUUAGGCCUUCUAAGACUUCAUGUGAUUAGAGGUGUUAAUCUCGCCAUUAGAGAUUCCAAAAGUAGCGAUCCUUACGUCAUUGUUCGUAUGGGCCAACAGGUAUAUUCCAGACUCCUAACUUUUCACGAAUUUCGAGUUUGUAAUUCAGUUUCUUAGGUUCCGUAUAUAUUCAAGUUUGUCCCGUUUUUUUUAUAUGGAUCUUUUUGGUCACCAAUCUGGUUGUGCUGCUCAGAUUUUCUGAUGUAUCUGAUGAGAGAAUUUCAGUUAAAAAGUGAAUAUAAUCAACUUAUCGUGUUAUAAUGAGACCAAAAAAAAUGAGACAGAAAAUACAUACGUGUUUCAAUUAUAGGUUUGAUGCAACGCGAGUUUUAAGUAUCAACACGUCAAAUGUAGUUCAGUUUUACUAAUGAGAAAUUCCUAGGAUUUGAUUUUAUCAUUCAAAAUAGUAGUUCUUGUUUCUGACCUUGUCACAACCAUAUAAAAUGAUCAAAUUUAAUUUUACAUGUACAGAAAUUACACUUGAAUAUAUGGUGUUAUGUUUUUCUUCUUUUGACACAGAAAUUACGAACUCGUGUGGUGAAAAAGAAUUUGAAUCCAGAAUGGAACGAAGACUUGACACUCUCUAUUUCUGAUCCAGUUCUUCCUAUCAAAAUCGUACGUGGAUCAAACAUUACAACAACUUGCUCUAAGUUUUGAAUACAUAACAGAACAUAGCAAGAAAGUGGGUAUUUUUUUUUGUGAUGAUACAGAUGGUUUACGAUAGGGACUGGUUCUCAAGGGAUGAUAAGAUGGGAGAUGCGUUUUUUCACAUUGAUCCAUUCCUUGAAGCCAUCAGGAUCCAAAACCAGUUCAGAGGACUCCCCGAAGGAACUGUAAUAAUGAAGAUACAGGCAAGCAGGCAGAACUGUCUAUCAGAAGAGAGCAAGAUUGUGUGGAACAAUGGAAAGAUUGUCCAGAAUAUGUUCCUUAAGCUCCAGAACGUUGAGUGUGGAGAGGUCGAGCUUCAGCUUGAGUGGAUUGAUGUGUCAGGUCUUCUGAGUAUAAAUGAGCAUGAGGAUGUUGCUUACUAGAUCUAUUAUCUUAUUACAUCAAGUUUGUUAGAAAAUAUACUAGUUAUGAAGCUGGCGUGGGGGAGUUAUGGGCUUUAAACCAAAACUCCCCCAAUUGUUUUUUUAUAAAUUGAAAAGAAAAAACUCUUCUCUGGUUUUGUGUUCUUACUCUAACAAGAAAAACAUAACACACUUUGUUGUAGAGAGAGGAAACAAAGAAUGAGAUGAAAUCAAGUAGAUAGCAUAAGAUGAGAUGGAGAAACUGAUUUUUUUCUCUCAUUUUACACAUCAUCUUCUACUACAUAUUCAUAUAAGAAAAUCAGAGUAAUGAACUCUGUUUUCUCUACCCUUACACAUGUUAUAAAGCCCCAUAAAGCUACCACUCUAGACACCACAUUUUAGCAAAAGAAACAAGCAACUUCAAGAACUUGAACAAUUCAAAAUAAACAGUUAACUUCAACAACUUCCUUGACUUGUUGUACUUUGUUUUCUUUCAUCAUUAUUCUCACUUGUUUUGUUGAUACCAUUGUGCAGGAUUAACAAAGAUGAGAUUUCAGCAUACUUGUUAUGAUAAAUGUAAAAAAAAACUACUGAAUCAACGAUAUGGUUUUUAUGUGUUUCUGACCUUUGUUUUUGUUUUCAACACUUUAAUUGCAUCUUAUUUGAAAGAGAGACUUGCUCGGGUCCUGUUUAGUAAUGACAAAUGGUGAUCAUCAAAUGUGAAAAGAUCAAGAAUCGAUAUGCUUGCAUCUAAGUUUGAAAAUCUGCAGAUGGAUGAGAAUUAAUCAUUUGAGGAACUCAGUGGAAAACUGAGUGCAACAGCAAAUGAAGCACAAACAAUGGGAAAGACAUACAAAGACAAAAGGCUUGGAAGAAACUUCUCAGAUGUUUACCCUCAAAGUUAAAUCCAAGAAGACAGCUAUGGACACUGCAUUAGACACUGACACAAUGGAUUUUGGUGAAUUCACGGGUCACUUACAAGCAUAUGAGAUGAAUGAGAAACUCAAGGAAGAACUGUCUAAAAAAAUCUGAAACUAGAAAGCAGAUUCACAUGCUGAAUAGUGGAACCAAGGAUCUGGAGAAGAUUCUCUCUGUUAGAAGGGUAGGCAAGUCCAACUUUGUGUCUCGGUUACAGUGGAAAACUACAGUAAAACAGAGUUUGUUCCGGCUAAGACUUAAGAGAUUGCGUCUGAUACUACAGGAAGUAAGAUAUCAACCAAGAUCAUCUAUUGUGAAACUGAAACCAGUGAGAACUAUAAUGUAGGCUACUUCUGUGGUAAAUACAUGCACAUACCAAGAUAUACUUACAAAUUUCAAAAAAGAAUCACUCCAGAGUUGACUUUGCUUUCCAAUCUUUACAGGUUUAACGUUAAAUAUGAAAUUUGUAGUCAAACGAUUAUGAUGGAUUUCAUCAAAUCUUAUUGUUUUAAUAUCAAAUGAGGUUCAAGUUACAUAUUUCUGAACUCCCUAGCCAAAAGUACAUACUCACAAUGUGAGACACUUUAAAUACGGAACAAUUUGCAAAAUAGUGAUUUGUGUACUCAUAAUUAUUGUAGCUGAUUUUUGUCUACAUACACUUGUUGACAGAAAAACAAUACGCUACUUAUCAAGUUGUGUACUCAUACAUCAACCCUCUGUCUCUCUCUCUCUCUCUCUCUCUCUCUCUCUCUCUCUCUCUCUCUCUCUCUCUCUCUCUCUCUCUCUCUCUCUCUCUUCUCUCUCUCUCUCUCUCUCUCUCUCUCUCUCUCUCUCUCUCUCUCUCUCUCUCUCUCUCUAUUCUGUUUUUAACUCUGGUGCAUGAAGCUGUUCUCUCUUUUAAUCAUAUAAACCACCUUUCCACCAAUCAUUAAUCGUCCUUUCUGCUAACUUUGCUAAGAGGCAUGUUUUUCCUUUAAAGUACUGAAAAAUAUGAAGAGACUAAGUGAUAUGCUAUGCUAUGACGAAAAUGGACUAAGUGCUAUGAACCUUUUCUGUAUUUAGUUUGAAUCAGUAGCAGAACAUAAAUAACUAAAUUAGCAAAUUAGACACGACAAAAUGUGCUAUGAACCUUUUUUGUUUCUGCAUCGUACCCUGGAAGUUGUUAAAAAAAAAGACACGACAAAAAUGUGGAUGUUAGACAUGCACGUCACUUCUCUUUGCCCGUCACGUGUAUAAAUAAAGUCCUCGAAGGAUUUGUCAAGCCACAAUAGAAACCCUUUUCCUCAAGCCUGCCUUUACGUAUAACUUUUUAAAAUAAAAUUUGGUUAGAUACUUCUAAAAUUAUAGCUGGUCCAUGGAGGGUUCGUCCCAAGGGUUGAAAAAAGGUGCAUGGACUGCUGAAGAAGAUAAUCUCUUGAGGCAAUGCAUUGAUAAGUAUGGAGAAGGGAAAUGGCACCAAGUUCCUUUAAGAGCUGGUAUGUCUUUUUUUUUUGAUAACAUAAGAGCUGGUAUGCUACUUUUAUUAAUUUUCACACACACACACACACACACAUAUAACUAAUAAGUACGUAUAUUCUUUUUAUUUUUCAGUACAUUUAUUCUCUUUCUCUCUGUCUAGUAUUAGGAAAUUAAUUAACACCGGGGUACACAAUCAUUGUUUUUCUUUUCGUUUUAAUGAAGGAAUCAUAGAUUCAUAUGUUCUAAUGUUUUUCAUGAAAAAAAACAUUUGCGUUCUUCAUGUUUAAUUACAAAGCGAGAAAAUGUCAACUCUCUUUAUUGAUUCGUCGUUUUUCUUUUUUUUUUUGAGAAAGAGCUUUUUUGAUUAGUGAACUUUUCUGCACGAACCCGUGUGUUUGUGUGGAAUAUGUUGUUUAUUCUGGUGUACUUUGAUCCUUCGUGAUAAAAUUUUACUUCCUUUGUUCUUAAAUAUAAGAUAUUUUGGUAGAAGCAUACAUAUUAAGAAAACUAUUUUUUGUUUAGAAAAUAUCAUUAAAACUAUAAAUUAAUGGUGUUCAACCAAUUACAAAAUAGACUAUUAAAAUAUGAUUGGGUUCACAGUUUUUAAUAAAGUAAAAGUUACCUAGAAAAUUGAAAACAUUUUAUAUCUAAUACUAUAAAGAAGACUAUUCUCUUCUUCUCAGCUUGCCACGUCACUAAAUCGAAUUCUAACAAUGCGACACGUGUUCGUGCUCAUGUUAUACUCUGCGUUUCAUUAAAGCUUGAUGUGGGCUGGUGUUUUCAAUUACGGUUUUGAUACAUAUUGGAUCUCAAUAAUAAUAGGCCCAUUUCAAAAUCAUGAGAGAUGCAAGCCGAUUAGGGUUUCUGCUCUUCUUCUUCAUCGACACCAAAACAGUUCCCAAACAAAAAUGAUGGGAGUUUCGAGGUAUCUCUUUGUUGAUCUUCGAUGGCGUCGUUCUGGUUACUCUCCUAAUUAGAUGAAACGCUCCAAGUUACAGAUCCAUAGCCUUUAUGACCUUCUUAACUCCAAAGACCGAAAUGAGGCACGAUCUGACGUUGAAUGCGAGUUUACUCUCUGUGAGGCGGUGUAAUCUACACAAUAUAAAGGUUAGCAUCCUUCCCUUGAACAUCAUCCUCGCAAAUUCUAAUAAAACUUCAAGGUAGUAGCUUUUGUUUGAUGUUUAUCAAACUCUAGGUUUUGUUUGGUUCUUUGUCUUUCUAUUUCCUCUCCCCAAGAUCGUUAGAUAAACAUUUCGGAUCGCUUUUGAUAAUUUUUUUUGUCUUAUCUACAGUUGGCUCAACACAAGCCACAUGGUGAUGGAAGAUCUUUACAACAGUCGUUCACUGUGAAGCGGGGAUUUUCGGAAGGCUAUGGCAAAGAUUCUGUGUGAGGAGAUGAGUUGAGAUGAGGAUGAGAGUUCUUACUUUUCUUUGAAGAAAUUGAUUGACGGUUCAAGACAAUUACUCCAUUAGCGCCCGCGAACCUGUGGGAAGAGCUUUCGUAGUGUUUGGUUUACUCGCCGGUGGCGUUGCGGAAGUUCAAUUCGUCGGCACCGUUUAAAUGGCAACACCGACUCACUUCAUCUUCAUCUCUUUGGGACGACAUCUGCGCCGUGGUAACAUGCUUUCUUAUUGUCGGUGUGGUGACGUCAGCCUCUCCACACAUUCAAACGCAUGUUAUUGACAAUCAAAUUAUUAUGCAGGCUUUCUCUCAACAUACAGAGCUUCCAUAGUUAUUGUUAAAUCUUAAUCAUGUCUGAGGAUACCAUCACCGUCCCUCUCAGCUGCUGGAAUGUACUCAGCUUGGUUGGAUGGAGCGUCUGCUUGGUUGGAAUUCAGAAAGUUCUGCUCCAAAGGAACCUGUCUGAACGUCAAUGAUGCCUUUGGCCAAGAAUUAUAACAUGGUGGCUGAUCCAAGAAAUACCUGAACAUUGCAAUCUUCUUAAGAGCACCGAAUGUAACAUGUGACGAGGUGUCAAAAGCUCUUCUAGAUUGUAAGAUUGGUCUCCCAUUUGGUUUGUUACUUAGGGGUAAAGUUCUAUUUGCUUUGAUCACUUCAACUUGCAAAAUAGUGUUAACGGAACACAUUCUAUGCACUAAUCUUAUUUCCAUCAUUUUCUAUUCACUCCACUAAUCAAGUUCAGUCCAACGACUAUUUAUCAUCCAGGAAUCAAGUUCUAUUUGUUAAAUAUAUUUGUGAAUCACACACAGCCAAGCUAUCCACAAAUUUAUUGAACAAUCUCUUCAAAGACAAACUUAUAAUACACUGCCACUUUCAAAAAAUGUUUUGUGUACACUUCUUUGGACAGACGAAAACUAUGACCGUCUUAUUAAUGGUAAGUCUGGCUCAAACCAAGCAUCAAUGCCAUCACGUUCCUGCUCUUAUUAUUCUGAAAGGAGCAAGAGGAAAGCAGGUUGUAGCACAGUCAUGUUCCAGCUCCAUAUUUCACAGAAGCCAUCAUUGCCGAGUUGAGUUGCAGUAUUGUGUAAAAGUUUCUAACCACGAGGAGUUUAGUGUUGGAAAAUAUAUUGGAGGUGCAGUGUUUAUACCGAAAAGUUCUCAGGCAGAGAUAUUGUGUAGGUCUAAAUGUCAUAAAAGGACAGAAAAUAUAGUAGAUGGAAUUCUGUUUUUGUGUCCAGUUAUAUUCUCCGACUGUAGCUUGAAGAGCAAACUAUCUAAGAGAGGUGAGAUUGGUUUUAAUCUGCCAUUUCUGGAGAGUUGUGAAGAUGUUGAAGGAGAGCAAGGUGAAGAAUGUGAUUGCUCACGCUGGGUUGUAAGAGACAGUCUUAGCUAUUGGUUUCUGAUUCUCAGAUUUUUCAGCUGCAAAUCUCAGACCGGUUUCUAAACACCAAAACAGCCUUUGGAAGACUUUCUUUUGUUGUGUGUUCUCCUGGCGGUGAUGGGCCUACGGAUCGCUGUGGUGACAGUGCAAAGGGGAGUGUUGUCGGGUGGUUAUCAAUUCAAUACUAUACAAUUCUUUGCUUACAAAGCUGUGUAAGAGUAUAUUGUUAUUAUAUAAUGGUGAAAGAGUCGAAGUUGAUGCUCACUGGAAGGAAAUGAAGUAAUGGAAAAAAAACUCCACUAGAUGCAAGAAACAAUAGUUUUCUAAGUAGCGUUGAAAUAUUAUCAAUAAAAAUAAAAGUAUAUAACAAACAAUGUUUAUUUGAUAAGAUUUCUAAACAAUAAAGAGUGUUAAAGAUUCGGCAAAUAAAUUAUUUAGAAUGUACAUGAUACAAAAUAUUGCAAAGUUUUUUUUUUUUUUUUGCUAAAAGUAAAUGUGUUGUGUUGAUUUAAAAUAUUGCAAAGUUGUUAUGAAAAAUGUAAUAUCUGAAGAUACCAUCGAAAACAUUAAAACAUUAAAUUUUAACACAUUUCCAACAGUUAAAAAUAUCAAUUAUCUUAUAUUAUAAAUGAAUAUGCUACGCAAAAAAUGUACAAUAAUUCUUUUUAUCAGCUACAGAAAACAGUUAUGAAAUUUUGUAACAAACAUCAAAUGUAUUAUUAACCGAAAGUCAACAUUUUAUCUAUUAAAAAGUAUUAUACAUGCUUAUCAACGUCCCUACCACAAAUUAUAACUAAUUAAAUCAAGUUGAAGCCAAUAUCUAAUACUCAAUAUUCUUUGUUCCAAAAUCUUAAUAAUAAAAAUGAAAAAAUAUUAGCAAAACAUUGUUUACUUUUAAUUUAUUUUUGAAAAUUAUUUAGUAUUAGUUAAGUUUAUUAAAUAUUUAAUUUGAUAUUGUAAAUUUGAAUAUAUACAAUCAAAUACACAUUUUUAAAAAAAUAGAUGAAAGUAUUUUUAAAACACGUAUGUGUACCUAAUAAAUAUGCAAAAAAUCAUACAUGAUAACUUUUUAAAAAUAAAAAGCAAUUAAAUGUUAUAUGUAGAUUUAUUAUUUAUUAUUUAUGUCAUUCAGAUAAAAAUAUAGCAAAGGUGUAAUAAUAUUCAUAAUAUAUACUAGAAAAUUAUAUGCAUCAUUAAAUUAUAUAUUACUAAAAACUAAUUUAAAUUUUAUAAACAAUAAAAUAUAAUUAUGAAAGUAGUUUAUAUAAUGAAUAAAAUAUACAAAAUUAUAGUUAAUUUAAAUUAAUAAUGAUAUGAAAAUAAAAAUAUGUCUUUACAUAAUCGAACAAAGAAAAAAAUAUAAAAUAGUCUGACAACAAACAAAGAUAGAAGAAAUGAAAUUAGUUGAUUUAUACGAAACAAAUAAGUUAAAAUAUAUAUACUAACAUAAUAAAAAUAUAAUACAAUAUUAUUAAAAAUCACAAUAAUUGUAUUAGAAACCUACUAAAUAGUAACAAAACUGACUUGAAAGAAAACAAUUUUAAAAAUAAUGACCUGGAUAAAAUAAUCAUUUUAAAACAAAAAUUUUAAAAUUAUUUAAUUUUCCGCCCGCCCGUAGGGCGGGUUUACUCUAGUAUUGGAUAAUUGAAACAUCAAAAUUUUCAGUAAAACAUCCUAUUUUUAGGAACAUAUGGAGUAGGAGACGCGAAUGCAGUUUUUGCUCGUUCUUUUAAUAAUAUUAAAUGUCAAUUAUUGGUUUUGUAGGUCUAAAUCGGUGCAGGAAGAGUUGUAGACUAAGAUGGUUGAACUAUUUGAAGCCAAGUAUCAAGAGAGGAAAACUCAACUCCGAUGAAGUUGAUCUUCUUAUGCGCCUUCAUAAGCUUUUAGGAAACAGGUUUACAUUCAAGACACAAAUUCAACUGUAUUUCGUAUCCUCAUUCGGUCUAAUCUAAUCAUUUGAUUUGUUUUUUUUUUUGAUAAAAAGUACUUAAAUUUAUUUCAUAUGUAAAUGAUCCAUUACUAAGUCAAAUAUAUCCCUAAUUUUUCAAAUGCAUGCUUAGGUGGUCUUUAAUUGCUGGUAGAUUACCCGGUCGGACCGCCAAUGACGUCAAAAAUUACUGGAACACCCAUUUGAGUAAGAAACAUGAACCGGGUUGUAAGACCCAGAUGAAAAAGAGAAACAUUCCUUGCUCUUAUACCACACCAGCCCAAAAAAUCGACGUUUUCAAACCUCGACCUCGAUCCUUCACCGUUAACAGCGGCUGCAGCCAUAAUAAUGGCAUGCCAGAAGCUGACAUUGUUCCUCUAUGCCUUGGACACAACGAUACUAAUAAUGUUUCUGAAAAUAUAAUCACAUGUAACAAAGAUGAUGAUAAAUCUGAGCUUGUUAGUCAUUUAAUGGAUGGUCAGAAUAGGUGGUGGGAAAGUUUGCUAGAUGAGAGCCAAGAUCCAGCUGCGCUCUUUCCAGAAACUACAGCAAUAAAAAAGGGCGCAACCUCCGCGUUUGACGUUGAGCAACUUUGGAGCCUGUUGGAUGGAGAAACUGGAACUUGAUUAGUGUUUCCACUGUUUGUUUGUGCUUGUGCGUGACAUUGUGACUUUUGCAUUUACUGUGUAUUGUUUCUAAAUAAACCAAUUAACUUAUGUUUCUGACAUAUAUAUAUAUAUAUAUAUAUAUAUAUAUAUUUUUUUUUUUUCUUUUUGCAAAUGAAAGGAUAAUGUGUCAUGAUAAACAAGGCCCCAAUUGGUAUAACUGAUGAAAAAUUCUUAGCAAUAUGCUCAAAAACAGUAUGAUGCAGAAGUUAUAUGCUUCAUUAUUUAUUAAAAUGAUUGAUAUAACAUUAAAUGAUUCAUAUAUAAUUGGUUCAUUUAUAAAUAAUAUAUAUAUAUAGUAAAUAUAUAUUUUUUAUUUAAAAUAAUAUAUCAUAUCUAAUUUUAUAUAUAUAUUAAUUUAUAUAUUUUAAUUAAGUAUAGUAUUAUUUUAAUUGUAUUUUUAAAAUAUAAUUUUAACAUGAAUAUAAUAUUUUGAUAUUAUAAUUUUUUUAAUUUAAUAUUUUAUAAAUGAAAAUGUUUGCCAACUUUAAUCAUGGUAUUCUAAAUGUAUUUCUAAAUGUUUUUUUCUGUAAUUAUUGAUUAGAUAAUAAUUAGCAUAAUGUUCUUGCAAAUAGUUUGCCAACUUUAAUCAACGUCUAAGUAUGUGUUGUUGCUUUACAUAGAUUUUCUUCUUGGAAAAUAUUUUAUGAGCACCAUUAUCCCUGAGUAGGAGUUCUUAGAAAAUAAAAGUAUUUUUUUUGAACGUACAAAAUAAAAGUAUUGAUAUUUUAUUUAGACAAGUAUGUUCUUAGCUCUUUUAGUUUAAUUAGACUAAUAGCUGAAUAGAAAACAAUAUGUUUAGAGUAACUAGGGUUUCUCAAGCAAGAACCCCAUUAAAACUUCUUCUCUCCUCAUUUAUCAAAAACUUUUUUUUGUCUCUUCUCUUUCUAACUUUUAAUUAUUUUAUUAUAUUUUGUAGGUGAGGAUGUCGGGAUAAAGUUUGCAGAGAGUGCCUACGGUAUAAAUUUUGAGGCAUUGGCCUUGGGGCGCUCUCAUAUUUGUUAAUUUUGGGGCCUCAGAUUUACCAAUACUCGUAAGCAAAAUGCUAAUAUAGUUACCAAAAAAACAAUGUAUUCUUUCAAUAAUUUUGUUUCAAACAUUCAUCUCUAUUUUUAUUUAUUAUUGUGGACACCAACCAUCUUUUUAAUGUUGAAAACUUUUUCUAUAUAUAUAUAUAUAUAUAUAGAUAAAUUCCCACUAAACAAUUUAUAACCUUUGCCAUUAGAAGUUUGUAUAAGAGCAAGGAAUGUUUCUCUUUUUCAUAUAAAUAAUUUUAAAAUAUGAAAUACCAAAUAAAUAAAUAAAUAACAAUUAUUUUAUUUACUUUUUACAUUUUAAAAGUUAUUAUUGCACUCAUAUUACUAUUUGUGUUAUUUUAAUAUAAAAUGAAUAAGUUUUUGCCUUAGGCCCCAGUUACUCUAGGCAUGGCACUGAGAGCUUGGCGUUGGAAGUGUGGACUGUCAAGUCCUUCUUUAAGCAAUCAUAUCAUGUUUGUGCAAAAGUGUUGACAUACAACUUAAAGCUGUUGACUGUUGUCGUCUAACUGGUGUCAUCUUCUGAUUACCAGUGAAGUGAAUUAUCCAUGCAAGCAACUCCACUGAAUCCAGCUUCUUUGGAAAAUAUGUCCAUAUGAAUAGAUUUGUUGACUAGUCGACCAUAGACCUUUUUAUGUAAUGUCAAAUUAUAAUUUGUUGAUAUUGUACCAUAUAUAGCAAUACAGUGCAAAUAUUUCCACUGAGAAGUAUGAACUUAUGGAGGGAGUAUAUAUUUAUGUAAUGUCAAAUUAUAAUUUGUUGACAUUACGGAGGGAGUAUAUAUUUGCACUGUAUUGUUAUAUAUUUGCACUUUUUAGUUAAGUAUGUGAAUUAUCAUUGAAAAGGAUGCAGUGCAAAUAUUUCCUCAAUAUUAACAAAAGUUCACGCUCCCUAACAAUUUGUAGCUCCCAGUAAAAAAUUAUCCAGUGGUGUCAAUUUAAUUUAUCAUGUAAAAAGAAAAAUUUUGGUCAAAGCAGUUGCGAGUGUUAUUAUUCGGAAUCUUAAUUGUAAAAAACAUUUUCUUUCUGUGAAAUCAUAUGGUGACAUAGAUGUAUGUGUUCUAAUUCGAAACAUAAAAGAAAUAAUUUAUAUACAUACCUUUUUACCAAAAGAUAUACAAGACAGAUUUCUUCGUAGAUUUCUAGACCCUAUGAUCAAUUUUACAUUAUGUUGAAAUCAACAUCAGCCUAAAGCUUUUACCAAAAAAAAAAAAAACAACAGCCUAAACCUAAAAAUACAUCUGCUUCCAUAUAUAUAUGUAACAAUGAUAUACUACAUUUUAUCAAAAUAAAUUAAUAAUCUAUAUUAGUAUUUAAAAAGUAAUUUUUCGCAUUCAAGCUCUCACGUUAAAAGUUAGACCGGUUAAAAACUAUGUUAUCCUUAAUGAAUUUAUAUAUAUAAUUUAUUAUAUAAUUAAAGACGAAUUUAUAUUAAUAAUAAUAAACUUAUAUGUUAUAUUAGAUAAUUGAUCAUACUUAGUAUAAUAAAAUUAUCAAAAAUGCAUAUCUAAGAAAAAGAUAAUUAUAUAUUGUGUUGUUUUCUAAAAAUAAUAUUUUCUAUUAUAAAUUUUAAAUUAAGAUAUUAAACAUUUUACUAUUAAAUAUUAAUCAAAUAAAAACAUUUUAUAAAGAUAUUUUCUAAAAAUUAUAAAAUUUGAGUGUUUUUAAAAUUUGAAACACAAUAGUAAAUAUAUAUUUUGAUGAAAAACUUUUGUCAUUUAUAAAUAAUUUGAAGUUUAAUCUAAUUUUUUUGAGAAAAAUAUAAUUAAUAAGACAUAAACUAUUAAUUAGUCAUAAAAAAUUAUGUUUGCACGUACAAGCAAAUACCUAAGCCUUGAUUGGCAAAGCAAAUGAUAAAGCAGUAGUAAUAUGCUAUAGAAUCAGUAUGCUGCAGAAGCUGUAUAUUUUUGUUAAACUGUUUAAUAAGAUGAUUGGUAAAGCAGUAUGAAUAUGCUAUUUAAAAUUAUUCUUAAAAUUAGUAUAUAAUAUAUAAUAUUUUUAUUUUUAAUAUAUAAUAUAAAUAUAUUAACAUAUAAAGUUAAAAAGAUAUAUAAUUAAUUUAUCCUAUUUAAUAAUUUAGAAAUUAUGUUUAUAAAAAAAUAUCAUUUUAAAAUAAACAUUAUAAUUAAAAUAUCUAUUUUUUAAAAUAAUAUUUCACAUUUAAAAUAUAAUUAAGUUAUAUAAAUUAAAUUAUAUUUUAAAUGUCAAAUAAUAUUUUUUUUUUAAAAAUAUUUUUAUUGUAAAAUAAUUUUAGAAAUCAAAAUUUUAUUUUCUGGAUAUAAAAGUAAAUUUUAUUUUCUGGAUAUAAAAGUAAUUUUAUGAUAUGAUAAAAUAAAAUAAAUGAAUUAAUUUAUAUUUUAUUUAAUUUCAUAAAUUAUACUCCCUCCGUUUCACAAUACAUGAUGUUUUGCCUUGAUGCACAAAGAUUAAUAAAUUUAACAUUUUCUAAAAAGUGACUUUAAAAAUAUAAUUUAGAAAUCAUUCAACCAAUUAUAAAAAUAACUACAAAAUCUAAUUGGUUACACAGUUUUCAAUAAAUUUAAAAGUAAUAUAAAAUAUUGAAAUAUCAUCUAUUUUGAAACAACAAAUAUCUUCUAAAAUAUCGUUUAUUAUGAAACUGAAGGAGUAAAUGCAAAUGCUUUUCUAAAAGCUUCAUAAAAGCCCAUUAAGGCCCAAAUACUAAAUGUCAUUUAUUUUAUAGUUACUCCUAUGAGUGUUCAUGUAUUUGUUUUAAAGGUUCGGUAAAAGCAACAAGUUUAAAAAUAAAAUAAAAAACAUAUAACCAACAUAAUAAGAAUAGAAAAAUUAUUACUUAAUACACACAACUUACACAACUAAACUAGAAAAAAAUAUCCAGAAACAAAAGGUACUCUCAAUAACCUUAAUAUAAUUUAUGUAAUCUCAACAGUAUAAGUAACAAAUUAAAAAGACAAACAAACAGUAAGUCUCAGUGACACAGCAAACAACACCACGAACUAUAAACACAGUUUAGUUCUUCAUGAGUGGAGGACAGUGCAUACACAGUUCAUCAUCACAACUCUAACUCUAUAACAAUAGAAAAACUUGAAAAACUAUGAUCAACCCAAAACGCAAAAUUUACAGCUACAAUAACCUUAACAAAUAUUGAAAUGAAACAAGAAUUAUGUCUACAAUUUUCCGCUUGUGCGGAAUAAUGUCCCUAGUAGUAUAAGAAGUUUAGUUUAUGGGUAUCUUAUACUAAUAGAUCCAUAUUCUUCGGGGUGGUCAUAAAUGCAUGGGACAAAAAACAAAAAUGCAUUGAAACUUUCGCCAUCUUUUUUGUAUCUUUGUUUGUUGCGCCUCUUAGAAUAACCCAUUGUCGUUACUACUAUAGGUUAUGGACGGGAACCGGUUAUGGACCAUGUAAGUUAUUGAAGUUGUCUUGUAUGAAAUUAAUUAUAUACCAUACGUGUAUUUGUAUUGCGCAUAAUGAAGCAGUAGGGGUAUAACAUCCGGAAACGUAAAUAUCAUUUUGACAGGACAUGCCAACUUGUUCUAGUCGUUCAAUCAUGAUUGGCGUUCUGCAACUUUUCUUUUGUGUCAAAAUUUAUGACUUCCACAAAAGUUUAUACAAAUAAUAAUAAGAAAAGUCUUUUUUUUUUCUUUUACAAAAAAAGAAAAGUCUUUUAUGACUUCCACAAAAGUUUAUACAAAUAAUAAUAAGAAAAGUCUUUUUUUUUCUUUUACAAAAAAAGAAAAGUCUUUUUGUACCUUCAUAAAACGAGUUGGGAUCAACAUCUUUUGCUAAAUAAUGACCUCUAGUAACAAUGCUAUAUGUAUUAUUAAAACUGAAAUAUUUUUUGGUAUUGUUUAGAAACAUGAAUAACAGUAUAAAUGAUAAUUAUUUGAAAACAUUGAUAGCCGUAUAAAAAAGAAAUAUAGUGUCAUUUUAAUAAUUUCACUUAUAGAACUAACUUUAUUUUCAAAAGAUUUAUUACAUAUUUUAUUUCCGUAUUUUUAUUCAUCUUAACAAUUUUAUUAAUUAUAUUACUUUAAAACUACAUCACAUUAUUAAUUAUAUUACCAUAAUAAUAUUUCAGAUUUUUUAUUUAUUAGUUAAUCAACAUUAACUUUGUACCAAUUACAAAAUCGAAUGUAAAAUAAUCGGGUUUUGAAAAUGGUUAAAAGCUCGGUUUAGUCUAUUUUACUAUUUUUAUCUUAAUUUCAAUUCAAAGACAUAGUUUAUGUGAACAAAAUAAUAACUUAAAUCAAAAUAAUAAAACGUAUUACAUAUAAUGUGACUUAAUUUUUCACAUCAUAUAGAUAUUUUACUAAAUAUUUUUUUUUCUAUUUUAUUUAAUUGCCAAACACGUAGAAAGAGUUUUUUUUUUUAAUUUGUUUUUAGAAUCAGUUAGGUGUGGACACUCUAAUACCUAUUCAGAUAUGGAUUGUUUCUUUCGGGUAUCAUAUUUUUUUUUGGGUUUGAAAUUAUGAUGUGCUUGGAUAUUAUAAAUUUAUGUGUGGGUUUCGAGUUGGAUCCUUUCGGAUUUAGAUGGUUAUGUUCUGAUGUAUAGGAACUUAAAAUUAUCAAACAACUAAUAUAUCUGAAACGGCUUUAAAAUAUUUGUACCAAAAAUAAUUAUAUUACUCAAUUCAAUUUUAAUCUUUUGAAUACAAUUAAUUAUAUGAGAACACAUCUAAAAUAUAUAAUGAUAAAUAAAUAUUGAUUUAUAAGAAUAAAAUAACUGAUAUUCGCGUGGGGUGCGCAGAUCGAGUUCCAGUGACAAAUUAAACAUCUACUCUAUUAAAAUAGAGUCCUAUUUGAAUUUUACCAUGGCAUAGAUUUAAUUUGGACUUAUUAAACAUGUUGUGACUAAAUAUAAAAAUAAAUUAUGUAUACAAUUUUAUAUGGUAACUGGUAUAUUUAUAUUAAACCAAUUAUGGUUUGGGUUUAAUAUUUGAGUAACAAACCAUAUCUUUUAAUCUGAACCAAACAAAUAUGGUUUGCAAUUGCAUUAACUGGAGAGAAAUUAAUUGAACUUAUUAAACUCUCAUAUAGAUUGGUUAUUGUGUUGCUCUACGUUUUGAAACCAAUAGGUUAAGAGAUCAACAUGGUCAACUUCCAUGGAUUAAAUAUGAACUCAAAAAUCAAGAUCUAUAAGUUGUUUUGACCAAUUAUUGGAGUGUUUGACCGGUGGUUUAUUUUUUUUUAUGAACACCAUCUUAUAGGAAGUAGGUUUAGAUUAUAACACAACAUCAACUUCUUCUUCUAAACCAUGUCAUAUAUAUAUAUUUUAUACCCAAAUCUCUAUUAUAUACUCAAACACAACAUCAACGUGUAUUCACUGAUCGUAUAUUCCUAAGAAAAUAUAGCAUGCUAUAAAACAUAUUUCAACAAAAUCAUUAUAUAUAGUUUUAGAUAGAUUUUUAUGUAUUCAAAAUUUGAAAUCUAUUUUUAAAAUAUAGAAUAUGUCAUUGAAACAAAUAUAUCCCUAAAUCUAUGCAUUUUUAAAUCUUAAAUUACCAGCUUCCAUUGAUACCAAACAUUUGUAUUAGUAACAAUAUCAAAACAAUAUAUUACAAUGUUUUAAAUUUAUGCAAUAAUCCUGGGUUUGAAACUUUGAAUGAAUAUACAGUAAUUUUGAUAAUAGCUUAUAUUUUCGAAAUUUUGUGGUUCUGAACAGGAAACCAAAUUAAAACUACUAUUAUGUAAUACUACACAACAAACAUCAUAUAUAUAUUUAAUAUAAAUUCAUAACUAUAAAUAAAAAACAAUCCGUGCAAUCCCACAAACCACUAUAAAUAAAGUAUAAUUGCAAAAUUAGAUGAACCAAACCAAAUAACAAAAUAACAAAACUCAAAUUCAUAAAUAACCAAAUUAUUACUAUAUUUUUUGAACCGAAAAAUCAAAACCCAUAACUAAACCGGAACUAAACUGAAAACUAAAACAGUAAAAUUUAAUGUGGAUCAAAAUUUAUAAAAUAUCAUUAAAUUUUUAUAAGUUUUUAAUUUUAAAAUAUAAAUUAUAAAUACAAAUAUAGGCAAUCCUGCAUAACUGUGCGGGUCAUAAUCUAGUUAAACACUAAUGAAAAGGUUAAGAUAGGUAUUACUUUAGUUUUUUUAACUGGUGUAAAAUGUCGUAGAACGACUCAGGGAGUAUCUAUUAGCAAUGGCGGAUAGCCGGAUAUUUAAUUAGAUUUAAACGCAUGUGCACAGUGCACAGUGCACGUAUAAUAAUACAAUACUAUAAGUGAUUUGGCACGUUUCAUGAGUUUUGCUAAUAUGAGCUUGUGAUUAAAUAGUGGUUUAUUGACUUAAAAGAUUACACGUGUCUCGCAACUGGAUAUCCAGAUCUACCAAAUAAUUCCAAUAUGUUCAGCCUCCAGGGCCAUUAGCCCGUGAGUUUAAUUUUUCGGUUAAUUUAGAUUGGUUAAUUCGAAACUCGUUUAGUUCGGGUUAGUUAAAAUCUCGCCGAAGUAAAUCUAAGAAAAUUCAGUUUGAUUCGGUUUUUGGUUAGUUUGGUGUCCAAUUUUUUUACUGAAAUUUUUGUUUGCGGUUAGCUCGGUUAAAUUUUAGGUUUAAAUGAAUAAAAUACAUACAUUUUUAGUUAAUUUUGGUUAGUUUGGUUGUUUUGAUUUGGAUUUCGAUUAGUUUAGUUACUUUAAUUCAGAAUUCCGGUUAAGAUUGGUAUUGUUUAAAAUAAAAUUUUAAACUGAACUAACCUAUUACCAAACAGAACCGAAAAUCAAAUUUUUUUAGUUUUCAAACUGAACACUUCUGGUCGGUUCGGUUCAGAUAAUAACCGCAGGCCUGGCCAUGCUCAUGUGUAGAAAAGCCUCAAGCCUCCACUUAGUAUAUUUAAUUUUGGACCCCAACUUUUAUAUUUCUAUUACUUUCAUUUGGUUUUGAAAUAUUGUAUUAUUUUUUACUUUUAAAUUUUUAAUAACAGUUUUUACAAAUAUAUUUGUCUUCUUAUAUUUCCUAUCUUAAUAUGUAUUGUAUCUAGGGAUUCAACGAAUAUCAGAAGUGAGAAAAUUUCAAUACGAAUUAAUAUAUUAUUUUUAAUCGAUGAAAUAUUGCGUGAUAAAUUUUUCUUUUCAAAAUCUAAUAACUAUUACUUUAACUUUUUGAACGAAAAAAAACAAAACAGUUCUUGGGUAAGAUUAGCUUCGUGGGAUGAAGCCAAAAUGAAAUCUUGAAAGAAAUCAACAAUGACACAAAAAUGGAGACUUUUAUAUGAUGUCGACGUGACACCUUACAGCUUUUAUGAGAAAUGUCUCAUUUGGAACAUUGUUCGUGGACGAUGAGCAUGCACGUUCCUUUCCCUUUGUCUACAAGAAAAAAGAAACAAGUAACUCUUAGUAUUUCCUUAAAAGAAUGCUAAAGUAUCAUUUUCAUGAACUGUGUAUAUUAUUUUACAAUAAUACAUAAAUAGUUUGUUAUAACCUCACUUGUUUUAGUGUUAUCCCUCGCAUAAGUUUGAGAUAUAUAUGGAAAUAGCAUUGUUAUAUUAAAAACUAGGGUCGGCCCGCCCUGCGGGCGGGAUAUUAGUUAAUUUGAUAUUCACUAAAUGCUCGAGUUGAAAUUUGUUUUAAGAUUCAAGAAUUUGGUUAUCUGUUAUGUCUUACUUAUUAGUAUACGGUGGUAUAGUUGUUUUUCGAUUAUUCUUGCUUUGGUAUUGUAUCAAAUUAACUAAUUGUCCAACUCAUAAUUAUAGAUAUACAAAUGUGGAUUUGUGAUAAAGUUUGAUAACAAUACUAUUUUUUUUAAUUUUUAUUCAUAGUGGAGUGUGCAUGUGUCAGAAAGAGGCCUAUAACAACUUUUAUGUUUUUGUGUAUGGAUUUUAAAUAUAUAUUAUUUUGUAUAAUGCAUACUUGCUCUACAACAUUUGCUUGUAGACUAAAAAAAUUGUUUUCUAUAUUUUUAAAAGAGAAAAUAUUUAGUCUAGAAUAUAACAUGGAUAUAUGUAUUGACUAUAUAUAUAGAAGUUGGGUGUUAUUUUAAAAUGACAUAUGUAUAGAAAUUUUUCAACCAUUACUUCACUGGCACAAAACAUUUAUAACUGUAAAUACCUUCUUUUAAAAGCAAAACUAAUAAAAGCGUGUACAACAAAUUUUGAUAUAUAUUAUAUGCAUCAAGUUAUAAAAGUUGGAAACAUUGCAAAACUGUUUGGAGCAAAGUUUUUAACUUCACGAUCUUCAUCUUGACGUCAGUUCAGUGUCGGUCCUGGCCACAAGCAGAAGAAGCAUGAGCUUCCAGCUGACACGAUAAUAAGUAUUUUCGCGGCCACAUAUUUAUAAAAAAUGACUUUAGCCUAGUGGUUCUAAGAGAAAUUACCAGUGCUAGAGGUGCUGGGUUCGAUUACCCUUAAUUGCAUUCAUUUAUUUUGGCCUUAAAUAUGAAAUGGGACACGUGUCACUCCCAGAACGCACGAAUUGAUGACGUGGCUUCACGGGAGAGAGGCGAACAUUUCUUUAUAUAUAUAGAUAUCGUGUUAUGAGAAAUAUAGCAGGUAAAAAGAGAAAUAUAUCUAUACUAUUAUUUGCGAAGUAAAUUUUUGGAAUCGAGAUCUCACGUUAAAAGUUAGAGCGGUUAAUAUCUAUAAUACCCUUAAUGAAUUUUCUAAAUAAUUAAUUAUAUAAUCAAAAACGAAUUUUAAUUAAUAAUAUUAACUUUUUGGAAAAUAAGAUAAUUCUUAUAUAUUGUGUAGUUAUCUUAAAACAUAUUUUUCAAUUAUAAAAUUUAAAAAUAAACUAAAAAACAAUUAUAAUAAAUUCAGUGGUUAAAGUCAACGUUAUCUUUAAUAAAUUUUAAUUAAUCUAUACUAUUAUUUGCGAAGUAAAUUUUUAGAAUCGAGAUCUCACGUUAAAAGUUAGAGUGGUUAAUAUCGCUAAUACCCUUAAUGAAUAAAAUGUAUAAAUAAAUUAAAAAUAAAAACGAAAUUUUUAUUUAUUUGAUUAGAUAAUUGAUUAAAAUUAAUAAUAGUAAGAAUUAUCCAAAAUCUGAAAAUAUAAUUUAAACAGAGAUAAUUUCUAUAUAUAUUGUAUUGUUAUCUGAAAAAGUCUUUUAGUAAAAAAUAAAUUUUUGGAAUCGAGCUCUCACGUUAAAAGUUAGAGCGGUUAAUAUCUAUAAUACCCUUAAUGAAUUUUCUAAAUAAUUAAUUAUAUAAUCAAAAACGAAUUUUAAUUAAUAAUAUUAACUUUUUGGAAAAUAAGAUAAUUCUUAUAUAUUGUGUAGUUAUCUUAAAACAUAUUUUUCAAUUAUAAAAUUUAAAUCUAUACUAUUAUUUGCGAAGUAAAUUUUUAGAAUCGAGAUCUCACGUUAAAAGUUAGAGUGGUUAAUAUCGCUAAUACCCUUAAUGAAUAAAAUGUAUAAAUAAAUUAAAAAUAAAAACGAAAUUUUUAUUUAUUUGAUUAGAUAAUUGAUUAAAAUUAAUAAUAGUAAGAAUUAUCCAAAAUCUGAAAAUAUAAUUUAAACAGAGAUAAUUUCUAUAUAUAUUGUAUUGUUAUCUGAAAAAGUCUUUUAGUAAAAAAUAAAUUUUUGGAAUCGAGCUCUCACGUUAAAAGUUAGAGCGGUUAAUAUCUAUAAUACCCUUAAUGAAUUUUCUAAAUAAUUAAUUAUAUAAUCAAAAACGAAUUUUAAUUAAUAAUAUUAACUUUUUGGAAAAUAAGAUAAUUCUUAUAUAUUGUGUAGUUAUCUUAAAACAUAUUUUUCAAUUAUAAAAUUUAAAAAUAAACUAUAAAACAAUUAUAAUAAAUUCAGUGGUUAAAGUCAACGUUAUCUUUAAUAAAUUUUAAUUAAUCUAUACUAUUAUUUGCGAAGUAAAUUUUUAGAAUCGAGAUCUCACGUUAAAAGUUAGAGUGGUUAAUAUCGCUAAUACCCUUAAUGAAUAAAAUGUAUAAAUAAAUUAAAAAUAAAAACGAAAUUUUUAUUUAUUUGAUUAGAUAAUUGAUUAAAAUUAAUAAUAGUAAGAAUUAUCCAAAAUCUGAAAAUAUAAUUUAAACAGAGAUAAUUUCUAUAUAUAUUGUAUUGUUAUCUGAAAAAGUCUUUUAGUAAAAAAUUAAAAACAUAAAUAUAUAACUAAAUAUUAAUCAAAUAAAAUUCUUAAUUAUAUAACUAAAAAUAGAAUAUUGAAUUAUCCAAAAUCUAAAAAUAUAAUUAAAAAAGAUAAUUUUUAUAUAUAUUGUCUUGUUAUCUGAAAAAAUAUUUUAGUAAAAAGUUAAAAACAUAAAUUAUAUAAUUAAAUAUUAGUCAAAUAAUUUUUUUAUUAUAUAAUUUAAAAUAUAAUAUUGAGUUAUUUUAAAAUAAAUUUUUAGAAUCGAGCUCUCACGUUUCAAGUUAGAGGGGUUAAUAUCGUUUAUACCCUUAAUGAAUAAAAUGUAUAAAUAAAUUAAAAAAUAAACAAAAAUUAAUUUAUUUGAUUAGAUAAUUGAUUAAAAUUAAUAAUAGUAAGAAUUAUCUAAAAUCUGAAAAUAUAAUUUGAACAGAGAUAAUUUAUGUAUAUAUUGUAUUGAUAUCUGAAAAGGUCUGUUAGCAAAAAAUUAAAAACAUAAAUUAUAUAACUAAAUAUUAAUCAAAUAAAAUUCUUAAUUAUAUAAUUAAAAAUAAAAUAUUGAAUUGUCAAAAAUUUAAAAAUAUAAUUAAAAAAGAUAAUUUAUAUAUAUAUAUUGUAUUGUUAUCUGAAAAAAUAUUUUCGUAGAAAGUUAAAAAUAUAAAUUAUAAUAUUUUUAAUUAUAUAAUUAAAAAUAUAAUAUUGAGUUAUUUUAAGAUUUAUUUUAGUAUAAUAAAGAUAGUGUACAAAGAAUUUUUUAAAAUUUAAUGAAAAUUUUUAAGUCCGCAUCGCGGGCAAAACACCUAGUAAUGUUUAAAAAAAGAAGAGAAAUAUACGAGAUACAUUUUGUAUUUAAGGAACAAGUAUAGCGUGUUUGCUUUAAAAAAAAACAAGUACAUAGCGUGUUACGUUUUCAUUUGUAUAAACCAGUGUCAAACCUUAACCAUCUGAACGUAAUUUGUAAUUGAUCUACCUCUAUAAUUAUUUACAUAAUAUCGUAAACGGUUAGAAAUAUAUUUAAUCAGCGAAAACAAUAAGAUUAUUUUGUGCAUAUACCCAGUAAUCAUGUUCUGUACGGAAGUUGUAAAUCUAUAUAAUUGAUACAAAAGAUCCAAUAAGAUUAUAGUUUGAUUUUAUUUAACUUCUAUGUUGAGAGUGACAGAAACGUAACACCAAUUGACGUCUGAAGAAGUCGACGUACGAUGUCGAGACAAAAUAAUAAUUAAUGAACUGUCUUCAUAUUAUUGCAAUCUCCGUUCACAGUCCAUUCUCAUUGACACAGAACACGUCUUCUUGGAUUUUUGUGGGUAACAGUCUCUCUCGACCAUAAGCAGAGUGGUUUUGGUCUUGCUGUUGUGGCCCUUUUUUUGUCAGUGACCAUUAAACUCUGUUUUUUCUGUUGGUAAAAUGUUAAAUAGUUACCAUCAAAUUCUUUUCUCUUUUGUACUAUUUUCACGUAAAAUUAAAGUUAAUUUGGUCCAAAAAAUUAUAGUUAUUAAUUUCACAGUAUAGGUAAUCCAUUUCUCACUGCCAUAUCAGAGAUUCAAUUUUUUUUUGAAAAAAAUAUUCCGAAUAUAUCACCAGGAUAAGCCAUUAUUAAGAAGAAGAAAAAAUCAACAGAGCCAAUAUGUAAGUAUCAUCCAAUAUGUUUCAUGCAACGUUAGCAAAGCAUUAGGUUUUAAAAAAAAAACGUUAUCAAAGAACUAUUAUAAAUUUGAGAAAUUUAGUUUACAAAAAAAAAAAAUCUGAGAAAUUUUAUGUACGGCAUUAUUAUGUUCAUCUUUGAAUUAAAAACAUAUGUUUUCAACAUCAAUCACAUAUUUUUAUUUAUACGUGAUUCUUUGCUAAGAAGUAGGUAGUUAUUUCAAAAAAUCUGGUUUCCUUAAAAGUGUAAAGAAUCUAUUUUGCAAAAUUCUUGAUUGGUAAAAAAAUAGUUUUAGAAAAUCAAAAACUAUUUUAAAAAUUGCAAACAGUUAACCCCUAAAUAUUUUAGUUGUUAAUAUUUAUUCUAUUAUUUUCGAAAUAACAAAAUUGUUAAAGAUUUCAAAAAAUUUAAUUUUUUUUAUUACACAACAUAUAUUAACUUGAAUAUAAGAUCGAUCGCAUAAGAAUUUCUCUCAGCAUGUUGGACAUGCGUCUUACAUUUUUCAGGAAGAACCUUUUAUAAGACAAACAGUAUUGUACAAACUCUUAACAAAACAAAUCUAAAUUACACAGUUUCUCAAUACAUAAAUUAUACCGUUUCUAAUUUCUACUAAAACAUUAAAUCAUGUGAUAAUAAUAUAUUUUUAAUGUUUAAUCAUUAAAAAAGUGUUACAAUAAAGUCUAUACAGAUUUUUAUGACUUUUAGCCCAGUUUAUCCAAUCAAGCCCAAAAGAAACACAUAAGGAAAGAAAGGAUGGUUUCCUGAAUGAUACCUUAUCGAAUCUCACAUAGAUUGCUUCCUGAAUCGAUGUCAAAGAAAGGAUGGUUUCCUGAAUCAUGUCGUUGAUAAGGAAGGAUUAGGUGUAGAGGCGAAAGCAUCAUUUCAGUCCCGGUAACUUGCGAUUCAAUCAAUUUCUAACUUGGUAUAGGCUAAAAUUCUGACGACUCAAGAAAUGGUUCUCAAAAGAACAAAGAAAACCGUCAGUAGAGAGUCGCUCCCUUCCAUGGAGGACACGAAGACGAAGGGAAGUUAGUGACUGGAGUUAAGAGCUUCCUGAUCCAACAGACCCUUCAGCCAAGAAUGCGCUCCGGUGGCUACAUAGGACUGAUAACGGUGAUCUCUAGUAAUAGCAAUCAAGGAAGCUACUCUGUUUCUGUCCUGUCCACAUGACAAAAUCUCUGAGAGCAGAAGACUAUGGAUGUAAGAAGGAGUCUCUUAGAACCUCAGAUGAGAUUUCGGAAUACACCUUUUCCACUCGUAAACUAGUCAUAGCUUAAGCUUCCAAAGAUCAGGUAGGAGAGAGUGUUCAACCCUGAAGAAGGACCGUCUGCUAUGAAAAUUCACUACACCUGCAGAAUCUCUUGCAACCCAAGCGCCUCCAUUAUUACUCAUACCAUUUGUCCACGAUGCUGCAACACUACACUUAAUCCAAUCACUAGGCGAUUUGGACCAUCCUACAGGACCCAAGGCAAGAAUACAUGAUGUCUUUUAUAGUGGCGUUUACAAUUGAUUUUGAUCUGGCACUUCAGAUAUAAAAAAAAUCAUGAGUCACGAUUAGAAGGAAGAAGAAAAUUUUGGCCGUUCAUACAAAUAAUAAAUUGUAGAGGUUUUGCAUGCUUUGAAGGAAAAUAUAGGAAACUUUGUCUUUUGUCUUUUGUUCCUCUCUAUUUGACAAAAAAUAUCUAGGGUUUGAGUUUUGCUAAAUACAUAAUAUAACAAAAACAUACAUAAUAUAACAAAAAAAUUGAAAUUUCAAAAAAGAAAAAAAAAUUCAGAAGGAUAAAAAUUGGGAGAAUUCAUCAACAGUAUUGUUUAUUUCAUAUGUUUCAACAAAAUAAGGUUAACAAAAUUUUAAAAAGAGUGAAUCUAAUUUUUUCCCCCUUUUUAUUAUUAAGCUCAAGUUAAGGAAAGCUAACAAAAAUAUUGAGGAAAACCACAACAAGGAAUUACUACAUAAUUAAAACAAAGAUUUCAAAAAAAUAUUUAGAAAAUAAAUAAACAUUAAAAUAAAAUUUUUAUUUUCAGUAUAUAUAUAAAAGAUUAAAGUUUUUGUAUAGGAAAAAUGUGAAAUUUUUAUAAAAAUGUCAUGAGAUUCCUGAGACUGAAAAGGUUGUAGAAUCAUGUUGAAUGUGGACUUUGUUGCAAACAUCUCUUCUUUGAAGUCAGCCUUCAAUGUAAGAGUAUCGGUCUUGACUUCAUCCAUUGUGUUCUCCAAGCCUGUAAGGCGCAUCUCCAUAUCCAGAUUGCACUUCAGCGAGAAAAGAACAUAUUCAGGAGUGGAGUCCUCGUAAUGAACACCACCGAGCCCACGCCACCUAACACCAAAACCUAACCCAACUUUAUCAAAAAAAAUACAUGUGCAUAAUUUGGUGGAAAGCUUAUGUUUUUAGCCAUUUGAUUAACACUGAAAUUCUUCUACUCCAGAGACGGAUCUACUUAGUCCAACAUGGGGCAGCUGGCAUCGGUCAAUUUGUAAGAUUAGUGCAAAUUAUAAAGACAUCAAAUUAGUGUCUCCACUCAUAAUUCUAUUUCUGCACCUAUAACCAAUUUUUUAUAUAUAAAAAAUGUAAUUUGAGCCCAAAAAUUAAUAGCCCAUUACUCUUGUCAAAUGUUAAUUCCCAUAUAAAUGACAUUCAUUUCUGAUGAUAUUAAUUUUCCUUAUUCCAGUCUUCAUAUGGUAAUUUACAAAAACCUAGUUCUCGAGUUAUAUUUUUGCCAAUUUUAUAAUUUUCUUAUUUGGUUGAAUUAUUACUGCUUUCAUUUAUUUAUAUACUCUAUAUAUGUAAAUCUUCCUAUAUAUUAAUUGAGAAUUCACUUAAUUAGAUUUUGAUUAGGUGUCAAUCAUAUAUGAAGUUUAAGAAGAAUUGUUAUAAUUUGAUUGGUUGAUAAUUUUAAAUUUUUAUUAUUUUAAUCAUGUUUAGAAAGACAAUUCUUGAACCAUUUAAAGUAACUAAUAAUUUACAUCAGUUGCCAAACAAUCAAAAAUAUUAUUUAAAAGAAAAAUAACUAUAUACCAAUUUACAUCAGUUGACAAACAAUCGAAACAAUUUUAUAAAAAAAAAAUAUCUUUAAAUUUAUGACAUAUUUGUUGUCAAACUUAUUCAAUACUGAAAAUAUUAAUUUGAAAUAUUCAAUUUAAAAAGAAUCGUUCAAAUACUUUGCAUUUUUUGAACAUUCAAAACUUAGAGCCAUAUUAUAUCAUUUUAAACAAAAUAUAAAAAGUUUGAUAUGUUUGAAUAUUUUUGAUUAUAGAAAAUCAAAUCGGAUACAAAUUUAUCUUAAUUUGUUAUUCAAGAAAUGACUAAGAUUAUUGCGAAAAAAAUAUUCAAAUUUCUAUAGCUGAAACUUUUUAUAUCAGUUUACGUUAAAAAAAUAUAUAAAUAUGUUAUAAAAUCGAAAUCAAUGGCAAAAUAGCCAUAAACAAACUUACAUCAGCUACCAAACAAGUCAACCACCUAGUUGUGAAUAGUUGGUUGGUUUAUAAUGGUAAAACAGUUGCAGUAGAAUUUAGAAAGUAAGUUUUUAUUUCUGGAUAUAAAUCUUUUGUAAAUGUAAAAAUUAAAUGAAAUUUUUUAAAUGAAAGGUAUGUCUACAUCCACUUUUUUUGCUCAAAAAAAAAAAUUCCUCUAACCAGUUUAAGUUUUUUCUAAUGUAUAUUUAAAUUAAAUAUAAUGGAUGAUUGAUUGAUAAAUUAAGUCCUAUAUAAAAUUUUAAAAGUAAAGAUAUGUCUUACAUAUCAACCAAUCACUCAAUUACCCCCAUUAAAAAAAUUAUUUGUAAAUAAAUAUCAAUUAUAUGGACUAGCAUUCUUAUAUACUUUUCUUUGGAUGAUAUAUAUUUGAUAUAUGAAUUACGGUUAAAAUGUAAAAUAUUUUCUAAUAAAAUAAAUUCAAAUAAAUAUACAAAAAAUAGAUGAUAUAUCCAUAAAAUGUUCUACCCAACACUAUAUAGGUGAUUGAUUGUAACUGUAAAUACUCUAGACAACAAAAAUUUAGUCUAAAACUUGUUAACCAUUCAAGCAGAAAUUUCUCUAGAAAAUUAAAAAAAGAAAUUGCACUAGCAUUCAUACAAAUUAUAAUUAUGAAUCUAUUGCCCUCACUAUUUAUCUCUUUCAUUUUUUGUUUUUUUUCCCGGUAACUACUUCUCCUAACCACUAUUGCUUCCUCCGUACCCAUAUAUAUCACUUCAUCUUUCACCACCAUAUCAUCACCAUGGCCACCACCAUAGUGCCUAUAUCCAUGAUCACGGUUUCUUCGAAAACCACAACCACCAAUUGCUCGCCGAUCCGGUAAUCGUCGCCACUCCGGUAACCAUUGUCACUGCUGUAAUCACCACCACCACAUGUUUCCCUACCGUCAAUUAAACCACCACCUCUUCCGCUGUAACAACCAUCAACUCUUCCGUAAUCACCAUCAACUCCUUCAUGAACAAAUCCAUCACACGUCCACCAUCAUCAUAGCCACCACGACCAUCACUAACUUUGUAACCUCCGCUACAUAUUUCCAAUCUACCCACCGAUUCUUCAUAACCACCAUCACAUCUUAAUAUAGCAACUGUAAAAUUGAUUUUUAUCCUAUUUGCUAAUUGGGUGAAUUGGUUUAAAACCCAAAAAAAUGAAAAUACCUAUGAUGUGAUUAGUUUGUGUCUAUGGAGAAAGGUAUCACAUUGUGGGAUUCAGGGUAUUUGGUUAAUUAGGGUAAAAGUCUAGUACAUGACGUGUAAUUUCCCUUGCUAAUUUAACAUAUACAUAGUGUAGUAUUUUUAGACCAUCUGAUAAUUAAAUCAAUAUGUACUAUACUAUUUCGUCUAUUCCAUUUUAUUUAUAUUUUCAUUUGCAUAAUAGUGUAUGAUGGAAGAGUGUUCACAUGCGUAACUUAUAAUUUUGUUUCAUCUUGUCUAAUAUUCUAUUGAAACAUCUGAUUUUUGGAAGCAACUUUUAAUUGUCCACAAAUAAACAAAAUCUAUUUUCGAAUAAAACAUUCUAUUUAAAUUAAAAUGUAGUAUACCAUUUGAAAUGUUCUAUUCAAUUUUUAUUAUAAGUAUUUCAAAUUUUAAUUUUAUUAAAAUAGUAUAAGUAUAUUGUAUUUUAUAAUUAGGUUUAUGGUUUAUUAAUUAUGAUUUAGGAUUUAGUAUUGAAGGGAGAUGAGAGUUAAGAUUUAUAGAGUUUUUAUACAAUGUAUCUAUCAAAUCACAAUAGAUUCUAUAUGAUUUUUAUAUGAUGUUCAAAUAUAUUAAUCUAUAUGUAAGUAGAAUAUAACAUAUAUUAUGUACUAUUUAUAUAGAGUCUACUUUGUUUCUUCUCUAUAAGAAAAUGUUUUCAAUUAUCAUGCAUUGUGGUUUCACCAUAUGUUCCAACGUCUUUAGUUUAAGAAACAGAGCUUUUAUAUGUGGUGAUUAAUUGAGUGAUGGUAUUUUAUAUGUUUAAUUUGAUUUUAGUUUUUUAUCUUGGCAAAAAAUCUACAACUCAUUACAAUCACCCUUUAUUCUAUGGGCUAUAUAUUUUAUAAAAUAAUAAUCUAAAACAAAUUUAUAUUUAUAUUAUAAUAACAAUUUAUUAUUGAUGAUUUUUUUGUUUUUUUUAAUUAAUAAAAUAAAAGCUCGUAUCGUGAGUAACGUGUUAUUAAUGCGCCAGCGAGAUACCGGAGAAACAGUUAAUAGGAUCACAUGGGAUCGUGAAGUAUAACUGUAUCUUUAACCGAUCCACACAACACAAGAUGCAUAUGAUCAAACCAUCUUUACAAAUUAAACCAUUUUAGUAAAUAAUUAUUAAAAUAAAAAAAUCGAUUAAACCUUACAAUUAAGAACUUAAAAUCCCUAAUUAAUCCAUAAGAUUAAAAAACCAAAGGAAAAACAAAGAUUAAUCCAGUUUAAUCGAUAAAACCUAAAACUAAAAAUUGAAUAUAUACAAAAAAAAAAAGGAAACGAUUCCUCGCCGUUAAGUCAAGCAGUAGCUCUGCCGUUCAUCAUCAUCUUCUUAAACUCUUCAAAGUUAACACAACCGUCACCGUCAGCAUCAACUUUGCUAAUGAUCCUCUUGCAAUCCUCAAGGGAACACUUCUCGCCGAGAUUCUUCAUCACCGAGUGAAGCUCGUUCACUGAGAUCCGUCCGUUACCAUCCAAAUCGUACAGAUCAAACGCUUCCUUCAGAUCUCGAAUAUCGCCACCGUCUUCGAUUUGGAACAGAGCGACGAACUCGUCCAUGUCGAUGUAUCCGUUACCGUCGAGAUCGAACUCCUUCAUCAUCAACGUCGUUUCUUCCGGCGACGCCGUGGGACUGAGAGCUCCGAUCACGUCUUUGAGCUCGUCGAUUGAGAUUUUCCCGUCUCCGUUUUUGUCGAAGCGCUGGAAUACUGCUCGGAUGUCUUCCAUUGAUCCUAAGCAAUAUCUUCCGCUCUUCGACAUUGCAACAGAGAGAGAGAUAAAAACUGAGAGAGAGAGGAGAAGAAGGUAGUUUGUUAUAUAUAGGGGAGUGACGAAUGAUAACGCGGUUUUGAAAUCGCGUUAAAGAUUGCGUGAGUUAGAGUACAGAGUAUUAAUUCUGAUUUUUUUAAUAUGACUUUAACUAUACUAUAUUAGUAAGAUUUCCUGUUACGGUUGUGAUUUUAUGUCAACAGGAUAUUUUUUAACUUAAAUUUCUAUAUUCAGGAUUCUCUUUAGAUUCUAUGACAUUUUCUCUUGAUAGCACAUUCUAUUUUUAAAUCUUUAAGGUUCUGAUUAUAGUAAAUAAGGAGAGAGCAUACCUUGUUUUAUUGUAUAAGAUAUCUUAGAUAAAGAUAAUGAUAUAUCAGAUCUUUUAUGUUAAGUUGAAUAUAUUUUAGUUAGUAUACAAGAUUUGUUUAGAUUCUGCGAAAUUUUUGGUAUUAUAUCUUUUAAAUGAUUUUGAUUAUGAUUUAUUGCCAAUAUAAUAUCUUUUUAGUUUAAAUUCUAGUAUACAUAAUUCUGUUUAGAUUCUAAGAGCAUUUUCCUAUUAAACUCUUGAUAAUUCAUCAUUUAUAAUUCAGAUAUAGUAAAUAAUCGUAAGAUAAUAAUAUAUUAGAUUUUUAUGUCUAUGGGAUACCUUUUGAUUUAAAAUUAGUAUAUAAAAAUCAUUAUUAGACUCUUUAUUACAUAAGUCAUAGGCAUACUGGAUUAUUGAUUUGAAAAUAUUUCAUUAAAAAAAUUCCCCCUUACAAUAAAAUUUUGUAAAAAAAGUUAAUAUAUCAACUUAUUAAAUUAUAAAAAUCUAUCAAAUAAUAUUUGAUGAGAUAUAAAAAGCAAAUUUUAGUUAAAAUUAAUAAAUAAAAAUACCGGAUUUUAUUAUAGUAUUUGAAUUUUUAAAUAUGUAAAGAAAUAAAAUAUUCAAUAUUAUUUUUAGUUUUAAUAUUCACAAAUACGAAACUUUGUAAAUGAGAUGAUCUUUUGUCUUAUGGCUCCACAUCAAUCCUGAGAAAUCCCAUAAUCUCAAGUCCGCUGAGUCUUAUUAUCUACAUAAGAGCAAAUUAUCAUACGAAAACUUGAGAUAAUUAGUUUAUUGCUUGGAGGAUUUCAAGGCGAUCUUUUAUCAACAAACCUAUAUGUUUUGAGUUUGACAUUAUCCAAUAUAUACACCACUGACCACACUAUCAAUUUACUCCACCCUUCUCUCAAGCCCCAGCUUCCUAAGAAAAUGCUUUCAUUUGACGCUUAAUGAAUGUUAGUUAUUAUGUGACAUCGCAAAAUCAGCAAAUCAGUUUGUGGCAGUGUGAUAGGUAUUAUAUGUCGUAGUUCGUGUAAUUGGGCCCUCUUCCCGCAGAAAGUUUUUUUUUGGCAAUACACACAAGCUACCAAUAUCAAAAAAAACAUGCCAACAAAGAAAAAACCCACAAAAUAAAAAGAUAUUCGUCAACCAAUGUCUGUUAAUUAAAACCUUGAAAACUACUAAGCUCAAUCAACAACAGAUCGAUUUUUUUCUUCUAGAUAAUAAAAGGUUAAUAUCACCACCACUUUUCUUAGUUUUUUUCUUAGCUUACCAUAUAUAUAAAUCACUUAGCCAUCAUAAUCUUGACAAACUCCUCGUAGUUAAUCUGACCAUCUCCAUCAACAUCAGCUUCACGGACCAUCUCCUCAACUUCUUCAUCAGUAAGCUUCUCGCCUAGAUUCGUCAUGACAUGGCGGAGCUCUGCAGCGGAUAUGAACCCGUUCUGGUCUUUGUCGAACACCCUGAAAGCUUCUUUGAGCUCUUCCUCCGAGUCCGUGUCUUUCAUCUUUUUAGCCAUGAGGUUCAGGAACUCAGGGAAGUCAAUGGUGCCGUUGCCGUCCGCGUCCACCUCGUUGAUCAUGUCCUGGAGCUCAGCUUCGGUUGGGUUCUGUCCUAGAGACCGCAUCACUGUCCCCAGCUCCUUGGUGGUGAUGCAACCUGUUCCCAAAUAAUACAAAGCAAGUAUGAAAGAAUCAGAUUGAUAUACAGAUGAAAACAUGAUUUAAGCAAACAAUGCAGAAUACACACAACACAAAGACCACCGAUAAUAUAUUCACUAAGCCAAUAGGAUCCGCAUUCAACACAAGGCAGCUUCUAAAGAAACAUCAUUGAUAGAACAAUCAAGAAAGAUAAAACACGAAGCAAUAACAAGUAAACAUCAUCAACCAAAUCUAGACCCAAACACGACAUCAAACGAGACUUAAAAUCAAUCGAUUCAAUCACAAUAAGCAAUGAAGGCAAACCACACGAAUCAGAGUAUAUAAGAUAUGAAUCUGAGGACGAUAAACUAUCGAUCGGAGCAGCGAGAGAGAGAGGAGGAUGAGAAGAGACGAACCAUCGCCAUCCUUGUCGAAGAGGCUGAAAGCUUCCUUGAACUCGGAGAUCUGUUCGUCCGUUAGCUGAUCCGCCAUUUCUUCGAUCGAUUUUGGGGUUCUCGCUUCAGAGACGACGAAAUGCUCUUUUUUUCUUUACUCCGAAGCUGUGAAACAAAUAUCUCAGCAAACCGACAAAAACAGUUAUACGAUGACAAGGAGAAAAAGUUAAAAAGGAAAGUAAUAAUUUUAAAAGCUAUGAAAUUGUAUGUGGACCUUGUUCAUCUUCACUAUAACUUUUCAGUAUAUGUAGUAUUUUCUGUUGACCAAAAAAAAACUAUAUACGUGUAGUUUUUUAUUUUACAUGAAAUGUAUUUAAUAUAAUCGUAAUAAUUAAGACGUAAAAUUUAUUAAAUUUGAUUGGUUUUCAUUAUUAUGAUAAAAUAUCCAUUUUAAUAAUAACCAAUCAAAAACAGAAUGCAAAGUUUGAAAUUUCAAAUUUAUUCUAUUUUACCAUUAUAUUUAACAUUUUUCAUUAUUUUAUACUUGUUUACCUUUUUUUUAAAACAUUAUUGGUAAAUGCUGUAAAAUCUUUAAAGUGAUAACUUUUAAAAACACUAAUAUUUUAAUUAAGUUUUAUACUAUAAUUCUAAGUUCGAGUUAAAAAUCUUCAUGAUAUCUUUAAGAUUUAGACUUGUUAUAGUUGACUCCAUAAUCCUUAGCAAUCCCAAUGCAAAAUCUACAUGGUUUUUGUGGUGGCAUGAAGGAAUCACCGAUCCUUUGACAUCAGAAGUCUCUCCGAGUGAAAUUGUUGCUUGAUUGUAUCUUGAAUCUUCUUAUUUGUCCCUUACUCAGUAGCUUGUACGUCCACUGGUUGCUAUUGUGUCUUCUCCAUAUCCUCGCUUUGCAUUAGUUGUGCCUCAUAAUUAAGUUGGCUACUCUCGCCAGAUGGUUGUCCUUCUUCAACAUUGUUGUGUCAAUUUGCUGGUUAGCGAGAUGAAGAGAAUAUGUAGCCAAAUGUAAAAUUUGUAAGCUCUUAGUCUCCAUAUCUGGAGUUUGAGAGAAAAUCUUGAAUCCAUGCUUCAAGCUGUUGCAGUUAGUAUAAAACUUUUGGAAGUCAUCACGGCAAAAUUCCAAUUAAAAUGGCUUCCAAUACACAUUAUCUGAAUCUUUGCUGUCAAAGAAAUUUGGUUAUCCACAUAAAACUGAACUCUUAUCCACACAUAGUUGUUUCGACAAUCUAAACUUCAUCAAUCUAACUAAACUUGGAGCCAAUACUUUUGACUGUUUGUUUUGUGUAUGAUGAUAUGAUGCUAGAAGAUGGUAGGUAAGUUAUUUAUCUGGAUAAACAAUAGCUUAGUCGAGGACCAUGAGGGACAGUCAGGUCGAGCUUGCUCGAUCGAAGACCAUAAGGAACAUGAGGGACCUUCCGGUCGAGCUUUGUUGAUGACCAUGAGUCCAUGACUGACCUUCGGUCAAGUGGUUUUAAUUAAGCCGUAUGUUGGCUUUAUGCCCAUAUGAUCUCUGGAUCAUAAGUGAUCUUGGGGGUUAGAAAUGUUUAGGAAUAACUAAGUAUUCGAAAAUAGCUGUGUGGAUGAAAAUUUACUAAAUAUGAAAAUGAAAACAGAUUAAGAGAUGGUUAAAAUGAAUCUUAUAGCUUGACAAAGCUGUUCGUUGUACUGUGUUGCAUGUGAAUGGUAGUGACUAUUGAACGCGCUAUCACUAAGUAAUUGUAAUUCAUGCCGUUUUUGUGUUGCAAGUGAAGAUCAAUUGUUUGGACUCGAGCAAGAGAUCAUUGAAACCAUUGAGAAUCGAGUGUUAUGAACUUGGAUGUAUUUUUUUAUUAUUGUACUAUAUAGGCUUCCAGUAUUUAGCAUUAAAUUAUUUAGUAAAGUCUUGUAAGAUUUUACUUUAGAAUUUUCAAUGGAUUUUUUGAAAUGUUUUGAUCGAGGUGUUUCAAAAACAUUUUGAUUUAUUAUAGUAACUUUAAAAUGCUGAUCCCACCAAGAAGAGAGAAGAAAACACAAAAAUAUAAGAUGAUGAACAUAUCAAAAACAUUGUAGACAUUUUGAUUUUUUGAUCGAGGUAUUUAAAAAAAAAAAAAGAACAAAAAAUGAGUCAGAACUAAUUAGUCUAGUUUUCCAUAAUUGAUUAUGACCCUCAUCAUCUCGUGGUCGUGGGCUCUGGUCUUGUCCCUCUUUUAGCAUUUAACAACCGCUUUACCAACUAAUCUUUCUGUAUUAACAAGAGUCAUUGCUCUAACAAUUAUUCAAACAAUUAAUUAAUACCCAAUUAUCGUCAUCCAACUGUAAGCCUAACAAUUAUUCAAAAUAAUUAAUAUUUUCACAAUUAUCUUCCCCCUCCACUCUUUUUCUUUGCUCCAACAUCACACCAACAUCAAACAAUACACUGACGAUUUAAUUCAUCUUUCCUCUUCUUGAAACUUUUCUUUCAUUUUAUUAAUGCAAAGAGUGCUUUAAGCAAAAGCUUUAAAGAAUCAACUUUUCAUUUUUGAAAAUUCAAAAGAGAAAACUUGUCAUUUUCUUUCUGCCUCCUUUUUCUUUUGUUCUUGUUUUCUGGGUAUUUGAUUUGUCAUCUUCAGAUCUCUUCAGUAAUCAAAACCCAUUUUGACAAAAAAAAAAAAAAAAAGAAAAGAAAUGAUUCUUGAUUUGGGUUUUGCUUGUUUCCUCUCUGGUCGAACCAGAGAGAGCUCUCAUGAGCAUAACAAAGCUUGGCUUUUGGAGGAAACAAGACCAACGUUUAUUGAGUCAGACCCAUAUUCAGGACAGUCGUCAUUUAGGUUUAGUCUUUGCUCACAGGUGGAGCUGGAAAAGAUCAGAAGGGAGCAACCAUCAUCGUCUUUUCAAGUGUCUGAAGGAUCAGCGACGGUUCUUCUGGUUAACGAGGUUAAGGAGACAGAUAAACCGACGGUUGAGAUGAAUUGGUCGACGGCUCUUUCACUUGAGAAGAGCAUUUCUCCAGUGACCAAUACCUUGAUCCGGUUUAGCUACAGUGAAAUUGUCACCGCCACUCGCAAUUUCUCAAAAGGUAAAAGCCUAAACCCCUAAACAUAUGACAACACACCUACUUGAAAGUUGAUGAGUUUUGAAAAAAAAAAAAAAAAGGAAGUUGAUGAGUUUUGUGAUUCUCUGUUGUAAUUUUGGUUAGGGAGAGUGUUGGGAAGAGGAGCUUGUAGCUAUGUAUAUAGGGGCAGAAUGGGGAUUUGGCGAAAAGCCUUGGCUAUCAAAAGACUUGACAAAGAAGAUACAGAAUCCCCAAAGUCCUUUUGCAGAGAGUUAAUGAUUGCAAGCUCUCUUCAGUGCCCUAACAUUGUGCCUCUUCUAGGGUUCUGUAUCGACCCCGAGCAAGGGCUUUUCUUGGUGUACAAGUAUGUCUCUGGUGGCAGCCUCGAACACUAUUUACACGGUAUUCAGCUGAUCUUCUCUCUUUCCACAACCAUUGAUUGCAAGCUGUGUUAGAGAUUGAUGGUUUCUUUGCUGGCUUUCCGAAUUUAGAUAAGAAAAAGAAGAAGAGAGGUGUGAAGGUUCCCUUUUGUUUGCCUUGGUCAACAAGGUACAAGAUCGCCUUAGGCAUUGCAGAUGCCAUAGCCUAUUUGCAUAACGGCACUGAGCAAUGCGUUGUGCACAGAGACAUUAAACCCUCCAUAAUUCUUCUUUCCUCAAACAAAAAGCCAAAGGUAAGGAGAGUUAAACCACUUCUUGGCCAUUUUAUCAGUGUUCUGUUUAACCACAGUUUCUUUCAGUUGUGUGAUUUUGGGUUGGCGACAUGGACAGCUGCACCAUCGGUUCCUUUCCUGUGUAAGACCGUGAAAGGAACAUUCGGGUAUCUAGCUUGAAACCUUUAAGAUCCAAUAAAGUCAUUACUACUAUAUAUGGAAAUAAAAAGUAAUGCAAACAUUUUGGGAAACUUGUUGUAGUUAUCUAGCUCCAGAGUAUUUUCAACACGGCAAGAUAUCAGACAAGACAGAUGUGUACGCGUUUGGAGUCGUGUUACUUGAGCUAAUAACGGGUCGAAAGCCCAUUGAAGUAAGAAGACCAUCUGGUGAAGAAAAUUUGGUAGUUUGGGUAAGUGUCUUGUUAUCUUUUAUUUUCUGAUAACUACUACUAAACCAAACCUAUUGACUUGUAGUAACUUAAAUUCCACAAGCUUCCCCACUAACUUAUUUCUAAAUAUGGUAAAUUAAAUCCUAAUUUCCAACCAAAUGCCAUUUAAUUUGUGACAUUAGCCUGCUAAAUUCAGGUCAAUCUUGGUUGAACUACAAAUUAUGGUUCAACUGUUCAUCGUUCACCAGAAUCUGUAUAUAUAUAUAUAUAUUUUUUUUAAUAUCAUGGGGGUUCGACCCCAUCAUGUAAUAUUAGUGUCGUCCAAGUAGUCACUCGAACCAAAGUACUUGUCAAAUACAUGAACGUUCAAGUGUAGUUAAACUUGUGUAAUAACCGUAUUUUUGGCAGGCGAAACCGUUGUUACGUAGAGGGAUGGAGGCUAUAGAGGAGUUGCUAGAUCCAAGGCUGACAUGUACUAGAAAGAACUCGGUUGCAAUGGAGCGUAUGAUCCAAGCAGCAAGAGCAUGUGUGACCGAUGAGGAGUCACGUAGACCUGGAAUGAAAGAGAUUGUUUCGAUUUUGAAAGGCGGUGAAAGGAGGAGAGUAGAGCUAAGGACGUUUUCAAGCAGGACAAAGUCAAAUCUUUCGAGUUUAAUGGACUGUUAUCCGCAGUUGCAAAGGACAAAAUCUGAGAUGAAGAGUCAUCUUGCUCUUGCAAUGCUCGGAGUAACAGAGUUUGAAGAUGAUGAUGAUAAUGAUAAUGUUCUUUUGUAGGGAAGGUAAAAUAGAUACUCGCAAGAACUAAAAAGAGAGAUUUUUUUUUUGUGUCACUGUAAAUGUUUUAAACUUAAUUACUUCUUUAUAAAUAUAAUUUAGGAAAAUGCAAAGAAAUAGUUUUUUCUUUUAAAUACCUCUUGACUUGACAAAACAGGCUAGUUUAGUUAGCUGCUAGCAUAGUAACAAUUUGAGAAUACACUAAUAACAUACAGCUAUGUUACAAGAAACAACCAAUACAGAUUUGAUGAACAAAAAUCUGAAUCUGCUUUCUCAUUUUCUCUUUGUUUUUUUGAUUUUAGACGACGGCUUUGAGUAGGGCCUCAAGUACAGCUUCUUUAGUAGGAAGUGCCGGUAUUGCACCUCUCUCCUUCACCGUUAAGGCACCACACGCAUUCGCAAACAUUAGAGCUUCUCUCAGUCUUUCUUCGUCCUGAGUCAAACAAUGAGAGCAUAACAAAUGUGAUGACUCUGACUAAGAACAAAGCUUUGAAACUGCUAUUCUAAUAAUUGCUCUCAAACCAACUCAACACCACUACAUCCACUCCUAGGCUGAUUACUAUAGCUUAAACUUCGUCUUAGCUUAUCAAACGCUCAAAAAAAAACAAAUGACAAGAAUCAAAGUUUACCUGAAGCAAAGAGAGAUCACAUGCUAGUUGAGAUAGUAUUCCAGCAACAAACGCAUCUCCAGCACCUGUCGUGUCCACUACUUCCACCUUCAACCCAUGCACUCUCCCGCUAAAAUCCUGUAAAUUAAAAAAUAUUUUUAAAACAAAAAAAAAACAUCAUUAACUUUGAGUAUCAAGACUAAGGCUACGUAGUUUAGUUUGGAUAUCAAAAUCAAAAGAAGGAGAGGGAGAGGGGAGAGGGACUCUUAACAACCUUUGUGUAGUACCGACAACCUUCAGGACCUUCAGUAACAAGGAGUAGUUUCAGCUUAGGAUGGAACAACUUCCUGACGACAGAAUCAUCAUAAGGAUCUUCUCCUUUCGUUAGAAACUCAAUCUCCUCUUCGCUAAUCUUAAUAAUAUCAGCAGUAUCCCAAACGCUGAGGAUUUCAUCUCUAGCGUUGUCAGCAGAAGGCCACAAGGGGAGCCUAAGGUUAGGGUCAUACGAAAGAAUCACACCAGCUUCCUUAGCUGCCUUCGCCGCAGCUAUGUGAGCUGACUUGCACGGUUCCGUGAUCAGACUUAUCGAACCGUAAUGGAAUAUCUUCGCCUGCAACACAAGACUCAAAAUAAUUGAUUUCAUUAAAAGUAACAACUAAAAAAAAUGUUGAUAGUUAGUUUACCUUUUUAAUCAAAUCCAAAUCAAGCUCAGACUCUUCUAACAACAUGUCGGCGCUGGGGUUUCGAUAGAACAUGAACUCACGUUCGCCUUCAUUUGUCAGAGUGACGAAAGCUAAAGCAGUUCUGGCGCCAGGAUCAAAACGCAUGCCUUCGUUGUUCACAUUGUUGUCCUUGAGGAUGUUUGCAAGCAUAUAACCAAACUCAUCUUCCCCAACCUGUUAGCAACAACAACACAUUCACAGAUAGUUCAAAAUCAAAAUAGGAUGCGGAGGUAAGUGUCUCACCUUGCCAAUGAAAGCUGAAGAGCCACCGAGACGAGCGAUACCAACGGCGACAUUAGCAGGGGCACCACCUGGAGCCUUUUUGAAAGCUGGUGCUUGGGCCAGAGAAAGCCCACUUGUGGUUGGUACGAAGUCGAUAAGCAUUUCUCCGAAACAGACCACAGAGGGAGACUCUUGCGUUGAGCCAUCACUAGCAAAGGCUCUUCCUUUUUAAACAUUAGAAAAAAUGUGAACUUUGUUAUUAAUGAUGAUUAUACAAUGCUAUAUACAUUCAUAAGACUUUACUGUUCAGUAACAUUAAACAGCUAGAUCCAGAAGAUUGAUGAGGGACAAUCUAGGGAUCAACGAAAGUUUAUUUUUUUAAUCAUUUCAAAAAAAUCAAGUGAAGAAAUGGCUAACCUUUGAGAUUAGAUCGUGAAAGCGAGAGGAGGGGAGGAGAAGAGAGUCCUGAAGAAGAAGCUGUGAUGGAGAGACGACGCUUUGAGGUUAAUGCGUGAGGAGGAGUUGAUCGGAAAGUAGGAGCG